rnacentral:lncRNA from 1 species
AGUGUUCCGACCUAUGGUUCGAGUCCCGAGAAUUGAGGUUUAAAACUUGGCACCAAAACCCAAAAAGUUGGAUUAUUGGUGUGCUCUCGUGUAGCCUUCAGCAGGGCCGAGUACCAGUACGCGGUGAUGGCUGUACCGGUACAACCAUCAACACUGGCAGCCUGUGCGCCAACCCGAGGCUCGGGUUGGGCUGGUUCGUGGGAUGUGUACCGGUACACAAUCCUGUGUACCGGUACGCAGUGCAAAAUGGGCUGUUCGUGGAAGGGUGUAUUUGCAAUUGUUGCUAACCUUAUAAAUAGCACCCCAGCCCCCUUGGAGAGCUCUUUUGAGUCCUAACCAGUGGAGAUCAAGGUGAGACUCUUCCCCUUUGAAUUCUUCUCCAUUUUUGAAGGAUUUUGGCUAGUUUUGAUCUCCUCUUUCUUCUCCUUUUUGCUUUUUGUUGGGUUUCCUCCAUGGGAGAAGCUUGGAGCUCGUGAUCGGAGCUUGAUUGAGGAAAGAUCUUGGGAGCUUGUGGACUUUGAGCUUGGAUUGAAGCAUCCUAGAGGUGAGUAGUUAGUUUUCCUCCCCUAGAUUCUAGUAUUUAAGCUUUGAACUAGAUGAAACCCUAGAUUUGGAUAUUAGGGUUGGAAUUUGGGGAUUUGUGAUUUGUGGGCUUUAGGACCUAAUUGAUGGGUUUAGAACCUUCGUGUAGGUUGGAUUGGAAGGGCUUUUACUCCCGUUUGGAGAUCGAAAGAGCACCCUUCGCAUUCGGUGAGUUUUCUUUAGCCUUAUGUUGAGUCGAUUAAUGUUUGACCUCAUUGAUGUUUGUUUACUUCUUUAGCCUCACUUUUUGAUGCUUCUAGGAUACUAGGAGGCUAGGGGGCACCUUCGUUGGAGCAAACGAAGGGUUUCGAGGAGUCCGAUGGGUUUGGCUUCAUGAAAACGGGGCAAAAUGGCCCCUAUGCUUUCUUAUGCUUGUCGUAUUGCUCCAUUUACGUUAAAUCUAUGAUUAACAUGAUUUAUGAAAAUUUUUGAAUGCUUAAAAUACAUGCAUCAUGUAUCAUGAAAAUUUCAUUCUUGGUACGAGUGCAUUCUUAGUGCUUUGCAUGCAUAUGUGAUGAGUUCAUGUUAGCUAUUUGAAUACAUGUUUUGUAUAUUAGAAAUAGCUCAAAGUAUGUAAAUCUAUAUGAUAUACUCGUGCUUGGACUUAGUAGGCAAAGUGUCAUAAAGGUGCACUUGGCAUUGAAACCUAUGAAACUACUAAAUGGGACAUAGUGAUAGGCCAUUGACAUCUUUUAUUUCCCAUGUUGUAGACAUGAUGACAUAGAGAUAGGCCAUUGAGAUAUGUGACAUAUAUUCCAUAUUUUUAGAUAUGAGGACUUGGUACUUGAGAUAGAUCUUUCGCUUCCUUGCCAUUGUGCUCAUUCGCACAUACUUGUGAAGGUCGCUCCCUGCAAGCCAGCACUCCGGAGAUAGCCAUCGCGACAUAUGCUCGCUCGUGCGGGAUUGGGCGCCGAAAUGGGAUGCCGUGGGGGAGGCUCAUUUCUAGAGUAGGGAUGUUGACUACCACGGGGCCAUUAGGCACGGCGCAGGCCAGACAGCCUACGGGUGGAUCUUACAUGAUUGGAGCUUAGUGACAGAACAUGCCAUCUGGACAUGGACUAGAAUAGUAAACAAGACAUUUUACUAUUUAGCUUGUGGACAUCAUGUGUAAGGACUGAGAUUUUUGACAGUGCAACUAAACUCUCUGUUGAUGAUGUUUAUGUGUGUAAUUUAAUUACAUAAGCACUCGUCAAGUUUCGGGCGAAAAUGAGCUAAAAUGGAGAAGAUACGCGACUUUUAGUUUUCACUUAAGUGAAUAGUAACUCUGGUUUUCCGGGAAGCCACGGAGUAGAGUUGGCUUGUGGCGCGUAUCGAACUCCGUUCAUAUCAGUCCAAUAGCUCGUUUCGACCGGUUCAGCUGUUCUGGAACUAGUGGCGCUGAUGGAUUUUGAGUUUGACGCACGGAUUUCGAGAAAAUCCAAAAAUACAUGUUUUAUAUGUAUUUGUGUGUGUGUGUUUCCUUCUAUUGGAAGAAGGUUGGAUUUUGUUGUGAAUCCGUGAUCGAUCGAGACGAAUCGAAAGUGUAGCUUUGUUGUCUCCAAGGUGCUGAUCUCACUGGUGCAAUCCGUUCGCAAAUCUGACGGACGGAUCUGCGGAGAUCGCGCGUUGAUCGAGAAGAGGUCGGUGAUGGCAAAACGGUAAUUUCGCAAAAGUUGCGACAUUUUAUGUACCGUUUCGCGUGAAAUCGCACGUGGAGGGGUUUAUGCAUGUUUUAUUCGUGCGGUGAGGGACUAAGAUUAAAUGGUUGAGUCUUGGAGGACUUUUCGGCAAAUUUACACUUGCAUUUAUAGGUUGCUGUUAGAUUUUUGCUUGGAAAACCUAACCCUAGGUUGUUCCUGCUAGCCCUAGUCCACCAGCCGCCUCAGCCAUCUCCUGCCCUCCCCGUGCGCACGCUCCGGCCGACGGCGAGCUCCUCCGGCCGCCGGAAAUCCCUGCAUCAUCUCUCUCUCUCUCCCUUUUGGCCAACCCCCUUCACCGCAUAGUGGUUUGCGGACCCCGGUAGCCACCUAGCUUGAGCACCUUUGUCCCCUGGCCGUGGCCCAGCCUUCGGCGACUCCCCUCGUCGCCGCCGUCGUCCCUGCGCACCGCCGCCGCCGCCCAGACAGGCUGUGGCCAGAUCUUGGCAGAUCUGGCCCAGGAGCUUUAGCUCCCUGCUAGCACUGCCGCCGCCACCUUGGGACGGCCGAGACACCCUUCCUCGGAGCCCCGGCGACCUCCGCCGCCGGCCCCACCGUCAGCGCACGCCGCCGGAGCCGCCCCAGCUCUCUGCGGCCACCUGCAUGCACCCAGGCCGAGCUUGGGUCAUCUUUGCAUCCGCGCGCCGCCACCGCUCCCUAUCGGCCGCGCCGCCUUCUGGCAACCUCCGGCGACCUCGCGCGCGCCUCCACGCCGUCCCCGCACGCCGCCGGCAGCCGCCCGAGUUCUCUGCGGCCGUCCCGAGCGCGUGCGGGCGCUGCUUGGACCAGUACGGCCUUCGAGGGCCGCCGCCGCCCACCGUCGGGAGCACCUCCNUCGGUAGUACCACAUGGCCAUGUGUUACGUCUUUGCACCGUCGAACCCAUAAAACCAUUAAAGUGUGAAACUAGGAUAGAUAAAGUAAGGUCGUGCUGAGGACCUCGAGUCACCUCCAACGACCUCUGGUCUCUUCGUUGGAACGUGGUAAAAAAGAGAGAGAGAGAUCCCAAAAAGAGAGAGAUGUUUCUUCAGCGGCUAAAGCGAGCAAAAGCAGCAGCGCGCGCAAGAAGCGACCAACGCUCGCAGCGUCGCGGAAACACCUGCACACUCUCUCACAAAACCUUCUGAGAAACGACAGGACUUGGUCAUCCCAGUGACCAACCUUCGAAUUCUUCCAUUAGCUGAAUAAAAACAGCAAUAGCUGCAAGAUAAGCAGCUAAACUCAUCGCUAAAGCCUAAAAACGAGAACCGACACGAUUUGACUCUUAAGUCGAUAAUAUUUACUCAAUUAAUCGACACUUAAUUGGAAGAAUCUGGUCCCUAUUCGAUGAAACUUCGAAUUAACCUUAUAAAUCGGUAAAUACUUCGAUAAAGCCUGAUAUGUGCCAAAUACGCAUUUAACUACGUUAAAACAUGCAACUGAAGCGUCGUCCAGAAGCUCGGAGCAACUCGACUUGCACAUGAACAACUUCGACCAAACCUUCAACAAGAUUGGACUCCAUUCGUCCUUAAAGUCAAUCUUUUGACUUAAGCGUUCUAAGGCUGAUAUAAACGAUAUAUACAACUAUAACUACGGCAGAGCUACAACAAGCGUCGCUCUCACGCUUGCUCGGAACCUAGCAGCACUCGACUGAACACUCUCGAGAACCUCUGAAUAGAACUCCAUAAUGUGAUCGGGUUUUGUCCCUAAAUUCCCCAAUGAAACAUAAUUCACGUUUAAUUCGGCUUUAGUCUGUAAAGCCAGCAGAAAAACUGUGCCACACUACGAACAAAAAGUCGUCGUAACCCCGAAGCAACUCUGCUAAAACCCUGGAGAAAACCUGACGAACCUCGAAUCAUUAUCCACCCAGCCUGGAUUGGUCUCGUUCACCUCGAGGGGAUACAAGAUAUACACGAUAUCUUAACCACAACAACACGCGAAAACACAAACUAUAUCCUGAACUCUUCAUUUAACUGAACUUUAGAGAUAUUUCAUCUCUUGUGUAUAUGUACUUGCAUAAACAGAAAUAUAAGUUAAGUCAACUUACUGAAUACUUGUUCACAUCUUACGUGAAUACUUUGCAUCUCUGUUUACUGUAAGAGAAAAUGAGCGAACUAAUGUGCAUCUCUUGUUACUGUAAGAGAACUGAGAUUUCAUCUCUUGAUACUGUACGAACACGGAUACAACCAUCACGGUACUAUCACUUUCUAGGAUUACGGUAUACAUUUAAUCGUAAUGAGGACAUACGAAUGAUUUGAUCACCUAAGAUCAACAACAAUUAUAAACAAUAUGACUUUACAGCUAGUUUCCUAGCUCUCGCUCUUAUAACGUUUACUUUUGUACUCUUAACUCUGUACACCUGUCACCUUAAACGAACGAACGGUAGCACGAGUAAGCGUGUGCGAACACUCCCAGCGAGGGAUGUUCGGCCGUGAGGCCUCAACCGGAUGCGCUGUCAACGAGCGGGCACGCCCUAACCCACGGCUUCACCUAACGGCACCCCUCACAAAUGAUGGUGCCCCGGUAAUCCGCGCCGCGUUCGACCUGAUGGAACCCAUCCAGGGACACUUACAUUCCUUUCAUGAUUUACUUUUUCCUGUCAUUACUUACAAAUAAUGAAUUUCACAUGUCAUCAGUGAAAAUACAAGCACGAAUAUGAGUACAAAUACAAGUACUAAUGUCUUCAACGAUAUAGAGAAAACACGUUUACCAAGUAAUGACAUCUUUCGAUAAUGUACAACUAAUGUACGAAUAAUGAAUAAUCGUAGUACGAAUAUUUAGUACGUUAAUAACAAUAACGAAAGUAAAUCAUGUAGAACUCGGAUCACCACAUUAAGCGGUUCCGACCGCCGAAUGGGUGACCCUUGAUAACAAUUAUCAAGAGUGCGGGAAAACCACCAACAAAAAUGUCUCGGUAAAUGUCCUCUCCGAUCCCUAGCACCGUUCCCUCAGCGCGGAUCGAUCCCUGAUGAUCCUCGCACGAUCAGCUAGUGGAACGAUGAGCCCGAUGCCGGCUCCCACUACAGGGAUACAUAUCUAUCUGGUGGCAACAUGGAUAAGAAAACAUAUGGGACACUACAUAUACAUGAAAACCUGUCAGUGAAAUCAACACUAUGAGUAGAAAACCAACUCUAAAAACCUGAUAUGAGGAAAUGAGAUAACAACUAUCAUAACAACUGAACAUGAAACGAGACUAUAGUCCUAUCUUAAAAGAUACUAGAAGAAGGAUAGCUGAACGAACAAACAUCUGCGGAAUAUAUGACGUCCACAUACCGCCCAGACAAGUGCAUGGUCUAUACGAAGGCGACCAUGGGCCCGCACUGUCGACGAAAAGAGAGUUUUUUUUUUUUUUGUAAAUUUUUCAUAGCCGUGUUUGGUUAUAUUACGAUAUACACUAUCCCGUUGGUGUUGAAAAAAAAAAAAAAACACACACACACACCUCUCUUUCCAUCUCUGUACUUCAGAGUCGGACGAAGCAGGUAAAUUCCCUUACUUAAUCUGUUGUUUUUCGAGGCAUCCUUUAUUUUAUUUUAUUUUAUUUUAUUAUAAUUUUUCGUCCUCGUCCGGUUCCUUUUUUUUUUUUUUUUCAGCUCAGUCAGAGUCUCUCGAUUUAGGACUUUAGUAGUAGCCAGAGUGAAACGACCUAUAGUUGGAAACACUGUCUUUCAAAUCUUCCAUAUGCGUUCAUACCUGAUAGAGUUUUUCGUAAUGUACCAUAUAUACGUUUAUGUAUAUAAAACUUCUCAUGUAAUCAUCAAUUUUUACAUGCUAUUUUUGUGUUUGACGUAUACGUGGACCCCGUUAUAUAGGAAAACAAACAGUGCGGGGCCCUGGGUCGCCUUCGGACAGGGCAUGCACAGGUCUGGGCGGUAUGCAGAUUUUGUAUAUUCUGCAGAUCUUUUGUUGCCAUUUAUUUCGUUAUUAUUUUCUGUAGAUCCUCAUAGUCUCGUAUCAUGUCAUAGAUCUAAGAUAUUCUCCUUUGUUCAUUUCUUCGAAUGUAGGUGGUAUUCAUUUAGUUUCCAUCAUGUUGUCUUUAGGGUUUUAUUCACGAUAUUCAUUUAUGUAUCCACCAGAGAUAUGUACAUAUGUUUUGGAGAGAGAGAGAGUUGUUGUUGUUUUUCUCUCUUUUGGUGGAUUCGUUGUCAUUUAGGAGCGAUAGAUCGAUCGCUAGGGUGAACGGCGAUAGGGCACGGAGGCGGCCACAUCUCCCGAGACUUUCUUUUUAGUAUUUUGUACCCUGCACUCUUGAUAAUUUAUUAUCAAGGGUCACCCGUUAAUGACUGAAGUCACUUUCGUGGUGAUCCGGGUUUUCUCGAUUUGUCCAUUCAUUGUCAUUUUCGUUAUCUUAGCUAUACAUUCAUUUGUAUAUUUGAAUGAUGUUGUACUAUAGAGAUGAAUCGUACUUAAACGUAUUCAUUAUCUUCUGAUAAGAUUGCACUUAUAUGGUUUCAUAGUGAUCGUACUACAGUGCGGGGCCCCAGGGGAAAAUCAAACGUACCGGUACACCAAGCAGAAAAGGCUGAUUUCGCCCAAUCAAUGCACUUUCUUGCUUUUAGCCAUCCAAUCACUCUCAAACUUGUCCAAAAACUUGUCUAAAUCCUUUAGAACAUGUAGGAUAGUUCCACAACUCAUUCCACACACUCGGACUCCGCAAUUUGCUAGAGUCAGUGUAUUACAGCAGCAUGCUACCCGUUUCAUUUAUUUUUUUAGAAAUAAACUUAGCUGGAAAUGUGAAUCAAUUAGGAUUCAAACUUGAGACCUCGGGUAACAACCACCAAGUUCUUUGCCACUUACGCUAAGGACAAUCGGUAAUACCUUUCAAAUGUUGAAAGAAGUUUUCGUACCAAGAAAAUGAUCGCUGGCUUUUUUAACCAGGUAACGUGAAAAUGAAGGAUAUGCAAAAUUUACCCAAUAUUUAUUUAUGUAUGUACUCAUACAUGCGUAUAUACUUGAAUGUCAUAUAUGGAAUUGCUAGCAUCUGUCCAUACAAAAUUUCGGUUGCACGUAUACAUACUAUAUAUAUUUUGCAUUUCAUCUAUAUUGCACAAUUUGGUAAUUAAAUAUCUUUUCUGGAUUGCAGAGCUGGCAUAUACAAUGAAGGCGACUGAGAAAUGUGAUGUAUACAGUUUCGGAGUAUUACUACUUGAAGUGGUGAAGGGGAGGCACCCUGCAGAUUUAUUGUCGCUUUUGUCUUCUUCAACUGGCCCAGACAUACCACUGAAUGAUGUUCUAGACCGACGACUUCCACUUCCGCCGGCUGAAGUGGCAAGCAAAGUAAUAUUAAUUGUGAAGGCUGCAUUCCAGUGCUUGUCUACUGAUCCUGUGUGUCGUCCAACCAUGCAACAAAUAGCAAAAGAUUUAUCUACAUGCAAGGAUUAAAGUGCCGUAGUACGAGGGCAUGCCGGUUGUCAUCCGAUAUAGUACGGUACUGCACAGACACGCCUUCAUGCCGACACGUAACAAUGGAUACGUAUGACCUCCUAGUGAUACGUUUCGGCAUAUGUUUUUUUAGUUGUUUUGUUCCCAAUAAACUUUUAUAAUGCUAUUUUGAAAAAUUCAAAAAAAAAAUUUAUAAAUAUUAGCUAUAUAUAGCUUACUGUACUCAGCAAUUAAUAUAGUGGUAGGCUUUUAUAUAUGUAAAGAAAAAUAUGACUAUAGCCCAUAUAGAGUAUAAAAACUAAAAAUCAAUUUACUUUCAAAAUUCUUUUGAUUUUACUCUCUUUUUUUUCAAAACAUAAAAAAUUACCAAAUAAAAAAUUAGAGAAAAUUAUUUUUCCUUCAAUUUUUUCUGGAAUUUGCAAGAUUCAUCCAUAUUGAUUCGACGACAGACUAUUGGUGACUAGAUUAACUAAAAUAGCACUAUAAUUGUUCUAAUAAUUUUUUAAAAAAUUUUUUAUCGUUUAAAAAUAUUUAUUAAAAAUUUGAAGAGAAAAUUUUUUUAUCCAUAAAAAUUAAACAAUAAAUCAUAUGACAAAUAAUUAAGCAAGUUUAAAUAUCAAUUGCUUCAAUUUAGUUUUUUAUUUUAUUAGUCUUUUCUAUCUUCUAAAUCCAAAAAUAGAAUUUUCAAAGUUAAAAAAAAUUUAUUGUAAAUCUUACACCCAAUGCUACAUGUAUCUAAAAUAAUUAAAAAUCGAUCAAGUAGAUCUAUUUUUAUGUUUUUAUAAACUAGAAAUAAAAAUUUACAUAAUUUCAAAUUUCUUCAAAAUAGGAACUUUACAAGUUAGAAAUAUUUAAAAUAUAUGAAAAAAAUUUAAAAUUAUAAAUGUUUUUCCUUACCUAAUAAGUACAUUUUUGAUUUGUUAUUUCUUUACCUUUUCUCUUGAGAUCAAAGUGAUCAAAGUGGAAACAAAGUAGAAACAAAAGGAAUUAAAAGAAGAAAUUAGAAAAAAAAAAUUAUAAUAAGAAAAAGAGGAAAAAAAUAGAAAGAUAAAAAAAAAAGAGGAAGAGAUAUUGCGAAGAAAAGAAAAGAUUGAAAGAGCAAGUUGAGAAAAAUAAGAUAGAAUAGAAUGAGAGAGAGGAUGUGUGUGGGGCAAAAACAAAUCCAAGAGUGGGCCCAAAACCUUUUGAAAAAAAGAUUAAAACUUACAAAUAUUGCUUGCCCUUAUAGGCACGCAGUGGUACUAUGCCGCGAUACCUUUUGGCUUCGUUUGGUUCGGGGUUAAGUAAAGACUAGUUAUUUCAGGAAUAGUGUUAAGUUCAGAGUUAAGAUGGGGUUAGAGUAAUUUUGUGUUUGGUUGAGAAUUGGGUUUAGUCCAGGUGUAAGCAAAAUAGUGUUUGGUUGGAGUAAGUGAAAUAAGAAGAAUAGUGGAUAGUUAUAAAUAGAAAAUAAUGAUAUUGCCCCAAUUAUUAUAUUUGAAUUUAAAUUUAAAAAUUAAAUAAUUAAAAAUAAUAAUUUAAAUUUUAAAAUUUAAAAUUAUUUUUAAAUCGCAAAUUUAAAAAUUUAAAGUUACAAAUAUAAAAUGUCAAAUUUAAAAUUUAAAUAAUUAAAAAUAAUAAUUUAAAAUUCAAAAUUCAAAAUUCAAGAUUCAAAAUUCAAAAUUAAAAUCUAUAUUUUUAAAUCUCCCAAUUUAAAGUUACAAAUAUAAAAUAUCAAAUUUAAAUUUUAAAUAAUUAAAAAUAAUUAAUUAAAAUUAAAAUUUAAAAUUUAAAAAUAUAAAUAUUAAUUUUAAAAUUUUUUUUUUUAAUUUUAACUUAAAAUUAAAAAUUUAAUAUAAAUUUAAAAAUUAAAUAAAGGUGGGAUUAACUUAAUCCCACCUCUAUUCCUAGGGAGGGGUGGGGUUAGCUAACCCUACCCCAAAUGGGGGUGGGGUUAGCUAACCCAGCUAACCUCACCCUCCUAAAUUCUUAUUUUGGGUUAAAGGGGAGGGGGAUAAACCCCUUAUCCCUCCCCCUUUAACCCCGAACCAAACGGUGUGUUUGAGUAUCACGAUAUCUUGCGCGAUACCAAAAGAGUAUUGCGACACAGGGUGUCCAAGAAAGACCCUCCAUGGAUCGUGCCCCUUAAUUGGUGGCACGAUAUGUAUUCCCCCGUGCCGAGCGGCAUGGGGUGAUAUUUUAAACCUUGUCUAUAUGUAAACUUGAACUUGUUUUACAACCUUUGCACACUAUGAAACUAUCUCAUUGAUGUAAAUUAUGAAAAAUAUUUUAGAUGUAUCUAUGUUGUGAGAAUAUUUGUAUAUUUGGCGCUUGAGCAAUAUGUAAAAACACAUAAUUCUUAUCAUCACAAUUGUGCUUUAUAGAUAGAAGAGAUUAACUAAUUAUAAGAAUUGUCGUCUGCAUAGUAGUUAAUUAACAAGUUGUUGGCAUGGAAAUCACAACCCGACAUAAGGAGUGAUCCGGUUCAUUCACCAAAUGACAUCCAUUGAUGAAAGGCAGGAUCUGACUUAGUUUCAUGUGUGGACCGGAGAGGGAACAAUACAGUUGGGUCCAAACGCGAGGGAAGGCCUCAAGGUCUUCACGCACACUAGCCAAAGGCUUAAGACUUCAGCUUUCUGAUUUCGGUCGCCAGUCGAACCCAAAGUUAAAUGAACAGGACCGCUGUACAACAACAAUCCCUAGAAGGAAAGAGUCCAUGGGGUGACGAUGCUUGGUGUGGAGGUGUGUUCGUCGGUGAGUACAAUGGGGCACGGUAAUGGGCGGAAUGGCAGUCAUGGGCUAUCGGUAUCGGGUGAGAUAGUGGCUGAAAGGUGGAAAAUUCUACUAUUAUGACUGCUUAUAUGUUAUCCUGAAGCUAUUCCUACAUUACCUUUUAGCUACUCAUACUAAAAUGCGAGGUAUAGGUUGGUGUUUGAAACGAUGUUUUGAUCCUCCAUCUUGUAGGCAUUCAUUUCCUUUUAUAGGCACAGUCACUAUCACCAAAUAACUCCCACAAUUUGUCGCUCUUCUUUCUUCAAUUGUUUCCCAACUUCUUGUCCUUAAAUCGCCCCCCUUUGAAUUUUGAACAGUUCAAUUCAAAUGGGCUUGCCUUUUACUCAUUGAAGUGGGUAUGUUCAGGCAUGAUACUGAAAUCAAGACCCAGGUGGGUUUCGACAUAGCUGAAGCCUAGGAUUUCACUAAAAUCUCCUUUGGGGCCUCCUAUAUUCGAUGCUUAUUUUUGGAGUCAACAAUUGCCCCUUCCGACGGUUACGUGUUCAGUGACAAGGAACCAUCGAAUUGCCUAUUGCCAUUGCUUUAGAUUUCGCUUCUAUCGAUGUGACGUGCAGCGUCCAAUACCUUGGGUUUUCGUCUGCGCCUUAAAUUUACUUUCAUCACUAUGUUCAUAUUUGGGUGUCGCGUCAUAGGGCACAUGGCCGUCCAUUAUAAGAGAAUUGGCAUAAUACCUAUACUUUGCAUGGUUUUCUUUGUCAAAACCCUAAUUUUUCUUCAUCGAAGAAACCUAAUUCUUCAUCUUUCUCGGCCGUAUCAUUCUUCCCUUUUGUGCUUCUUCUGCUCUCAUGGCUUCCUCUUCUACAUCUACUCCUACAAGCGAUGUGCUUCUUGAUGACCCUAUUGUCAAUUUCUAGACUCUUUGCAUGCUUCCUAAUUCAAACUCCUAUUUCAUUCUUGGCCCUUGUAUCACAUCACCAUCAUUUCCAGACUACUUCGAUCCUUCUUGUAGUUUGGAAUCCACCAUUGCUUCUAUGGCUGGCCCCAUCAAUAUCUUCUCUCGGGGCCUUUAUAGUAGUGUUAUCUAGUUAUGGCCUUCCUCUUCUAAAGAUUUUAUUUGGUGGGCAACUCGAGUCGAAACACGGAGUGAAUUUUGCAAAGACAUUGGCAUCUAUGACACCAUUCGGUUAUCCAAGAUAGCCAUGAAACCUGUCACGUCUCGGGACUGGCGGAGGCUCUCCCGGUAACGCGCCCAGACCCGCCAUAUGUCUACACAUAUAAGGCGUCUACAAUAAAAGCGGAAGUAAAAUAAAUAGAGUGAAAAGCAACUAAUGAUAUCAGAGCUAGUAAAGUUCUAUCAUCAAUAACCAGAGUAAAAAGAAAUAUAGCUAAACCAUAAAAGCAAAUAUAAAUAGUACAAAAUCUGUCUCAAAGGUACACAGAAGGGUGGUCUCUAGUACACUGGUACAGCUCUCAACCUCUCCAAAAAGAAAUACAUCGAGGGGUAGACCACCUAAACUCGUCUCUCGCUGAAGGGCUAACUCGGAGCAACGCCCUUCCCACGGUCCCUAGCCUCUCCCAGCGUGGAAGGCUCUGAAAGAAAAACAUAAAACAGAGGGCGUGAAAACUACUGACCUCAGCUCAAUGCACCACUAGGCCCCAAAAGGAAAGGGUAAGUCGGAAGCAAUAGUAAUAACGAGUAAUUGCAUUUAUGAAAGCAUAAUGAAAAUGCUAAACUAUUACUUGCAAUUAAACAUGGCAUUUAUGUAAUGCACAAUUAUCUUGUCAUGAAGGAUACGUCUCUACUUAGCCAUAAAUAAUGUCAUGGUUUGCUUAAUGAAAUUAUGAGAAUUAUCCUUUAUCAUAGCNCCAAAAUUGCAUCAGCCCGGUCUGGGCAAUUUUCGCCCAGAGAGACCGGUCUCUCCCCAGCAGGGACCAACGUUCGGGAACCGGUCUCUCCCCGCGCGGAACCGGUCUCUCACUGCGAGAAUGCGCUCGGGGACCGGUCUCGCCCGCCAGGGACCGGUUGCCUCAGGGCUGCCGCAACACUGCUCACUGGGGAACCGGUCUCUCCUCUCAGGGACCGGUCCCCGAGAGUGAAAACUCUCAGGACUCAUCCAGAACUCAGGUUUUCGAACUUCUUAGGUCGGAAAACAUUCUACGACCCUCCACCAAGUGUGGAAAAAUUCGAAACACAUCCAAUCACUCGAACCUCGCAAUUUGCAAAGGUCCAGUGUGUCACAAAACCCAACCACCAUCUUCUUGCUUCUUCUCUUUUCUUUUGGUCUACUUCUGCAAACACUUUCUUUUUCUAGUCAAGAGUUAUUACUUUGAUGCUCUUCGACCUGGAGAUCAUUACUGGCCUUCAACCUUAAGGACUGGCCAUCCACACCUAUUUAAAAAUUAACACAGCUCGCUUCCUAACCCGGCUCAGUGCUCUGCCCUUUUCCUUCCCUACUUUGACACAAAAAAGGUGGGAAAAUAAUCCGCUACUAUUUCUAUGCAAUUUAACCUAUCUGCUUAGAAACAUUAUCUAGUAAAAGUUACCAAAAAUUAUUCAAGUUUUUUUGAAGACCAGGCAAUUGGCCCUUAAUUAAUACCUUAAUUUAGCCGCAGAACCUGAUAUCUUUUGUCAAUUACAGCAAACAGCUAGCUAACCAGGUCAGCAAAUUAAGGAUUAUUGCAAGUAAACAUGUCCCAAAAGACCUAAUAACAUUUUUGUUAAAAUUCCAAAAAAGCACUAUUUGCAUCUAUCACUCCGGAUGCACGUCUAUAUUACAAGUAUCUAGUCAAUGUUCCAAAAAAUCACAAACAUAUGCAGGUGUCCAGUUCACUAUGUAAGCAGCUAUAUAUGCACGAUCCUAUCCGUGUACAUACAACAAAAAUAUUUUCUCAUACAGUACAAGAAUGUAAAUGUAAAAGAGCAAUACGUUCACUAAAUAGAGUAGAAAAUUACUUUAACCGUCUAUAUUUGUAACAUAGUAGAAGUCACACAUGUUUUCCAUGAAGCAAGUACAAGAAAUAAUCAGGAUAUUAGAUUAUACUUAUAAACAAGCCUGAAAAUAUUUUGCAGAUAGAAUGUGAAAUCAAGAAUUCAAUUAGCUAAACAUCUAUACAUGUUUAAUCCAACUUUAUCUAUCAAAAAUGUGUAGCUUCAUCGUGCACCCGUACCUCACACACCUAACUCCAACAUGCUUGUAUUAUCCUCACAGUUGGUUCAAAAGAGUGUGGAGAUCAAAUUUGGCUGUUGGCCUACUAUAUAUGAGGGGAAUAACCUCUUUAUUCUCAUUCUUCCCUUUUGGACUAGCAAAGGGGCUAGCACCCUUCGCUAGUCCAAAAUCAUUUUUCAGAAAAUUUGCAAAUAAAAGAACUUUUUCAAAAUGAAACCACAUCGAAUAUUCAUAAUCUAGUGCAUUACAAAGAUGUCACUAAUAACUAAGGACAUCAAAGUCUAGAACUAACAUAGUUUGUCACUAAUGUUUUUCCAUAGCUAGCACACAAAAUAAAAUAAUAAACCUCACAAAAUAAAAUUAUCUUACCUACGGUAUCAGGAGGCGAUGAUGGUAAAUCACUCCAUUGAAGAAUAAUUCAGCUUUAACAUCAUCCCUUGUCUUAAGUAUCAUAUUGUUACAUCUAGUGCAAGGACAACGAAUUCUCCUUACAUCCCCCAAUCUCCGAAAAGCAUAGUCUAAGAACUCCUCAACACCUUUCUCAAAUUCAGGAAGAGUUCUAUCUUGAAAAAAUAUCCAGCUUUUGUCUAUCCUCAUUGUCGUGUAUCAGUAAAAGUUACUGAAAAUUAUUAGACAAAAAUUGUUAGAGAUUUCUUUUCUCAAACUACAAUAAUGAUUCAAACAACUGUAAAACUAAACCAGAAAACCCUUAUAACUCAAUAGUAAAUCAAGUAACUUGAGAAACCAGAAAACCCUUUGUGACCUAGAACUCUCCCUCUCUCUCUCUAAGCCCUUCCUCUCUCUCUAGAAGAUGGGAAAAGAGGAGUUGGAGGAGAAGCAAGCUAGGAGAAGAUUCUUCAUCAUCUUCUUCUUCCUCUUCGCCAUUGGAAUUAGCUUUUGGAGGCAAGCUUGAAGCUCAACCAUGGUAGAUUUCUAGGGUUUAGAUCUUUAAGCUCUACAAUGGUUUAAAUGGAACUCUAGCAUGCUAAAUAUAUGCUUUAUGCAUGAGUUUGGAGAUUUAGAGAUGGAAUCUUGCAUGAUUGCAAGUUAGGGCUCCAAAGUGGGGUUUUGCCUUGUAGUAGGGUUUGAUCUAAAUUGAUCAUGCAUAAACCUAAUUGAUAGGCUUUCUGACGCUAGGCGAAGUCGGUUCGGCAGUCCGUCGAGCUGGUGCAAAGUUAUCGGCAAAAAGGACCUUCCGAGCUUCGUUUCAACGUCGUAAAAUUGCCGAAUCGCAUUCCUAGAGUCGUGACAACGCCAAGAGUGGGUGGUGUCAUCCCGAAGCAACCGGACUACUCUUUAUGUCUUAGUGCAUUGUAAUCUUGCAUCUCUUACAUAUAUGCAUUGUAGGAUAAAUGUGCAUUUCCAUUUCCUUAUGCUUUCCUAGAUGAUAUCAGAGUGUGAGUUGAAUGCUUGAUAUAGUGAAUAGAUGAGGAUUGGGUCGAGACAUUGAAUCAUAUAGUGUUGAGAUAAGAGAUGGACUUGAUGGUUGAUAAAGACAUAACGAGUGGCAUGUAAAUAACAAUGACAACAGAAUGAGUGGCAUACAACUUAGUAUAGAGUGACACUUGGCAUGCGAACUUAGGAUAGGCGGAUUCCCUAGUGAUGAGUCAUUGAACAAAAACUUAGUGUAGUUAAACACUUGCAUUGAACAUUGGGAUAGGUGGAUUCCCGAGUGACUAUUAGCCCUAGUGGAUAGAGUAUCCUUGAGAUAAGAGGAUUGGAUCAAACUCACAUGUCUGUUCAGAGCUUGUGGUGGUCGCUUCACACAAGCGUGCGCUCCGGAGUUUGUCACACGAGGGAUAGCCUUAUGGGGUCCCGAGGGAUAGCCUUAUAGGGUCCCGCAGACGGUCUCGGGUACGUUGAGCGAGUUGAGUCUCCUUACCUACGAGAUAGCUAUGUGAGUCGUGGGCGAACCUUCAGGUAAGCCAAGAGAUUGGAAGAACGAGAGAAUGGCAUUACUUCUUGGACAUAGUAGCAUAUUAGCUGAUUACCUAUCACAUUGUACAUGCAGACAUUGUAUAUGAUUUGGGCAUAGUAGUGUAGCUUUCUCACUAUGUCAUUACUGCUUUCACAUAUCUAUCUACCUAUCUAUCUGCUUGUGCCCACUUGGACCUAGUGGGGAGACCGGCGGAGUCAGCGGCCAAACCCACUGGGAACUAUGGACAAUAGUUCUAACCCCACUGUGUUGCAGGGCCGAGUACGAGUGCUCCGGGCGAGGAUCGUGGUAAGGGCGUAGCGCCUUAGUAGUAAAGCUUUCCUAUUGCAUUAGUAGCACUCUUUGUACAUAAGUGUAGAUGAUGUAUAGGAUGUGAGGUGCAUUUGGAGAGUUGUGGAUGUACUUGCAUUUAUGUUUUGGAAGAUAUAAAUGUAAUCGAUUGUAUAAAUGAAGUGAAUGUGAUGUAAUAGUUUAGAAUUCUCGCACUUGUAUGUGUACUUGUGUUACUUGUUCUUAUGGUAAAGCACUGGUGGUGCUUCUCUCCUUGUUAGAUUGGAUCAUGUAUGUAUUGAAUUGUUCCUGGGCGAAUUCUUGUACAUGAUCUCGUGGUUGAGCCUUGGGCGGACAGUAGAGGUGCUGUCCGUUCGGCCUCUGUUCGACGUGCCCGAACCGGACCAAAUUGGUAGCGGUCUCGGGGCGUGACACACACACACUUGCAUUAACUCUAUAGUACUAUAUCUUAAAAACAAAAUUUAAAGAAGCAUACACACACACAAGGAUAUAUAUGUAUGUAUUAACGGGCAUGGAAUGUAUAUAUAUAUAUAUAUAUAACACACACACACAUGUAUAAAGUGCGUCUGGUAUGCUUCUGGAAGCACGGAGCGCCCGUGCUUCAAGUUGUUUUCGAUAUUGGGACUUUUGAAUCGACGAUCUGUAAUAUCCGAGACUUUUAUCAAUAAAGGGAUUUUGAAAUUGAAUUUUGAAUUCAAAUAGAUAUAUAUAUAUAUAUGUGUGUGUUGUGUUGUGUGUAUAUAUAUAUAUAUAUAUAUAUAUAUAUAUAUAUAUAUAUAUGUGUGUGUGUGUAUAUAUGUGAUUAUAUGUUGGUGGAUUCGUGGAGGCGAUUGGUUUCGUCGCACAUCGGCCGACCAAAUCGGACGAAACGAAAUAGUAGAUUCGAUGCCCCAGUCGUGCUGAACACGCUGGCGUGAUCUGAUCGAAAAUACGACAGACGGAUCUCCGAGAAUCGCAAAAUGUUCGCUGAGGGGUCAAAAUUGGCAAAACGGAAAAUCUGAGAAAAACCUAAUAUUUUAUGAGCCGUUUUGCGUGAAUUCGAACGUCGAGGGGCUUGUGUGCAUAAUACACAUUCUGGCAGGGACUUGCUAAAAAUAUUUGAUUCUGGGGGGACCUUUCUGCAAAAACAUACUUUGUAUAUAAUGUGCAUUAGGGUUUCAUUACACAAAACCCUAGGCCUAGCCAUCUCUCUCCCCCAGCUAACCCUAGCCAACCUCAGCUCCUCCCUGCCCUACUAGUGCGCACACCCCGGCCGCCGGCGAGCACCCUCGGCCACCGGAAAAGCCACCCUGACCUCUCUCCCAGCUUCUCCCUCCGUCGUGUCUCCACCACCUCGAUCGUGAACCUCAGGAAAGCACCCCCUCGGGUCGAGCCUGCGUUCUCUGGCCGAGACUUCCCCUCUGGCAUUAUCCCCACCGGCCCCCGCCGUCCGCGCGCGCCACCGGUGCCGCUAGGACUCCCUGCGGCCGCCCAAACCUAGAGCAGGCCGAGCCGAGAUCACCCUGGCCUCCGCACAUUGCCUCUGCCUCUUAUCGGCCGCGCCGCCCUCCGACAACCUCCGGCAACCCUCCGCUCGCCGUCCCGUCGUCCCGGAGCGCCGCCGGCCACCGCGAGUGCCCGCGACCGCCCAGUUCCAGUGCGAAACGAACAGGAGCAGUCUUGACCUCCGCGCGCCGCUGCUACCCAGCGUGGGGUGCACCGCCCUCCCUCGGCCUCCAGUGACGUGCCGCCGUCACCCCGGUGCUCCUCCGGCCACCGCUUGGCCGCCGCGGCCUCCCUGAACCGAACUGAGGCUGUGCGUGCUCGUGCUUUGCCGCCGCGCCACCGGUCGCCUCCUGCCGCCGGCCAAUGCGAGCCCCGGCCCCCACUGACCGGCCGCACCCGCCUCGGACCGGCCCGCCCGCCGUCCGGCCGCCCCGUGCCCUACCUUGCUCCGGUAAGGCUUGUAUUAGUUUCUAUGCACUGUUUUGGCGUUCCGAUCGCCUUUUCGGCGAUCCGAAGAUACCCCGAUGCUUCAGGAAGUGAGCACGAUGAUCCUUGUUUCGUGCCGAACAUCGUGCUCACCUCCAUUGGGUCAGCGAUGCCCCGGUUGCGUGAUAGAAGUGAUUUAUUUGCUGUGCGUGCUGUUUCGCUGAUGUUCUCGUCGCUCGCGCGCUCGCCACAGUGGCCGGCAGUGCUCCGAAGUGUGAGCACGGCCUGCGGCACGCCGAGACCUGUCAGCGGGUGUCUCGGCAUCAUUCAGCUUGCGCUGUCGGGCCAUAAAACCCCGGAAAUCACAUGAAAUAAUGUGAUUUUAUGUAAUCGGGAGGGUUUUUAUGCAAUUGUGCUUGUUGUGGUUGCUGUUGGCAGCGUGUGCGGGCAGUGGGUGACCUCUAGACUGGUUGUCCAAGGCCCCAAGCCUUUUCGGAAAUCAAAUGUUGAUUUCCGGUGCGUUUUUCGGCGAAAUCCACCAACGGAACGCGUUUUCGGUUCGAAAUUCUUCCGCCUGUGCCUUGUGAUAUUUUGUGUCGUCGCUGAGCCUUGUUGGCUGGUCACCCACGUCAUUUCGAGAGUCUGAAACGACGGGUGAGAGACGGUGGGUUCCGGUGUUGAAUUGGACACUUCCGGGAACCCGGAUCGAAACGAUUAUCCAACGAUAAUCGUUUCGAUGUGAGAUAGUGUAAUUGCUGCCAAGUCACACUAAUAUAUGUGUUUAGUGGCAGCGGGUGACUCGUAACACGAGUCGGUGAGUUCCAGGAUAGUUUGUGUAACACACUGGACCUUUGCAAAUUGCGAGGUUCGAGUGUNACCGCGGGAAGGGAGUUGCUUCGAGCUAGCUUCCUUUGAGGACGAUUCGCUAGGUGGUCUACCUCUCGUUGUGUUUUAUUUUGGAGAGGUUGAGAGUUCUACCAGUGUAUUAGAGACCACCGUUUUUGUACUUUUGAGACAGAUAUUGUACUACUUGUGAUUUCUUUAUUGUCUAGCUUUACUUGCUCUGAUAUCAUUAGUUGCUAGUUAUUUCACCUCGUCAUUUGUUCUAUUCUUGCUUUUACUUCCGCUUUUAUUGUAGACGCCUUAUAUGUGUAGACAUAUGGCGGGUCUGGGCACGCCACCGGGAGGGCCUCCGCCGGUCCCGGGGCGUGACAGUUUGUGGGUCCCGGCGGAGUCCCAGUGCGGUUUUCGGGACUUCCAGCGUAUUACGGCAAUCGGUUUUGGGAAGCCAAUUCCCGUAGGGUUAUUGGUGGGGUUUGUGAGUUAGUGGUACAUGUUGGUGGGUUGGAUUCUAACCUACUGGACCCUUCAUAGGUCCGAUUGUUUCGUCUCCGCAGUCGAGAGACCAAUGCCAGAUACGUACAGGUGGAUACUUCGAUCCGAAGUCGGUACAGUGGUGCACGCUCGGUAAUAUCUUCUGACCUUUGUUCUCCCGUUACUAUUCUACAUGCAUAAAUUAUAUAUUGAGCCUAGCACCUAUACCAUGUUUUCUUGUUGCUCUACUUAGCUAUUUUACAUAUCCUAUAUCAUGUUUAGAGUAGAGCAGUUUCGUGAUUAUUUGUGAUAUCUGUGACCUGGUUAGUUGGCUCCCAUAUCUCGUAUCGUGACCUACGUAGUCAAUUGGACUAUUUGACGACCUAUACGGUCAGUGUGCCCUGAGGGGCAAGAUUGUCGGCUAGUUGCCGAUGAUUGGCUAUUGAGCAUUCAGCAUAAAUCGCCACUACUCGUACGCAUUUCACGAACACCAGCAGUCUGAUCCACUGCAAAAGGACGUUCUUUUCCGGAAAAGUGGUUGGAUAUGCCAGCCCACGAGCCCAGCGGUCAGAACUAGGUUAUAUGCAGCCCGUGAGCCCAGCGGUCAGAACUGGGUUAUAUACAGGUAGAGUGCCAGUGGCAUAGGCCUGAUGUGUUGCGGACCAAUAUGGCUAUUUCAGAUUGGGUAUUUUUGGACUUGUCGUCCGGUUGAUGCAUACAUACAGUAGCGAUAGUUGUUCAUUUAUACAUCAUGUUCAUUUAUUAUCGUUGCUACUGUAUUACACUUACCCAUACCUUCGUUUAGCCUCCUUGACUAGUGAGUACCCCUCGCCCUCGUCGGCUUGCGGUACCCACUGGGAGGGGAGAUAUGUUUACAUGUUCUCACCCCCACCCCCAUUACAAGUGACGUCGCGGGUCCUAGUGGGACGGUUCGCAAGGAGCGAGUCUAGCGAUCGAUAGUGCCACCGUCCCGUUGUUGGUUAAUUCUCUAAUCUAGCUUCUUUAAAUAAAUUACUUAGACAAUUUAUUUGGUUCAGUUGCUAUUACUUUGAAUUUAUCUGGUUUUAUGAAUGUAAUAAUGGAAUUGGGAUUUGUGGAAUGAAAAUAGUUUUCUACCCCUCGUGGUAGCAAGUUUUUAAAGAAAAAGGUUUUCGUGUAGGAAACAAUUUUAAAAAGAUUUUCUCGUGGUUUUCAUCACUUAGUAUUUCAAAACAAGUUAAACUAAUAGCUGUGGAUUUAUGAAUAACUCUAGUUAUAGAUGUGAUUGUGAAUGGUGUGUGAUUAUGUGAAUGUAUAUAUGUGUGGUUGUAUCCUGUUUGGCAAAUAUUGUAUUUUGUACUUGUGCGACGCCGUGCAAAUACAGGAAAAACUCUGUCCACGUGAACAGUAGACUCCAUAUAUUUGUGGCGAAUCUGACAUACCCAGGGGGUCAGGUUUUCAAAAAAAAAAAAAAUUGGGCACUUCCGCUUUGUUUCUAAACCAAAAUAGGACCCCGGGGCGUGACACAAUCAGCUCCGUUAGACUUGAUCUAGAGUAUUUUAAAUAUCUAGAAAAUAAAUUUUGUGAUUUUUUGAUAUCAUUUGCCUACUGAUUGAAAUGGCUCAAAAUCAACGGCUGGAAAUAAAAAUCUUACAAAAUAUGAUGAUAUGACAUUAAAAUUUUAGAUAAAAAAUAUUGAUAUUGUUUUAUAUAGUAUAAAGAAUUUUCUAUCAAAAUUUCACGUGAUUUGGAUAUUUCUACACCGUUAAACUUGCAAACGGCUCACCACGACCAUUAAAAUUAUUGAUUUUGAGCGACCUCGAUCACUAGGCAAAUGAUAUCGAAAAAUCACAGAAUUUAUUUUCUAGGUAUUUCAAAUACUCUAGAUCAAGUUUAAUGGAGUCGAUCGUCGAUUCGAAAAUCCCAAAAUCGAAACCAACUUGGAAGCUAUAACGGGUUCUAAGUGUUUUAGAACCUUGGUAUAGUGAAAAAGGGACCUAAAGAGCAAAAUCUGAAAUUUUGGCUAAGUCCUAAGAUUUGUGCUCUCGGGGUCCGGUCCCUAAAGGAGAGACCGGUCCCCGUACGAGCAGCCAGUGAGAAGAGGAAAAAAUCAGCUAAGUCCUAAGAGCUGUGCUCUCGGGGACCGGUCCCUGCGGGGAGAGCCAGGUCCCGGUAGGCAAAAGUUAAGAGUUGCGCUCUCGGGGAUCGGUCCCUGCGGGAAGAGACCGGUCCCCGUAAGCGAAAAUUGCCCAGCAGCUGAGUCUUGAGAGUUUUGCUCUCGGGGAUCGAUCCCUGUGUGGAGAGACUGGUCCCCGUGAGACCGGUCCCUGGUGGAGAGACCGGUCCCCGCAUGCGAAAAUGGCCCAGUCUAGGCUGCUAUGAAUAGGUGAAAUGUGAGGGGCUUAUGUGCAUUUGUCACAUGAGAUGGAUGUAUAUAUGAGGGGGGGCUUGGGUCUAGGGCUCAUUUACCCUCUCAACCACCAACACCUUUCCCUCUCUCUCUCUAAAAAUCCUCUUUCUCUCUCUCCUUCUCUCUAGAGCUUGGAGCAAAGGGAGGGUUUGGAGGAGCAAGCUUGGAGAAGAAGCUCUCCAAGGUGAAGGCAAGCUUGAGCAAGGGUUUUUGGAGGAAAGCUUUGGACUCUAAAGAUCAGUUCUAGGGUUUUGAGCUAGAGUUUGAGUUCAGCUUUCUUCUAGCAUGCUUCUAGGAGUUGAAUGGUGGUUUUUCCCCAUGAUCUCAUGGCUAGGGACCUAGUUUGGGGAAGAUGACAUUGUUGAGGGACCUAACUUUAGGGUUUUGGAAUUAUGAGGUCUAAGCUUGGGAUUGAUCUCAUUCUAACCUAAUUGGUAGGUCAACAAACGCGUUGGUGCGUUCGGUUCGGCGAUACAAAGAGCGUACGCGAAGAAAUCAAGGAAAAAGGCCCGUUUCGGCUCCGUUUCGCCGUAGCAAGCGGCAUAGAGGUCUAAAAAUCACAAAAAUUGGAUUACGGCGUCUUAGCAUCACCAAAAGGUGGGGGGUGCUAUCCGAAAACACCGAAUCACUCUCUAUGUCUAUGUCACUUUAUUUGAGCAUAUUGAUAUUGUAGCAUUCUUGCAUAUAGGGUAGUGUGGAUAUGUUCUUGGUUGAAAUGCAUGUAGAUGCUUAAAGAUUAUGUGAAAGGACAGUGAACCAUGUGAACAAUGAAUGUGAAAACCCUAUGUGCAUGUGAAUGUAUGAAAAGACUAUGACAAUAGUAAACAAACGUGACAUUGACUAUAGUUACUCGAUUGGCAUUGAUAAGAGAUCGGCUAAACAAGGUUGGUGGUUGAGCCAUGUGCCUCCCCCGGUAGAUGGGAUGUGUGGAAUGUGAGCUUGAGGUGACUUAGGAUUACCCCGAGAUGAUUGGGUAAAAGCUAUGGAAAAUGAGAAAGGACAUGCAUGCAUAAAUAUCAUGUCCUUGAUUAUCUAUCUAUCCGCUGACAUCUUUCUUGCAGGCAUUGUAUUAGUUGUGCAUUAGUUGGUUUGUUAUUUACCAUUUUUUAAAUACAUAUGCCUGAAUAGACCUAAUGGGCGAGUCGGCGCGGUAGGCGGCCGAACCCAGUGGGAACUUCGUUGUAGUUCUCACACCACCACCAAUCCUGCAGAUCCGUGCGCGAGCGGGGCGGCGAAGGAUCGAGGCAAGGGUAUCGUGCCAUAGAUAGCAGCCUCGGAGUUUUGUAGGCAAACCCUUUUGGAUAUUCAACUUUUAUAUGUUGAAUUAUAAAUGAUGUAAAGAAAAAAAUGUAAGUCCUAUAUUUUGGGUUAAAGGACAAUGUGAUGUAAUUGUGAAUGGAAAGAAUAAAUGUAAAAGAAUAGUUUACUUGUGUUUGAUUCAAAUGUAAUCAAAUGACAUGUGUUUAAUGGUUUAGUGUAAUAGCAUAGAUGCUUUCGCUUAUGAUUUGGUUGUUGUUUGCCCUCGUGCAAACCUUGUAUAAUUGCAUUCAUCUUGUAUUGAAUUACUUGUAUUAUACAUGUUGUUGAGCCUUGGGCAGAUAGGGGAGGUGCUGUCCGUUCAGCAUCUGUUUACGUGCUCGAAUCCGACCAAAUUGCCGGCUCCGGCACUACAACAGAAUUAGGUUAUAGGGACACAUAUUUGGGACACUUUUGAAUAAGUAUCCCAUUUAUCCUAAAACUUAAAAAAAUAUCUACUAAUGCCUAAAUAUAAAGCCCAAUCCAACCAAAAAUAAAAGAUUACUUUACUCAACCCACCACACCGAGUCCAUUUUACCCGAUUACANUAGUAACCCGACUACAAUGAGAGCCCCUGGCCAGAAACGUCCACUCUCUGGCCAAGGGGACCGACCCGCAUCGCCCCAACGCACUACGUUGGCCAGGGACCGUCCCUCCCUGGCCAAGAGCUUGCACCAGGGUCGCUCUAAACGACUUUUAACCGAUUCAGGACUUUUAGCUCGAGAGUCCCUGGCCAGAGAGUCCGCUUCUGGCCAGAGGUCCCCUGGUCAGAGGGCCCCUCUCUGGCCAAGGGCUUGCGCACGCGGGCUCCCUUCGUGAGCGCCUCGCCAGGGUUCAGCCCCUCUGGCCAGGGAGGCGCGCUUUUGACGGGUCAUUCCCGUCACGUGUCCCCACUUUCAACUCCCCGAAAAUGCGUUUUAUCGGAAAUAAACUCACCCGACUCGGGAGAGAGAGGGAGUGUGAGAGAGUAAAGUGAGAGGGAGUGAGAGUAAAUAGCGAACGAGAGAGAGAGAUCUUUCCUUUCUUCCUCUUCUUCUUGUUCUUCCUCUCCUUCCUUUUCUUCUCCUUCUAUUCCUUCCUCUUCUUCUUCCUCUAGUUCUCCUUCCGAAACUCGUGGAGGUAGAGGGAGAGGAGAAGGGUAACCACAUCGAGUUCUCCAUUCGAUGUUUGGGAUCGAGAAUCUUGAAUCCCAAAAACCCAAAAUACGAAACCUUACCCAGUUUACUUAGGAUUCGAUCGAAGAUUUAUCUAGUUAGGGUUCUUAGAUCCCUAAAUAACCCACCAAACGAUAUCCACGUUUGGAUCCCGAGGUUUUACCCCAAAAACAUUUUCAUACUCCAACUUGAGUAAACUUCGGAACCUUUGGGAUAACUAUCAAGGGUUUUGCGCCCCCGCUUCAGCCAAAGCCGUAAGCCGCUUGGUUGCAAUUCAAGAGCCGUGUUAACCCGGCCCAAUCACAGCUAAGCCCGCUCCUUCCGAUUUCGGAAAAGCAUCUCGAGCGGCUCUUCCUAAAAGGUUCGGAGAUGUAGCUGAUUUCCACCCCCCACAGUAGGCUUUGAAAGCUUGAGGAAAGAUACAGAAUCUAACGUAAAUUAGAACAGACGGGGUGCUUACUGCGUGGAGCGUGCCAGCUACCUAAAAGCCCGGCACUCCACCAUAAGUACUAAGUCUACUCAUAAAUAUACAUACACCCAUAGUCCAAAACGCCCAGGUACCGAAGGUUAUCUACGUUCGUAGAUAACAAUUAAUGGGGGACAUCUAACCCCAUGGAAGCUAAUCCUCUGGAAAUAUCUACCCUACUCUACCUAACGCAGAGCCAAAUAACUUAGGAUUCAUAUACAUAAUCCUAAGUCAACCUAAACUCCAACUAAUCCGGGAUUCAUAUACACAAUUCUGGACUAGCUAUAAUUUGAGAUACAUAAUCUCAGAUUAACCAAGUACUCUAUACCCAUACUCUAGACCCAUAACCAAGUACCCAAAACCCAUAACCAAAUACUCUAAACCCAUAACCAAGUACCCGAUACCCAUAACCAAAUACUCUAAACUUCUACUAAACCAAGUACCCUAAACCAGAUACCCUAAACCAAGUACUCCAAAUCAAAACCAAGUACCCUAAACCAGGUACUCUAAACCAACCAAGUACCCUAAACCAGGUACUCCAAACCAAAUCUAAGUACCCUAAACCAUAUACUCUAAACCAAAACCAAGUACCCUAAACCAGGUACUUGAACCAAAACCGAGUACCCUAAAUCAGGUACUCUAAACCAAAACCAAGUACCCUAAACCAGGUACUUGAACCAAAACCGAGUACCCUAAACCAGGUACUCCAAACCAAAACCAAGUACCCUAAACCAGGUACUCCAAACCAAAACCAAGUACCCUAAACCAGGUACUUGAACCAAAACCGAAUACCCUAAACAAGGUACUCCAAACCAAAACAUACACCUGAACCAAACCAAACCCAAACCUAAACUAAGACCUUACCCAAGCCCCAAGAAAUACACCUGAACCAAACCAAAGCCAAAUAAAACCAAAACCCAACCUACAAAUAAACCUGAACCAAACCAAUCCAAACCCGGCAAACCGAAACAUGCACCUGAACCAAACCAAACCCAAAUAAACCCAAAACCCAAAACAAACCCAAACUUGAACUGAACUAAAUCCAAACCUAAAUAAACCCAAAACCCAAAACAAACCCAAACUUGAACUGAACUAAAUCCAAACCCAAAUAAACCCAAGUUCAAACCCAAAUAAACACCCAAAUAAACACCUGAUCCAAACCAAACCCAAACCUAAAUAAACCCAAGCUCAAACCCAAGGAUACACUUGAACUAAAAGAAAAAUUAAGAUAAAGCCCAAGCUCCAUCAGGAGAAAACGUUGAACUAAGCCUAGGCUUCUUUAGGGAAAAACUAAAACCAAACUAAACCCCAGGCUUCUUUAGGGGAAAAAUAGAGCUAAACCCAAACCCCAGGCUUAUUUAGGGGCAAAACUAAAAAAUUAAACCUAAACUAAAAAGUUAAACUAAACCCCAGGCUUCUUUAGGGGCAAACUAGAACUAAACUACACCCCAGGCUUCUUUAGGGGCAAACUAGAACUAAACUACACCCCAGGCUUCUUUAGGGGCAAACUAGAACUAAACCCCAGGUUUCUUUAAGGGCAAACGAGAACUAAACCCCAGGCUUCUUUAGGGGCAAACCAAGACUAAACCCCAGGCUUCUUUAAGGGCAAAACUAAGGUUAAACCCCAGGCUUCUUUAAGGGCAAAAUUAAAACUAAACCCCAGGCUUCUUUGCCCCUUAGUUUCUAAAGGGAGGGGAGAAGAACGCUCCGACGUCUACUGCAGCUGCUUCAACUACUGUCACCACACCUAGGCAAGCCGGUAGCCUAAACUAAACUGUAAAAGCUUCUUUACAACUUCCCAGGCUUCUUUGUCCCUUAGUUUCUAAGGGGAGGGGAGAAGAAAGCUUUCAUAGUUUGGCAGCCACAACAUCUACUACAGCUACUUCAACUACUACCAUCACGCCUAAACAAACCGGCAGCUUAAACUAAACUGUAAAAACUUCUUUACAACUUCCCAGGCUUCUUUGCCUCUUAGUUUCUAAGGGGAGGGAAGAAGAAAGCUUUCAUAGUUUGGCCGCUAUGACAUCUACAGCAGCCACUUCAACUACUGCCACCAUGCCUAGACUAACCGGCAGCCUAAACUAAACUGUAAAAGCUUCUUUAUAACUUCCCAGGCUUCUUUGCCCCUUAAUUACUAAGGGGAGGGGUGAAGAAAGCUUUCAUAGUUUGGCCGCUACGACCCCACCAGCGCCGUUACAUCUAGUGGGUAAGGUAGUAGUUGUUGAAGCUUACCCCAUAACUCUCCAGGCUUCUUUGCCCUUCGGUAACCGAGGGGAGGUAAGAGGGUAGCUUCAGUAGUUCUGCUAUACCUACUGAUGCCAUCGUCCUGGUUUUUUUCUUUUUUUUCCUUCCCCCCUUCUUCUCUUAAAAGAAAACACAAAAUAAUAACAAAAUAAAAGAAAGAAAGAAAGAAAGAAAGAAAGAAGAAAAAAAUGAUGGACAACUACCUAACCUACUUCGCCGAGUUGCUAGAGAGGAAGAAAGGCGCCGAGCCGCUAGAUAGGAGGAAAGUCGCCGAGCUGACUAGAGAAGAGGAAAGACGCUGAGCCGAUAGAAAGGAGGAAAGGCGCCGAGCCGCUAGAGAGGAGGAAAGGCGUCGAGCUCACUAUAGAGGAGGAAAGGCGCCGAGCCGCUAGAAAGGAGGAAACUUAUAAAACAUACACCCUUACACACAUCGUUAGAUAGAAAAAAAAAAACAUUUUAGCAUAGCAGAGGCAUUUUUUUUUAAGAAGUCUUAAACUAAAGCCAAGGGCAUAAAUAUUACCCUCCCCUCCUCAAUCAAUCCUUAAGUUUUAAGCUUUAAGCUUAAAACUUAAUAAACAAUCUACCAACCUCCUAUAAACCCCUCACCAACCCUUAACUUAAAACUUACUCAACAACCUAUCAACCUUCUAUAAAACCUUCAACCAACCUCCAAGCUUUAAGCUUUAAGCUUAAAACUUACUUAAUAACCUCCUAUAGAACCUCAACCAACCCUUAAGUUUUUAGCUUAAAGCUUACCUAAUAACCUACUACAAAACCCUUAACCAAUCCCUUAAGCUUUAAGCUUUAGUUUAAAACUUACUCAACAACCUUCUACAAAACCCUUAAUCAACCCUUAAGCUUUAAGCUUUAGCUUAAAGCUUACCCAACAACCUACUAUAAAAUCCUUUACCAACCCUUAAGCUUUAAGCUUAAAGCUUACCCAACAACCUACUACAAAACCCUUAACCAACCUCUAAGCUUUAAGCUUUAGCUUAAAACUUAUCCAACAACCUACCAACCUUCUAUAAAACCCUUAACCAACCUCUAAGCUUUAAGCUUUAGCUUAAAACUUACCCAAUAACCUAUCAAUUUCCUAUAAAACCAAUCAGCCAAUCCCUAAGCUUUAAGCUUUAGCUUAAAGCUUACUCAACAACCUCCUACAAAACCUUUAACCAAGCCUUAAGCUUUAAGUUUAAGCUUAAAGCUUAUCCAAUAACCUACCAUAAAACCCUUUACCAACCCUUAAGCUUUAAGCUUACCCAACAACAACCUACUACAAAAUCCUUAACCAACCCUUAAGCUUUAAGCUUACCCCUCUGGCCAGGGAGGCGCGCUUUUGACGGGUCACUUCCGUCACGUGUCCUCACUUUCAACUCCCUGAAAAUACGUUUUACUGGAAAUAAACUCACCCGACUCGGGAGAGAGAGGGAGUGUGAGAGUAAAGCGAGAGGGAAUGAGAGUAAAGAGAGAACGAAAGAGAGAGAUCUUUCCUUUCUUCCUCUUCUUGCAGUUUGCCUCAUUUGCUCUCGCGGACACAACUCCAAGGCACUUUUUGUGCUUUGGACAUUCUCAACUCCCACAAAGGGUAUACUUUCGACAAUUAGUCGAUCUUGGAUGAAGUACAAUCCUCGUAUUUCGAGAAUUCACUUCCUUACAAGUAAUGACAGUUUUUCACUAUUUAAACUGGCUAAAACUGCAGCAGAUGAGUUUCAACCAGAACUUGCCAAACCAAGAAAAAAAGAACUAUGGUUGAUUGGGAAGCUACAGUGUCUGUAGUGUUGGGGGUGAUCAUGAGGAAGAGCAUAUAUAGGUUCCAAGAAGUCGGCGAGAUCACGGCGGAGUGCAUGUCCCUCUUCGUGUCGACCAUCAGAUUCUCCAAGAUGGUCAACACGAAGAGGGACAAAAGUUUAGUAGGCAAAAUUGAAUCAAUUUCAUUAAUUCACGCCGAAGGAUGGAUCUAACAGUUGCGAAACUUCCAAACAACCAUAAACCUACUCUACAGAGACAUGUCAUCUUUGCACAUGAUUGAAUAUAUGGAAUGCCACAAAAAUUCUGCUGUUCACUUAACGAGACCAUAUAGAAUGCAUGAGUUGGAGAACUUUUUAUCUAUAUCUCAACAACUGAGACAUUAAGAAGCUAAUAAGAGAAGCUGGUGUUCAAGAUGAGCCAGUACCUGGCGUGUAAAUCGUCGAAGCUGUGAUGGUGACUUGUUCAGUUUUCUUCAAGUCCCCUUGAUCUUUGAAAUGUCCCCGUUUCAGAGAAAUAUGUGCUCUGAGUUCCACUUCCUAGCAGGUUACCAUGCGCUUGCGGAUUCGUCAGUUCUAUACCCUGAAAUACACAAAACAUAACAAUUGAGUAAGAUGGCCUUCUUUAAUAAAAAUUGGAGUUCCAAACUUUUCGUGUUACCAGCUUGCACGUAUCAUCAAGGUUACUUAAUACAGACUAACAGAAAUCCCACAACUUUGGUGCAAUCCUAUGUUAGGAAAAGUUUAAAAGAAGUUUGAAAAUUUAGCAGUACAAGGAAAUUAACCCUCACUGUACCAAGGACAUCAAAAUCAUCAAAAUCCAAUUUGCAAUAAAGAUCCUACUCAUGGAUAUUUAUUAGAACAGUAUAUAUAACAACUAAUUGGUUCUAAGAACCCAUAUAGAAAGCAAAUACACAGAGCAUCACUUCACAGUUACUAACUAGAAUUCCCUACCUUUUUUACUUAAUGAAUUAGUGCAACUAUGGCUACAACUGUAGCAAUGCGCAUUAACAAGAAGAAAAACAACAGAAAUAGGCGAGAGGCUCACCGGCGAGGAGAUCGAAGGCGAGAUGCUAACCGGCAAGGAGAUCGGCAGUGAGGGGCUUACCGGCGAGGAGAUCGGCGGUGAGGGGCUCACCGGCCAGGAGCUCGGAGACGAGAAGCUCCGUUUUGAAGGGCGUCGGAAAGAAAAUUAGCGACGAAGAGCUCGUUGCAUAGAGCUUGUCGCCUAUGUCGCCGACGAGGAGUUCGCCGACGAGGAGCUCGCCGGUGACGAGCUCGCCGGCGAGAGAUUGUCGAGGAGGAGAGGGAGAGGGCGUGAGCGGAUUAGGGAAAUAGGUUUUAAGGGGGGGUUUUUUUUUUUUUUUAAGUGUAGCUGAAAGGAAGUUGGGGAGUGUGCACUGAGGGAAGUGAGGGGUUUUUUUAAAUUUUUUAAAAUUAAAUUAUUAAUUUUAAAAUUAAAUUAAAAUAUUAAUUUAAUUUAAUUUAAAAUUUUAAUUUAAUUUAAUUAAUUGUUCGUAAUUUUUCUUAUUGCCACUAUAGGUUACCAAACAAUGGCUAUUAAUUGGUGACCAUUUAUUUUAUCACCACCAUAAAUAACUAAAUAGUGGUGAUAAAAUAACCAUUCAAUAGUGAAAGUAAUAUUGCCACUUUUAGUUAACUAAUUAGUGGCAAUUUUCUUUUAUUGCCACCAUAAGUAAUUAUAUAGUUGCGAGAAAAUUUAUCGCCAUAUUAAGUAUAUUACUUUGAUUGCAAUUUUAUUUUAUUAAUAAUUGAUUGGUAAUUUUUUUUAUCACCAUCAUAGGUAACUAAAUAGUGGCGAUAAAAUAGUUAUUUAGUGGUAAAACUAGUGUCACGCCCCGGGCUACGCCAAUUUGGUCGAAUUCGAGCACGUAACAGACACCGAACGGACAGCACCUUCCCUGUCCGCCCAAGGCUCUAACAACAUGUAUAUUACAAGCAAGUCAAUAAAGGGAUUGCAAGAUAUACAAGGUUUGUACGAGGGCAAACAACAACAAACACGUGAAAGCAUCGAUACUAACUAAACAUUUAUCCACAUACAUGUCAUUUGAUUACAUUUUAAUCAAACACAAGUAAACUAUUACAUUUACAUUCAUUUUAUCCAUUCAUUUACAUCACAUUGGCUUUUAACCCAAAAUACAGGAAUUACAUCAUUUAUCCUUACUUGUUCAACAUACAAAAGUUGAAUACUCAAAAUAUAGGGUAUGCCUAUACACCGAGAGCCGCUAGCUACGGCGCAAUACCCUUGCCUCGAUCCUCCGCCGCCCCGCUCACACACGGAUCUGCAGGGUUAGUAGUAAUGAGAACUAGAACGAGGUUCCCAGUGGGUUCGGCCGCCGACCACGCCGAUUCGCCCACUAGGUCUAUUUCAGGCAUGUGUAUUUCAAUAAAGAUAGAUACCGAGCCAUCUAAUGCAAUUACUAAUACAAUGCCUACAAAACAACUGUCAACAGAUAGAUAGAAAAUCAAAUACAUGAAUCUGAUGCAUACAUGUCCAUUUCUCAUUUUACUUGGCCUUUACCCAAUCUUUCCAGGGUUCAUCAAGUUCACCCAAACUCACAUCUCACAUGUCCCAUCUACCACCGGGAUUAGCAUUUUAAAAAUGCCCCCGAGGGAUUCAUCCCGUCUACCGGGGAAGGCAUAUGGCAUUGUCACCCGAGGGAUCAUCGCCGGGCACUCUCACCCGUGGUGUCUACACUCCGGAGUACACCGCUUGAGGAGGAGCUACCUCACACAAGCCGGAACCAAUACAUGUGAGUAUGAUCUCAUCCUCAAUUUGAGGAAGUAUAGCCAAACCUGUCUCAUGCCACAAUAUCUCAAUGCCAAUGAUAGGUUCUACCAUAUGCCAAUCAAAUCAUUAUAGUCAAUGUCAUAUUUGUUUACUAUUGUCAUAGUCCUUUACACAUUCACAUGCACAUAGGGUCUUUACAUUCUCAUAUGAUUCACAUGGUUCUUACCAAUUCACAUAUUCUUUAAGCAUCUAAAUGCAUUUCAACCAUGAACACACAUUACACUGCCCUACAUGCACGAAUGUUACAAUAUCAAUAUGCUCAAAUAAAGUGACAUAGACAUAGAAAGAGAUCCGGUGUUUCUGGACAACACCCCCCACCUUUUAGUAUUACAAGGAUGCCGGAAUACAAUUUCUUGGAAUUUCUUUAGCCUUCUACGCCGCAAACUGCGACGAACUGCAGCAAUCUAGCUUAUUUCUUCAAUAUCUUCGCGCACGCUCGUCGUAUCGCCGAACCGAGCACACCGACGCGUUCGUUGACCUACCAAUUAGGUUAGAAUGAGAUCAAACCCAAGCUUCGACCUCAUAACUACAAAACCCCAAUUUUGGGUCCCUAUAUUUUGUUAUCUUCUCCAUACAAGCCCCUGGCUUGCCUAUUCAUGGAGGAAAUCCUCUAAAUCACCUCCUAGAUACAUGCUAGAAGGAAAUAAACCAAAGCCCUAUUUGAAAACCCUAGAAAUCCUCAAAAACUCACCUAGGGUUCAAAGCCUUCCUCCAAAAGCUCUUCACAUGCUAGCCACCACCUUGGGAAGCUUCUUCUCCAAACUUUUCUCCUCCAAAAGCCUUCCUUGAUCCAAGCUCUAGAGAGAAGGAGAGGGAGAGAAAAGGUUUUUAAAGAGAGAGAGAGAGAUAUUUCUUUGUGUUGGUGUGAAGGAAAUGAGCCCUAACACUAUGCCCUCACACAUAUAACUCAUCUCAUGUCACAUUAGCACUUAAACCCCUCAACCUUUCAUUUUUCCAAUCAGCCCUCACUGGGGCAUUUUUCGCAUACGGGUACCGGUUUCUCCCCGCAGGGACCGGUCUCCGAGAUUACACCUCUCAGGACUUAGCCAAAUUUUCACUCUUUUUGGGCUUAUCACGCGUACGGAGACCGGUCUCUCAUCACAGGGACCGGUUCCCGAGAGUAACAUUUUCUGACUUAGCCAUUUUCCAACUUUUUCACCUACGGGGACCGGUCUCUCCCUGCAGGGACCGGUUCCCGUAGCCUGGUUUUCCAGGACUUAGCCGAUUUUCCAGCUUUUUGGGCAGGCUACGCAUACGGGGAUCGGUCUCUCCCUUCAGAGACCGGUCCCCGAGAGUCCAAAAUCUGGGACUUGGCCAGAUUUUCCAAUUUCACUCUCUCGUGUCCCUUUAAUGUUUAUAUAGGUUCCAAUGCACUUUGGACCUAUACCAACUCGUUCCACUCCGCGUUCCGCAUAUUUCGACGGAACUCGGCACGACUUACGGGAAAGUGAUACGUUACAACUAGUUUUGUCACUUUAAGUUAAUUAAUCGGUGGCGAUUUUUUUUAUCGCCACCAUUGAUAAGAAAAUAGAGGCGGCAAAUUUUUUUAUCGCCAUCAUAGGUAACUAAAUAGUGACGACAAAAUAGCCAUUUAGUGGUGAAACUAGUAUGGCCACUAUAAGUUAAUUAAUUGGUGGCGACUUUUUUUAUCGCCACCAUAGGUAACUAUAUAGUAGCGAUAAAUUUUGUCGCCAUUUUAUUUUUGCCACCAGUACUAUCUUUUCUUGUAGUGGACCAAAGGGUCGAGUAUCGAGAUUCUAUAUCUUUAGACAUGACACAUGUGACCACGCUUGCUUGGCACUUAUGCUCAUUCGUAUAUGCUUAUAAGGAUCACUCCUUACAAGCUAAGACUCUAGAAUUUACCUAUCAUGACAUCAUGCUCGCCCGUAUGGGAUUCGACGCCGAAACGGGCCGCCGUGGGGGAGGCUCAUUUCUAGAGAAAGGAUGUUGACUACCACGAGAUCAUAUAGCCCCGCACAACCCGGGACUGUACCUUGUGCAAGUCCCUAAAUGAUUAGGCAACAGUUAACUAAACUUGACAUUAAACAUUACACAAAAUUGAUGCAUACAAGAUAGUGGUAUUCAUUGUAGUAGUAGAGCUACCUUCUUUUGGUUGUCACACAUGGAGGCGUGUUUGUAGUAGGACUAUUUUCCUUUCUGCUACUUUAUAUAUGCUAUUAUAUUCAGCAUAUAUUAUUUCUUUACAUUCAGUAGUUAUUAUUUUUAUGCCUCAGUUGACCUAGCGGUGUAGUAUGUCCUUCUCGGCGGCGUUACCCACUAGGAACUAUACACUUAUAGUUCUCAUCCCAUUAUUUGACUGUGUUUAUUUUAGAGCCAUCCACAGCAGGAGAGGCUAGGGACUAUAGCAAGGACAUCGCCCAUAAUUAGAGCCAACCUGACGAAGCUUUCCUCAGAGGUGGACCUGAUGCACCUUUCAUUUUGGGGUAUAGAUGUGAGAGGUGUACAUAUAUUAUUUCUAAUUGGGACUUCGUGUCACGCCCCAGGACCGAGCGGAAGCCCGCCCGGCACGUGCCCAAACCCGCCAUACGUCUAAAACAUAUAAGGCGUCUAAAAACAACGAUGAAAUAAGCAAUAAUAAAAGACAUUUAGGAGUAUCAGAGCAUACUAGAAGACUAAGUUCUACAAUAGAGGAAGGAAACAUAAAGUUGAAAUCCACUAGCAAAAACAUAAAGUAGUACAAAGGAAUCCCAAAAAUAAGUGCUGAAAGUAAAUACAUAGGUGGUCUCUAUACAUGGAUACAAAAUCUCUCACUCUCUCAACUACAAAAAAGAAAGAGUAGACCACCUAGGCAAAGAUCCGCUCCUCGCUAGCUAGCUAUGCGAUCCCCUUGCCACGAUCCCGUGCCUCCGAUGGUGCCGAAGGCUCUGAAAGAAACCACGAAAAAGAGGGUGUGAGAACUAUUAGAAAUAGUUCCCAAUGGGCAAUUACUGACUUUAGUAAACUGCGCCACAAGACCCAAAAGCUACAAAGAGGAUGUCAGUGACAAAAUAUAGUAAAGCAAAAGGGUAAGUAAAAUGUGACUUACUAUAGCAUAAUGUCUCUACUUAGCAUGAUUUGCAUAAGUAAUAAAGCAACUAUAACAUGAAUGUACAUGGAUGUGUAUAACAUAAAUAAGCAUAAGUAUGCAACCAAUACGAUGUCCUCAAGCAAAUAGUAAAGAUGUCAUUGUUUACUAUUCUAGUCAAUAUACUAAGUCAUCAUCUGUCCACAUGUCGUAGUGAAUACUCAAAGUCAAUUCUAGAGAGACCCACCCGAAGGCUGUCUAUAGCCCUGAGACCCACCCGUAGGCUGUUUGGCCGAUGCUGAGCCUAAUGGCCCCGUGGUAGUCAUCAUCCCCACCCUAGGAAUGAGCCUGGCCCACGGCAAUCCACUUCGGCGCCCAAUCCCGCACGGCGAAUAUGAAUCGCGAUGGCUAUCUCCGGAGUGCCGGCUUGUAAGGAGCGAUCCUCACAAGCAUGUGCGAAUGAGCACAAUGGCAAGUAGUCAUACGUCCUGUCACAAGUACCAAGUCCUCAUGUCUAAAGCAUGGAAUGUAUCGAUUGUCCCAAUGGCCUAUCUCUAUGCCAUCAUGUCUCUAACAUGGAAUGUAUAGCAGAUGUACGAUGGCCUAACAUUAUAUCUCUAUGUUGCAGUUUCAUAGUUUACUAGUUUCCAAGUGCCCCUUGAUGACACUUUAUGCUACUAAGUCAAAGCCUAGUAUAAUGUUUCCAAUUAUACAAAUGUGAGCUAAUUUAGCAUACUCGACGAGAAUCCCAUUCGUCCACACGAACACUCCUCACAUGCAUGAAACCUGAUUGCUCUACUAUAUAGAGUGAAAUUUAAUUUACAUAAGGCAUGCAUUUUAAGUGUUCUAAAAUUCACAUAAAUUUCAUUUAGCAUAGAAAUGCAUUUAAAAAUACUUUACAACAAGUAUAGAGAGUAUAGGGCUGUUUUGCCCCGUUUCCACGAAGUCAAACCCACCAAAAUCGACUUCUUCGUUUCGCCGAACGAAGUAGUCCACGAGCUUCCUAGUACCCUAGAAGUAUCAAAAGUAGGGUUACCCAAACGAAACGAAGAGCCUAAAGCUCAAUCAUUAACCAUCUAGCAAAAGGGGUCCAACUCACCUCAAGAGCAACAAUCUUUUCUCAAGCCCCAAAUGCGAGCUAGAACCCUCCCAAACCAACCUAGAGGAAGGUUCUAAUCCAAGAGAUUGAGCCUCAAAAGUCCUAAAUCAAAAACGCCCAAAAACAACCCUAAGUUUACAAUCUAGGGUUUCAUCUCAAAGAAAACCUCAAAUCCAAAGUCUAGAUAGAGAGAAAGGGCUACCAACCUCUAAGAAGCUUCAAUCCAAGCUCAAGAUUCUCAAACUUCAAGGAUCAACCCUCACCAAGCCUCAAGUCCAAGCUCCAAUGGUGAAGAAGCCUCCAAAGAAGCAAAAGAGAGCAAAAGAGGGGUUUAAUCACCAAAAACCCAAACCAAAAUCAAGAAAAAUGAAAGAGAUGAAGAGGAGGGCUCUCCUACCUUCUCUCUUGCUGUUCCAAGCUCAGGACGAGCCCUAGGGGGCGUGGGGGCUCUAAUAGAAGAGCUACAAAAGCAAAAAACACCCUUGCAGUCCAGACUGCAUGAAAAAUGCCCCCUUAUACCGGUACACGGGCCAUUGUACCGGUACAAGCCCUACGAAAAAUCUCAACCCGAGGCUCGGGUUGGGGGGGCUCAGCGGCUCUGUACCGGUACAAGCCCGGUGGCUGUACCGGUACAACCAUCAACCUUGUACCGGUACAACCAUCAACCUUGUAUCGGUACAAGACCUCUAGAUAGCUACCCGAGAGUUGGCCAAAUCUCGUUUUUCCGGGUUUUGGUGCAAGGCUUUAAACCGCAAAUCUCGGGACACGAACCAUAGGUCGGAACACAGUCAACGACCCCUGAGAAAAUCUGAAAAAACUCAGAACACAGCUCGGUCACUCGAACUUCGCAAUUUGCAAAGGUCCAGUGUGUUACACUUCGACAAAGUUCCAUUUUGUGACAUUGUAUGUCGUAAACCUUGUAUUUAGAGAGUUGUAUUUGAGAUGAUAGUAGUAUGUAGUACAUAUUAUUUAGUUUAACUUAUAUUCAUUUGCUCUGAAUACCAUAUUUAGGGUGUGUAUGUCAUCUUUGUAAAUUGUAUUUUGUAGACACCUUGGGGGUAUCUUGUAUUCAUAUGUACAUGCUAGGAAGGUUUCCGCUGGGGCCUGGAGAAUGACAGAUUAUGUUGGUAUUAAAGCCUAGAGUCUUAGGCCACGUUUGGUUCAAAGUCGGAAUCGGAAUCAGAAUCGGAAUCAAAAUAAGUUGGAAUCGGAAUGACUCAUUACCUAAUUCUGUUUGGUUCGUUACCUGAAUCGGAAUCGGAAUAAAUCAUUCCCAUUGUCGAUGUUUGGUUCGGGUAGAUAUAAAAGCGUAGUCAAAUUAAUGUACUAACUUUAUCUUUAUAAUAUAUUAAUUUAAAUUCAAAUUGAAAAUUAAAUAUUAAAAAUUACAUCAAAAUUUUGAAAUAAUGUCAAAAUUUUAAAUCUAUUUUUUAAAGAAAUUAAACUUUGAAGUUGAGUGAAUAAUUCAAAAUAUAAAACUAAAUUUUGAUUUAUUCAAAUUCAAACUUAAAAUUUAAAUUUAAAUUUAAAUUUAAAUUUUAAUCCAUAAAUUUAAUUUAAAUUUUUUAAAUAAAAUUUGAAUAAAACUUUAUAUAAAUUAAAAUUUAAUUUAAAUUCAAAUUCAUAAGUUAUAUUCGAAAUAGUUGAUUAAAUUUUAAUUUUUAAUUCAAAUUCAAAUUAAAAUUAUAAAUUUAAUUUCUAAAUUUAAACUCAUAUGUUAAUUAAAAAAUAUUGAAAAAAUAAAUUCAAUUCGAAUAAAUAUCCAUUCUAUCUGUAUUCAACUUCCAAUUCAGCCUUCUAGGCCGGAUUGGAAAAAGAGAUGAUUGGGGGAUUCCUAUUCCACUCGAGAAUCGGAAUCUGAAUAGGACUCCCACGUACCAAACACCCACAGACGGAUUCACCCAUUCCUAUUUCGAUUCCAGGGUGAAAAAAAAAACGAACUAAACACACCCUUAGUGAACUUGUCAAACUUCAGUUUUGGACUAUAAGGACUAAGAAUGCGAGAGAUGGAGUCUUUUAUGAUUAAUAGCAAAAGUAAUAUAAUUGGGUCAUCUUGAUAUCUCCAAUAGAGUUGGAGUUGAUCGAAGUGUUAGUAUUUUUUUUGUCUUCGUGGAUGUUCUGGUUAGCGGCCGACAACGUGACAUUGGGAAAUAAUAGAAGCAUGCUUUACUUUACUUUCGCAUGAUUGGGGUUUAUUUUGUGUUGAGCGGGGAUGCACUUACUUAGGUUAUAUUAACCUAGGAUUGAUGUGAUUGUUGCAGAGUUGUAAUGCUGACAAUGCACUCCAUGAUGGCCUACAUAGUUGAGGGAGUUGAGGCGGCCAAUGCGGAGACAUCCGUAACUUCGGGAUCCAGUGAGGUUUAUGAGCUGAGAGAGCAGUUGACCAUGUUGGAUGACACUAUGGAGCAGCAAUCAUCUGCGACAGUUGCAAGUUGAGGCUGCACAUAGACAAGAGGCGAGAAUGAAGCAGUUGGAGGAUUUACUGAUUCAACAAGCGACAAAAAGGCAAUUCAUGACCCUUUACCCCAACCCAUGCAGCAACUCGUGUAGGCGAAAGGAGCUACAGCACCAACCCAAUCUGUAAUGCUCGAGUUCUUGCAACCUACUCCAAGAGUAAAGCGCAAGGAGGAGAUUACUGUGACACCCCGAUUCAGUCUUCAUCAAGGAGGACCGUUCUAUUGACUACUGUUAGUUAUAUGCCCAAAAGCCAAUCUGGUGACACUGGCUUAACGGUAUUUAUGUAUUAAUUAUUUAUAAUUCAUAAUAUAAGGGCAAAUAAUUUAUUCACAUCUAUUGUAUAGCAGUACAAUAUUGGCAUGAAUCGUCCAUAGGGUCUUUGUUUGAGAAGGCAUAUUCUUAAGAGUUAAGAAUUUGAAAUAUGUACUUUUCUGUACAAGACUCUUUAAAUGCUCCUAGCCAGAGAAAUAUUACAGGGAUGGCGAUAUUCCGGAUAGGUCGGCAUAUGCUAUGUUUCUAAUUUAGGUGACGAAUCUCAAGUCACUAGUGUAAGGACACUAGAACAAGCAUACAGGUGCUUGUUAGAGAACAAGUACACUGAGCGUGACUAUUUAGUUGAACAGUCACAUGGUUCUAUGCUCGCCAGUGACAAGUUCAUUGCUACAGUUGUGUGAAGUACUCCUCGGACCUGAGGCAUCAUAGUUGCUUCACGUAUAGGUUGCUACCGUUUGACAGUACUAAUACUAAGACUCUAGACAUGUAACGCCCCGGGACCUAGCGGAAGCCCGCUCAGUGCGUGUCCAGACCCGCCAUAUGCUUGUAACAUAUAAGACGUCUAUAAUAAAGCGAUAAAUAAAACAAGUAUAACGAGUAUCUAGAGAUAUCAGAGCAUACAACAUCUAGAUUCUAAUGACAAGUAGAAUAGUAAGAGAACUAAACAACUAACAUAAUCCACUAUUAGAUACAACAUGAGAUCUCAAGUACAAGUGCUAAAUACACAAAAAUGGUGGUCUCUAUACUGGGUACAAAACUCACUCUCUCUCCAACAACGCAAAAGGAGAGAUGACCACCUAGUAGUAAAGAUCCCUGCGAUCUAACUAGAUGCGACCCCUUUGCCGCGAUCCCUAGCCUCUCCUGGUACGGAUGGCUCUGAAAUAAAACCACAAAACAAAGGGCGUGAGAACUAUUAAUCAAUAGUUCCCAGUGGGCAACCGCUGACCUCAGCGAAAGGCACCACUAGGCUAAAGUAGCGAAAGUAGAAAAUUCGAACAUUUAAUUGAAAGGAACAACAUGUAUAAUAACAUGAAAUAAACUUGCUAGCUACUAUGCCUAUACAUAGCAUGAAGUUUCACGAAUAAAAUAGCUAAUCUAGCAUGAAUAAGUAUAUCAUAUGAGUAUACUAGUAUGUCUAAGCAUGUGUCCAAAUGUCCAAUAAUAUGCACUAAGCCUGAUUAACCACUAUGCUACUAUACAUUAAGCAUGAUUAGCAAGUAUGCUACUUUGUCCAAUAAGUGCCCUAAGAUGUCCAACCAAAACCUACUAUCGAGUAGUAAUUAUUACUUGUUGUUCAAUGUCAUUUUCCAUUCCCAAUUAAGGACCUACACAAGUGUAGUCCGACUUGUGCCGCCUAAUUGCCCAUGAUAGCUCCAACAUUCCUAUUCUAGGAAUGAGUCUAUCCUACCCGGCCCAGUAGGCUACCCAAAACCGCACGAGCAAGCAUCUAUCGCGUAGGCUAACUCCGAAGUGCCGGCUUGUAGGGAGCGACCCUCACAAGCAUGUGCGAAUAAGCACAAAUGGCAAGCAAGCAUAAUCAACCGUCUCAAGUUCGAUGUCAUCAUGUCUCUACAUGGUAUAGUUACUAGCAACCCCAAAGGUCUAGUUCUAAGUCACAAUGUGAAGUUCCACCAUUUACUACAUUUAAUGCCACUUCAUGACAUUAGGUUUACUAUGUCAAACAUAAUUCAAGUCUAAUACCUCUUUAUGACAUUAUGUUUCCUCCUAUGUCAAACAUGAGUUCUAAGUCCAAGAGCAUAGUAUACUUGUCAUUUUCACUACAUAAAACAUGAUCCCAAGCCACAUAUAAGAAUGCUAUUCAUAUGCAUAAUUCCAACAUAUCUAACUCUCUACUACAUAGAGGUCCAAAUUUUUAUUGUACAGAACAUGUGCAUUUGAAGAAUUCUAAAAUUCACAUAUGCCCUAUCUAGCAUGAAUAUGCAUGAUUUUCCAUUUUACAACAAUUAAAAUGACAUAGGUUGAAUUUUUCUCAUUUCGGUAAGGUCAAACCCACCGAGACUCCUCGGAUUCCCUUCGUUUGCGCCGACGAAGUGUCCACAAGUCUCCUAACUCCCUAAAAAAAAUUCUAGGAGGGUUAGACGAAACGAACAAACACUACACGUGUCAAACUUUAACGAACCAAAGAAUAGGGCAAAACUCACUUCAAAUGUGGAAGAACCCUCCUAAAUUGGAAGCUAGGGCCCUUCAAUUCCAACCCAAAUGAAGGUUCUACACCUACCAAUUAUGUAACAUACCGAACUUCUAUAAUUAUGAAGUUACGGUGUAUGUUAGUUUGGAAAGCCAUUAGAGUGGUUCCGGUGAAGUUCGGGAGCAUACGGACGUUUUCGGUACGCGUCGGGCGCGAAAACGGAACCCGAAAAGCUAUGAUUGGACCUUGGCCGAAAUUCGGCAAGGCAUGGAUGAAAAGAUGGUUUAAACAUGCUCAAAAACAUAUUUUGGGGGUCUCAGUACGAUUUUAGAUGAAUCGGAGACCCACGGAGUAAAAACGAACGAAAACGGAGAAGAAACGACAAAAGGCUGGAAUUUUGGCUAAGUCUGAAAACUGCAUAAUUUUUGGACCUACGGGAUCCGGUCCCACUAGCCAAGGACAGGUCCCCGAGACCCAAAAAUGCCCAGUUUUGUGCAGUGGCAGUUUUGUAAUUAAGAGAAAGUUGACUUAUAAAGGGGGAUUCUUCUUCUUCCUCCUUCCUGCAUAGCCACACACACACACCCACACAUGGAGUUAGAGAAAGAGAGUCUCUCCUCUAUCUAGAAUACUCUCUCUUCUCUCUAGAUCCAUCUUUUAAAUUCGGGAUUUUGGAGGAGAAGGACCUUUUGAACGCGUGGGAGGCAACUGUUUGGGCCCUCGUGCGCCCGUUUGAGCGGGGUGCUUCCGUCUCGGCGUUCGCGUUUUGAUAAGUGUUUAGGAUUUGGUUAAAUCCUUUAUGUUUAGUAUUCUAAUGGUCUUUGGAGUGAUUCUAGCAUGUUUCUCCAAUUGAUUUUGGGUUAUUUGGAGAUUGUAUGCAUGCUAGGGCUUAAAAGGGAUUUUUGUAAGUGUAAGAGUUUGAUCUAAAUUGAACCUAUGUAAACCUAAUUGCUAGAUUUCCUGACGCGUUGGUGAAAUCGGUUUGGCGAUUCGUCGAGCCUACGUGAAGAUAUCGAAGAAAAUGACGUUUUUGGCUUCGUUUCCGCCUGAAAGGCUGAGUCGGCGUCCAAAAAUCACAAAAAUGGAUUCCUAGCAUCGCGGCAUCUAGAUGAAGCCCUUUAAAACCCGAGGCCGCGGAUUGACGCACGGUUGGUGAUCAUUUGCAGGAUCGGGCCGAACCGGACAACGAGUGCCGCAGGAGGUCGAUUGUAAGUGACUACAAGCAAUCGGAAAGCGAUUUGAGGUGAGUUGUGCUCACCAAAGAUAUUAGCUCACUUCUAUGUCGAAGCGAAGUGAGAUUUAUCAUUGAUGCAUAUAAUGGUAGCUAGUUGUAAAACAUAUGAAUGCUAUGUUAGACUACAAAUGAAUGUAUAAUGACAUAUUGUAGAAAAUGCUAAAUGAAUGCAUUAUGACAUAUUGAGGAAUAUGCUAGAUGAAUGCAUGUUGACAUAAUAUAGAAAUACUAGAUGAAUGCAUUAUGACAUAUUGUAGAAUAUGCUAAAUGAAUGCAUUAUGACAUAUUGAGGAAUAUGCUAGAUGAAAUAUAUGUUGGCGUGUUGUGGAUCACUUUGGAUUAUAUGUGCAUGUUGACAGGUUGUAGCCUGUGCUAGAUUUAUGUAGAUGUGAACUUGGGUCGAUAACUCUAGGUGGAUUAGAGAACUCGGCAUUGGAAAACAAGAACAUGAAAUCUAUGAUUACUCAAUGUGGACAAGUAAGAUGUCAAGUAGUUCGAGUGGCAUUGAACCUAGUGUCGUGAACAUAGGUUGGACACGAGUGGCAUUGAACCUAGUGUUAUGAACAUAGGUUAAACAAGUGAACCUAGAGUCGAGAUCUAGGUGGAAAUGACAUAGAAACUAGCGUGGCUGAACCUAGGUUAUGACAUGUAGAGACGCCUAGUGAGGUUGAAUCUAGGUUGUGGAUUAUAGUGGUAGCAGAGGCCACUAGGAUAUGCAUGGGUCGAGCCUAGAUAGGUCGACAUUAUAAGGUAUGAGGUUGACUACUCUUGAGACUUGGAAAGUGGGUUCUGGAAUCCCAAGACUUGUGAAACUCGAUAGUUCUGGGCCGCGGGUGUAUGUGGCAUGUUCCUCUCCCACCGGAAGAACUUCGAGUGUUGUGGUUAUAAUAGAUUCUUGGCCGCGGGUGCAUGUGGCAUGUUCCUCUUCCACCGGAAGAAUCUAUAAGCGCUAGGGUGUAUGUGGCAUAUUCCUCUCCCUAUCGGGAAUCCCAGCUGUGGGUGUAUGCGGCAUGUUCCUCUCCCACCGGAGGAUUCCUGACCACGGAUGUACGCAGUUCUUCGCGAUCCGUUGGGCGAUGUGGUUUGUGGAUUGAAGGCUGAGGUGCAUGUGAGAUGUCCUUCACCUCGAGCCUGUUGUGCUCGGUAUUCCGCGGAUGAUUGACUCGAAGUCGAGUCGAGUGGAUAGCUUGAUUAAGGUAGUAGAAACCUUAGAAGCUAGUGGAUGUGAGCUAUGAAACUAAGGUAGUAAAAACCUUAGAAGCUAGAUGACAUGGGCCAUGAAUAGCAGGAUUGAAAGUAGGAUCAAUUGAUCGACUAGUUGUUUACACAGUUGCAUAAUUGCAUGAUAUUCAUAUUGCAUAUUGUGAGGCAUGAACAUGAUGAUGUUAGUUGCAUAAAUUAUAUAUAUCUGUGGAUUUUUGUUGGACUAACAUGUUGCAGUGCCUCCUUCGGACCUGGUGGGUCGAGCUUUUCCUUUGGGUGGCCGUACCCACUGAAAACUAUGGACAAUAGUUCUCACCCCUGUGUUAUUUUUUGGGAUACAGGUUCACAUGCGAGCGGCGCGGCAAUACGAGGAAAGAGCGUAGCUCCGUAGAUAGCGCCCUACCAUUGUACCAGAGAUAGUGGUACCCCGAGUCAACCUAACUAGGGGUAUAGAAAUGAGAAGAAAAAUCAUGUUGUAAUAAUCUAGAUUGUAUUUGGAAGUCGAAUGUAAAAGAAAAUGUAAUGUAAAAUGCAAGUGAGUUGAAUGCUUGUAAUAACUUAGUUGUUUUAUGUUUUUGAUAUUUCUUUAUGCAAUGUCUGCUUGAAAUCUGUUCCUGGUUGGAACCUCUUGUAUUGUUGAUUGCGACGCCUAGGACGUACAGGGGAAACUCUUCCGUUCGGCGGUCUGUUAGCUGGCCCGAAUCCGACCAAAUAGGCGGGUCUCGGGGCAUGACAAAUAAAGUGGUAUCAGAGUAUAAAGUAGAGAAUGUGAAUGGUUUAGAUGGACCUAGGAGACCCUAGGAUAGUAAACCAUAGAGAAUAAGGCUCAUGAGAGACGAGGACUUGUGAUUAGUGGCAAAAGAUAAACUAAUUGGGUUGUAUUAUAAACCUCUAAGACGGAUAUUAGAGGUAGACUCAAUGUAAUAUACCGGAUUUUAAUAUAAAAGUAAAUAUAAAUAAAAAUAGUGUGAGAUACUAUUUUUAUUCGAUUUAAAAAAGUAAAACAUAAGUUGAAAAUGACUUGUGCUGAAGUCGGAAUGAAAAUAGAAGAUUUAGAAUUUUCUGUGAGAAACGGAGCUGAUAUUUUAGUAGAAAAUGCAGUGUCAGAAAAUUAUAAAAACUGGAGAGUAUGUCAAAAUUAUUUUUAUGAGACUAGAAUUAAAGUUUCAUGUCAUUCUGACACCAGGAAUGUGGAAAAUAAAAUCUGACUACUAUCUGUUAGAGAUUUCAGUUCGGUAGAACUUUCGGUGACAAAAAAUGGUCGAAACUGAAAAGUUAAGAUAUAUUACGUUUAUUUAGCAAAAACCGAGGCUGACUAUCAAAUUUGAGCGAAAACAGACAUUCCGAAGGCCCGGCGAAAAGUAUCUGAUCCUGAGCUGCUAAACUGAAAGUAAAUUGUAUUUAGUUGAGGGGGCUAUUUGUGUAACAAAACGGUUUUUCCCUUUGUUUUGUUCAACCCGAGAGAGAGAAAGAGCUCUUUCUCUCUUGCUCUUUAGCCCACUCCUCAUAUUUCUCUCUCCCCUAGCUUUCUCUCUCUAGCAAGUUUCCCCAUUAAAGAUGAAGUUGGAGAAGAUAAAGUUGGAGAUGAAGUUUGGAGCUCUCUAAUGGUGAAGCAAGCUCUUUAAUGGUGGAAAGCUAUGUAGCCAUGGUGAGUUUUGUGAUUUAAGCUAGGGUUUGGAUUAAAUCUUUUGUAAAUGAAAUGUUUAGGAUCUCUAGAUGAUUCUAAACUAGCUUGGUUAAAGUUUAACCAUGAGAUUUGGUGUUCUUGAGGGUUUAUGAAACCCUAGGCUUAGAAAAUGGGGGUUAUGGGUAAAUGAGGGUUUUGAUCUCAUUUAACCCUAUUGUUCUCUAAUUGAAGGUUAGAGAUGAACCUUUGAUGACCCUACAUUGCGGAUUGUUGGGCGUUUGGCGAUCAAUCGCGAGUUGGAGCCGAACCGGAUCACGUGUGCCGCGGGAGCCCGAUUGCAAGUGACUACAAGCAAUCGGAGAACGUUACGAGGUGGGUUGUGCUCACCGAAGCGAUUAGGUCGCUUCCAUGCCAAAGUGUAGUGUGUCGUUAUUGAUGCAUGUGAUGGUAGCCAAUUGUAAAGAAGAGAAUGCAUGAGUAGAUGCUAAAUGAAUGCAUGAGGAGAUGCUAAAUGAAUGCAUGAGUAGAUGCUAAAUGAAUGCAUGAGUAGAUGCUAAGUGAAUGCAUAAGAUAAAUGCUAAUGAAUUCAUCUGAUAAAUAACAAUGAAUGCAUGAGAUGUAUGCUAAUAAUGAAUGCAUGAGGUAAAUGCUAAGUUGUAUAAUGACUACCAUUGGACGAUAAAGUAUAUGCAGGUUGACAUAUUGUAGCAUGUGCUAAAUACAUAUGAAUGAGAAUGCAUAAUAGAAUGCUAAUUGUGAAUGAGAAAGCAUGUGAUAGAUGCUAAUGAAUGUAUGAGAUUUAUGCUAAUCAAGAAUGCAUGUGGUAGAUGUUAAAGAAUGCAUAAAAUGCUAAGUAUUGACUACCAAUGGAUGGUAAAAUAUAUGCAUGUUGACAUUGUAAGACGAGUGGCAGUGAACCUAGAGUCAGGUAAACCUAGGUCAUGAGAUGAGUGGCAUUAAUGAAUAUAAUCAAUGCUAAAGAAUGCUAGAAAAAGAACACUUAGUGUGUGUGGCAUCAAAUGAGUUUGAAUGCUAGAGUUUGACACUUAGUGCGGCAUUAAUGAGAACAAUGAAUGCAUGAAAAUGAGUAUAAAGAACAAGUAGUAUAAAUAACACUAAUGAAAGUUAAAGAAUGCAAGUAAAGUGAGAUAGUUGACAUUAUGAUAUAGCAAUCUUAAAGUUAAGGGUCAUAUGAAUAUAGCAUCUUUAUAGUGAAUGAUUGGAUUGAACUUGGUAUCCUUAAAGUUAAGGAUUGAUCAUACUCGCCUAUAGUCUUGGCUCGGAGGGCAGUAGCUCCCUCUCGAGAGAUGAGCUCCGGAGUUGUCAUCACUGGGAAGGUGUUUUUUCCAGAAGACGGUCCCAUCGGGAGGAAGCUUAGGGCCCGAUAGUAGGGACUUGGAUUGGUAAAUUGUUGGUUGAGGCGAAACCUACGAGUUAGCCAAAAGGACCCAGAAUUGAAAAGUGGAACUUGCAUUCAUCAUGAAUUGACUUAAGACCGACUCGAGUGGCAUAGUUGGCUAAGGUAAAUGUAACCUUAGGAAAGAAUGACAAAUGAACAAAGUGUGGCCAAGAAUAAAGAAUAAAGAACGGCAAGUGCUAAAGAAUAGCAAAUAAUAAAGAAUGUCAAAGAAUAAAGAAUUGUAAGUUGUAAAGAAUGAUAAGUGAUAAAGAAUUGCUAAUAACAUAAUGAAUGGCAAAUGAUAGACAGUAGAACCAAUUAAUCUACUUGCAUAAGUUGCAUGAUUUGUAUAUCGCAUAUUGUGAGGUAUGAACAUGAUAAUUGUUAGUUGCAUAAAUUAUAUAUCUGUGGAUAUUUGUUGGACUAACAUGUUGCAGUGCCUCCUUGGACCUAUUGGUCAAGCUUUUCCCUUGGGUGGCCGUACCCACUGGGAACUAUGGAUAAUAGUUCUCACCCCGUGUUGUUUUUGGGGUACAGGUUCACACGCGAGCGGCGCGGUGGCGCGAGGAAAGGGCGUAGCUCCGUAGUUAGCGCCCUACCACCGAGACCAGAGAUAGCAGUACCCUGAGUCGACUACUUAGGGAUGUAAAAGAAAUGAAAAGAACAAUGUUGUAAUAAUUGUGUUAAAUUGGAUUAUAUUUGGAUGUAAGAAUCAGAGAAUCAAAAUAUAAAAUGUGAUGUAAAAUAUAUACGAGUUGAAUGCUUGUAAUAGCAUAGUGGUUAUGUUUUUGAUACCUUUCUUAUGCAAUCUUUGUUGUAUGCUGUUCCUCGUUGGAACCCCGCGCAUUGUUUGGAUUGUGACGCAUUGGACGUACAGGGGAGACUCUGUCUGCGGUACAGAAAAAAUCCUGUCUGUUCGGCGGUCUGUGGGUGUGCCCGAAUCCGACCAAAUAGGCGGGCUCAGGAAGUGACACUCAAGGUGUGGUUUACUCUCAACCGAGGGUGUUCAUGUUGGCGCGCGACAAUAUGAAACCGAGUGAUGAGAAUAGACGCCCUUGCGUGACUUUCGCCUAAUUGACUUUUGAGUCGAUAUUAAUUAUUUCGUGUUCGACCCGAAGGGUCGAGGAUUAACGGAGUUGUCCUGUUUCAGGAAGCAAUGGCACCACGUAGGCGAUUUUCAUCCAGAUCGGCGCAGGAUGGAACAAGUGGUGUUCCUGAGCAAACCGAGCCGAGUAGAGACUUGGAACUUCGCGAGCAGUUGGCUACACUCGUGGGAGUGGUGAGGCAACAAGCCGAUAUGGGGUAGCGUCAGCAGAAGGCUGUCAUGCGCCAGGAGGAGCGAAUGAAAAGACUCCAAGAAACGGUGGAUCAGUUGGUGACUGCACCAAUUGCGGCUCGUCAAGUACGGCCGGGAGUCGCGGCGGAGGUGUUUCCGUCGGGGUCAGGCAAUUCGACUUCUAGCAUUUCAGAGGUGGAGGCGGAGAGGGAGCGAGCUUUGACGGCCCUCGUGACUUUCAAGAAAUUUGAUCCGCCUGCCUUUGAUGGAGAGGAUGCAGAUCCGUGGAUCGUGGAGAUGUGGAUAGACUCCAUGGAAACUUUGUUUGAGGAUCUGUAUACCGUGGAGCGGGACAAGGUAUACCUGGCCGUGCACUGUCUAAAACUGUCGGCGAAGGUGUGGUGGAAAGGCAUCAAACGGAACCGAUCGCCUAAUCUCCCUCCUAUGACUUGGGAAGAGUUUCAGGGAUUGAUAUUCUUUGUCUAUUUUUCCGACAGUGAAAAGAGAAAGCUUCAGGAAAGGUUCCGGAAGCUGCGGCAAGGAGACCGCACUGUAAGGCAAUACGAGCGAGAAUUCUUCCGUAUCGUGAAUUGCAUCCCGAAUGUGGUGCGGGAUAAAAAAGAUAUGGUCGAUUGGUUUGUGCGAGAACUUCGGCCGGACAUUCUUAAGUUGCAAUCUUUUGCCGAGGUCUUGGAUAGGGCCUUGUGGGCGGAGCAAGGCAAUGCUUUCGUGCGUGAGGAGCACAAAGCUUCUGAGCGUGAGCGGGGAGGGGUGAGGCCACGGUCGAGUGGUUCGGGUGGUCAGUCGAGUUCCAGGCAACAGCCGAGGUCAUCCUCUACCCGAUCCUCCCUAGGAUGCGUGAUUUGUGGUGGUUCUCACCAGGCGCAGAGGUGUACGCUGCGUGAUAGGAGAUGCAUUCGUUGUGGACAACCGGGCCAUGUGCGGAUGAGUGCUCGCUAGGUGAUAACCGAGCUCUGACACUGGCGAUAGCUUUUUCCUCUCCGGGACAGCCUACAGGUGUGCCACUUGCGGCAUGGUCGGGAGAGCGAGCAUUGAGAACGAUGCAACCGGAGGGUUCUGAUACGUGAACCGGGUUAUAGAGCCUGCUGCGACUGAUGAUGACAGGGCAGGUAUGAUUUAAUUGAAGUAAGCAUAUGCUCCAUGUCAGGUUGGUGCAUUGCAUGCCAUUAUCAUUUGGUCAGUUGCUACUAUAUAUAUAUAAGCAUAGUAGGGACGAGGCGAACGGGUAGAUGUAGAUACUCAGGCAUGCUUAUGUGGUGAGAAUGUAGAGCCUGCUGGAGCAGGUAGAGAGCCAGAUAGCACUAGCGAAUUGCUGGUGAUGGUCUGUGGACGAAAGAUAAGGAGGCUCGUGGUAGAGAUGAAGUGAUGGACCAACUCUUAGAACAAUGUGAUUGGUUGAUUGCAAAAGUCGAGCCAUGAUGCUUAUAGACACCCGAGUAUUCCGAGUGUUUCGGAUAUUGUUCCGGUAGAUCGAACAGUGAAAGUAGAAUCACUGUUAAGAGAGUAGCCGGUUGGUUACCGAGUACGGGCACGUGGUCCUAAUAGUACCUCGAAUUGAGAUGGGUAAGUCGUGCUCGUGUGGUCGGUGCGCAUAGGCAAGAGUGCCUAAUGCCGGACUUAGUAUAGAGACGUACGAGCGCUCGAGUAUAGAUGCUCGUAGAGUUCGGGUUUGGAUCAGCCGAGAGAGUGAGUUUGCAAUAGCACUUCAGCAUUGCUAAGUGUGAAGCAGGCCAUGGAUCACUUGUAGGGCUGGUGGCUCGUACUAGGUGCUUAGGAGCCGAUAGUGGUACAUGCGGCUCGGUAGAGCAUGUCAUGUAGGACGACGACGACGGGUAGUGCUUGGGGACGACCCGUGCCUCGACCAUUUGUGGACUGCGGAGCCUGGGGCUGCAUGGACAGGCGCAGUCAGCUGUGUGGAACAGCGGCCCGGUACCUACGGGUAGGGCAGAGAUUUUGGUCAGGACAGUAGUCUGAGUUUAGAGCCGGGAACGUGGAAUGCCAUGUGUUGAAUCGUAUGAUCGAUGAUACACCGAGAGUGCGGUUGUGAUCCAACCCAAGGAUUUGUAGUGGUUUAGGUUUAUGGUUGCUCCUGGUUGGAGUGUGUGCGAAUUCCCAAGUGAGAAUUUCGCCCGGUUAUGAUUCGGUCUACACUUGCGAGCGAGAGACGUUAUGCGUACCGAAACAGGUUAGGCAGUAGGCCUUCAUGGAAUUAGCGGUCUAUGGACCCCUUGUGAAAACCGAGUUAAGCGGUUUGGCCGAUAACUCUGUCGAGGAGUUUGGCUUGAAUUCACGAACGGAGUGUUCGUGUGAGCUUGUUGCGAAGAUGAAUUGAUGUUGGCAAGGCAAUUGAAAAAGAAAGCAAAGUGGUCUCUAGGAGACACUUGGAUAAUGGAUAGCCACGUGAGAUUGAGGAUAAUGCUCUCUUGAGGAUUGAAAUUGGAGAUGUGCCGAAAUGUGCCAUCUCGUAGUAGAGCAAAAGUCCGAAUGUGAUUCGAGCACUCACGAAUGAGCGAUGCACCUAAAAUAUUGCUUCUAUGCAAUACCGGUGAUCGAAUCGGAGUGUAUUCCCUGGAUUAAAUAGCGAGUGGGGUUGGAGCAUGCAGACUCGUCGAAUAUCGACUUACAUUACCACAAAGACUUGUGGGCACCGUAAUGCACUUUCGGUGUUACACUUGGUACAUGUGCAUGAGUUUGGUGUCGUAUCCUCCGUAGUGGGCCUUUGGACAGUUUCGAUGAGUGUAAGGCCACUCCGGAGUGGGAAAGUGCAUCGGUACCCUCAGUUGCUCGAUAACUCGAAUUGAGAAGUAAUUUGAGUUUCGAGAACGAAACUCUUAUUAAGGAGGGGAGGGUGUAACAUACCGAACUUCUAUAAUUAUGAAGUUACGAUGUAUGUUAGUUUGGAAAGCCAUUAGAGUAGUUCCGAUGAAGUUCGGGAGCAUUCGGGCGUUUUCGGUACGCGUCGGGCGCGAAAACGGAACCCGAAAAGCUAUGAUUGGACUUUGGCUGAAAUCCGGCAAGGCGUGGAUGAAAAGAUGGUUUAAGUGUGCUCAAAAACAUAUUUUGGGGGUCUCGGUACGAUUUGAGAUGAAUCGGAGACCCACGGAGCAAAAACGAGCGAAAACGGGGAAGAAACGGCAAAAGGCCGAAAUUUUGGCUAAGUCUGGAAAAUGCAAAAUUUUUGGACCUACGGGGUCCGGUCCCACUAGCUAAGGACCGGUCCCCGAGACCCGAAAAUUCCCAGUUUUGUGCAAUGGCAGUUUUGUAAUUAAGGAAAAGUUGACUUAUAAAGGAGGAUUCUUCUUCUUCCUCAUUCCUUCAUAGCCACACACACACACCCACACAUGGAGUUAGAGAGAGAGUCUCUCCUCUCUCUAGAAUACUCUCUCUCUCUCUAGAUCCAUCUCUCAAAUUCGGGAUUUUGGAGGAGAAGGACCUUUUGAACGCAUGGGAGGCGACGGUUCGGGCCCUCGUGCGCCCGUUUGAGCGGGGUGCUUCCGUCUCGGCGUUCGCGUUUCGGUAAGUAUUUAGGAUUUGGUUAAAUCCUUUUUGCUUAGUAUUCUAAUGGUCUUUGGAGUGAUUCUAGCAUGUUUCUCCAAUUGAUUUUGGGUUAUUUAGAGGUUGUAUGCAUGCUAGGGCUUAAAAGGGAUUUUUGUAAGUGUAAGAGUUUGAUCUAAAUUGAACCUAUGUAAACCUAAUUGCUAGGUUUCCUGACGCGUUGGUGAAGUCGGUUUGGCGAUUCGUCGAGCCUACGUGAAGAUAUUACAGAAAAGGACGUUUUUGGCUUCGUUUCCGCCUGGAAGGCCAAGGCGGCGUCUAAAAUCACGAAAACGGAUUUCUAGCAUCGCGGCAUCUAGAUGAAGCCCUUUAAAACCCGAGGUCACGGAUUAACGCACGGUUGGUGAUCAUUUGCAAGAUCGGGCCGAACCGGACAACUAGUGCCGCGGGAGGCCGAUUACAAGUGACUACAAGCAAUCGAAAAGCGAUUUGAGGUGUGUUGUGCUCACCGAAGAUAUUAACUCGCUUCCAUGUCGAAGUGAAGGGAGAUUUUAUCAUUGAUAUAUUUAAUGGUAGCUAGUUGUAAAACAUAUGAAUGCUAUGUUAGACUACAAAUGAAUGCAUUAUGACAUAUUGUGGAAAAUGCUAAAUGAAUGCAUUAUGACAUAUUGAGGAAUAUGCUAGAUGAAUGCAUGUUGACAUAAUAUAGAAAUGCUAGAUGAAUGCAUUAUGAUAUAUUGUAGAAUAUGCUAAAUGAAUUCAUUAUGACAUAUUGAGGAAUAUGCUAGAUGAAAUGUAUGUUGGCGUGUUGUGGAUCACGUUGGAUUAUAUGUGCAUGUUGACAGGUUGUAGCCUGUGCUAGAUUCAUGUAGAUGUGAACUUGGGUCGAUAACUCUAGGUGGAUUAGAGAACUCGACAUUGGAAAAUAAGAACAUGAAAUCUAACUAACCUGAGCAAUUACUGACCUGAGCAAUGUGCGCCACUAGGCCCAAAAAGAGAGCAGAUAUGAAUAACUAAAAAUAACUGCGGAAAAGAAAGCAUAUAAUAAAAUGCUAUUCUACUAUGCCACAAGUAUACAUGAUGUCAACAUGGUGUACAUCUAUUCUAUCAUGAUUCCAAUAUUAACAAUUAUGCUCUAUCAUGGCUACCAAGUAUACUAUGAUGCAACAAGUAAUACUAUCAAGUAUACUCCAUGUCCCAAAGUCCAAUAAUCCAACUGCUCUAUGCUAUCAAGUAGUGAUUGUCAUAAUAUUGUUUAAUGUUCUUAUUUAGUCUCAUUUAGGACCUACACAUGUGUAGUCCAGCUUAUGCCGCCUAGCUGCCUGUGGUAGCCCAUCAUUCCACGCUAGAAAUGAGUCAUGUCCGACACGACCCUACAGGCAUCCCGCCGCCUAGCUGCCCAUGGUUGCUCAUCAUCCCACGCUGGAAUGUGGCUGUCCCACGCGACCCUACAAGCGUCUCAAUCCCGCACGCGCUAACUGCGUCCCAAAGGCCAACUCCGCAGUGCCGGUUUGUAGGGAGCGACCCUCACAAGCAUGUGUGAAUGAGCACAAAUGGCAAGCAAGCAUAGUCAUCGUCACAACGAUCCGGUCAUCAUGGCUCAACCAUGGAAAUGAUCACUAGCAACCCAUAGGUUUAGUCCAAUGUCCCAAAUGAAGGUCUAACCAUUCAUUAUGUCCAAUGCCCCUUUAUGGCAUUAUAUCUCACUAUGCCCAAAUCUUGUUCCAACACUAAUGCCACUUCAUGACAUUAGGUUUACUAAGUUCACACAUAUUCCAAGCCUAAUGCCCCUUUAUGACAUUAGCUUACUAAAUCCAUCCAUAUGUCGAGCCCAAUGCCACUUUAUGAUAUUAGCUCCCUAAAUCCAUUCAUAUGCCGAGCCCAAUGCCACUUUAUGAUAUUAACUCCCUAAAUCCAUUCAUAUGCCGAGCCAAAUGCCACUUUAUGACAUUAGCUCAUUCCUAUGCCAAGCAUGAGUUCUAAACCCAAGAGUGCAAUGUACUCAUCAUCUUCACUAAAUGAAACAUGAUCCCAAAUCAAGUAUAAGAAUGCUAACCAUAGGCCCCAAGCCCAACACGAAAACUCUCUACUACAUAGAGGUCCAAUAUGCAUUGUCUAUAACAUGUGCAUUUUAAGCAUUCUAAAAUUCUCAAAUAUUCUAUCUCACAAGAAUAUGCAUGCAUUUUCAUUUUACGAUAAAUAAAAACCAUCAUAGGGAAGAUUUAUCCCGUUUUGGUGAGGCCAAACCCACCAAGUCUCCUCGCAACCCUUCGUUUGUGCCGACAAAGGUGCCCACAAGCCUCCUAGCUCCCUGAAAGUUAAACUAGGAGUGUUACACGAACGUUACGAACAACGAAUAGGUUAAACAUUAACCAACUCAAGAAAAGGCCAAAAUCUCACCUUAUAUGGUGAAACUCUCUCAAACUCCAAAUGAGAGCAAGAUCCCUCCAAAUCCAACCUAAACAAAGGUUCUAAAUAAAUCAAUUAAGUUCCAAAAGCCUGUAACCAAAACCCCCAUUUAAAACCCUAGUUCUUCCAUUUCUAGGGUUCCAACGAGAAAAUCCAUCAAAACAUGUAUUAAAUGAGGAAUACAUGUUACUAACCUCUUUAAAAGUUCCAAUCAAGGCUCAAAAUGCUCUGGUGCUGAUAAUCUUCCCUCCAACAAGCUCGUACCCGAGCUCCCAAGCUUCUCCCAUGGUGGAAGUGGCACCAAGAAGCAUAAAGGAGCAAAAAGAAGUGAUUAAACUUCAAAAAUCUCAACUAAAUGAAGGAGAAUCAAAGAGAGGAAGAUGAGGGCUUCCCUACCUUUUCCUCCACUGGACUCAGCUCAGGGGACCUCCAAGGGGCAUGUGGGAUAUUUGUAAUAAGGCUACAAUAUCAAAAACACCCCUCAAAAACAAGCAGACUGAAAUCUAGCAAAGUGUACCGAUACACGGGAAAGUGUACUGGUGCAAAACCCUGUACGCGCCAACCCGAGGCUCUGUGUCACGCCCGGGUACCAGCGGAAGCAUAACCGGUACGUGCACAGACCCGCCAUACACCUGCAGUAUAUAAGGCGUCUACAACCAAGCAAGUCGAUAAGAAGAAGAUCAUAGAGAAUUCUAUCUCGAUAUCAGAGCAAAGUACCAGUCAACAAUACUAUCAACAAUAGAGUAAAGGAGUAUAGUCCAGAAAUCUCAACCAAAAGAUGAGUAUCACAACUAAAGNAUAUUUAAAUAUUAUAAUAAAUUAUUUUUAUUAAAUAGUUUAAGUAGAAAUUUAAAAAAAAUUAUAAAUUUAUUAAUAAUAAAAAAUUAAUAAAUUUACAAAAAUAUUUAUUUUUAUCAAAUUUAUAAUUUUAUUAUAAUAAAUUAUUUUUAUUAAUUGUAUGUAAGGACUGAGAUUUUGACAGUGCAACUAAACUCUCUGUUGACAAUGUUUAUGUGUGUAAUUUAAUUAUAUAAACACUUGUCAAGUUUCAGAAGAAAAUGAGUUAGAACGGAGAAGUUACGCGAUAAAUACUAAUCACUUAGUGAAUAGUAACUCCGGUUUUCCGGAGAAGUUAAUAAAAGAAGAUGGCUUCUGGCGCGUAUCAAACUCCGUUCAUAGCGAUCCAAUAGCUCGUUUCGACCGGUUCAGUUAUUCUGAAACUAAUGGUGCUGACGGAUUUUGAGUUUGACGCACGAAUUUUGAGAAAAUCCAGAAAUACAUGUUUUAUAUGUAUUUGUGUGUUGUUUCUUCUGUUGGAAGAAAGAUUGGAUUUUGUCGUGAAUCCGUAGUCGAUCGAGAUGAAUCGAAAUCGUAGCUUUGUUGUCUCCGUCGUGCUGAUCGCACUGGUGCGAUCCAUUCGCAAAUCUGACGGACGGAUCUGCGGAGAUUGCGCGUUGGUCGAGGAGAGGUCGGUGAUGGAAAAACAGUAAUUUUGGAAAAGUCGUGACAUUUUAUGUACCGUUUCGCGUGAGAUCGCGCAUGGAGGGGUAUUCGUGCGUUUUACUCACGCUGUGAGGGACUCGGAUUGAAUUGCUGAGUUUGGAGAGACUUUGGCGCAAUUUGUUACCCUACAUAUAUAAUGUAGCUAGGGUUCACUAUGGAAACCCUAACCCUAAUCCGCCCCCAGCUGACCCAGACCACCCUAGCCGCCCAGUCCACCCUCUUAGCCACCCUCUCCCCCACCUUGGCCGAGAGCAAGUAGAGAGGCUCCACCACCUCUGGAAGGAAGCCCCGGGCCGUGAUCCACCUCUAGCACGUUCUUUCCCCGGCUCCGGCCAUCCCCGGACAUCGCCGGAGCCGCUUGAUGGAGCUGCUGCCAGCCCGGGUCAGCCCAGACCGAGCCUGGCCAACCUCGAGUUUCGGGCGCCGCCACCACCUUCCUUCGGCCGCGCCGCCACCCAGCCGACCCCGGUGACCUCCGACGUGCUUCCCCCGUCGUCCCCGCAUGCUGCCGGCCGCCGCUGGGAGCUCCUGCACCCGCCCAGACCCGUGCGGGCCAACCUUGGAGCCGCGCCACCCCCGAGCGCCGCCGCCGCCCACCGUAGGGUGCACGGCCUUCCCCUCGGCCUCCGGCACUGUCACGCCCGGGACCGACGGAGGCCCUCCCGGUAGCGUGCCCAGACCCGCCAUAUGUCUACACAUAUAAGGCGUCUAGAAUAAAAGCGGAAGUAAAAGCAAAUAAUAGAACAAAUAGAAUAGUAACAACUAAUGAUAUCAGAGCGAGUAAAAUUCUAUCAUCUACACCAAGGUAAAGAAACAAAGCUAGACAAUAAAAGAAACCAUAAGUAAUACACUAUCUGUCUCAAAAGUACAAAAAUGGUGGUCUCUAGUACACUGGUAAAACUCUCAACCUCUCGCAAAAAGAAAUAUAAAUCGAGAGGUAGACCACCUAGCAACUCGUCCUCGAAGGAAGCUAGCUCGAAGCAACUCCCUUCCCGCGAUCCCUGGCCUCACCCUGCGUGGAAGGCUCUGAAAAACAUCGAGAAAAAGAGGACGUGAGAACUAUAAUUUAUAGUUCCCAGUGGGCAAUUACUGACCUCAACUCAUUGCUCCACUAGGCCCCAAAAGAAAAAAGGGGGGGCGGGGUAAAUCCAACAACGAUAGUAACGAGUAAAUUGCAUAUAUGAAAGCCUAAUUAAGAUGCUAAGCUACAACUUGCAAUUAAACAUGGCAUUUAUAAUACAACUUUACCUUGUCAUGGAUAAAAUAUAUCUACAUGUCCCCAAGUAAUAUCAUGGUUUACUUUAUAUAGAUAUGAAAGUGAUACUUUGUCAUGACUACAAUGCAUAUAAGGAUGCAAUAAACAACAUCUCCUAGCAUACUACAUGUAUGUAUGAAUACCCAAAUGUCCACAUCUAUGCUAGAAGUAAGUCCAAGUAGUCCAGCUAUUACUAUCUGUCUAGUAGUGAUUAUCACACACUCCAUAUCAUGUCGGUUCCCAUUUCCAAUAAGGGACCUACUCAAGGUAGUCCAGCUUGUGCCGCCUAAGUGCCUGUGGUAGCCCGACAUCCCUACUCUCGGAAUGUGUCUGUCCCACUCGAUCCCGUAGGCUUCUCAAUACCGCACGAGCGAACAUAAGUCGCGUAGGCUAACUCCAGAGUGCCGGCUUGUAGGGAGCGACUCUCACAAGCAUGUGUGAAUGAGCACAAAUGGCAAGCAAGUAUAGUCCAAGUCUCAAGUAUCCAAUCCUCAUGUCUCUAACAUGGUAUCGUCACUAGCAUCCCGAAGAUCUAAUUCUAAGUCACAAAUGAAGUUCCAACAUUCUCUAGGUCUAGUGCCCCUUUAUGACACUUAGACAUUUAAUGAUUAAGCAUGUUCCACAUUCCUCAAUGGCCCUAUCCACUAGGUUCACACAUGUCCCGAGCUCAAUGCCGCUUGAUGACAUUAGCUCUCUAGUUCACCUACAUUCUAGUUCAAUACCUCUAUAUGGCAAUUUUGUCAUCUUUCAUGUCUCAAAUAAACUUAAGUUUAAAUGCAUGAAUCAAAGCUUAUUUACACUAUAGAAGCAUGAAAUCAAGUCUCAUAUAGAACGCUAAAUGCAACCAUAGGCCUACCAAGCUACUCUCUACUACAUAGAGGUCCAAAAUUUCAUCAUACAUAACAUAGGCCUUUUACGCAUUCUAAAAUUCACAAUAAUUACAUAUAGAGAGAAUAUGCAUGCUUUUUCAUUUAACGAUACUUAGUUAAGCACAAAUGAGAAUUUCUCAUUGUGUGGCUAGGUCAAACUCACCGAACCGUCGCGUAGGGCCUCGUUUCGCCGAACAAAGUUGUCCCCGAGUCUCAAAAUGCCCUAAAAGUAUCGAGCGAAAAGAUACACGGGCAUUACGAUCAACUAUAAGAUCAAACUUUAACAAAUUUAGCAAAAGGACUAAAACUCACCUAAUGUGUGGAAAAUCUCUCUCAAGCUCCAAAAGAGAGCUAAAUCCCUUCCAAUCCAAUCCCAAGGAAGGUUCUAAUCCAACCAAUUUAGUUCCAAAAGCCCUAGAUCAAAAAUGCCCAAAAUAAGCCCUAAGUCUCCAACCUAGGGUUUCAUCUCAAAGAAACCUUCAAAAAAUCAAAUCUAGAGGAAAAGAUCUAGUCACAUACCUCUAGGAAGCUUCAAACCAAGCUCAAAGUCCUCAAACUUCAAGGAUCAUCUCUCAACCAAGCAUAAACCCAAGCUCCAAUGGUGGGAAAAGCCUCCAACACCCAAAAAGGAGCAAAAAGAGAGGCUUUAAUCUCUCUAAAUCCAAAUAAAACCAAAGGAAUCAAAGGGGAGAGUGUGGAGGGCUCCCUUACCUCUUCUCUUGCUGGUCCCAAGCUCAGGAGAAGUCCCAAGGGCGUGGGGGAUACAUAUAGAGAGCAACAUUUGCGAAAAACCCCCCGCAGUUCAAACUGCUCAGAUUCUGCUGAAAUGUACCGGUACACGGGAAAGUGUACCGGUACACAUCCUACGAAAAUGCAAACCUGAGGCUCGGGUUCGAAAUUCGCCACAAGUGUAUCGGUACAACCAUCAAAAGUGUACUGGUACAAAAUGUGUACCGGUACAGCCAUCGACCUGUCACCGGUUACACCUCGUCCAGAAUGCAAUCCGAUGGUAGGCUAAGUCCAACUCUUUGGUGACCUUAGCGCUGCAUAAAAUACUACAAUUCUCGGGAUGCGAGCCAUAGGUCGGAACACUGUCAACGACCCACCAGAAAGUCUGGCAAAAACUCGGGAUACUAUCCAAACACUCAAACCUCGCAAUUUGCGAAGGUCCAGUGCGUCACAGGCACUGAUCGGUCGCCGUCCCGAUCUCCUCCCACCGUCGUCUCGCCGCCGGCGCCCUUGAACCCGAGAGGAGCUGUGCGGGCUUGAUCUCCACCGCCGCGCCACCGGCUGCCACCCGCCGCCGGCCAGCACCACCUCCGGACCCCUCGGACCGACUGCUCCCGUCCCCGGUCGGAGCGCUCGCCGUCCGGCCGCCGGCGGCCAGCCCUAGCUCCCACUACUCCGGUAAGUGGUUGUUUCAUGCUCCAGCACUGUAGUUAAGUUUUUCGAUCACCUUUCCAGUGAUCCAAUGACUCCACGACACCCCGCGAGGUGAGCACGAUGAUCGUGGGCUCGUUCUGAACAUGAUGCUCACCUCCGUUUGGGUUAAUGGUGCCGGGGUUAGUGAGUUAAGGGCAAUCUUUGCGCUAUGCACGCUGUUUCGCUGAAUUCCGCGUCGCUCGUGCGUGCGUCGCAGUGGCCGGCAGUGCUCCGGAAGGUGAGCACGACCUCUGGCACGCUGAAAUCUAUCAGCGAGAGUGAUGUUUGUCCUAAUCGACCCCUGGUUUGCGUGUAUGAUCCAUAAAAGCCAUGAAAUCACAUAAAAUAAUGUUAUUUCAUGUGUCGAUAGGGCCUUUUAUGCCGUUUGCUUCGUCGUAGCUGCUGUUGGCAGCGAGUUAGGGCUGAGGAUAACCUCUGGACUGAUCGUCCAAGGCCCCAAGCCUUUGCAAGUGUCGGAAAGAGAUUUUCGGCGCAUUUCUCGGUGAAAUCCGCCGACGGAACGCGGGAUCGGUUCGAAUUCCUUCCGACAGUGCUUCGUGAUGAAUUGUGUAGUCGCUGAGCCUUGUUGGCUGGUCACUCGCAUCAUUUUGAGGGUUCAAAAAUGACAGGUGAGCGACGGUAGGUUCCGGUGUCGAAUUAGACACUUCCGGGAACCCGAAUCGAAACGAUUAUUCGACGAUAAUUGUUUCGACGUGAGGAGUGGUGUUUGCUGCCAUGAUGCACGAUUACUUAUGUUUAGUGGCAGCGGAUGACUCGUAGCACGAGUCGGUACGUUCCGGGAUAGUUCGUGGGUCCCGGUGCGAUUUCGGGACUUCCGGCGAGUUACGAUAGUCGGUUUUAGGAAACCGAUCAUCGUGGGUUUGUUUGUGAGGUUGUAAGAGCUAGUGCAUGGUUUGUUAUUUGUGGGUUAGACUCUAACCCGAUGGACCCUUCUUAGGUUCGGUUGAUGCUUCUUCCACAGACGAGAGACAGGCACCGUAUUUGUACAGGUGGGUACUUCGAUCCGAAGUCGGUACAGUGGUGCACGCUCGGUGAUGUUUCUUCUAUCCUUGUUCUCCUUUUGCUAUUAUCGUAUGAUUUAUUGAGCUUGCAUCCUUGUUGAUUCUAUUAUACUCUACUCAUAUGUCUCUAUGCUUAGUAUCAUGUGUAGGAGUAGAGUAGUUUAUCCAUAUGUGAUAUCGGUGACCUGAUUGGUCGAUUCUCGUACUUCGUUUCGGUGACCUGAUUAGUCGGUUCUCGUACUUCGUUCAAUGACCUAGUUGAUCGGUGCUUUUAUCUCAUAUCUGUUGACCUAGUUGGUCGGUUGUUGCAUUAUGUAUUGGAUUGGUCUGUUUCUUGACUUCUGUCGUUCGAUGACCCUUGAGGUCGGUAUACCCUAAGGGGUGGGAUUGUCGGCUAGCGCCGACGGAUGAUUAUAGUUUACUCAGUUCCACUAUUUGGUAUGUUUGUGACCUAGUCAGUCAGCUUCGUGAGUCCUGUCGUUUGAUGACCUAUGAGGUUGGUGUACCCUGAGGGGUUGGAUUGUCGGCUAGUGGCCGACGGUAAUUCGAGGAUUCUAGUAGAUCUACUGUGGACUGCACCUGUUCGUCGGUUCGUUGUGGAUAGCGCCAACCCGAGGCUCUGUGUCACGCCCGGGUACCAGCGGAAGCAUAACCGGUACGUGCACAGACCCGCCAUACACCUGCAGUAUAUAAGGCGUCUACAACCAAGCAAGUCGAUAAGAAGAAGAUCAUAGAGAAUUCUAUCUCGAUAUCAGAGCAAAGUACCAGUCAACAAUACUAUCAACAAUAGAGUAAAGGAGUAUAGUCCAGAAAUCUCAACCAAAAGAUGAGUAUCACAACUAAAGUAUCUGAUCCAUACAGUAAAUAUACAGUACUGGGUAUACAAAAAGUAGGUACAAUGGUAGUCUCUCUACACAUAAGGACAUCACCCUCGGCCGUAGCCCGAGUAACAAGGUGAUCGACUAGCACGCUCCUAGUAGUGCCUAGCUAGGCGCGACUCCCUUGCCACGAUCCCUAGCCUCUCCUAUAGAUGGCUCUGUAAAAACAAGCAUAAAAAGGGCGUGAGAACUAUUAACAAUAGUUCCCAGUGGGUAAGCCGCCAGCCUCGGCGAAUUACACCACUAGGCUCAUGAUGUACUAAAUGAAAGCGAAAGCAAUAAUUGCAUGAUAUAUAAUUAUGCAAUACUAACAGGUAAUGAGUAUGUAAGCAACAUGUAAUCAUGAUUUCUGCAGUGAUGAAUCAACUGAAUAAUUGAAGUAUCGCAACUACUAUAAACAUAACCAUAAAUAUACUCAUAGAAGUGUAAGUACUACUGUACACUACAACUGAUACUCAUUCAUUACUAUCAUUAUCAUUUUCACUUUCAUUUUCAUUCACUAGGACCAACUCAAGGUAGUCCAGCUUGCGCCGCGCCUAAUGGCCCCGUGGUAGUAUACACUCCCCACGGCAAUCCACUUCGGCACCCAAUCCCGCACGGGCGAGCAACUGUCGCGUAGGCCAACUCCGGAGUGCCGGCUUGGAGGGAGCUACCCUCACAAGCGUGUGCGAAUGAGCACGAUGGCAAGCAAGCAAAGUCCAUUAUCCACAUGUCUCAAUUUUCAUAUUUUCACAUGCAAAGUUCAGAACCCUCGAUCCUCUGAUCGGAAUGUCAAUACACAAAUAGUAACAAAAGCUAGUAAUCACUAGAUUGUAAACAUGUAAGGGUAAAGCUAAAUCACAUGUCAUGAUAAUCUUUUCACUAAUAUAGCACUAUCAACAUAGUCACGAGCAUGUCAUAGUUCUCUACGUUAGAGUCGAGAAAUGUCAUUGUUCUCUACUUUAAAGUGCAUCCUACACUUGUUCAUAAGUCAUUCAACUGAAUUGACUAUAAAUGUAAAUACUUCCAUGUAUAAGUGUUCUCUACUUUAUAGAGACUUCAUUUCGAAUAUGUUCAACAUUAUGAUGACGAAUGUCAAGCCCUUUAUCAAUCACAUAAGCACAAUAAGAUCAUUUCUAUAUUACAUAUAGAACAUAGGGGAGUUUCACUUGCCAUGGUUAGGUCCGACCCACCUAGUACUAGGCUCCAAGUAUCCACAAGAAGUCCCACAAAUGGCUCAACGAAGCCCCAAUGCUGCUGAAAAACAAACGUCAAGAUCGGCUUAAAUCUACGGCCGAAAUGUCCGAUUUCGGCUCAAAUCACAUCUCGUAUUAAGUAGUAACAUAAAUCGCUGUUUUGAUUCACUUUAGUACCUCCAAUUAAGUCUCUAAAGGCUUCCCAAAGCCAACCAAGGAUGACCCAAAGGUCAGUCGAACUCCCGCUGCGAUCAACACCAACACGACAUCAAAAUCAUCACAUAAUAGCAAAUAUAGUCGGAAUCUUGCGAAUUCAGUUUUCUAACUGAAAUCCCUGCUUACCUCAGGUUAGAAUACCUCCCAAACCAGCUUCUAAGAGUGCAAGUUCAGCUCAACGAGACUCGAAGACCUGCUGCGAAGAAAAAUUUCCAAUUUUGCAUCAAUUCGACUAAGUAAACGUCAAAUAGUUCCGAAAUUGAGGUAUAGUUUACUAAUUAACCAUUUUAAGCUUUAAAGCAAGUUCCACAGAGUUUAAAUGGGUAAUUAGCAGCCAACAAAGCUCCUCUUUACUGCUGUAAACACCUCCUAAUCCAGUUCGAAGCACUAACACGAAAAGAUGUCCAAAUUCAACAUAAAACCGGAAACUAGAGAGAAAUCGAGUUGAUUACCUCUCUAAAACUGAAAUUCAGCUUCCCCUGGCAGUAACCUCAUAGAAACACAGCAAAGCUCCUCUUUCCCACGUGCUGGAAGCCUCCUUUAAGUCGCCAAACCAGCGAACAACAAGCGCGGCGCGGAAACGGCGCGAAUCGGCGGAUUUUCUCUAGAGAGAGAAAAACCCUAGAGAGAGAGAAAGAGAGAAGGUGAAAGAAGCUUUUCUGAACUCAAUCACCCUUCACAGAACAUCCCAGGUCGUGCUGGGUCAAGUAGAUAAGGAUAAGUAUGUGAAAUUACCAAAAUACCCAAACUGCCACGUUUCUGCAUUGUGUACCGGUACACCAUAAUGGCUGUACCGGUACACCAAGCAGAAAAUGCUGAUUUUCGCCGGUUCAAUGCACUUUCUCACUUUUAACCCUCCAAUCACUCUCUAACUUGGUCACAAACUUCUCCAAGUCAUUUAGAACAUGUAGAAUAAUUCCACACUUCAUUGCUCACACUCGAAUUUCGCAAUUUGCAAAAAUUCAGUGUAUUACACUCUGGUUGGCUGAGAAAUCGCGUUUGUACUGGUACAACCAUCAAGGUGUCACCGGUACACUUCUGUACCGGUACAACCAUCAAGGUGUACCGGUACACAGCUCAGCAAUAUGUAACCCGAGAGCAGCCUAAGUCCAUCACUUUGGUGACCUUAGCGCUAUUUAAAUACUACAAUUCUCGGGAUACGAGCCGUAGGUCGGAACACUAUCAACGACCCUCCAGAAUAUCUAGAAAAACUCGGAACACAGAUCAAACACUCGAACCUCGCAAUUUGCAAAGGUCCAGUGUGUUACAUUCUCCCCUCCUAAAAAGAAGUUUCGUCCGCGAAAUUGUGAUUCAACCACAGAACAGACCCAUUCGAAGAGGAUGGAAGAAGCGCUCCAUUAGCGCACCAAACAGACCAUGAAGGUCUCAAGCGUGCCGGAAGUUCCACGUCAAAACACACAAGAUCCCGCGACGCCAAGGCUUUGGCAUAACACAAGCCAAACUUCCACAAAAGCUCCUAGAGCUCAAGUCUUCACCGGAAAGUUCCAUCAUAUAUCCUUCUGAGGCGGAUUCAACGACGCUGUCCAUAGCAAGAAUCCGGGGGUUACACUCGUUACCCCAUCCAUCCAAAACUCCACCGGAGUACUCACAUGAUAUCAAUCACCAAAGAGAGGCGAUGAAACAUCCAAUCGCUGAUUUAAUCCCAACGAUGAUCUCACAACUCAAAAUCAAAUUCCAUCACGAGAUUGCACAACUGGGUGCCACUCUAUUCCAUAAUUAAGUAUGGUCUAAUUUCCACAUGGCUACCAUUCCAGCUUGCUUGGCACCAACGGCUCUACAAUCAAUAUCCACGGCAACAAUCCUUCCGAUAGCAACGGAAACCGACGAAUCAUCCAAAUUUGCUCACCAAAGGUGAUUAUUUGAUUCCUCAAUCGGCAUUGAACCACAAUGCCUCCACAUCAAUCUCACUUUCACCACUUGGGUAGUACUCUCAAAUCCUCUAUUAUAAAUAUGGUCAAGGACCAAAGUUCAGUAACAUCCUCAAUCCGCUAAGGUCAUUCCCUUAGUCUCAACUCGAUGUCUCAAAAAAAAACUCUUCGUAAGCUUAAGCCAAGGGCUUUUCUUCGAUAGAAAGUCUCGCACAUUAACCGUUCAGUUGCUUAUGAAGAAUCACUCAAAAUUUCUCAUUCUCAAUGCUUUCCUUAGCAUCGGAUUCUCUAGGUGUCCAUAGUCACCGAGCUCAACUUAAGUGAUAGAGAGGGUUCCAUCCAAAACUCAAAAAUAGCUCUCUAUCAAUAUCACCAUAAUGUGACCAACAGUGAAAACAUCAAUCCAAACAACUCUGCUACGCAGUAUCCAUUCCCAAGACCUGGAUUCCUGGUACAUAAACCAGACAAGGGAAAUUAGCAAUUUGGUAUUUUUCCUUCUCGAGUUUCCCAACCACUCGAUCCAAUAGUGAGAGUUUCAUACCUCGAUCACGUCAAUCUGCCUCUGCAGUCGAUCCUCGCAAAUCUUCAUCAGAAUAAUCGUGGCCAUCUGCGACCGGUUUCACAAAUCCAUCCAGAGGGCUUGAAAUUAUCAUUCAGCAAGUCCCUAGCACUGGUGGAGUACCACGGGCUUAGGCAACAUCACAAUAACCCUUGUGAUGUCCCAACCCAGUAUCAAAAUCCGCUUGAGGUACAACCUCAAACUCCAACUAAAACGGUAGUACUCAGAUUGCAUCUUAAUCUUAUCGAGUACCCCUACAACUCAAGGCUAAUUGAAAAGAUCAAUGAGCCUCUACAACGGUCCAAACACUCAAUUGUGGUUCAAUUUAGAUCACGAUAGUCGACAUACAGUCGAAACGACCCAUCCGGUCCCACAACAAGUGAGGAUGCUUCUCCACGAAGCAAAACACUAGGUACCAACCUCCCCGCCAAUUGAGCUCACACUUCGUGUCUCAAUCGGGAAAACAACUCGAAAGAUAUCCUCCACUACGAGGAUUCUCGAUCAACUACUGCUAUUGGCCAACUAGGCCCCAGAUCCUCUCCAAAUACUUGAUUUUAGGUAGAGAGACAGUCGUCGCAACCAGCGGAACUAAAUCCCCAAAUCGCACCAAUUCGUGCUCAAAACCUCAAGACGGGUCAAGUCAGCUUGCAAGACCAAGGGUACCAAGUACCCACAACAAGUGAGGCCAAUCCAUUCAUUGGCGCACAAAACCUUUGCACAAGGUAGGGUGUUCAAAACAACACACCCGAUCAUCUGAUCGUCCUACAUGCAUCGAAAAAGAUCAACGCUAGCAAAUCCUCGGGUUGGGUCACUACCUACUCAGGGUAUCCUCGAUCUCACGAUCCAACACGUGGCAUUCCACGCUCCUGGGCCUAAGUUCGGACUACCAUCCUGACAAAACUCUGCCCUACCCGUAGGUAUUGGGCCGCUGUCACACACAGCUGACUGCGCCUACCCAAAAGCCCAGUCUUUAUAGUCCACAAACGGUCCAGGCACGGUCGUCCCGAAGCACCAUCCGGCAAACAGCCGGUCAAGGAAUGCAAAUAAUGCAAUCUUCGUGAGAUCUAAAAAGCAUAGCAAAACAUUCUACCUUCAACCCGCAAAUCACCCGCCUAACUCGAGAGGAGCUACUCGUCAUCGCAAACAGCGAACUAACGGAAUGCCAUACAACUCGGCAAAUAGCUGAUCAAAGAAUGGAUACAAUGCACAAGAAACCAAUAAAACACGAGCUCGAAGGCCAUACAAAACAUAAUGAUACUUGCAACCCCAAUCUCGGCUGCUGCCGCCUCCUCAGUCAGGGCCGCAUACAUGCAACCCCUCCGUCUGUCUCUAGACAGGUGGCCUCCCGGCCUGGUAGUGAGCAAAAGGCGUCCCCUGGUUGGAACCUGGUAAAGCUGGUACUGAUGCUGAAGAUGGCGCUGGAACUGGACCCCUCGGGUAGUCUGACUAGAAGUGACCCUCCUGGCCACACGAGUAGCACCUGGCCCGACUCUGCGAGCACUGCCAUGGGUAAUGACGACUACUGCAGAUCACGCAACUCGAAGCCUGGCGACGGUCAGAUCCUCCAUGCGGUGCAGAUGAGCCACGUCCUCUCGACUGGCUCCGGCUCCUGGAAUGUCUCGGCGACCUCCCGGAAUACGUCUGACUCGCACCUCAGCCACGGGCCUCUUGCCCUUUCCUUUGUCCAAUCCUUCUCGACGCUCAUGCAAAUCCGUUGCGCCGCUCUCCACAAUAAGCGCAUGGUUCACCACAUCUCAGUAAGUCUGGAGAUUGGAGGAUUGCACCAACCGAAAGAUCGACGGCCGAAGUCCUCGCUUGAAGAUGCGGGCCUUGUCCUCGUCGUCCCGCAUAACAAAGGGCACACAGUGCAAAAGCCGAGAGAACUCUCUCUCGUACUCGGCCACAGUCCGAUCCUCCUGGCGCAUACUGCGCAAAUCCUACUCCAUCUUCCUUUUAACACUGUCGGGAAAGUAGUGCUCCAACAAGAGUUCCUUGAACCUCUUUUAAGAAAUCGCUGCAAGGUCGGUGUUGUGAUUAUCCUGGAUACCCAACCACCAACUAUAGGCCUCGCCGUCCAAGUGGUGAGUGGCGAGCCAAACUCUGUCCCUCUCCUCCACGAAAGUGUCGCAGAAUAACUUCUCCAUAUGCAUCAACCACUUCUCUACGAUCCAGUGGUCGGCUUUCUCUUCAUCGAAGAUCUUGGGGCUACACCUUCUGAACUCGUUGAGGCGAUUUAUGAGCCGCUCCCGCUCCGUUCCCUCAACCAUCACGGAAAAAAUUAUCGCUGCCAUAGGCACCUGAGUUGGUGGUACCGCAAAUACCUCCUCCCGAGGUGCUACCGCAGGUGCCGUCCGCGAAGUGUCGAGUGCAGGGGACGACCCCCUGGGUGCAACCACCUCUACCGGCGCGGGUGGUACAGGGGCCUGAGCCUCCCUGGCAGCCGUCUGCUGUAGUAGAAGAUCCUCUAGGCGCUGCAUACGCGCCUCCUGCCGGUGCACCGGAUCUCCCUGCUGCCGAGAUGCCGCCGCCUGCUGCGUCACCAAGUCAGUAAGGGCCGCAAGCUGGCUCCUCAACUCACGGACCUCGCCGGAUCCGGAGGUAGCGGAUGUCUCCACUUCCUCAAAAGUUGCCGUGUUGUCCACUCCAACAGACUUAGAGCGCGUAGUCGGCAUUAGCACUACAACAUCAUAAAAGCGUAAGUUAAUAAAACCCACGCUAUCGCAACCCUACUCAAACAACUAACACCCAAAUCAUGCGAAAGUAAGAAAGUGUCCUUUACUACUAACCCCCGAUGUUACGUGUCGGCCGCCAACGUAACCCUCCGCGAAGUUAGAAGUUAUACACUUCGGUUCAACUCCAACAUUUUAGAGUUAUCAAGGAAACCCAAUCAUAAUACUUUCGCUUACAAAUCAAAUAGACCUCGUCUCUCACGAGUCUAAUUCCUAUAGUCUAACCGGCCUAAGGUUUACUAGGUCCACUAAGACUCAACCCUAGACUCUGAUACAAAAUUAAUCUGUCACGCUCCGGGACCCGGCAUAGGCCCGCCCGGUGUGUGCCCAGACCCGCCAUAUGCCAGCACAUAUAAGGCGUCUACAACAAAAGCGAUAAGUGAACAAGAAAUAGAAAGUAUCUAGAAAUAUCAGAGCAAGUAUACAGUUAAGUUCUAUCAACAAGUAGAAUCAAAGGCAACUAAACCACUAAAGUAAAGCAUAAGUUAAUACAUCAUAAAUCUCAAGAUACAUAUAAGGGGUGGUCUCUACAAAUGGGUACAAAUCUCUCAACCUCUCCAAAAAGAAACAAAAGAGAGGUGGACCACCUAUCGACAAGUCCCUCGCUAGCUAGCCCGAGGCGAUAUCUUUCCCACGAUCCCGAGCCUCUCCUCGCGUGGAAGGCUCUGAAAGAAAUCAUGAAACAGGGGGAGUGAGAACUAUAAUUUAUAGUUCCCAGUAGGCAAUUACUGACCUGAGCAAUGUGCGCCACUAGGCCCAAAAAGAGAGCAGAUAUGAAUAACUAAAAAUAACUGCGGAAAAGAAAGCAUAUAAUAAAAAGCUAUUCUACUAUGCCACAAGUAUACAUGAUGUCAACAUGGUGUACAUCUAUUCUAUCAUAAUUCUAAUAUGCCAAUACAUAACAAUUAUGCUCUAUCAUGGCAACCAAGUAUACUAUGAUGCAACAAGUAAUACUAUCAAAUAUACUAUAUGUCCCAAAGUCCAAUAAUCCAACUACUCUAUGCUAUCAAGUAAUGAUUGUCAUAAUAUUGUUUAAUGUUCUCAUUUAAUCUUAUUUAGGACCUACAUAUGUGUAGUCCAGCAUAUGCCACCAAGCUGCCUGUGGUAGCCUGUCAUUCCACGCUAGGAAUGAGUCUGUCCCACACGACCCUACAGGCUUCCCGCCGCCUAGCUACCCAUGGUAGCUCAUCAUCCCACGUUGGAAUGUGGCUGUCCCACGCGAUCCUACAGGCGUCUCAAUCCCGCACGCGCGAACUGCGUCAUAAAGGCCAACUCUGGAGUGCCGGCUUGUAGGGAGCGACCCUCACAAGCAUGUGCGAAUGAGCACAAAUAGCAAGCAAGUAUAGUCAUCGUCACAACGAUUCGGUCAUCAUGGCUCAACCAUGGAAAUGAUCACUAGCAACCCAUAGGUCUAGUCCAAUGUCCUAAGUGAAGGUCUAACCAUUCAUUAUGUCCAAUGCCCCUUUAUGGCAUUAUAUCUCACUAUGCCCAAAUCUUGUUCCAACACUAAUACCACUUCAUGACAUUAGGUUUACUAAGUCCACACAUAUUCCAAGCCUAAUGCCCCUUCAUGACAUUAGCUUACUAAAUCCAUCCAUAUGCCGAGCCCAAUACAACUUUACGACAUCAGUGUAAGGAAGUGAAUUCUCGAAACUCGAGGAUUAGACUUCGACCAGAAUCGACUAUUCGUCGAGUGCGUAGGCUUCGGAAAGUCCGAAGGUGUUUAUAAUGCAUAAAGUGCAUUAAGGAAGGGCCCGCGAGAGCACCAAGUGCAAAACUUGCACUGGAGCAGAAAUGCUCUCGGGGACCGGUCCCUGGCAGUGAGGGACCGGUUCCAUCAGGCUGGGCUACGGGGGUCUCUGAUGAGACCGGUCCCUGGUGGUGAGGGACCGGUUCCCGAACGUUGGCCCAGCGAAAAUAGCCGAAAUUUGGCUAAGUCCCGAAAACUCAACUUUCGGGAACCGGUCUCUCGGACAAGGACCGGUCUCCCGGGGACCGGUCUCUCAAGCAAGAACCGGUUCCCGAACGCGAAAUCCCCUCUGCUCGAAAUGGCAGCCUUCGGGGACCGGUCUCCCCGAGCUCGAACCGGUCCCUCACUGCGAAAAUGCCCAGAGAGGGCUGAUUCUAAAGAUGAAAAGUUGAGGGGGCUAUUUGCAAAUGGCCUUUAAUAGGGCUUGGGGACCCCUUUCUCUCCCUCAGUUGCUCUCUUCCCCUCUCUCUCUCACUAUUCUCUCUCUCUCUAGGAAAGAAAGGAAAGAAGGAGAAGAAGAAAGAGAAGAAAGAAAAGAAGGAAAAGAGGAAGAAGUAGAAGGAGAAGUCCAAGAAGAAGAAGAAGAAGGUCUUCUUCUCUCUCUCCUUCAACCUAGGACAAGCUUGAAGCUUGGGUUAGAGGUAAGCUCCAAACCCUUUGAUGGUAAUUCUAGGGUUUUGGAUUUUUAAGGUUUAGAAUUGGUUCAAAUGGAACCUGUUAGGGAUAAAUAGAAGGUUCGAGCUCGAAAUCGAAGCUCGCACCAUGGAUUUCUCCGUUGUUGAGACCUAGGGCUUAGAAUUGGGAUUUUGGCAAAUCUAGGGUUUUGAUCUAAUUUGUUGGGUCGCUAACCUAAUUGCUAGGUCUCUGAACGCGUCGGCGAAGACGGUUUGCCGAUUCGACGAGCGGGUGCGGAGUUAUCGCCGAAUUGGGUACGCGAGGGCUCGUUCCGCCCCGAGGAGUUAAAGCGGCGUGCAAAGACCACAACGUCGAGUCUUCUACCAUCGCGGCAUCGCCAAGAGGUGGGUGGUGUCCAUCCCGAAGCAAUCGGGCUCCCUUCUAUGUCUUAGUACACGUCGAUCCUUGCAUCUUGUGUUAUUGCAUUAUACGAUUUUUGUGCAUUGCCUUUCCUUAUGCUUUCCUUGAUGAUAUCGUAGCCUGCAUUGAUACUUGAUAUAGUGGAUUGAUAAGGAUUGGGUCGAGACUUGUGAAUCCUAUAGUGCAGAGAAAGUGAUGGGUUCGAUGGUCGGUCUAAUAAUGAACAAAGAACGAGUGGCACCUAGUUGAUAGUAAACAAUUGGAUGAGUGGCAUUUAGUUGAUAGUAAGCAAAAGAACAAAUGAUACAUAUGAGUCGUAGCGUAUGGAAAACCCAUGGACUAUAUGAUGAUUGUAACCCUAGAGGAUAGGGUAUUCUCGAGAUGAGGAUUGGAUCAUGCUCACGGUCUGUUUUAUAAUCUUGUGAUGGAAGCCCCACACAAGUAGUGCGCUUCCGGAUGUUGGUCACGCUAGGGAUUGCCUAUAUGGCCCCGCCAGACGGUCUCGGGUCCGUAGUGUGAGUGAAUUCUCCCUACGUGUCGAGAUGGCUAGUGAGCUGUAGGCGAGCCUUCGGGUAACACGAGAUUGAUGAACAAGUAACUGAGGUAAACGACCGAGUGAAUAGCUUUAUCUUUGGACAUGAAUACCCGGUUAGUUGCUUACCGUUUCAUUGAACAUCCAUCCAUGUAUCUAUGAUUUGGGCAUAGUAGCGUAGUUGCUUUCCUGUCUUUACAGCUUCAUCUAUCUAUCAUAUCUAUAUUGGUAUAUCUACUUGUGCCCGCUUGGACCUAGUGGGGAGAUCGCGGAGUCGGCGGCCGAAUCCACUGGGAACUAAGGAAGUUAGUUCUCACCCCCACUCUUGAUUGAAGGAAUCAAGGGUGGGUGUCCCCGGUGAGCGUGAGGAUCGCGGUAAGGGCCCGGCGUUUUAGUCGCAUUAGCUACCUCCCUCUUUGCAUUAGCCGUCACCUUUUGUACUUGAGAGUAGAUGAUGUAUAGGGUGAGGCGGAGUGAUUGUAUUUGUAUUUUGGAUGAAUGUAAAAGAUGUACUUGAACAUAUUAAGUCAAAAUGAAUGUAAUAGAUAGCUCUUCUCUCUUGAUGUACUUGUAUAUGUUUUUAUACUCGUAUCUUGCUCUUGGUUGUUGCACUAGUGGUGCUUCUUGAUCGUGUAUUUAUAAAUUGAUUCCUGGGUAAAUUCUUAUACAUGAUCCGUUGGUUAGCCUUGGACGGACAGGGGAGGUCCUGUCCGUUCGGCGUCUGUCUGACGCGCCCGGGGCCGAACCAAAUUGGUAGCGGUCACGGGGCGUGACAAUCAGCUUCCUAAAUCCAUCCAUAUGCCGAGCUCAAUGCCACUUUAUGACAUUAGCUCCCUAAAUCCAUUCAUAUGCCGAGCCCAAUGCCACUUUAUAACAUUAGCUCAUUCCUAUGCCAAGCAUGAGUUCUAAGCCCAAGAGUGCAAUGUACUCAUCAUCUUCACUAAAUGAAACAUGAUCCCAAACCAAGUAUAAGAAUGCUAACCAUAGGCCCCAAGCCCAACACGAAAACUCUCUACUGAUUUUGGUAGAACUUCUAGUUUUAUAGAAACUAGGGUUAAAUUUGAAAAUUUUCAAACAUGAACUUUUUAGGCGAAAUUGAUAAUUGUAGAAUACUCUUAUAGGUUGGAAUUGAAGCCACAGUGCUUUGAUUUGAAGCUUGGACAAGAAUUUCUUGAGUCGAGGUAUUUUACACUUAUUUUUCUUAAAAUUUUUGGUGAAUUUCAUGGUGGAGCUUUUAGGAUGUUGUGACCCCUUGAAAAUUUUUCUUAAUGCUUAAGGAAAUCGAGCAGCAACUUCUAUUUGGGAAACGAAUGGGUUUUGGUGACUAUUUGGUAGGUUCGACCUAACCGAAAUUAUUGCAUUCCCCCCUAUGUCUCUUAUUCUUUCUUAUUGAGCUCAUUUCAUAUUUUAGCAUGCAAUUUAGAAGAAUUGUAAUUGAUUUAACAUAUGACCAGCAUACUACAUGCAUGUGGCAUAAACACUCCAUAGUAGAGUUCAUGAGACAUUUAUACAUGAUGCAUGUAAUUCUAUGUACAAGAAUAUUGUUGUAAGUAAUUUCAUCUACUUAGUGGAAACAUCAAUAGCUAAAUUCCAUACUUGGUUGGGAUAUAUGAAUUGCACGUACCAUACAAAUUUGAGACAUAUAUAUAGUAUAGGUUAUUCUUCUCCUUAAAUGUAAGUUGAGAUUUUGGAAAGGAUCAAAUGACCAAUAAUAUGACCAAAGGGUCGAGUAUUGAGAUUCUAUGUCUUUAGACAUGACGCAUAUGACCUCGCUUGCUUGCUACUUAUGUUCAUUUGCAUAUACUUGUGAGAGUUGCUCCCUACAAGCUGGCACUCUGAAGUUUAGCCACUGUGACAUCAUGCUCGCUCGUGCGAGAUUGGACACCGAAAUAGGCCACCGUGGGGAGGCUUAUUCCUAGAGAGGAGGAUAUUAACUAUCACGAGACCAUAAGGCCUGGUACAAGCCAGGACUAUAUCUCAUGUAAGUCCCCGAAUGAUUAGGUAACAGUUAACAAAGCUUGACAUUGAAUAUUACACAUAGUUGAUGCAUACAUGAUAGUGGUAUUCAUAUUAGUAGUAGAUCUACCUUCUUUUGGUUGUCACACAUAAAGGCAUGAUUGUACUAGGACUAUUUUCGUUUCCGCUACUUCAUAUAUGCUUUUACAUUUAGCAGAUAUUAUUUCUUUACAUUCAGCAGUUAUUAUUUCUAUGUCUCAGUUGACCUAGUGGUGUAGUAUGCCCCUCUCGAUGGUGUUACCCACUUAGAACUAUAUUAUAGUUCUAUUACCAUUGGUUGACCAUGUUUAUUUCAGAGCCAUCUAUAGCAAGAGAGGCUAGGGACCGUGGCAAGGAUAUCGCCAAUAAUUAGAACCAACCAAACUGAAUUUUUCCUACAAGUCGACCCGAUGCACCUUUCAUUUUUGGGUUAUAGAUGUGAGAGGUGUACAUAUAUUAUUUCUAAUAGGACUUCGAUGAGGUUCAUGAGACGUACCAUGUCACGCCCCGAGUCCGCCUCUUUGGUCGGAUUCGGGCACGCCAACAGACCGCCGAACGGACAGGGUUUCCCCUGUACCGCGGACAGAGUCUCCCCUGUACGUUCAAGGCGUCACAAUCCAUACAAUGCGCAAGGUUCCAACCAGGAACAGCAUUCCACAAAGAUUGCAUAAGGAAGGUAUGAAAACAUAAAUACUAUGCUAUUACAAGCAUUCAACUCAUAUACCUUUUACAUAACAUUAACUAGAUUCUUACUUCCAAAUACAAUCAGAUUUAACACAAUUAUUACAAUAUUGUUCUUUUCAUUUUCUUUUACAUCCCUAAGUAGCCGACUUAGGGUACUGCUAUCUCUGGUCUCGGUGGUAGGGCGCUAUCUACGGAGAUACGCCCUUGCCUCACACCGUCGCGCCGCUCACAUGUGAACCUGUAACCCCCAAAAACAACACGGGAGUGAGAACUAUUGUUCAUAGUUUCCAGUGGGUACGGCCACCCAAGGGAAAAGCUCGACCUACCAGGUCCAAAGGAGGCACUGCAAACAUGUUAGUACAACAAAUAUCCACAGAUAUAUAUAAUUUAUGCAACUAACAUUUAUCAUGUUCAUGCCUCACAAUAUGCAAUAUGCAAAUCAUGGAACUCAUAUAAGUAGAUUAAUUGAUCCUACUAUUUAUUCUUAGCCAUUCUUUAAGCCGUUCUUUAACGCUAGCCAUUCUUUAUCCUUAGCCAUUCUUGAUUCUUAGCCAUUCUUGACUCUUAGCCAUUCUUUAUUACUUACAAUUCUUUAGCAUUAGCCGUUCUUUAUUCUUUAUCAUACUUUCCUAAGGUCACUUCACCUUAGCCAACAUGCCACUCGACUCGGUCUUGAGUCAAUCCACUGCGGAUAGUCCACGCUCUAUCAGGCUCGAAGCGAAGGAAGUCUCACAUGUACCUCAGCCUUAAAUCCUCUCGACUAUAGGUCUACUCACAGGGUGAGGAUACACCGUCGAACCCCGGACCACAAGUCGCUCAAUGGACCUACGGGCAAGCAGAACCAACAUACCCGCGUCCCUAUUCUCAUGGCAUACCGGGCGAGGAGAACCAACAUACCCGUUGAAUCACUGUCGGGCGAGAAGAACCAACGUACCCGCAGUUAUGAUUUUCAUUAGCCAUUCCACAUACUAGGCGAGGAGAACCAACAUACCCGUUGAAUCACUGUCGGGCGAGGAGAACCAACAUACCCACAGUCUUGAUUCACUUGCGCUCAGUAGUAAGUCUUAUCCGCUGCACUAGCAGCCUUCAUUCCUAGGGAUUCCGGAAUCCACAUUCGCGUCUCUAGGGUUGGUCUUAAACCCUAUAGUGUCGACCUAUCUAGGUCCAAGCCAUUACUCAACCUAAGUUUAAUACCUUAGGUCCAAUGUCACUAUGUUCAUAGCCUAGGUUCUACAACACUAGGUUCUAUAUUCUUUACUACCUAGGUUCAUUUAACUCUAGGUUCAAUGCCACUCAUGUCAUAACCUAGGUUUACUUGACUCUAGGUUCAAUUCUCAACCUAUAUUUAAUACAUUAGGUUUAAUGCCACUCGUGUUCCUGUUUUCCUAGUUGUCCACACCUAGGAGUUAUACUUGAGAUGCCACUCAUAAAUCACCUAUGUUCAAUGACACUAGGUUUUAUUACCACUCUUGUCCUUAUUAUUUAUACUUAGGAUUCUUAGUUUACAAGCUAUACUUGCCGAGUUUUUUACUCUACUUAGAGUUCAUCGAUCUUAGUUCACAUUCAUAUCUAGGCAAACAUAUCUCAUAUGCUUUGUCACGCCCCGAGCCCGAUCCUUUUGGCCGGUUCGAGAGCGGCAACAGACGUCGAACGGACAGAGCCUCCCCUGUCCGCCCAAGGCUCAACAACAAGUAUCAAUAGAGUAUAAAGUCUGCAUAAGCGGAAGCAUACACAAUAGCUUGCACGAGGGUAAGCAAUAGCCAAUAGUGAAAGUAAAUAACUACACUUAAGAAAUUUAUUACAAUUUUGCUUUAUUUCUUUUUACAUCCCAUUCUUCCAAAAUAUAGCAUUGAUAUUAAUGAAUUCUUUUACAUCAUUCAUGUCCUUUCAUUUAACAACUAUAAUCAUCAAAGUACAAAAGAUGAUAUAUCAAAAGAGUAUGCAACUAUAAAAUAAAACAUCUCGGCGGUCUCUACCUAAGGCGCGAUGCCCUUACCGCAGUCGUCUGCCAGAUCGCUCGGUCCCGGCUCUGUGGAAAUAGGGGUGUGAGAACUACAACAAAGUUCCCAGUGGGUUCGGCAACCAACCACGCCGACUAUCCCACUAAGUCUAAUCAGGCAUAAUAGAAUAGAAAAAAGAAAGUAACCAACUAACAAAUGCAACUAAUAUGCCUGAACAAUAUAUGAUGUGAUGCUCGAUAUGAUGCUCAUGAUGAAUGCGGAAUAAUAAUUUCUUUACCCAAUCUUUUAGCUAAUCCGUAGGUUUCGCCCUCAACAAACUCACCAACCCAAAAUCCUAUUUAACCGGGGAGAUACCCGCUACAACCUGAUAGGACCGUCCUCUGGGGAGAUACCUGCUACGACCCAGUGAUGUCGACUCCGGAGCACAUCGCCCGAAGGGGAGCUACACCCUCGAGCAAGGACUAAAAGGUGAGUACGAUCAAUCCUACAUUAAGGAUUCCAAGUUCAAUCCAUUCCUUAACUUUAAGGAAGACUAUGCUCAAAUGACCCUUAACUCUAAGGUUGAAAUGUCAUAAUGUCUCAAUCAUUCUUUUCUUGCAUUCUUUACUAACACUAGUGUCAUAUACACUACUAAGUUCUUGUACUCAUGCCACACUUGUUUUCUAAGUGCUAUGUUCUUGUUCUCAUGCCAAAUGUCACACUUGUUUUCUAAGUGUUCUAGACUUAUCAAUGUCACUCACUAGAUCUAUAUCCAUGUGUCACUUUUGUUCACUAACCCUUCUAGAUUCUUGUCACUCGUCAUGCAUAAAUAGGGUUAUCAUUCUCACAUUCUUACAAGUAUUUCAUAGGAAAUUAAUUUCACAAUCAUGCAAUAAAGCUCACAAUUAACCCAACUAUGCAAUAUGCUCAAUAUAUACAUAUAUGUUCAAACAUGAUACUUUAGACAUAAAGGGAUUUUCGAGGUCCUUGGAAUGCACCACCCACCUCAAGUGGUCGUGUGGGCGUAGAAUAUGCCGACUCCCGAACUUUACGAAAGCCGAUACCGCGACCUACAACCAAAAUAGUGCCUUUUUAGGCUUUUUGUACAUGAACCAUACUUAAACAUUUUCGUAACGUCGAACAAAGUUGUCCAACAUGCCGAGAACACUCCCAAUUAGGCUUCUAUGAGGUCAAUUCGCCCUCGAAAAAUUCUAUGGCAAAAGCCCAAAAUUUGGUGCCCUAACCAAACCCAUUACUAAACCCUAGGUUUUGAUCUCUAAAACAAGCGAAAGAGAGCUUGUUUAAUCUCUAGGAGCUCACCUAAGGCCAACUAGGCCAUUUCUAGGGCAUCCAAGAUGAACCCUAGAAGUUCACUAUGAGAGGAGUCCAAGACAACCAUGGAUUUCAUGGUUUCAAGGUCUCUAGAGGGUUUCCUCACUUGUAGAGAGAUCAAAACUCAAAGAUCUAAGGUCUAAACCCAAACCAUAGACUCACUUUUGCAUAAGGACUCACCUUUGCCCAAGCUCCACCAAAGCCUUCUAGUUGGAGAGCUUUUAGGACCACCAAAGCUACCAAAAUCCACUUCUCCAAGCUCUUCUCCACCUUCUCCAAGCUCUAGGGCUUGCUUUCUAGAGAGAGAAAGAAGAGAAAAUGAGAGGGAGGGAGGGAGUGUGUUUGCUGUGAAGAGGGGAGAGGGGAUAGGCCAUAUAACAUAUUGCAACAUUUGCAACUAAGCCCCCCGAACUCUUUCUCUGUGCACUGCCCAUACUGGGCAUUCUUCGCAGUGAGGGACCGGUCUCCUCGACCUGGGACCGGUCCCCGAGAGCUGCUCCCGCGGAUUGCGCGGGCUCCGCGCGAUGGAACCGGUCUCCCCCUGAUGGAACCGGUCUCUCGGGACCGGUCUCUCCUCACAAGGACCGGUUCCCGAGAGCUGACUUAGCCGAUUUCUCAGCCAUCUCGUUGCCUACGCAUUCGGGGACCGGUCUCUCCCACCACGGACCGGUCUCCGAGAGCACAAAACCUACAAUUUGCAUAUUUUGAUUUCCAAAAGUUCUCGAAGAUCCCCAGUAAUGCAUUUUGCAUUAUUUGACGCCUUCGGCCUCUCCGAAGUGUACCAACCUCACACUUUGGUCAAUUUGACCAAUAUUCGAAUUUAAUUACCGAGGUUUCGGUAUGUUACAUUCUCCACCCCUUAAAUAUAGUUUCAUCUGUGAAACUUACUUAAUUUAGACUUAAAUUCAUACCUCAAUUCAGCUCGUUAAAGAGGUGAGGAUAAUGUUCCCGCAUUGCGCUCUUGAGCUCCCAAGUGGCUUCCCGAUCAUCGUGAUUGCACCAACGGAUCUUAAUAUACGGAAUCUCACAAUUUCGUAGUUUUCUUACUUCUCGAUCGAUGAUGUAUGCCGGGAAUUUCUCAUAGGUCAUGUCCUCUUGGAUCUCGGACGGUUCAAUCGACAGGACAUGCUCGGGGUCAUGAAUAUACUUGCGGAGGUUCGAUACAUGGAACACAUCAUGCACUCCCGCAAGCCUCGGUGGUAAUGCUAUCUUGUACGCCACCGCGCCAACUCGCUUCAAUAUCUCAAACGAUCCGAGGUACCGGGGACUUAGUUUUCCUCGGAGUCCAAACCGUCUAAUUUCUCGCAUCGGCGACACCUUUAGAAAGACGCGGUCGCCAACUGCAAACUCUAUGUCUUUUCUCCGUUUGUCGGCAUAGCUCUUUUGCCGAGAUUGCACCAUAGUGAGUCUUUGGCGGGCAAGGCAAAUUUUCUUCUUCGCCUCCCGCACCACAUCCGGGCCAAGAAUAGCUCUCUCGCCCACAUCGCUCCAAUGGAUUGGAGAGCGACAUUUCUUUCCAUAAAGGGCCUCGAAUGGCGCCAUUGCGAUACUUUCUUGAUAACUGUUAUUGUACGCGAACUCUGCCAUCGGUAAGUGAUCAUGCCAACUGCCCUUGUAGUCCAAUACACACGCUCGAAGCAUAUCCUCAAGUAUUUGUAUCGUUCUCUCUGAUUGACCAUCACUUUGAGGAUUAAAUGCCGUGCUAAAGUCGAGCCGUGUGCCUAAGGCCUCCUGUAGGCUGCUCCAAAAAUGAGAUGUGAACCUCGGGUCCCGAUCUGAUACAAUAGACACUGGUACCCCGUGAAGUCUCACAACCUCGUCGAUAUACAGUUGAGCCAACUUGUCCCUCGACCAAGUAAUAUGAAUCGGUAGGAAAUGUGCCGACUUCGUCAACUGGUCUACUAUCACCCAAAUUGCAUCGUGUCCACCUUGAGAUCAAGGCAACCCGGUCACGAAGUCCAUUGCGAUAUUUUUCCAUUUCCAAACGGGUAUAGGUAAACUUUGCAACUUUCCCACCGGAAACCGCCGCUCCGCUUUUACUUGUUGGCAAGUAAGACAUUGCGCAACAAACUUCCCAAUGUCUUUCUUCAUGCCCGGCCACCAAUAAUGCAAUUUCAAAUCUAGGUACAUUUUGGUGCCGCCCGGGUGGAUACUAUAAGGAGAUUGAUGCGCCUCUUGCAUAAUUGCUUUGCAGACGUCCUUGUUCUUAGGCACACACCAACUAUUUCUAAACCGGAGUGCGCCGUCGGUCCGAAUGCCAAAAUCAUUGGCACUAUCGCUCUCAACUUCACCGUGCACCUUUUGGAGAUACUCAUCGGAAGCUUGCAGCUCUUUUAUCUUCUCCAACAAGGUCGGUUGUACCACCAACGCGGCAAGUGUAGCCGGCACUCCGGCUCCACUACUUCCAAGCCAAGCCGUUGCAUCUCCUUUUGCAACAAUAGUUGGGGUGUAAUUGCCGAAGCCAAAUUUUCUCCCGAUUUUCUACUAAGUGCAUCGGCCACCACAUUAGCUUUCCCGGGGUGGUAUAGAAUAGUAACAUCAUAGUCCUUCAACAAUUCUAACCACCGCCAUUGACGCAUAUUUAGCUCUUUUUGGGUGAACAAAUAUUUAAGACUUUUGUGAUCCGUGUAGAUCUCACAAUGUUCCCCAUAUAGGUAAUGCCUCCAUAAUUUUAGCGCGAAAAUAAUCGCCGCUAACUCCAGAUCGUGGAUCGGGUAGUUUUUCUCAUACGUCUUCAAUUGGCGCGAAGCAUAUGCUAUAACUCGGCCGUUUUGCAUCAAGACACACCCGAGUCCAAUGUAGGAAGCAUCAUUAUAAACCACAAAGGUCUCCCCCGGCAUAGGUAGAGCAAGCACCGGGGUCGUGGUCAAUCUUUGUUUUAACUCCUCAAAGCUCCGCUUGCAUUCGGGGCUCCAAACAUACUUUACCCCUUUAUGCGUAAGGUGCGUUAGUGGAGUAGUUAUUUUAGCAAACCCCUCCACGAGCCGCCGGUAAUAGCCCGCUAGCCCCAGGAAGCUGCGGAUCUCCGAUACGCUUGUUGGGCGAGGCCAAUCUCUAAUUGCCUCCACUUUCUUCGGGUCCACCGAGAUACCAUCGCCCGAAAUUACAUGACCAAGGAAAGUGACCUCCGGUAGCCAAAAGUCGCAUUUCUUCAACUUGGCAUAUAACUUCUCUUUUCGGAGUACGUCCAACACGGUUCUCAAAUGCUCCUCGUGUUCUUCCUCGGUCCGAGAAUAUACCAAUACGUCGUCAAUGAAUACCACGACGCACCGGUCGAAUAGCGGACGAAAAAUCCUAUUCAUUAAGUCCAUGAACGCUGCCGGGGCGUUAGUAAGCCCAAACGGCAUCACCGUAAACUCAUAAUGGCCAUACCGCGUACGGUAAACCGUCUUGUGCACAUCCUCGGGCCGUAUCUUCAACUGAUGAUAUCCCGAUUGAAGAUCAAUCUUCGAAUAUACCCUUGACCCCUUCAACUGAUCGAAUAAGUCAUCAAUCCUCGGCAACGGGUACUUAUUCUUCACCGUGACCUUGUUCAACUCGCGGUAAUCCACGCAGAGUCGAAGUAUGCCGUCCUUCUUCUUAACGAAUAGCACCGGAGCUCCCCAGGGUGACGCGCUCGGCCUCACGAAGCCUUUGUCGAGCAGGUCUUGCAAUUGUGCCUUGAGCUCCUUUAGCUCUGCCGGUGCCAUUCUAUACGGAGCCUUCGAAAUUGGAGCCGCCCCGGGUACCAAGUCAAUAACGAACUCGAUCUCCCGAUCCGAUGGCAAACCCGGUAACUCCGACGGAAAUACAUCCGGAAACUCACACGCCACCCGAAUACCACUAAGUUCCGGGCGCUCCUUCGGGGCUUCUACCACUGUUGCCAAAUAGGCUUCACAACCGCCUUUUAUCAUUCUCCUCGCCCGUGCCGCCGACACGGUCGCCGCGAAGAGCGAGCUUUUAACUACCCGAUACACUAGCUCUUCUCGAUUAGGCUCACGAAAUGUGAUCACCUUACUUUCGCAAUCUAUCACGGCAUAAUACUUAGAGAGCCAGUUGGUCCCCAAGAUCACGUCGAAACCCUACAUUCGAUUCAACACCAAUAGGUCGAUCGGCAUGACCCAAUCACCUAUCCACACUGGGCACGCUACACACUCUUCAUGAACAUGAAAAGUAUGCUCGACCGAAUUUACCGUCCAAUAGUCAUAAUGAUGCACGAUCUUAAUGCCAUGAGUCCUAGUGAAUGAUGCAUCUAUGAAUGAAUGCGAUGCACCGGUGUCGAAUAAAGCUCUAGCUCUAGUGCCUCUGAUCGAGAUAAUACCUACCACGAUGUCGUCGGGGACAGGAAUCGGCUUCUCCUCCACCUGAGUGGCAAAAACAUGCCCACUCGGUGCUCUCGAUGCCUCUGGCUGACGCGAUUAAGACGAACGUCCAGCCGACAUAGCCGAUGGUAACCCCGCCUGCUGUCUCGGGGUAUAAGGAACUGAUGCCGAGGUCGGUGCAGAUGAACCCCAGCUAGGGCACUCUCGUGACACAUGCCCAGGUUGGCCACACUUAAAGCAUUUCCUGUCUCGCUGCGGGCAUGACGGCGGUUGAUGGUUACCGCCGCAAAUGACACAACGGGAUGGCCUCCAACCUCUCGACUGCUGUUGGGGAUACCGAGGGGGUUUCUUAGUAUUUGGCCGGCCCCCAGUGCCACCCGCUGUCCGUUUCUUGCUCUUCUCCUUUGCCUCGGCUGCGGACUAGCGCUCCUCGCGUUCGUGGGCAUAGCCAUGCUCCGCCCACAAAGCCCGAUCAAAGACCUCCGCAAAGGUCGUCAGCUUGAGGAUUUGCACAGCCCUAUGAAUCCCCGGCCGAAGUCCUCGCAAGAACCAGUCGGCCCGGUCCCGGUCAUCACGAACAACUUCCGGGACGCAAUCGAUAAGGUGGGAGAACUCCUGCUCGUAGUCCGCCACGGAGCGAUCCCCUUGCCUCAACUUGCGAAAUUUUUCUUGCAACUUCUGCUUCACCAUGUCGGGGAAGUAAUUGGCGAACACCGCCCUCCGGAACUCCUCCCACAACAUAGGCGGAAGAUCGGGUGAUCAAUCCCACCUAACACGCUUCCACCACACCUUCGUCGCGUUCUCAAGGCAAUGUGUGGCGAGGUACACCUUGUCCUUCUCCAAGGUGUUAAGAUCCUCAAAAAGUGUUUCCAUGGAGUCGAUCCAGGACUCCACCACGCAGGUUCCACCACUCCCCCUUCGAAGGUAGGUGGGUUGAACUUCUGGAACUGAAUGAGAGCCGCCAACGCGCGCUCUCUCUCCGCCUCUUCCGCUGCACUAUCGGGGUUUGAGGUCCCCGAUCCCGCCGGCACCAUCGUGACUGGCACGGCCGCCGCAGCCACACCCUCGGCCGCACUUGGCACCACUGCAGGGGGCGCAGGGUGCAUGGCCUCCACGGGCGCCGCCGCCUGCUGUCGCUCGAAGGCCUCCUGGAGCCUUCGGAUUUGCUCCCCUUGGCGUUGAACGGAUUCCGCCUGGCACUGAACGGAUUUCGCCUGCUGCCGCACUACGCCAAUAAGCACGGCCAUCUGCUCCCGAAGCACCCCGUCGCCACCUGCUUCGGGUUGCACGGGAGCCGUACUUGACUUCUCGGCCAUAGACCUCGUCCGCGGUCGUCCACGAGGCGGCAUUGCUUCCUGAAACGAAGCAGCUCACGUUAAUUACUUAGACAACAUACUCGACUAUACCGAAUCCUGCGAAAGCAUAUAAGUGUAUUCAUUUCCAUCCCAAAGCGUCAUGUCGUCGGCCGCCGAUCACAACACAAAGAGUAGACAACAAAUAACAACUUAAGUUUAGUCCCUAACCACAUUAGAGACAUAAUUACAUCAACCCAAUCCAUGCCUUCGCUAUAACUUGUUCAACGUCACUCACGUUUCCUAGAUCCUUAAGGUUUUCCAUUCCUAAGGGUCUCUAGGUCCAUCCUAUGCUUUCACUUUUUGGCUCUUUACGCUCUGAUACUAUCUUAUCUGUCACGCCCCGAGCCCAAUCCUUUUGGCCGGUUCGAGAGCGGCAACAGACGCCGAACGGACAGAGCCUCCCCUGUCCGCUCAAGGCUCAACAACAAGUAUUAAUAGAGUAUAAAGUUUGCAUAAGCGGAAGCAUGCACAAUGGCUUGCACGAGGGCAAGCAAUAGCCAAUAGUGAAAGUAAAUAACUACACUUAGAAAUUUAUUACAAUUUUGCAUCAUUUCUUUUUACAUCCCAUUCUUCCAAAAUAUAACAUUGAUAUUAAAUGAAUUCUUUUACAUCAUUCAUGUCCUUUCAUUUAACAACUAUAAUCAUCAAAGUACAAAAGAUGAUAUAUCAAAAGGGUAUGCAACAAUAAAAUAAAACAUCUCGGCGGUCUCUACCUAGGGCGCGAUGCCCUUACCGCGGUCGUUUGCCGGCUCGCUCGGUCCCGACUCUGUGGAAAUAGGGGUGUGAGAACUACAACAAAGUUCCCAGUGGGUUCGGCAACCAACCACGCCGCCUAUCCCACUAGGUCUAAUCAGGCAUAAUAGAAUAGAAGAAAGAAAGUAACGAACUAACAAAUGCAACUAAUAUGCCUGAACAAUAUAAGAUGUGAUACUCGAUAUAAUGCUCAUGAUGAAUGCGGGAUAAUAAUUUCUUUACCCAAUCUCUUGGCUAACCCGUAGGUUUCGCCCUCAACAAACUCACCAACCUAAAAUUCUAUUUAACCGGGGAGAUACCCGCUACAACCCGAUAGGACCGUCCUCUGGGGAGAUACCUGCUACGACCCAGUAAUGUCGACUCCGGAGCACAUCGCCCGAGGGGGAGCUACACCCUCGAGCAAGGACUAAAAGGUGAGUACGAUCAAUCCUACAUUGAGGAUUCCAAGUUCAAUUCAUUCCUUAACUUUAAGGAAGACUAUGCUCAAAUAACCCUUAACUCUAAGGUUGAAAUGUCAUAAUGUCUCAAUCAUUCUUUUCUUGCAUUUUUUACUAUCACUAGUGUCAUAUACACUACUAAGUCCUUGUACUCAUGCCACACUUGUUUUCUAAGUGCUAUGUUCUUGUUCUCAUGCCAAAUGCCACACUUGUUUUCUAAGUGUUCUAGACUUAUCAAUGUCACUCACUAGAUCUAUCUCCAUGUGUCACUUUUGAUCACUAACCCUUCUAGGUUCUUGUCACUUGUCAUGCAUAAAUAGGGUUAUCAUUCUCACAUUCUUAUAAGUAUUUCAUACGAAAUUAAUUUCACAAUCAUGCAAUAAAGCUCAUAGUUAACCCUACUAUGCAAUAUGUUCAAUAUAUACAUAUAUGUUCAAAUAUGACACUUUAGACAUAAAGGAAUUUUCGAGGUCCUUGGAAUGCACCACCCACCUCAAGUAGUCGUGUGGGCGUAGAAUAUGAUGACUCCCGAACUUUACGAAAGCCGAUACCGCGACCUACAACCAAAAUAGUGCCUCUUUAGGCCUUUUGUACAGGAACCAUACUUAAACAUUUUCGUAAAGUCGAACGGAGUUGUCCAACGUGCCGAGGACACCCCCAAUUAGGCUUCUACGAGGUCAAUUCGUCCCCAAAAAAUCCUAGGGCAAAAGCCCCAAAUUUGAUGCCCUAACAAAACCCACUGCUAAACCCUAGAUUUUGAUCUCUAAAACAAGCAAAAGAGAGCUUGUUUAAUCUUUAGGAACUCACUUAAGGCCAACUAGGCCAUUUCUAGGGCAUCCAAGAUGAACCCUAGAAGUUCACUAUGAGAGGAGUCCAAGACAACCAUGGAUUUCUUGGUUUCAAGGUCUCUAGAGGGUUUCCUCACUUGUAGAGAGAUCAAAACUCAAAGAUCUAAGGUCUAAACCUAAACCCUAGACUCACUUUUGCAUAAGGACUCACCUUUGCCCAAGCUCCACCAAAGCCUUCUAGUUGGAGAGCUUUUAGGACCACCAAAGCCACCAAAAUCCACUUCUCCAAGCUCUUCUCCACCUUCUCCAAGAUCUAGGGCUUGCUUUCUAGAGAGAGAAAGGAGAGAAAAUGAGAGGGAGGGAGGGAGUGUGUUUGCUGUGAAGAAGGGAGAGAGGAUGGGCCAUAUAACAUGUUGCAACAUUUGCAACUAAGCCCCCCAAACUCUUUCUCUGUGCACUGCCCAGACUGGGCAUUUUUUGCAGUGAGGGACCGGUCUCCCCGACCUGGGACCGGUCCCCGAGAGCUCCUCCCGCAGACUGCACGUGCUACGCACAAUGCAACCGGUCUCCCCCUGAUGGAACCGGUCUCUGGGGACCGGUCUCUCCCCGCAAGGACCGGUUCCCGAGAGAGAGCUGAUUUUCCAGGACUUAGCCGAUUUCUCAGCCAUCUCGCUAGCUAUGCGUUCGGGGACCGGUCUCUCCCACCACGGACCGGUCUCCGAGAGCACAAAACCUACAAUUUGCAUAUUUUGAUUUCCAAAAGUUCUCGAAGAUCCCCAGUAAUGCAUUUUGCAUUAUUUGACGCCUUCGGCCUCUCCGAAGUGUACCAAUCUCGCACUUUGGUCAAUUUGACCAAGGUUUGAAUUUAAUUAUCGAGGUUUCGGUAUGUUACAUACUUACUCAUGCCAAUGUCUUUAUCAUUCAAGGGUAAACAGUAUACCUCAUGCAUUCUUGACUAGCGUAUAUCAUAUGUGUCACGCCCUGGGACCUGGCGUAGGCCCGCCCGGUGCGUGCCCAAACCCGCCAUAUGCCUGCACAUAUAAGGCGUCUACAACAAAAGCGAUAAAUAAACUUGAUACAAACAUCUAGAGAUAUCAGAGCGAGUAUAUAACUAGGUUCUAUCAACAAGUAGAAUCAAAAGAGACUAAACCACUAAAGUAAAAAGUAAGGUAAUACAACCCAAGUCUUAUGAUACAUAUAAUGGGUGGUCUCUACAAAAUGGUACAAGUCUCUCAACCUCUUCAAAAAGAAACAAAAGAGAGGUAGACCACCUAUCGACAAAUCCCUCGCUAGCUAGCCAGAGGCGAUUCCUUUUCCACUACCCCGAGCCUCUCCCGGAGUGGAAGGCUCUGUAAGAAAACAUAAAACAGGGGGCGUGAGAACUAUAAUUUAUAGUUCCCAGUGGCCAAUUACUGACCUUAGCAAAAUGCACCACUAGGCCCAAAACAAUAGCAGAUAUGGAUAAUAAAAUGUAACUGGGAAAAAGAAAGCAUAUAAUAAAAUGCUAUACUACUAUGCCACAAGUACACGUGAUGUCAACAUGGAGUACAUCUACUCUAUCAUGAUCCAAUAUGCCAAAACAUGUCUAGUAUGCUCUAUCACGGCAUCCAAGUAUGCUAAAAUGCAAUAAGCAAUACUAUCAAGUAUACUACAUGUCCAAGUGUCCAAUACACAUCUAGUAUGCACUAUCAUGGCAAUCAAGUAUACUAUAUGUCCCAAUGUCCACUGAAUCCAACUACGAUAUACUAUCAAGUAGUGAUUAUUACAUAUAUGAUUCCGUGUCGAUUUUCAUUUUCAAUUAAGGACCUACACAAGGUAGUGCGGCUUGUGCCACCUAAGUGCCAGUGAUAGCUCUAGCAUUCCCCCUCGAGGAAUGAGUCUAACCCUCUAGCCCCCGUAGGCUUCUCAAUAUCGCACGAGCGAUUAUAAGUCGCGUAGGCUAACUCCGGAGUGCCGGCUUGUAGGGAGCGACCCUCACAAGCAUGUGUGAAUGAGCACAAAUGGCAAGCAAGCAUAGUCAUUGUCACAACGAUCUGGUCAUUAUGGCUCAACCAUGGAAAUGAUCGCUAGCAACCCAUAGGUCUAGUCCAAUGUCCCAAGUGAAGGUUUAACCAUUCAUUAUGUCCAAUGAUCCUUUAUGGCAUUAUAUCUCACUAUGCCCAAAUCUUGUUCCAACGCUAAUGCCACUUCAUGACAUUAGGUUUACGAAGUCCACACAUAUUCCAACCCUAAUGCCCCUUUAUGACAUUAGCUUACUACACCAAUUCCAAGCCGAAUGUCGCUUUAUGAUAUUAGCUUACUAUACCAAUUCCAAGCCCAAUGUCUCUUUAUGACAUUAGCUUACUAUACCAAUUCCAAGCCCAAUGUCGCUUUAUGACAUUAGCUUACUAUACCAAUUCCAAGCCCAAUGUCGCUUUAUGACAUUAGCUUACUAAUUCACAUGAUAUUCAAGUCCCAAGCCACUUCAUUGCCUAAUGUAUUCUUAUAUGUCCAAGGGCACAUUACAUUGUCAUUUUCACUAUGUGAAACAUGAUUCUAAGUCCCGAACGCAAAUGCUAAACUCAUGCAUAAGUCUCACAUGCAAGCUCUCUACUAUAUAGAGGUCCAAAAAUGCAUUGUACACAACAUAAGCAUUUUAAGCAUUAGAAAAUUCAUAAAUAAUGCAUCUAGUAUGAAAAUGCACGAUUUUUCAUUUUACGAUACCACUACAACAGAAUUAGGUUAUAGGGACAUAUGUUUGGGACACUUUUGAGUAAGUGUCUCAUUUAUCCUAAAAUUUAAAAAAAUAUCUACUAAUGCCUAAAUAUAAAGCCCAAUCCAACCAAAAAUAAAAGAUUACUUUACUCAACCCACCACACCCAGUCCAUUUGGCCCGAUUACAAACAGAAAAGAAAAAAAAAAAGAAAAAUCAAUUAUCAUCUUUUCUUCUCUCUUCACUCAAUCCACUGAAAUUCUAGACGAAGAGCCUUUCCUGUCGUCCUCCUCCGCCACCGCAGCCAACGAGAUAGAGUUUCGGGGGUUGCUAAAUGCUUAAAUAAGUGUUGGUAAAUUAGCAGCACUCUUUUAGGUUAUAGCGACACUCUUUAAUUGUCACUAUAUACCUAGUGACCCCACAUAUAGUAACACUUUUUAAAAGUGUCGGUAAUUUUAGCUAGCAGCACUUUUUUGACAUGUACCUAUAUAUAUUUAAAAGUGUUGCUAUGGACCGUUUUUGUUGUAGUGUACUUAAAUCAACAAAAAUGAGAUUUUCUCAUUUUUUGGUGAGGUCAAACCCACCAAGUCUCCUCGCAACCCUUCGUUUGCGCCGACGAAGGUGCCCACAAGCCUCCUAACUCCCUAAAGGUUAAACUAGGAGCGUUGUACGAACGUUACGAACAACGAAUAGGUUAAACAUUAACCAACUCAAUAAAAGGGUCAAAACUCACCUAUAGUGUAGAAAGUCCCUCACAAGCUCCAAAUGGGAGCUUUCUCCCUUCCAAUCCAAUCUAGAGGAAUGUUCUAAUCCAACCAAUUGAGCUCCAAAAGCCCUAGUUCAAAAAUCCCCAAAUCACACCCUAAUUCACAUUUCUAGGAUUGCAUCUAGCAUAAACAAACAAAACAUGAAUCUAAAACUAGAAAAAUGUUACUAACUUUUUAGAAGCCUCAAAUAAGGUCCACAAUCAGCUAGGGUUGAUGAUCAAUCCUCAAGCAAGCUCCAAUCCGAGCUUCAAGUCUUCUCCCAUGGUGGAAAUGUCACCAAAGCAAUAAGAAGACAAAAGAGAUGUUUAAUCUCUAAGAAAAUCCAAGCAAAAGCAAAGAAAUAAAAAGGGAAGGUGUGGAGAGCUCCCUACCUCCCUCUCCUCCGUUUUCAAGCUCAGGGAAACACCUAUGGGGCGUGGGGUGAUAUAAAGAGAAGCAACAAUGCAAAAACACCCCCGAAAAACUGCCAGUUUGCAGUCUGGCAAAGUGUACCGGUACACGAAAAAGUGUACCGGUACAAAACCCUGUACGUGCAAACCCGAGGCUCGGGUUGGCUGAGAAAUCGCAUUUGUACCAGUACAACCAUCGAGUUGUCACCAGUACACUUUCUGUACCGGUACAACCAUCAAGGUGUACCGGUACACAGCCCAGCAAAAUGUAACCCGAGAGCAGCCUAAGUCCAUCACUUUGGUGACCUUAGCGCUACUUUAAAUACUACAAUUCUCGGGAUACGAGCCAUAGGUCGGAACACUGUCAACGACCCUCCAGAAUAUCUGGAAAAACUCAAAACACUGAUCAAACACUCGAACCUCGCAAUUUGUAAAGGUCCAGUGUGUUACAAUAUGCAUUUAUUAUUAACAUCUCUAUCAUGCAUUUAUAUAACAUCUAUGUCAUACAUGUUACUUAGUAUCUCGCUCAUGCAUUUUUCUAACAUAUGUCUCAUGCAUUCAUUCAACAUAUACUCUAUACAUUCAUUAGCAUCUAGCUUAUGUUAUUUAUUUAGCUACUAGCUCAUGUAUUUAGCAUCUAGUUCAUGCAUUAUUCACUUGGUAAUUAACUACCACUUCAUGCAUCAAUAAUGAGACAUACACCACUUUGGCAUGGAAGCGAUCUAAUCGCUUCGGUAGAGCACAACCCACCUCGUAUGGUUACUAGGGUGCCUCGGUUCGAGUUUCAUGAUUUUUAGAGGCCUACGUUGCGUGCUGCGGCAAUCUGUACUUAAACAGACUUUUUCUUCGAUUUCUUCGUGCACACUCGUCGGAUCUUUGAACCGAGUCCACAAACGCGUCGAAAACACCUUCAAUUAGGUUUACAUAAGAUCAAUUUACAUUUAAAUCCAUCUAUGACAAAAGCCCCAAUUUUGGUACCCUAACAAUGUCAUUUGGCCAAUAUACCAUUUUGAUCUCUAAGCUAAGCAAAAGAGAGCUUAGAAUCAUGUAGAAACUUAUCUAGAACCAUUUCUAGGCCAUUCAAACCGUUCCUAGGGCAUACAAACCGAAUCCUAGAAAUCCACCAUGAGAGCACCUCAAGAAAACAUGGUUUUCAUGGAUUCCAUGGCUUUAACUAAGUUUUUAAUCUUGUAAGAAGAACAAAACCAAAGGAUUUAGGGCAUAAAAUCAAAUCCUAAUAUCAAUCUUACAAGAAACCUCACCUUAGCCUAGAUGCCCACCAAGCUCCACCUUGUAGGAGAGCUCUAGGUCUUCCAAUCUCCAAAAUCUCCUCCAAAUCCUCCUUUUGAUCUCCUUUUUUCCAUCUUGAGAAGGUGUUUCUAGAGAAAGAGAGGAAGAGAAAUGAGAUAGGGAGUUGUUCUCAGCUGGGAACAAGAGAAAAGAAGGGUUAGGGUCUUAUAUAGUGUGACGCCCCAACUUCCCAGGGGGUCACCCAUCCUAGGACUACUCCCGUCCUAGCACGCUUAACUCUCUUAACCUCUUGGGCCUUGCCACCACCCAAAAUGCUUAAGCCGGGUUAAGAGUUUAGCCCUAUUAUAUCUCAUAUAUAGGACUAUCUGGGGUCUCACAAUCUCCCCUCCUUUAAGCCCUGACGUCCUCGUCAGGCUCAGACUCACAAGUACCAGGCGAUGUGAGACUCAUCUCGCUAGCCCGUCAUCCAGACCCUGGCUCAGUCGAGACUCAUCUCACACUUCCGGCUGGUAAUUGGCUCUGAUACCAUCUGUGACGCCCCAACUUCCCAGGGGGUCACCCAUCCUAGGACUACUCCCGUCCUAGCACGCUUAACUCUCUUAACCUCUUGGGCCUUGCCACCACCCAAAAUGCUUAAGCCGGGUUAAGAGUUUAGCCCUAUUAUAUCUCAUAUAUAGGACUAUCUGGGGUCUCACAUAUAGGCUACUACAAUAGCAAAUAAGCCCUCCUUCUUUUCAUUUUUGCAGCAGACCAACCUGCUAUUUUUGCAGCACUGCGUACCGGCACUAAAAUAUUUUGUCACCGGUUACACGAUUACGCACAGCCAAACCUGAGAGCUACUUUCUCAGGUAACAGUACUGGUACCGGUACUAAAUAAUUUUGUCACCGAUUUAACAGCCUUUUUUAGGACUUAGCCAAUUUUUCAGCUUUUCUCCGUUUUCGCUCGUUAGGCCUCCGAUUCAUCUCAAAUCGCACUGAGACCCCCAAAACAUGUUUUCGAACGUGUUUCAACCAUCUUUUCAUCCACGCUUAUGCCGGAUUUAGUCCAUGGUCCAACAUAGCCUUUCGGGUUCCGUUUUCGUGCCCAACGCGCACCGAAACACCCGAAUUCUCCCAAACCUCAAUCUCGCAUUGUUUCGACUCCAAUUCGCGCCGAGCAAUGCUAAAACCUUUCCAACUCCCUUGGAACUCAACUUUAACCCUUCCAACAUUGUUAGAAUGUUAAAUGGACUUUGUCGAACAAUUCCUUUCGCACACUUUAGUCAAUUCGACUAAAGUUCGAUAUUCUCUAAUGAGUUUUGGUAUAUUACAUACCAUUUUGUGAUAUUUUAUGUAGUAAACCUUGUAUUUGGAGAGUUGUAUUUGAGAUAAUAGUAGUAUGUAGUACAUCUUAUUUAGUUUAGCUUAUAUUUAUUUGUUCUCAUCACUAUGUUUAGGGUGUGUAUGCUAUCUUUGUAGAUUGUACUUCGUAGACGCUUUGUGUGUAUCAGGGGAGUACCUUAUAUACACGGUGAGUCUGUGUACGUGCCGGGCAGGUUUCCGCUAGGGCCCGAGGCUCGAGGCGUGACAAGAUUACAUUACAACUACUUCUUAAUCCUCCAUCUUAUAGGCAUUCAUUUUCUUUUAUAGGCGUGUUGCCGCAAUCGUCAGAGUAAUCCUCGUGAUUCAUUGCUUUUCUUUUCUCAACUAUUUCCUAACUUCUUGCCCUCGAAUCAUGCCCAUUUGAUAUGUGAAUGACUCAAUUUAAAUGCGCUCGCCUUUUGCUCACUGAAGUGGGUAUGUUCGAGCAUCAAACCGGAAUUUGAAUUUUAAAGGACUCAAUUCAAAUACGCUCGCCUUUUACUCACUGAAGUGGGUAUAUUCGAACAUCAUAUUGGAAUCAAGACCGAAGUAAUUUUCGACAUAGCCCUUUGCCGAAGUCAAUGCUCUGCAUUGAAAUCUCUUUCGGCACCUCGUAUGUUCGGUGCACAUUUUCAGUGUCAACACAAACUUAAUUUAAUAGAUGUUUGAAUUAAUCAUUAAACACCUAUAAAUUGGUUUUUCAUUUGAAUUUGUAUCAUAUUAUAAAUUUUAUUUGAAUUUAUGUUAUAUUUCAAACUUUUUUGAAUUCAUACUAUAUUUGCAUCUAUUUGAAUUUAUAUCAUAUUUCAAACCUCUUUUGAACUCACACCAUUUUUGAAAAUCUCUUUUGUGUUCAUACCAUAUUGAAAACCUCUUUCAAAUUCAUAACAUAUUGAAAACAUUUUUUGAAUUUAUACCAUAUUUUAAACUUCUUUUGAAUUCAUGAUAUAUUAAAAGUCUCUUAUUUUGAAUUUAUACCAUAUUAAAAAUAUCUUUUGAAUUCAUAUUACAUUUAAAUAUAAUAGCUAAUUGACCUCUUGCACAAAUAAAACAUUGGCCCAACCCAUGCAAUAGAUUGGUCAAAUUGGUGCAGUCGACUGGUCUUGUAAACCAAGAUCCAAAAGCACUCAAAUAUGCUCAAAUCUAAUAAAUUCGCAGAAAAGUCCUCCAAAGCACUUUUGUGAACCUGCAUCUAAUUUGAUACAAUUUGAUCUUCUCCAUAUUAUUUUUGAGCAACUAAACUCAAGAAUUACAUUAAACCAACUCCGCUAUAGCUUAAACUCAUUUGAAUCCAACUAAAAUUGCUGAGCAAAAAAUUACUUCUAAAUUUUAUUUUUUAUUAUCAAAAUUACCGUUUGAUUAUGUUGGAAAUAAUAAUCCAAACUCAACAAUUGGUAGCAGAGAAAAUCACGCUUUCAACAGAUUAAAUUCAACAGAUGCUUAACUUACACUAAACAAUUCGCAAUUCGUUAACUGGAGUUAAAAGCCGCGCCUCUUAAUGAAAUAAACGAAGCGGGUAGCGUGCUACCUAUCUCUCUCUCAAAAAAAAAAAAAAAAAAAAAACCGCGCCUCUUAAUUAACAAAAGUUAAUGGAAGAGGUGCCGCCAAUAAUUUCUCUUCAUUUGUAGAAGUUCGUUUGAUAUUACAAAUUUUAGAAGGGUAUGCACGAAUGAUAUUGGGUAAGACUGAAAUUGGCUCAAUUUUAUUAAUAAACCAUUUCUAAAAGUAAAUCAUAAAUAAGUAAAGUCACAAAAGUUCCUCACAGCCAGCCUGGGCAUUGGCAAAGUGCUUAACCUCACUCCCAUGUCUUGUAGUGAUCCUGUCAGGCUGUCACGAAAGCCGCGUCAAUUUCAAAUCGCCCCCACACACAGAUCUACCAAACCCCAUUAACGUGUUCGAAAAUCCCUUCGCCAUUGCAUUAAGUUAUUAUUAUCACGAAAGAAUUAGGGUUAGGGUUUCCUCUGGGCAAAGCUUGCAAAAGAAAUUGUAAACGAGCAGUCCAACGGUCGGUAGCGUCUAUUAUUUUACUCCCACGCACAAGCGGAUCGAGCUGCCUCCCGUCCCGCUUCUAGCGGGAGCCAGCGCCGAGGACAACAAAUUCUCUACUGUUGGGCCCACCUGUGGCUCUGAGGCUCUCAAUUCAAGCGUCCAGUUUGUUUUUGGACGGUUCAGAUUGUUGUUAUUUGCAAUGAAAAAUGCUAAGUCUAUAAUGCAAAAAGAGAGUUGAUCCAAUUCCUUUUGAAUUUUAGUAUUCUAAAAAAAAUUAAAAAAAAAAAAAUUGAACAGAUUAGUGGAUGAAGCUUGGCAUCUAGAUGGCCAAGUUGUAAUAUUACAACCUAAAAGUUGUGGUACAUCGAUCAUGAAUUCAUGAUUUUUCUGUCUAUUUCAUAUUUGUAAAUUAAAAAACUAAUUUUUAUAUUAAAGAAGUUGUAAAUAUAAUGAGCGAUGUGGUUGAACUAUGCACUAUGCGAUAGAAAAUAUCAAGGUUUUAAGUGCCCGUCGGCACGAGCCGUAUCCACCGUGCCAACAAAAUACUGACACGAUAUAGACCUUGUACCGAUGGUACAGCUCAAAACUCUCUAUUCUUUAAAUUAGUAAGUAAUUUUUUCAAUAAAGUUCAAAAAAUGUGAUAAAGACUUAAUAAAUAGUUAGAAUAUUCUGUUGUUAAAUAAAAUAAAUUAAUAUUCCAUGCUAUUAUAUAUCGGCGCACAAGAUUUUUUUGGUCGGCACGCAUCGACACGACUCGGCACGUAUCGCGCGGUACCGUGCCGGCAAGUUUCCGGCACGAUUCCGUGCUACGGUAUUAAAAUCCUUGGAAAAUAUUGUCACUAAAUUUAUGGUAUAUACAAGUUGGUGUCGACAAUAAUUUAUUCUAUAAUAGUAAAUAUAUAUAGAAACUAAGGUGAAACUUUUUUAAGAAUUUAGAAACCGCUAACGUCAAAAUUGAAAGUUUGAGGGCCAAAACAAAAUAGCUGAUAGUUGGCAUCUAGUGGUGCAAUUUACCCCAGCCAAUAUAUGGAGGGAAAACUCUACCCAUACACGCCAUUACUGGGGUGUAUGAAUAGUAUUGCACUAAAUUUUUUGCUUUUUGAAAAAUAAGUUAUUUUAAGGGCUUUUUUUGCAUUUAGCCUCCUGGUAAAUUUUUAUUUUAAAAUUAGUCCUGUCAAAAUUUAAUAUGCAAAAAUGGCCCUGGGCCUGCAAUGCAGGCGCCACGUCAGCGCCACGCGGGCAGGGUCAGGGCCCGUGUGUUAAGUUUAACACGGUGAAUUAUUUACCGUGUUCAAAUAUGGUGAAUGGUUCACCGUAUUUAGUACGUAUUUUUGUUCAUUGAAAAGAGGAAUACGGAGUAGGGAUGUCAAUAGGUAUGGAUAUCCGAAAUAUUAUCCGAAUCCAAACCCGAAUAAAUUAGAGUUUUGCUAGAAUACUAUGGGUAGUAAACGGCUCGGUUUACUACCGAUUUAUUUUCGAUGAUAGAGCUUCCAAAUUGAUGAUCGGCAUCGUUAAACAUGAUUUAAACUAUUUAAAUUAUUUGGGAAUCAAAUUUCACACAUUUUCGAUAUUGUUCUCUUGUCCAUCAAGUGAACAGAAAAAUGAAUGGCCGGAAAUAAAUAUCCUUCAAAAAGUGAUGAUACAAUUUUUAUAUUUGAGAUCUAGAGUCUAGAUCUUAUUUUAAAUAAUUUAAAAAAAAUUUUAACAAAAAUUUAGUUAAUUUGAACUCUUCUAUACCGUUAAACGAGCAAACGCACCAUAUCGGCCAUUAAAAUUAUAGAUUUUGUGACCUUUUAAUCGUUCAGUUAGUGAUACCAAAAAAUCAUGAAAUUUGAUUUCUAGAUAAUUUAAAUGGUCUACAUCAUGUUCAACGGUGUCGAUCGCCGAUUUGGAAGCUUUAUUAUCAAAAACAAAUCGGUAGUAAACCGAGCAGUUUACUACCGAUAGUAGCCCAGUCAAACUCAAUAAAUUAUAUAUAUAUACAUAAUUUAUUUUUAUUUAUUUAUACAAUAUAUAAAAUAUUUAAUAAUUUUUAUUUCUUAGAUCUUCAUCCAACGGUAUAGAUUUUUAAAACCCACUAGGUUUAGGUUCGGGUUUCACGUUUUUGGUCGGAUAUGGAUAUGGAUAUGAAUUUUUAAAAUCCGUCGGGUUCAGAUCCGAGUUUGGAUUUUAAUUUGAUUUUCGGGUUCGGGUUAGGAUUUUUGAAAAUGAGAAGAAAAGGAAUACAAAUUUCCUAUUCCUCUUUUCAAUAUACAAAAAAUACGUACUAAAUAUGGUGAACCAUUCACCGUGUUUAACUUAACUACCGCCCCAGCCCCGCCUGCGUGGCGCUGAGGUGGCGCCUGCGUGGCAGGUUUAGGGUCAUUUUUACAAAUUAAAUUUUGACAGAGCUAUUUUUAAAAUAAAAAUUUGCCAGGGGGCUAAAUGCAAAAAAAAACCCUUAUUUUAAUAAAAAUAUUUAGAAUUUUAUCAAUAUUUUUUAUUCUUUUAUUAAAUUUAAUAGUGUCAGCACUUAUAGCAAAUAAAAUUAGAUUAAUUUUCUGAUAAUAGUUAAGUGGCCAAUUAGAUUGUUAAAAUUUUUAAAUUUAAAUAAUUAAGUUCAACUACUCAAAAAACAGAAAAUAGAACUAAAACGGUUAUAAAUUUUUUUUAAAAAAAUUCAAGUUGAGGCUGCUUCAGAAUGGUCUAGAGUUGAGCUGGUCUGUUUGAGAAUGUACUGUGAGUCCCUAUACUAUCCUAAUAUUGCAACCUUGAUCUUUUUCUUUGAACUACACAGUACAUUUUGGUCCCUAACUUUUACAUAUAUUGCACUUCAGUUUCUGCCCAUUGAAAAAAUAUCUUUUAUUUUUGUGAAAUUAUCUAUCAAUCCUUGUUCAAAUAAAACUAAGAUAAGUAUGUAAUUUUACAUAUCAAGGAAUAUCAAUGUGUAAUUUUACAUAUAAAGUUAUAAAAUUAUUAUCUCAUGAGAACGUCCCAUUUAACCUUCAAAUUAUUUGUUUUGAAAAAAAAUUGUCUCGAAGGUGAAAUAUACUAUUUUUUUUAUAAAAUUAGGAAUGCCAAAUAAAGAUCCUUCAGAAAGCCAAAAUAUCAAAUUCCUACUUUUCAAUUAUACAAGAAAUUUUUUUACUAAAUAAGCUAUGUCAGAUAAGUUAUUCAGAUAGUUGAAUAAAAUUUUUAUUGAAAAUUAGUUACAUGAAUCACUAAAUCACAUAAAAUAUUAUAAUCAAGCCUAAUUAUCUAAUGGUACAUCGGAUUUCAAAACAACCACAACAUGACUCAAAUAAAGUGAAUUGACUAGUUUGAUAAUAAAAUCAAAACUUUCAGAGGUCGAGAAGCAGGAGCAAAAUGGCCUAUAGUUUAAGCUGUAUAUACAUACUCUGACCAAUAAGUUUCUAAUCAAAAAGUGUAGGGACCGACCAGUGUUACUGGGAUGGUACAGGGACUAUCCUUACAUUUUAUCAAUUUUAAUGAAAAAUUUAUUUUUUUACGUCUAAAUUUUUCAUCUCACCCAGCGAACAUGUGGAGUCGUUUUACUAAUUACUUAAUUUUUACUACUCACUUUUACUAGUAAAAAUAUCCCCAUCUAUUGAAGUGACUAGUAUAAGUGACUAGUAAAAAUAUUCCUAUCUAUUGGAUGAAUGAGAGGACAUUUUUACAAAAUAAUUUUCUAGAAUUUUAUAGUUUGUAAAAUAAUCCUGUCAAAUCUAUACUUGGCAAAUUAACCCUUUGUUUGCCAUGUAGGAUUUUUUCUUUUUUUUGAAACAUGGUGAAUCGUUCACCGCCUUUUAAAGACGAUGAAUCGUUCACUGCAUUCUCUCAUACUUUUUACACGCGAUGAAAUAUGGAUUAUAUAAAAAAUAGAAAAAAAUAAGGUUGCUAGGAUUAUACGUGGAUUAUUAAAAUUUUUAUUUGGUAGGUAGGAUAUAGAUUAUUAGAAUUUUCAGAUUAUUAAGUUUAUAUGGAAUCAAAUGGAUAGGUUAUUAGAAUUUUUAAGUUGUUGAAUGAUUUUUCGCUUUCGUAGGAAAUUGGGAAGACGGUGAAUUGUUCACCGUCUUUAAGAAAAAAUUUUAGCUGUGUCACUUAUACGGCAAAAGAAGGAUUAAUUUACAAAAAAAAAUAAUUUUAUAGGAUAGUUUAGCCGGUUAGAAAAUUUUAUAGAGUUAUUUUGAAAAAAAUUCCGAAUGAGAGAUAUAUUUUAACUUCUCUUCUUUUUUUUUUUUUUUUUUUUUUUAUCGUGCAUGUGUGUAUUGCUAGUUUUAGUGUGGGAUUGAUUAUUCAGUGGGUUUCUUGCGUUUCGGAAAAGAAAUUAAGGUGCUCUAUGAUGAAAGAGCGCUAUUUAAAGGAGCUGAGAGAGAGAGAGAGAGAGAGAGAAAGAGAGGGAGAUGAGGGGAGUCACUCUUUCUCUUUCUUUUGCACAAGCACUACCACAUCUCCUCUCUUUUAAUUUCUAGCUCGAAAUGUGAGUUCUCCAACACCCAUCUCUUAUGCAUUUUCUGCAUUACUCUUUCUCCGAGUAUAAAUUUCCUUUGUCGAGCAAUUAGCGUAUUGGGUAUUCUAAUUUCCAUGUGGGUUCCAAUCAAUCUGAUAAUAAUUCCAUUCUAUCACGCGUUUGAUUUAUGCCUAUUAUAUAGGUGGUUGACUCUCCGAACUUUUCUUCGUAAAACCUCGAGUGAUUAACUUUCGCUUAUUUUCUGCAAAUGUGGCAUAAAAUUUUCAGUGCUUUCGCAUUAAAAUUUUGCUCUAUUAUCAGUUAAUUGUAGGUAUGUUUGUUUGCAGGACGGGAAAUCCUUCCGAGCCAGUUGGAAAUUUCACAAUAGAUGAUGAUGUGAGGAACGAGGAAGUUGGCAAACCACAAGUACUAGUUGACAAACGGGAGACCGCAUAUGCAGUUAGAAGGAAGCAAUCUCUCAGAGCGCGAUACAUAUUCGGUUUUAUUUUCUUUACAACAAACUUAUUAGCUUGGUUUUUCCGAGACUACGGGUACAAGAUUCUCCAUGGCCUUCGCCGUAAGUGCAUUGUAGCUCUAUAAUGGAUGUGACCAAUAUAUUAUUGGACUGUUGAAUGCGCCAUGUUAUAUUUCGUGCGAUAAUAUAUUUUGCAGUUUGUAGGUUCUUUUCGAUCACAUAGAAGUAUGUGACUCAUUUACGUAGAAUACAAACUUGUCGUAGUCGAAAUAAAGAAGGAUUAAUACUAAUUUGCUCGUGCUUUUAACAAAAAGGAUGCUCGCAGAGGUUCCAUUUCAGUUUGUUCUAUAACAAAGCUCUGGAAAUUUAUACAUGAGAGCCUUAAAACAAAGUGUUGUUCGUGCAUACUAACCUUUGCCAAUGAAGGUUCUAAGAGAAUGCUCAUAAUUAAUAAACAGCUACUAAUUAUGCUGCUAACGCGAAAUCCUCCGGCAGAGUGACUGGUGAUUUAGUUUCUUAGUCACGCUAUCUAUUCAAUGCAUUGAGAUUAUUAGUUCUGCUAUGCCUAUAUUGCAGCCUAAGUCUAACUGUUUCUUUGGGCUAACAUGCAGAUCACCCCCAGGAUAUAUCAAUGAUUUGCACUUUACCCCCUUGAUAAUCAAAACCUGCAGAAUACCCUUGAUAAAUUAGGCUCCGUGCUUUUUGCCUGAUAGAAGGGGUAAACUGUUCAGAUAUUAUUUUUCUAGGGAUUCAAAUAUCUAUGGGUAGUUUUUUAUAAUUUAGCCUUUUUCUUUUCCCUGUAUCUCGUGCCGGUAGGAUCAUCUUCCCUCUUUAAUGGUAAGAUAGCUUCUAGACACGUGAGCUUUUUAUUUACUAAUUUUAAACUGAAGACUUAAAAGCCAGAGUUGGGAAAUGAGAUGUUAUCUAUCUGUUUUCUUUUCCUCAUGACUUUGAACGGCAUUAUGUGUUAUGUAUAUAAUCUAGUCUUCGUCAACAUAUUUGGUGUACAUCAUUCUAUUAUAUACAUGUACUGCAAAAACAUAAGCUCUUAGCGGCUUUCAUCGGAAUAAAGAAGAAAGUGCUAAACUGAUAAUGCUUCUUGAAGCAAAAAUUUAUAACUGUUUCUGGUCUAAGGUUGUAAACCAUUAAGUUGGUUAGAUUUUUUCACUUGAUUUCCUCUCUUAAUAUGUAUUGCACAUUCGUUCUAUCACAGUAUCUCCAUUCAUUCAAUCGUUGUAUCUCUUCUUCAGAUAUAGCAGUGUGCGGAGAAAAAGGGGAUGAAUGCUUUCAUGCUGGGGGUGUCCUUCGUGUGAGCCUAGGGUGCUUCAUAUCCUUUUAAGAUAGAGAGAUUUCGUUUCAUUUUAGUUCUCGUGAAAUUCUAAUUUUGAUUGGAAAUGAUGUUUUCAAUGGUGCUUCUCAACAUUCUCCUAUGUAAGUUUAGAAGCUUUUACAUAUAUAUCCUUGCAAAAUCAUCUAUAUAUAUCUCUUUAAAAUAUUAAUUUUUCAUAUAUACCCAUGAAAAGUAAAAUUUUGAAUGAAAAUGCCAUCAUCAUAAUUUGGGGAUCAGUCCCCAUUUCUUGGAAGGAUUUGGAAAGAAUUUCGUUUUGUAUCAAAAAGGUUUUCUGAGAUUCAAGUUUGUAAGAACAAGGGUAUAUCUAAUAUUCUUUGAGGUGUAUAUCUGUAACUUCAAGAGUCUACUUGGUUUUACACACUGUGUUCGAAAGAUUGGGAUCUCUUUGCAAUUGCCUUAAUAGAAAUCUUCAGAUUUUUUUCUCUGUUAUGUUUGCUAGUACAUUUGGAGCUCGUAAGCUGCAUGAAGUUCGUGAUUGUUGGCAUUCAAGAUGCUGGAUUUUAAAAUUUCUUCUGUUCCUUGUGUCAAUUGUGAUCUCAUUCAUCAUCCCUAAAACUUUCAUCCAACUCUACGGUGCGUUAAAUCAUCAAUGAUUUAUCAUCCCAAAUAUGAUUGUGUGACGCCCUAAUAGAAUAGUCCAUUGGAUAGGAGAAGAAAUAUAAUUGGAGAUAUUAAGAGGUCAGGGACCCUAGUAACAAUAACUGGGUUUAAGCAUUUUGGCCUAGCAGUUUGGGCAUAACGAGUUAUUAGUUCUAGUGGAUUGGGUCGUUACAAUUUGUAUCAAAGAGCCGGUUCAUUACCAGGAAAUGUGAGGUGGGUCUCACAUCGCCUUGGGUGAUUUUGGACUAUGUAUGUGAUUGGGCUGAUGAAGACGUCAUAAUAUGGGAGAGUCUGUCAUAUGUGACGAAGACUUUAGUUAUAACAACUAGGCUUUACUAUUUUGGGUCGGUGAUUUAGGUUCAACAAGUGAGCUUUCCAAUGCAUUUUGAAUCGUGUAACGACUCAGUUCACUAGUGCUAAUAACUCAUUAGGCCCAAACCACUAGCCCAAAAUGCUCAAGCCCAGUUAUUAUUGCUAGUGUUCCCUGUUUCUUGUAUUUUCAAUCGUAUCUUCCUUUUCAUUCGAUGUGAGACUAUUUUAUUGGGGCCGUACAGACUUCUUCUGUUUAGACCCUGACUUUCUCUUCAGGUCCCCUUCUUUAGUCAUUCCCUAACCUAAGAUCACGAAGCUAUGUGAGAUCUAUCUUGCAUUUUAGGCUAGUGAACUAUCUCUGAUACAUCUUUGAUACCAAAUGUAACAAUGCAGACUCCUCCUGUUUUAGACGCUGAUGUCCUCAUCAGGUCUCAUUGCCUAGCCUAGGUCGCCAAGCAAAGUGAGAUCUGUCCCAUCUCAUGUUUUCAACUGGCAAACUAGUUCUAAUACCAAAUAUAACUAUCUUUUCCACUAGUAUUAAUAACUUGUUUGGCCAAACCAUUGUCCAAAAUGCUUAAACCCAGUUAUUAUUACUAUGGUCCCUGGUCCUUAUAUUUUUAUUCACAAUUCAUUGUCUAUCCGACGUGGCACUAUCUACUAUUUAGGGUGUCAAUGAGUCACCUCGUUUAGAUCAAACAGGGACCAUCUCACAUUUUCGGUUGGCAAACAGGCUCUUAUACCGAAUAUAACGACCCUGUCUACUAACGUUAAUACCUUGUUGGGCCCAAACCAUAUGCCCAAAUGCUUAAGCCCAAUUGCUAGAACUAGAGUUUCCGUCACUCAUAAGCCUCUCACACUCUCCAAUAUUAUUUGAUGUGGGACUAUUGGGGUGUCACAAAUUUCAAGGUUCAUGUAAAUAUAAGUUGUUGAUCUUCUAUGUGGGAAUGGAGUUCCAUUUCUUAGUUUAUUUUAAGUACCUAUAUUAAUGGCCACAUCAUUUAUUUUUAUUUUUUGAAUGAAACAAAAUAUCAAUUUACCAAAUUCUUAUUUCAAAUCGUUGUAGUUCAUGUGUAAUUAAGUAAAACUUGCUUUAUAAUUAUUUUACACUAGCAUCAUGUCAUUGAUGUGAACAAUAGAAAACCUUAGUUGAUUGACAUGAGAGUGAUACUCCAUUUUUCUCUUUUUUGUAGGUGAAGUUGCUCGCAUCGGUGCAGGGUAAAUUGUAACACUUUUAUAUUAUAAGUUCUUUAUUUACAGAAAUACAUAGGAACAUGCUGGUCAAAAGCAAAACAAUGGAAGUAUUUCAGUAUUUUGCUGCACGUGCGCAUUUGGUCAAUGUGUAUGCAUGUAUGAAGCAACUAAGAAACAGUUGGCCCACAAUUUCCUCUCAUUUAUGAAUUUUGUAGGAUAUUUCUUCUACUCCAGCUCAUAAGCAUGCUUCAAUUCCUGGCAUGGUGCAAUAGCCAAUGGAUGCCGGAUCCGCAAUCAGGUCGAUGGUAUUGUAUCAUAUAAGAACCAUAGCUCUAUAAUACAUCAUCCAUUUCAUCUUCUUAUGUCAUGGUACCUAAAUCUUUGCAUUUAACUGUCUUGCUUAAGAUAGCAGCUCUUCUAUGGGCUAUGAAUAAUUGUUCCUAGAAAGGUAACAUAGAACUUUUGCGUAUUGCAAUAGGACGUAGAAAUAACUCCGAUCAGGCUGAUGGAUGACAAGAUUAUUACUAGAUAAUCAAAGCCCUACUGAUUGAUAUACAUUCACAAAAUGGAAGUCAGAAGUUUAAUAUGAAACUUUGUAGCGAGGCAUAAUUUCACAAGAUUCUACAAUCCAAUUGGAUGCAAAAAAGACCCUAUACAUGCAACACGUCCACGAUUAACUUACUAUUUUGUCAGAACUCAGAAGACCAUGAAAUUAAGAAUAGAACAAUGUAAAAUAAUGUCAACAAUGAAAUAUUCAUACAACAAAGAUGUGUCCCAAUUAUGAAUCCUUGAAUAACUAUAAGAAAACAUUUCACGUGAUGCAGAUGUUUUGCUAACAAAAACCUACACUUUUUUUUUGUUUCCUUGAUGAUUCCUUUGUCUGCAGCUCUUAGAAGAAUUAAAAAUACUUUAAGUAGUCCUAGGUUUUUUUUUUUUUCUAUUGAAGUAGAAAAGAGGAAAUUCAACUUUUCUUGAGUUUUUGGACAGAAUAAUUCCGCUGGACUGUUGAAACAUGGCCUGUUUUUCUCAAAGAAUACUUAAAACCGAAUUCUCACAUCCUUAAGAUAUUCCUUUUUUAAAAAAUUCUUCCUGUUGAAUCUACAUACAACAAAUUUCACCUGUUAGACCUAAUAUAUGUCCUUAUUUGAUGAAUAUAUGUCCUUAUUUGAUGAAUAUAUGUGCAAGGUAUUGUUAAAUGACUUGCUUACUUCUUUGAAAUUUGAGAUUAGACAUAAUUUCUUUCUUACGGUUUGAAAGGUUGACAUAGCAUUGACAGUCUUAUCUUCAGUGGCUUCUUUGGGUUAUUCUUGUCAACUAUUUCCUACAUUGCUUCCUUCAGUGGGAUUGUCCUCAUGUAUAUUAUGUAUGCUCCUCAUUUGUCCUGCAUAAUCAACAUUUUCUCUAUUACAUGGACGGCAAUUUUGGUUAUAAUCAUGAUGAUCGUGUCACUUCACUCGAAGGUAUAUUCCCAUGGGCAACUUCCAUUUCUCUCUAUGUCAUUUUCUUCUCUAUUUUAAUAUUUUAUUUGGCAAAGUUGAUGAAAAAUAAUUGGUAUUCCUAUUUUUAAUUCUGUUUGUUAAAUUUUGUAAAACAACUUACUAGGUAACAGCUAAUAUCAAGAUUGUCUGCUUGUCUGGCCCACAUGCUCUCAAGCAAAUUGCACUCUCUUAAGUCUUUAUUUUCUAUCACUUGUGGAGAAUAUGGUUUUUUUAACUUUUCUAUAUCCAAUUGUAACAUAUGUAGUAAUUUACUUCUUUGAAUCUGAUAGAAGGCUUAUGGUUAUUUUGGUUUUCGUUGUUUAUUUGCCUGUUGCAAUGUGAAUAUAGGUUUCUUGAUAGGAAAGCUUAUACUUGGCAUUUCAUAGUUUUCUUCGAAUUGAGGGUUCACUUAAUAAGAUGUUAUAUCAAUUAACUAAAGUUUGACCUGCAAUACAAAAUUUCUAAAUGAUGUGCAUCAUAUAUUACAUAUACAUGUUUGACUUCCUUUUGCUGCCAAAAUAGGUUAAUAAUGGCCUCCUAUCUUCUGGGAUUAUGGGCUUAUACAUUGUCUUCCUUUGUUGGUCUGCAAUUGAAAGGUAUUGUUUCCAUAUUGCAAAGAUUCUUUUUUUGAUUUUUAGAAACUAAACCAAAUACUAAAUGCUUUGCUUGUCAAAGUUAUUGAAUUUGUUAGCAUCUUGUACUUAAUUUAUAUAUUUUAGAUAUGGGGACGUAUUAUGAAAAAAAAAGAACUUGAGUUCUUAGUACGACUUCAGAGGAGAGCACAAAUAAGUAGAUAACAAUAGGGCCUAAAAUAUUUCCAUAUCACAAAACUUCGAAUUAAGAGUUGUGCAACUUUUGGAUGAUGCAAGCAACUAUAAAACUGUCUCUUACAUGUCCAUUGUUGUCCUUGUUUAUUUGUAUUAAACUUAUAUUCACCACUUGACUUGCAGUGAACCACAGAAUGAAAAAUGCAAAACACCAAAGAAAAUGGCCGAGAAUGGUGAUUGGACAACUAUAGUUGUAAGAUGUACAAACUCUGAAAUUCCUUCUCAUUUUUUUUGAUUGUCAGAUAAAUUUGUCACUCAUAGAGCCAAUAUGUAACUUUAUGCUACAAAAUACUAAGGACUAUAUAACUUUUACGAAAAGCUUGGAAGUAAGCCAAAUGUUUAACCAUUGUGAUUUUGUAUGACAAAACUUCCCUUCGAUUCCCAAAACUCCUUAUACUAGACAAUAGUAAAUCAUGUUUUUUCCAAUUUAUGCGUUGCACAUUUGCUCUUAUAGGUACACUACUUCAUUCGUCUCUUUUAUAUUUCCAUCACAAGACAACAUAUUGGAGGGGGAAAAGUUAACAUUAAAAUUGAGUUAAACAAUAGCUAUUGCUGAGGAUUUCACGGGAGUGAUUUUAUUUUAAGUCCCUUUGCUUUUUUCAUUUUAUCUUUUCCUUUUCAUUUUUCCUAUUAUUUCUUUCCUCCUAUUUCUUUUCUCUAGCUAUAUAAAGAGAAACUCCUCUUAUCCUCUUUGCUUUUUUUGUUGGGGCACAAACUGUUUGAUGGCUUAUAGAUAGGCAAUGCAAACAUGUGAUUUAGCCCAACAAUUGUCAUACACAUCCCUUCUCACUUUCGUAAAACCAGUCCCUAAUGAAUUUUACAUACAAAAAGAAGUCACAUACUUAGCAUUCUCCAUUUUGACUUCUUUUAUACUCCAAACUAUUUCAUCAUGGAAGCUCUACCUUGAGCUUGUCUCCUUCACUCCAUGAUGCCUUCUAUGUGCCUCCACAUCGAGCAAUUGCAGUCGCACAAACUUUUGGAACUCAAGCCAUCUCCACUCCUAUUUUGACUACAAUUCAAACAUAAAAAUUCUCUUGUUCACAUUGCACAAAACUUGUUCUUGUCUCUAGACCUACAUAGCCACUUAACUCCACCUUAGGCAGAGUACUUGUAGUGUUUAAAGUCCAGGGCACCAAGAGAUAUUGAGUUCCUCUUCAAACUAAGAACAUGUUGUACACCCGUCAGUGACAUGACUACUCCGUGCACUUUUAUUCACAUUGUUCCAACUCCUACAACCUUAUAGGCUAUAUUGUUGUCCGGAGCUUGCCCACUUCUGACAAGCUUGUAAGUGGUAAAAAAAAACUCUCUCUAGGCAAACAUAGAAGGAACAAGUUGAAUCUAGCAUCCAUGCAUUUUUGGGGAUUCUUGCAUCGUUGACUGUCGCGUACAACACAUAUCAAUUAUAUUUAAUGGCAAUCUCUAGCUACCAUUUCAAUUUUUUUAAUAUCUUCAUGAAACUAUCGGGAGUUUAUCUUUAUGAAAGCAUCAAUAGUAGGAAAAUCACCUCAAAACUCUAUAUUUCAAGCUUUAAAACCAUAAUUCUCACCUUGGUUGUGUACUAAUGGGUUGGAGCACAAAAUAAAAUCAUCCAGGAGCUCUGCUCCUUGCUCUUCAAUUCACAUCUCAGCUGUGGUUGGAUACGAGACCACUAGAAAGGAGUGAAUCAACUUUAGGGCUCUCUACACCAAGGAUUCACAAUUAUACAAAAUGGAAAAAAUGGAAGAAAGAGGGAGAGAAAUAGGGUUUCUUUAGUUGGGAGAUGAAGAAGCAGCAGCUGGGGGUAAAAACUCUCUUAUAGAAUUCAACAAUUAUGUUUAGACCCCUCAAAUCUGAAGAAAUAGCCAACCUGAGCCCCUCAGCCUUAAACAAUUUUUUGGCACUAGGAACUACAUUCGGGUAUCCGAAAUUUCAGGAUGAGUCACUUGUUCACUGCUUUCCAACUUGUUGAUCUUAUCUGUACCACUUUCGAGAAUCCACAGGGGUUUUUGGGCACCCGAAACAUUGCAUGAAUGGUGACCUCAGCUCUCGCGUUGAGCAUUCGAAACACAAUCGAGCGUCUGAAAUUGCGCCCGAAUCUUUCGGGCGUCCAUAGGGCAAUCCGGACCAUUCGAAACACUGCAACUCCUCUCUAUAUAGUAUUUUCAAGAGCCCACAACCAUUUCCGCAUGUUCGAAACUCCAGUUUCAUCUGAAAGGGUUUUCAGAUUCUGUUUCCACGUUUGUUUCGCGUCUGAUCAGAUCUAGCUCAAUCAAAUGCCGUCGAAAACUAGUUAGUUGGGUCAUUAUCUUGUUGAACUCAUUUACAUGUUCACGAAGGCUAGCUGAUUCUUGCAUCCGAAGCAUGUAUAACCACUUCUAUAGAUGCAGCUUGUUUGUUAAGAAUCUAGACAUCAUUAUUUUGUUGAACUCAUUUACAUGUUCACGAAGGCAUGCCAUUUCUUGCAUCGGAAGUAUGUACAACCGCUCUGAUAGAUAUAGUUUUUUCGUUAAGAAUCUAGACAUGCAGAAAUCCGUAUGCUUCCUUCACAAUUUUGUCACAAUUUUGUUAGUGUGUUCCCACUAACUACAUUGUAAAGGACAUUUUCUCUGAGACUCAGAUGUAGUAAACUCAAAAUCGCCCAAUUCAUCUCUACAUAUGUCUUAUAAAAGACUUUAUUUGGCUUUACCGCUCUCUCAUCAAUGCCUGAUCCAAUCAUGCUGCACUAGAAUCAUCUGAGCCUUGCCUUUAUGUGCCACCAGCUGAAAUUGUUUUUUUUUCCAUUAAACUUCUUAGUUUCAAUCUUUAUGGCCAUUCUUCGUCAGCUCUCUUAAGGAUUUGUAAUCUUGAACUCUAGUACGAAUUGUCAGGAAAUCUUGCAGCGAAAUUCUUUAAACAAUAGAGAAAUAAACAGAUGAAGAAUUCAGACGAUUUAUGAGAAAAGAUUUACUAACUAAAAGAAAUAUUACACCUUUUCUUUUUACACUAGAAUAGUUAUAACCCCUAGCCCUCUCACUUCCCUUUCUACCUCUUUAAUCCUGAUCUUUGUUUCUCUCUCACUUGUGAUCACAUUUUACUAAACCAACAUCUCCUACAUAUAAUUGAGUAAAGCACGUGUGAUACGUGUACAUGCUAAGAGAGAAGAGAAACUCAAACUUCUCUUCUUAUCCUUAUUUUCUUCACUGUAGUCCAAAUUUUUUAAUGGCCUAAUGCAUAGGGCAUGCAAACAAAUACUUACGCUAGGAUUGUUGUGCCAAUAUGCGCUGUUUGGCACGGCUAGCAUAUGUUGUAGGGGCCGAGGAGUGCCAGUGUAUCAUGCCAUGCCAUGCCGACGGCACAGUGGCAUGCACGUGCCAAUAUUACAGCCUAACAACCAACAGGCGCAUCACUUCUUGCCAUGUUUGGUCAAUCUUGAACACUAUGGACCAUAUUUACAAUAUAUCACAUACUUAACAAAUCCAGACCUGGAUUUUUUUUUUCUAUCAAAAGGACAAGAUUUUAUCUCUUUCUGAGUAUUCUCCAGGCUGGAUCUACUCAAUCAAGUAGUUGGCACACUGCCACCCUAACAUCAUACACCUCAUCCUUGUCUAGUGCAAUUAAUAUCAUACUAGUGAAGGUAUCUCCACAUGGCAUGUCGCGGCAUGUUGAGUCUAUAGAAGCAAAUGAAAAUAUAUACAAUUAACGAAAAUGAUAUCAUUACUUGUUUUUUUUAAUAGACGGGGCCAGAUGGAUGGGAAGAGAUAAUAUUAGUUGAAAUUAGAAAGUAUUAAUUGAAAGGUGGGUCCCACCCGCCAAGUGAGAGGGUAGCUCCACACCGCUAAGGAAUUGACCAUUCAGUGUUUAUAGAUUAUAGAUGUUAUCGAUCUUUAUUUAUUGUAAUUCUUAUAGGAUCUAUUCUCUUUUAUGCCUGGUAAAGUCUCAAUGUUAAAACAUUUCAUUAUUAUUUAGGUUCAUUAAAGCUUUAGCAAUGUUGUUCAUAGAAAUAUCCUACCAAAUUACUGCUUGUUGAAGCCAACCCCUUUUUUACCUUGUUUUAAGAUGAAAUCAUAAAAUCAUGUAGUGAGAGGCAUUAUAUUCAGUCAUAGUAAAAGAAUACUACACUAUUGUGGGAACAAAUUCUAUUUGCCCUUCUAUUUGUGAAUAAUAGUUUGUGAAACAAAAGUUAGAGAAGACGGCAACAUAAGCUCGAUGAAUAGGAGGCCAUAAGCAUUUUACGUGGAAAGUCUCCUAAAUGAACAGUGUAACCAAGUGUAUCCUCACUACAGUAAUAUGACAAGUUUUCUCUAGCAAGUGCAAUAGAAAAUGCUUAAUAUGAACAAUAAAACUUUUAAAUCUGAAAACCACGUUACCUUAGAGUUGCAGUUCGGUAUCCAUGACUGGCUUCUUUUAGUGAUGUUUUGAAGCCAGUAAGAUAAGCCUUCGUAUAUGUAGUAGAAACAGUUCUAUCUUGCAUAGAUCACUCUUAAAGGCAAGAGGAUACCAAGAAAAUGGGUAUGGUUUUCUUCAUCAUCAAUUUUGUUUUGUUUUUCUUUGUCUCAUUCUUGAGAGAUAAUAGAGUCCAAAUAUUCAGUUGAUUUGCUUGGCUUCAGAAGUAACCCAACAAUAUCUAAUUUAUAGUUAACAUUGUCAAGCUACUGGUACAUUAAAGAUGAUAUGUUGGUUUAUUCAUUUCUUCAUUUCCUCCAUUACAAUUAUCUUACCAUGUGGGUUAUCUCUAGCAAAACUUAGUUGAUAACUACAUAUUUUGAAUUCUGAUGCAUAUUCUGUUUUUUCUAUUAACCACAGAAGAAUGAAGUCAAUUGAGCACAAUAUUACUGCAAAGUACUGCAUUUAUAAAUUCUGACAGCAUAAUUAAAGUUCUUUUGUAGUAAGUGCAAUCCUCUACUUUUCAAGCUUCAUAAAUAGAUAAUAUCUUUUGCCUUGUUGAUGCUUUGUUCUAGUGCUUCCUCAUUGCUCUUUGUGCAAUUGUAAUGGCCACAUUUUCAACUGGAAUCGAUACAAGAUCCUUUCAGGUGAGCUGUAUUUCCUUUAUUAUCGUUUUUUAUCUCAAUUCUUUGCUCAUGGAGUUGCCUGUCAUCUGUCUAUUGCAUUCCGCAAAGUUAGCAUCUUUAAUGUGACAAUUCAUCUGUCAAUUGCAAAUUAUCUUUGCUGCAUAUACAGACAGUCAAAGUGUUCGAUAAUGCUACCAAGAUUAAAACAAUGAUUACCGUUAAAUUAUGCUUUUCAGUUUGUGAAGGAUGAAGCUCAACUGGAAGAUGAUAUCCCGUACAGAUAUGAGAUAUUUCACUUUGUUUUUUCUAUGGGAGCAAUGUACUUUGCAAUGUUGUUCAUUAGCUGGGAACUUGACCAUCCGACAAGGAAGUAAGAUCUCCUACCAAAAUGGGAUUCAUUGUAUAAGAUACGUGAUAGGAUAUUCUUUAGCUAAUUGAGAUAUUGACCUUUUAGCCCUUAAAUAUGUGUUCAAAUAAUCAGGUGGAGCAUAGAUGUUGGCUGGGCUAGUACAUGGGUAAAGAUCAUCAAUGAAUGGUUGGCUGCAAGCAUUUAUUGUAAGUUCUCUACGUCUCCUGUCCUAUCGCAUUUUGGUCUUUAAGAAUUUGAAAUUUGGUAAUUCUUCCAGUUUUUGUUGAACAAUCAAUAUAUGCAAGUUUCAUGUUGGUUUGUUAACUGCCAGGAUCCUGGUCAAAGUUCCCCAUUGUAGAUUAAUAGGGGACUAAAUACUAAUUAUAUAUAGUAAGAAAUCUAUGAUGUUUUCUCUGAACUUUUUUUUAUCAAUUAAUCAAAAUUUCAUUUUUUAGAUUUUAUCUAGAUAUAAGACUUAAAAUAGCUGAAAUCAACCUUCUCGAUUAUUCCUUUAUUAAUUUAUCUCAAUUGUAGUGGUAGACUACCCAUUGGCUGCAAAAAAUUCAGUUAAUUACCAAGAUGCUUGCAUUACAGAUAGGUAUGUAUAGGGGUUUUCUUAUUUAAAAAAAAAAUAGAAAAAGAAGCAAAGAAAAUUAUCAUAUUUUUGGGUUUGUCCACAAAGUGGCACUUGCCCCCUUUUUUUCACCAUCAACAAUUGUGUAAAUUUUAAGCUCUCUUAGCUUUGAAGAUGUAAAUAUGUUGGCCAUCCGGCUUUGGGCCAAGUAAUAUCAGACACAUGAUUGGCACAGGGCCAAAGUCAGUUGAUAUUAAUUUAACUAGUGUCUGCAAUAAACACCUAAUUGUGUUUGAUUGCUAGUUACCUUGAGCAGCAUGAGAAACCAUGACAGUUAGUAUGCUUACUCGAACUGCGCCACUCGUACACAUUAGCUCUUCUUAGCUUCUGAUAUUUCUAAACUUGUGUUUUCACUAGUGCAAUAAUUAUGUUAGAUGAGAUUCAUUUAGCCGACAAUAUUUAUAUCAUAAUUGUCCCAGUACAUGCUCGAUCUGGUGGAAUUAGUUUAUUUCAAACAUCAAGCUACUUGCAUUCCAUGAUAAUAUUAGAAAAUGGUAUAGUAGGUGAUUCGCAGUGACUAACUGGAAAAAUUAUCCCGUGCAUUGGUAUUAGCCUUUAGCCGUUAUCACCAUUUGAACAAAUAGGAUUAAUGCAUGGGCUUUGAAAACUGAAAAAUAGCUAAUCAGCAAGAGGAGAAUCAUUAUUGGACAAUCUAAUGUAAAAUUAGAGUUCCCUAAUUAAUGGUAUUAUUCGCACAAAGAGAAAUUUGAUGACAAUUGGUAACAUUUACUGCAUAGAAGAGUAUCUCAAAAUAAUUACAAGAUGUUCCUAGGUACAGUAAGGAAGAUAUAAAUAUAUGAAAGACCCUGAGACCUUUUCUAAAAAAGGCGGCAACUUCAUUUUUGUUUUUUCAUUUUUUUCACUUAUUACAACUUUUGGUUCUUCUAAUUCGAGAGGUUCUCCAUACAUUUUUAUGAAUAAGAAGUUGUGUCAAGUGAUGCCAAGCUAUGCCAAAGGAACCAGCUCUCCCUGCGUGCGGCAAGUUAUGCCGCACCAUGGCGGAGUAGCAUGUCACAUUCGAGUACAAAUGGAAAAAACAAGAAGAAGAAUAAACUAUGCACAGACAUGCAAAUUACAAACCAAUUUACUAGAUGCCCUUUUGUUUUUCUUUUGUUUCCUUGGAAGGCCUUUUGAUGUGUCAAUGUUAACUCACUACUUUGUGUUGGACUCAUGCUUACUAACUCACUCCCUCUGUGCAGUGUGGAAAUUGAUCUCUCCUGUUAUAAUGAGGGACAACGCCAUUCAUCACGAAGAAUCCAUGCAGAAUGUUCAUUCGUUGGUAUAAUAUCAAAAUUAACUAAUCUGGCAGAUUAUUCUUUCUACAAUGGUCAAUUUGAUGCUACAGUCACAUUUUAUAUCUUACAAAUUUUAAAGCCCCAUGUAAUUGUGUGAUGCUUCAUCAUAUGAGUAAUUCAUAUAUAUAUAUAUAACAAUUUUUCAUGUAAAACAGUGGAAUAUAUCACUGGCGCAUGCACACUGUUAUAAAAGACGGAUGCACCAUCUUAUUAAGAGAAGAGAUCACAAACACAUAAAUACGGGAUGUUAAUCGCAACUACAAAGCAGUAGCGAAAUAAAUUCAAAUAUACGCUACUUCUACCCAUCCUCAUACGUCCUAAUAAGCUCUCACAGUCUUAUAUCUUACAAGUUUUUUGAUAUCUUAAAUCUAUGCUCUGAUAUCAUUUUUCUGUCACGCUCCAACCCGAGGCGUAAUAGACGUUGCAUAUCUACUAAACUAGCAAAUAAGGCUACAGAAUUAGACAAAAACUAGCAAAAAGAUGAUUAUCAAUUUUUCACUAAAUUCAAAUAAUUAAAAAAUGAGACUAAAAAAUUGAAUUUCAACUAGAAUCAAACUGAAUUCUAACAUUUAUAAAACUAAAACUUACUACGAAACACGAGAAAUUUGGUCCAUAGAAUACCAUAAGUAACAAAAGUGGGUAUGGAGAAAUAACGAAACAAAAGUAGAUAACAAACGAUUAUCUACGUAGUCCAAAGAUUCACAUAUGAAAAUAUUAGAUAUAGAAACAAAGGGACUAAAAUCAAACACUAACUAUUUAACGUUCACUUGGUCUCAGCCUUGCUUGGCAAAUUAGUCUCGGUACCUGGGUAAAUAACCAUACACUACAUUAGUCGGAUUAAGCAUAAAUAUAAAUAAAUAAUGAAUACAAAAAUUAAUUCAAGCGACUGGUUUAUAAUUUGCAAACUUUCAGAAAACAAGAAUUAUCAAAACUUAAAAUUCAGAUUAGAUUAAAACUAUAAAUUUAUAAAUCAUUUAUCUUUCAGCAAAUAAACGAAAUAAAUAUUAAGUCAGCGGCAACUAACUAUAUCAUAUGAUCCGUUGGCGAGAUCCAGAAGCACAAAACAAAGGCACUCGAAGGUGCAAAUAGAACAGAGGCACUCGAAGGUGCAAAUAAAACAGAGGCACCUAAAGGUGUAAACAGAAUAGAGACGCGAUAGGCGCAAGCACCCAAUGGCACAAUACAGAGACGAAGCUAGCUUCUAUAACAGAAUACAUAUCGACAUGACCAACAUUGCAUAGCAAAAUACCGAGAGAUAUCAUAAUUCAAAAUUUAUCCAGGCACUAAUUUACAGAACAAAUUAUCAAAUUUCAAAAAUUCUUUUUGCUAAAAGAACUUGUAAAUCACAGUUGAAGCUCAAUUUAUAGAAAUAUUUAAUAAUAUGAUUAACUGUUAAUUUUAAAAUCUACAAAAUAAGAUUUUCACAGAACCAAAGCAUUUUUCUAAAUUAAUUUACGAAAAACUAACGGUUGUCCGGUCGCUUACCUUAAAGUAGCUUCGUAGCUAAAAAGCUAGUCAGUCAACAAUCACACGAAAAAUCAAUUAUCAGAACCUAAAAUAGAGAAAUAAAAUUUUUUAUUAGCUAAUCAAAAUAAAAUUACAAAGAGGAUAUAUAUGUAUAUGUAUAUGUACAUGUAUGUAUAUGUACAUGUAUAUAUAUAUAUAUAUAUAUAUAUAUAUAUAUAUAUAUAUAAUAGAGUCCUGGCUAUGGUGCUUGUAAAGCACCAAUCACAUUGUGCUUGUAGUUUUUAACCGUUAGAUCAGCACUGUGAAUUUACAUCCGUUAAACUUAUACUAUUCAACCAACCCCCGUUCGCUGGAGGCCAUCACCUAAAGGGCCCACAUCAUCCUAACCACAUAAUUUUUAAUCUAAAGGCUAAAAACUUACAAGCACCAAUGUCUUGUACUUUAAAAGUAUAGGAGCUCAAUUUAUAUAUAUAUAUAUAGUAAUAUUAUAUAUAUUAUAUAUAUAUAUUAUAUAUAAUAUAUAUUAUUAUAUAGAUGUAUAUAUGUAUACACACACACAUGUCACACACACACACACACACACCACACACAACACCACAGAAUAUAUAUAAUUAUAAUAUAAUGAGCUAGGUUGCUACUAUCGGUAACACGGACGCACCUCCGUGCUAAACCAAAGUUGUUUUCAAUGAUGCCGCUUCUAAUCGACGAUCCGGCUCCGUUAGAUUGAUCUACACUAUUGAAAGUAUUUGAAAACUAAAUUUAUAAUUUUUCUGGUCAUCAUUUACCUAAUCAAACGAGCAGUCUUAAAAUGAAGCGGCUGAAAAUAAAAAUCUCAUAAAAAAUCGAUGAUAGAAACUUGAAUUUAAGUUCAAAGAAUACUGAUCUUACCUAAAUAGUAAAAAGAAUUUUCAUAAAUAUUUAUCAUGAUUGAUAUUUUAACACCGUAUAAAUUUACAAAUGCAAUCACACUCUACUAUUAAAAUUGUCAUUUGUGAGACCACUUUUGAUCACCGUAGCCAAAUGAGUCGAAAAAUUCUAAAUUAUUUCAAAAUACUUUCAAUAAGUGUAUAAUCAAGUCUAACCGGAGCCGAUCGUGCGAUUGAGAAGCCGCAUCCAUCGAAAACAAAUUGGUAGCAACGAGCACGGAAGGCUGCCGAUGCUUCCACAUAAAAAUAAUUAGUAUACGCAGCCGAUUAUAUAUAUAUAUACAUAUAUAUAUUAUAUAUAUAUAUAUAUAUAUAUAUAAUAUAAUAUAUAUAUCUAUAAUAUAUAAUAUAUAGAUGGAAGCUACCCAAUCCCAAAUUAAUUAUUGUACAAACACCCCUCUUCCUCUCCUUCCUCUCCGCCGCCCACCACUACACCACCCCUCUCCCCUAACUACCGCUGCCUCCGGAUGGGGUUGCCUAUAACUUACGUACACGGAAGCCUCGUGCUUACCGAUAUAAUAGCAAUCGAAACUCAUACAUAUAUAUAUAUAUAUAUUAAUAUUACUAUAUAUAUAUAUAUAUAUAUAAUAAAUAUAUUAUAGUAUAUAUAUAUAUAUAUGAGUGCAGCUACUAUACUCUUAUGAGCAUAGUAGCUGUUGUACUCAUAACUUUUUAACCAUCAGAUCUGCUUUAAGAUUCGUGUAGAUCUGAUGACAAAUUCAUUAUAGUUAAUUUCUCUGUCCCAAAUCCCAAAUUAAUUAUUGUACAACACCCUCUUCCUCCUCCUUCCCUCUUGCCGCCGCCCAUCACUACCACCUCCCUCUCUCCCCUAACUACCCCUUGCCUCCAGGAUGGGGCUGAGGGUGCUUCGACUCCGACAUCCUCGUCACAUUCGGCAUUGCUGUGGUCGGCGGGUCGACAUCGUCUCCCUCAUCGUGCCUUACCACCUCGACACCAUCGCCGUGGACACCUUCUCCGUUGCUGAGAAAUCCAUUCUUCGUUUCUGCCUCUGUCGGGAACAGCGGCCCUGAUCACUAAUGUAGCCUCAUGGGUCGCCACCCUCAGGGUUUGGAGUGGCGACUGUGGUUGAGGUGGGUGCUGCCGGUGCCGGAGGAAGGGGACGAGGAGGGUGCUGUACGAGGAUUAAUUGACAAUUAACCAGAGAAGUUAAUUGGGAGAGUUAAUUAGGGUGGAAGAGUUAAUUAUCUGAGAUUAAUUGGAAUAAAUUAGUCAUCAGAUUUGCACAGAUCUUAAAGUAGAUCUGAUGGCUAAAAAGUUAUGAGUACAAUAGCUACUAUACUCAUAAGAGUAUAGUAGCUGCACUCUAUAUAUAUAUAUGUAUUUGUAUAUGUAUAUGUAUUUGUAUAUGUAUAUGUAUAUGUAUAUGUAUAUGUACAUAUAGAUGUAUAUGUAGAUGUAGAUGUAGAUGUAGACGUACAUGUAUAUGUAUAUGUAUAUGUACAUGUAUAUAUAUGUGUAACACACUGGACCUUUGCAAAUUGCGAGGUUCGAGUGAUUGGUCGUGCUCUGAGCUUUUCCAGAUUUUCUGGUAGGUCGUUGACUGUGUUCCGACCUGUGGCACGUGUCCCGUGGAGUGUGGUACGAAGCCUUGCACCAAAACCCAAAAAUUUGGAUUUUGGUCAGCUCUCGGAUUGGCUGUCUGGCGGGCUUGUACCGGUACAAGGUUGGGCCUGUACCGGUACAGAGCCGAGAACUCGCAAACCCGAGCCUCGGUUUGCAUUUUCGCAGGUCUUGUACCGGUACAAGGAUGGUCUUGUACCGGUACAAUGUUGAUGGUUGUACCGGUACAGCCAUCGGGCCUGUACCGGUACAGUGCCGCAGNNNNNNNNNNNNNNNNNNNNNNNNNNNNNNNNNNNNNNNNNNNNNNNNNNNNNNNNNNNNNNNNNNNNNNNNNNNNNNNNNNNNNNNNNNNNNNNNNNNNNNNNNNNNNNNNNNNNNNNNNNNNNNNNNNNNNNNNNNNNNNNNNNNNNNNNNNNNNNNNNNNNNNNNNNNNNNNNNNNNNNNNNNNNNNNNNNNNNNNNNNNNNNNNNNNNNNNNNNNNNNNNNNNNNNNNNNNNNNNNNNNNNNNNNNNNNNNNNNNNNNNNNNNNNNNNNNNNNNNNNNNNNNNNNNNNNNNNNNNNNNNNNNNNNNNNNNNNNNNNNNNNNNNNNNNNNNNNNNNNNNNNNNNNNNNNNNNNNNNNNNNNNNNNNNNNNNNNNNNNNNNNNNNNNNNNNNNNNNNNNNNNNNNNNNNNNNNNNNNNNNNNNNNNNNNNNNNNNNNNNNNNNNNNNNNNNNNNNNNNNNNNNNNNNNNNNNNNNNNNNNNNNNNNNNNNNNNNNNNNNNNNNNNNNNNNNNNNNNNNNNNNNNNNNNNNNNNNNNNNNNNNNNNNNNNNNNNNNNNNNNNNNNNNNNNNNNNNNNNNNNNNNNNNNNNNNNNNNNNNNNNNNNNNNNNNNNNNNNNNNNNNNNNNNNNNNNNNNNNNNNNNNNNNNNNNNNNNNNNNNNNNNNNNNNNNNNNNNNNNNNNNNNNNNNNNNNNNNNNNNNNNNNNNNNNNNNNNNNNNNNNNNNNNNNNNNNNNNNNNNNNNNNNNNNNNNNNNNNNNNNNNNNNNNNNNNNNNNNNNNNNNNNNNNNNNNNNNNNNNNNNNNNNNNNNNNNNNNNNNNNNNNNNNNNNNNNNNNNNNNNNNNNNNNNNNNNNNNNNNNNNNNNNNNNNNNNNNNNNNNNNNNNNNNNNNNNNNNNNNNNNNNNNNNNNNNNNNNNNNNNNNNNNNNNNNNNNNNNNNNNNNNNNNNNNNNNNNNNNNNNNNNNNNNNNNNNNNNNNNNNNNNNNNNNNNNNNNNNNNNNNNNNNNNNNNNNNNNNNNNNNNNNNNNNNNNNNNNNNNNNNNNNNNNNNNNNNNNNNNNNNNNNNNNNNNNNNNNNNNNNNNNNNNNNNNNNNNNNNNNNNNNNNNNNNNNNNNNNNNNNNNNNNNNNNNNNNNNNNNNNNNNNNNNNNNNNNNNNNNNNNNNNNNNNNNNNNNNNNNNNNNNNNNNNNNNNNNNNNNNNNNNNNNNNNNNNNNNNNNNNNNNNNNNNNNNNNNNNNNNNNNNNNNNNNNNNNNNNNNNNNNNNNNNNNNNNNNNNNNNNNNNNNNNNNNNNNNNNNNNNNNNNNNNNNNNNNNNNNNNNNNNNNNNNNNNNNNNNNNNNNNNNNNNNNNNNNNNNNNNNNNNNNNNNNNNNNNNNNNNNNNNNNNNNNNNNNNNNNNNNNNNNNNNNNNNNNNNNNNNNNNNNNNNNNNNNNNNNNNNNNNNNNNNNNNNNNNNNNNNNNNNNNNNNNNNNNNNNNNNNNNNNNNNNNNNNNNNNNNNNNNNNNNNNNNNNNNNNNNNNNNNNNNNNNNNNNNNNNNNNNNNNNNNNNNNNNNNNNNNNNNNNNNNNNNNNNNNNNNNNNNNNNNNNNNNNNNNNNNNNNNNNNNNNNNNNNNNNNNNNNNNNNNNNNNNNNNNNNNNNNNNNNNNNNNNNNNNNNNNNNNNNNNNNNNNNNNNNNNNNNNNNNNNNNNNNNNNNNNNNNNNNNNNNNNNNNNNNNNNNNNNNNNNNNNNNNNNNNNNNNNNNNNNNNNNNNNNNNNNNNNNNNNNNNNNNNNNNNNNNNNNNNNNNNNNNNNNNNNNNNNNNNNNNNNNNNNNNNNNNNNNNNNNNNNNNNNNNNNNNNNNNNNNNNNNNNNNNNNNNNNNNNNNNNNNNNNNNNNNNNNNNNNNNNNNNNNNNNGCACCGGCGGAGGCACCGGAUCGCGGCAAGGAUGUCGCGUAGCUAGCUCGCGGAGAGUUCUUUCGCCUAGGUGGUCUACUCCUCCAUUUUAUAUUUUUAGAGAGUGUGAGGUUUUGUACCCUGUAUAGAGAGACCACCUUGUACUCCUUUUAGCAUUUGUUAUGGGAUCCCUAUUGUACUUACUUUAUGUCUUAUUUUGUGGAUUUACAGCUUUAUCCUUAUCCCUUGUUGUAGCAUUUAGACAGUUAUUAUGCUCUGAUACUCCUAGAUGUCUUUUAUUAUUGCUUUUAUUAUGGUUGUUUUUAGACGCCUCAUAUGUUGUAGACAUAUGGCGAGUCUGGGCACGCGCCGGGCGGGCUUCCGCUGGGUCCCGGGGCGUGACAGAUUAAUUUGGUAUCAGAGCCUAGGGUUGAGUCUUAGGGGACCUAGCAAACCUUAGGCCGGUUGGACUAUAGGAAAUAGGCUCGUGAGAGACGAGGUCUAUUCGGCUUGUAAGCGAAAGUAUCAUGAUUGGGUAUUAUGAUAACUCUAAUAGGUUAGAGUUGAUUGGAGUGUUUGGCUUCUAACUUCGCGGAGGGUUACGUUGGCGGCCGACAACGUAACAUCGGGAGUUAGUAGUGUAGAACACUUCCUUACUUUCGCAUGAUUUGGGGUUUGUUUUUGAGCGGGGAUGCGAUAGCGUGAGUAUUUCUAACUUGCGCUUUUAUGAUGUUGUAGUGACGAUGCCGAUUACUCGCUCCCAAUCUGCCGGGGCGGACAAUGCGGCAAACUUUGAGGAGGUUGAGACCUCCGCUACCUCCGGAUCCAGCGAGGUCCGUGAGUUGAGGGGCCAGUUUGCAGCCCUCACCUACCUAGUCACUCAGCAGGCGGAGGCGGCCCGACAGCAGACCGAGGCGGCGCGCCGACAGGAGGCGCGGAUGAAGCGCCUGGAGGAUCUACUUCUGCAGCAGGCAGCAGCUUCUAGGGAGACGCAGGGCCCUACACCGCCAGCACCAGUCGUGGACGUUGCACCGAGAGCGCCUGUAACAUACCAGAUUUUGAUAUAAAAAUAAAAAUAAAUAAAAAUAGUGUGAGAAACUAUUUUUAUUGGAUUUGUAGGAGUAAAACAUAAGUCAGAAGUGACUUGUGCUGAAAUCGGAUUGAAAACAGAAGAUCUAGAAUUUUCUGUUGGAAAUGGGACAGAUAAAUUAGCAGAAAAUGCACAGUCUCAGAAAAUUAUGAAAAUUGGAGGAUAGGUCAGAAAUAUUUUUAUGAGGCUAGAUUUAAAGUUUUAUAUUUUUCUGACACCCGUAGAGUGAGAAAUAAAAUCCGACACCUAUCUGAUAAAGAUUACAGUUCGGUACAGUUUUCAGUGACCAAACGGGGUCGAAACUGAACCAGCGAUCGUCAGCUUGUUAAGUUAAGUAAAACCGAACAUGACUGUCAAGNGAUACUCCUAGAUGUCUUUUAUUAUUGCUUUUAUUAUGGUUGUUUUUAGACGCCUCAUAUGUUGUAGACAUAUGGCGGGUCUGGGCACGCGCCGGGCAGGCUUCCGCUGGGUCCCGGGGCGUGACACAACUUCUAGACCAAACCGCUGCAUCUCCUUUUGCAAAGCCGGCUGAGGUGUAAUUUCCGUCGCCAAAUUUUCCACCGACUUUAUACUUAGAGCAUCGGCCAUGACGUUCGCUUUUCCGGGGUGGUAGAGAAUCGUGACGUCAUAAUCCUUGAGCAACUCUAACCACCGCCGCUAUCGCAAGUUCAGCUCCUUCUAGGUGAACAAGUAUUUGAGACUCUUAUGAUCAGUGUAGAUCUCACAAUGUUUCCCAUACAGGUAAUUCCUCCACAACUUUAGCGCGAAAACAACCGCCGCUAGCUCAAGAUCGUGAGUCGGGUAGUUCUUUUCAUAACUCUUCAACUGGCGCGAAGCAUAAGCUAUGACUCGGCCGUUUUGCAUUAAGACACACCCGAGACCGAUGUAUGAAGCAUCACCGUAUACGACAUAACUCUCUCCCGGCGUCGGCAAGGCAAGCACCGGAGUAGAUAUUAGUCUAUUCUUUAGCUCCUCGAAGCUCCGCUCACACUCGGGGCUCCAAACAUACUUCACCCCUUUGUGCGUAAGGCGCGUUAGUGGAGUCGUUAUCCUGGCAAACCCCUCCACGAACCGCCGGUAAGAGCCCGCAAGUCCAAGGAAACUACGAAUUUCCACUACACUUGUCGGGCGAGGUCAAUCUUUAAUCGCCUCAACUUUCUUUGGGUCCACCGAAAUGCCAUCUCCGGAUACAACGUGACCCAAGAAGGUAACCUCCGAAAGCCACAACUCACAUUUCUUUAGUUUUGCGUAAAGCAUUUCCUUCCGGAGUAUCUCCAAUACGAGUCUUAGAUGCUCCUCGUGUUCUUCUUCGGUCCGAGAAUAUACCAAUACGUCGUCAAUGAAAACCACGACGCACCGGUCCAAUAGCGGACGGAAGAUUCGAUUCAUUAGGUCCAUAAAUGCCGCCGGGGCAUUAGUGAGCCCGAAUGGCAUGGCCGUAAAUUCAUAAUAGCCAUACCGCGUACGGUAUGCCGUCUUGUGCACGUCUUUGGGCCGUAUCUUCAGUUGAUGAUACCCCGACUGCAGAUCAAUCUUUGAAUAUACCCGUGACCCCUGCAACUGGUCGAAUAAGUCAUCAAUCCUCGGCAACGGAUAUUUGUUCUUGAUUGUCACUCUAUUCAACUCGCGAUAAUCGACGCAGAGUCGGAGUGUUCCGUCUUUCUUCUUUACAAAUAGCACCGGAGCUCCCCACGGGGACACGCUCGGCCGCACGAAGCCUUUAUCGAGCAAAUCUUGCAACUGGGCCUUCAACUCCUUUAGCUCCACCGGUGCCAUUCUAUACGGAGCCUUUGAAAUUGGCGCCGCCCUGGGAAUCAAGUCAAUGACAAACUCGACUUCCCGAUCCGGGGGCAGUCCCGGUAACUCCGCUGGGAAUACAUCCGGAUACUCCCGCACAACUCGAAUACUUUCCAGUUCCGGGUACUCCUUUUGAGGGUCUACGACGGUCGCCAAAUAAGCCUUGCAACCAUCCUUAAUCAUUCUCUUCGCCCUUACCGUCGAUAUAGUUGCUGCGAAGGGUUUGCCUUUGCACACCCGAUACACAAACUCCUCUUGGUUAGGCUCACGGAACGUGAUCACCCUUCUUUCGCAAUCUAUAACCGCGUAAUACUUGAAGAGCCAAUUGAUCCCCAAGAUUACCUCAAAGCCCCAUAUUUUCUUUAACACUAGGAGGUCGAUCGGCAUAAUCCAAUCACCUAUCUGCACUAGGCAGUCCAAGCACUCAUCAUGAAGGUCGAACGAGUGCUCGGGAGUGUUCACCGACCAAUAUUCCUCACUAUGAGUGAUCUCUAUGUUAUGAGCUUGUGCAAAUGAUGCUAAUAUGAAUGAAUGAGAUGCACCCGUAUCGAAUAUGGCUCUAGCUCUAGUGCCUCUGAUAAGAAUAAUACCUGCCAUGAUGUCGUCAGGAACAGUAAUUGGUGGCUUCUCCACCUGAGUGGCAAAUACCCGCCCACUAGGUGCUCGAGAGGCCUCCGGCUGACAAGGCACCGACGAUCGUCCAGCAGAUACGGUGGGUGGCAGUCCCGUCAGCUGUCGCUUAGUGUACUGAACAGACGCUGAUGACGGGGCUGGGGAUGCGCCGCCCGGGCACUCUCGGCUCAUGUGCCCCGGUUGGCCACAUCGGUAACAUCGCCCCUCCCGCUGUGGGCAUGUGGUGGCUCUAUGUUCUCCGCCGCAUAUCACGCAUGGGUAGGUAAUCUGGCCCUGUGUCUGACUUCUACCUCCCCGCCACUGUGAUCGCUGAGGUCGCGGGGGUCGCUUAGAACUCGAUUGCCCUGCAGAUCCACCAGCCGGUCGCUUCUUGGACUUAUCUCUUUCCCUGUCCCGCUCAAAAAUCUCGUGCUCCUCACGCGCAAUGGCAUUCCCGCGCUCCACCCAAAGCGCGCGAUCAAGUACUUCCUUAUAGGUCUUCAACCGGAAGGCAUGUAUGAUCUUGAAAAUCUCGGGUAGCAACCCGCGCUUGAAUAUCUCCGCUCGGUCCCUAUCACCAUGAACCAAGCCCGGCACGCAGUUAAUCAUGUGCGUGAAUUCCCUCUCGUACUCACGCACUGAUCGGCUUCCUUGCCUUAGCUUCCGAAAAUCCUCCUUGAUUUUCCUUUUGUCACUCUCGGGGAAAUACUCCAUAAGCAGCAUCUCCCGGAACGCCUCCCAAGUAAUAAAAGCGUGCUCUAGUGAGCAAUUUUUCUUCGCUUGAUUCCACCACAACCGGGCCGACCCAUCGAAACAAUGAGCUGCAAGAUGAACUUUAUCCUUCUCGAGGGUAUAGAUAUCCUCGAACAAGGCCUCCAUUGCGGCUAGCCAACUCUCCGUCGUCCACGGGUCUUUCACAUCGCCGUUGAAGGUCGGAGGGUUGAAUCGCUUGAAUGCUGUCAGCGCCGCUAACGUGCGCUCCUGCUCGGCCUCAAGUACAUCGGGGAUAGGAGCCGAUGAACCCGAUGCCGUCGGAGGAACCAUCGUCACUGGCGCUGCCGCCACCGCAGGAGGUGGUGCUACAGGAGCAGCCGGUGGGGGUGGAUCCCUCGGCAUUGAUGCCGCCGCUGCCUGUUGCGCCAUCAUCUCGCGGAGCUGUCCAAUCUGCUCCCCUUGUUGUCGCAUAGCCCAGGCCAAAGCCGCUACCUGGGCUCGCAACUCGCGCACUUCGUCCGACCCCGACUGCCCGGGCUCCUCCCGAAGCUCCGCCGGUGUGGACCUCGUAACUUUCCUUGGUGGUGCCAUCGCGUCCUGAAACGCAUUGCACACACACAUUAGCACUCGAAACACGUGACCCUUACACGUUCCAAAUAUCUACCCAAUUAAGCGAAAGCAACAAGCAUAAUUGUUUCCACUCUUGGUGUCAUGUGGUCGACCGCCCCACAAGGUCCCUUAAGUAGACAACAAUUAAGCCUUCUAGUCCAUCUCUACUUCCUUCUAGAGAAGUAUUACUAUUAACCCAAUCAUUCGCUUUCGCAUAAACCAAGUCCACGUUAAACGUUUUCCUAAGUCCCUAUGGUCUCCAACCUAUGGUUCCUAGGUCAUUCCUAAACUUUUGCUUUCCACUUCGCUCUGAUACCAUUAUAUCUGUCACGCCCCAAUCCCCGCCAAUUUGGUCGGGUUCGGGUGACGUCAACAGACGCCGAACGGACAGAGCCUCCCCUGUCCGCCCAAGACUCUAACAACAUGUAUAAAUAAGCAAUCAACAAGAGAUUUGCAUAUAUAAUACAAGGCUUGCAUGAGGGCAAGCAACAACGGAAGCGAAAGCUCUAAGCUACAUCAUACAGCAUACAAGAUACUUGAUUGUAUUUGAACCAAAUACAAGUAAAUAAAACUAUUACAUUUCCAUUCAACCAUCAUUCCUGUUUACAUUUAGCCAUCCACCAAAUUAUAUGAUUGUUUACAACUUUACAUUUCUAAAUCAACAAAAUAAAGUUGAUGCAUGUAUACCAAAAGAGAAAUGGCUACAAAAUAGAAAAAGUCCUGGUGGCCACUAUCUACGGCGCUAUACCCUUGCCUCGGUCCUCCGCCGCUCCGCUCGUGCUAGGACCUGUAGGGUUAGUGGUGUGAGAACUACAACGAAGUUCCCAGUGGGUUCGGCAUCCGACCUCGCCGACUUACCUACUAGGUCUAUCCAGACAUAAGUAUUUCAAGGUAAGAAAAGUAACCAGUACUAAUGCAUCUAAUACUAUGCCUGCAGAAGAAUGUCAGUGGAUACAAAUACUCAAUGCAAUGAUGGAAAAUGCAUGCAUGCUCAAUUCAUAAAUAAGCUUUGGCUCUUACCCAAUCUUACCGGUUAACCUUGUUAACCCGAACAACUCACAACCCAAAAUCCCUUAAUAACGGGGGACUCGAACCUCCCUAGGGACCGUCAUUUGGGAGAACUUUACCACGCCCAGUGGUGACCAACUUCGGAGCGCACCGCCCGAGGGGGAGCGACCUCCCUCAAGCCAAGACGUAUCGUGAGUAUCGAUCCAACCCUCAACUUGAGGAUUCAUAGCCACUAAUCACAAUGCCGGUGUCAUGAUAGGUCUCUACCUAUUCAUUCUUGCCACUCUCUAGGCUAUACUUGCGAUGAUGCUAUAAGUUAAACUAUGUUUAACAGUUCAUCUCUCAAUGCCAAUCUUGUUUCUAUGUCAAUGUCACCUUUGUUUUCUAUUGUUCAUGUCCAAACCUCACAUUCACACAUCUCGAGGGUCCUAUCUCACAUGUCCAGUUUUGGUUCUAUCAUUCUCUAUGUUCAACUAUGUUAGAAGCAUAUAAAUGAAAGCAAACCAAGUUUCACAUGUAUCUACCCUACUAUGUAUGAAUGGCUAUAUAUAGAUAUAUGCUCAAUAAAAGGAAAAUAGACAUAGAAGGGAAUUCAACAAUUCCGGCGUGCACCCCCCACCUUGUGAGGUAUAAGAAAGCUAUUCCGACAAUUUCCACGCUCAACCAAUCGCCACUUUGUGACCUACAACCCCAAAAUAGAGCCAAAUUAGGCCCAUUGUAUAUAAACCAUACUCUAGCAUUUUCGUAACGCCAAACGGAGUUGUCCCACGCGUUUAGGACACCCCCAAUUAGAUUUCCACGAGGUCAAUUUGUCUCCGAAAAAUUUUAGGGCAAAAGCUCCAAUUUCCAAGCCCUAACAAUGCCAUUUAGGGUUUUCCCUUGGAUUGAUCUCAACCCUAAGCAAAUAAUAGCUUAGAAUCAUCUAAGAAGCAUCCUACUAAGGUUUCUAGACCUUUGGAACCAACCCUAGGGCAUCUACCAUGAGCCCUAGUGAUCCACCAUGAGAGCUCCUUAAGAAAACCGUGGAUUUCAUGGUUUCAAGGUCAAUAGAGGGUUUCUAGUGCUAAAAACAUCCCAAAACUUCAAACCUUAGGGAUCAAAACCAAACCCUAGACUCAUUUACACCAAAAACUCACCUUAGCCCAAGCUCCUCCAAGUCCUUCUUGUAGGAGAGCUUGUAGAAUCCACCAAAGCUUCCAAAUCCUCAUUUUCCUUGCUUCUUCUUCUUCUUCUUCUCCAAGCUCUAGUGCAAGAGUUCUAGAGAGAGAAAGAGAGAAAAUGGGAGAGGGGGAGAGAAAUGGCUGUGGGAGAGAGGGGGAUAGCUAUAUAAAGUGUUGUGACCAUUGCACUUAAGCCUCUCCACUUGAUUCACAGUGCACUGCCCAGACUGGGCAUUUUUCGCUGUCGGGGACCGGUCUCCCCGACUAGGGACCGGUUCCCGAACGUGGGUUUCCCAGAACUUAGCCGAUUUUCGGGCUUUUUUAGCUACUGCGCGACGAGGGACUGGUCUCUCCUUCAGGGACCGGUCUCCCGAGGACCGGUCUCACUGGCAGGGACCGGAUGCCUCAGGAUUACUGGCAGCUACGCGUACGGGGACCGGUCUCUCCUUCAGGGACCGGUCCCCGAGAGCACAAAAUCUGGGACUUAGCCAGAUUUUGAGAUUUCUCUCUCUCGGGUCCCUUUGCACCAUUUAUAGGCUCCAUUGCACUUAGGGCCUAUACCCACUCGAUCCAUUCCGGGUUUCGCUCGUUUGGACGGAACUCAGCACAAUUUAUGAGGGAUGUGGUAUAUUACAUUCUCCACCCCUUAAUUUAGUUUCGUCCGCGAAACUACUAAGGCUGAAAUUUAAAUUUCAUACAUCACUUUGGAUCCUCGAAGAGGUGAGGAUAACACUCCCUCAUUUCGCUUUCGAGCUCCCACGUUUUUUUCCGGUCAUCAUGUUCGCACCAAUGAAUUUUAACAUAUGGGAUUUCGCGGUUCUGAAGCUUUUGCAUCUCCCGAUCGACAAUAUAUGCCGGAAACUCCUCAUAUGUCAUAUCCUCUUGAAGCUCUAUCGGUAUAUACGAGAGAAUAUGGUCUGGAUCGUACACAUACUUGCGGAGUUGGGAUACAUAGAAUACAUCAUGUACUCCCGCAAACCUCGGCGGUAAGGCCAACUUGUAGGCCACCGCACCAACUCGUUCCAAAAUCUCUAAGGGUCCGAUAUAGCGGGAACUUAGCUUCCCGCUUAACUCCUCGUAUCGGUGAUACUUUUAAAAAUACGCGGUCUCCUACUGCGAACUCGAUAUCUUUUCGCCGUUUGUCGGUAUAACUCUUGUGCCUUGAUUGCGCCGUCACUAAUCUUUGUUGGGCAAGGCGAACUUUUUCCUCCGCCUCCCGCACCACAUCCGGGCCAAGAACUAGCUUUUCACCCACAUCGCCCCAGUGUAUUGGCGAGCGACAUUUCCUUCCAUACAGGGCCUCGAAUGGCGCCAUCGCGAUGCUUUCUUGAUAGCUAUUGUUGUAUGCGAAUUCCGCCAUCGGUAGGUGAUCGUGCCAUCCACCCUUAUAAUCAAGCACACGAACUCGAAGCAUGUCCUCAAGUAUCUGAAUCGUCCUUUCCGAUUGACCGUCACUUUGAGGAUGGAAUGCCGUACUAAAGUCGAGCCGCGUGCCUAACGCAUCUUGUAAGCUCUUCCAGAAAUGAGAUGUGAACCUAGGGUCCCGAUCCGAUACAAUAGAUACCGGAACCCCGUGAAGUCUCACCACCUCGUCAAUGUAGACUUGAGCUACUUGUCUCCCGACCAAGUAGUGUGGAUCGGCAAAAAGUGUGUCGAUUUUGUCAACCGGUCCACAACUACCCAAAUCGCGUCAUGUCCACCCUGUGACCUGGGCAAGCCUGUCACGAAAUCCAUUGCGAUGUUUUCCCAUUUCCACACGGGUAUAGGUAGACUUUGCAAUUUUUUCGCCGAAAAUCGACGCUCCGCCUUCACUUGUUGGCACGUGAGGCACUGCGCCACGAACUCUCCUAUAUCUUUCUUCAUGCUCGGCCACCAAUAAUGCAAUUUCAGGUCUCGAUACAUUUUGGUGCCGCCCGGGUGAAUGCUAUAGGGAGAUUGAUGCGCUUCUUGCAUAAUCGCCCUCCGAAGGUCGUCAUCCUUGGGCACGCACCAACGAACCCGAUAUCGUAGUGCGCCGUCGGUUCCUAUGCCAAAAUCGUCGGCACUACCGCUCUCAACUUUGCUCCGCACCUUUAGGAGGAAUUCAUCCGAUGCUUCUGAUCCUUUAAUCUUCUCCAAUAAGGUUGGUUGCAAAACUAAGGUGGCAAGUAUUGCCGGCACUCCCAGUGCCACAACUUCUAGACCAAACCGCUGCAUCUCCUUUUGCAAAGCCGGUUGAGGUGUAAUUUCCGUCGCCAAAUUUUUCACCGACUUUCUACUUAGAGCAUCGGCCAUGACGUUCGCUUUCCUGGGGUGGUAGAGAAUCGUGACGUCAUAAUCCUUGAGCAACUCUAACCACCGCCCCUGUCGCAAGUUCAGCUCCUUCUGAGUGAACAAGUAUUUGAGACUCUUAUGAUCAGUGUAGAUCUCAUAAUGUUCCCCAUACAGGUAAUGCCUCCACAACUUUAGCGCGAAAACAACUGCCGCUAGCUCAAGAUCGUGAGUCAGGUAGUUCUUUUCAUAACUCUUCAACUGGCGCGAAGCAUAAGCUAUGACUCAGCCGUUUUGCAUUAAGACACACCUGAGACCGAUGUAUGAAGCAUCACUGUAUACGACAUGACUCUCUCCCGGCGUCGGCAAGGCAAGCACCGGAGUAGAUAUUAGUCUAUUCUUUAGCUCCUCGAAGCUCCGCUCACACUCGGGGCUCCAAACAUACUUCACCCCUUUGUGCGUAAGGCGCGUUAGUGGAGUCGUUAUCCUGGCAAACCCCUCUACGAACCGCCGGUAAUAGCCCGCAAGUCCAAGGAAGCUACGAAUUUUCGCUACACUUGACGGGCGAGGCCAAUCUUUAAUCGCCACAACUUUCUUUGGGUCCACCGAAAUGCCAUCUCUGGAUACAACGUGACCCAAGAAGGUAACCUCCGAAAGCCAAAACUCACAUUUCUUUAGUUUUGCGUAAAGCUUUUCCUUUGGGGGACUUUACCACGCCCAGUGGUGACUAACUCCGGAGCGCACCGCCUGAGGGGGAGCAACCUCCCUCAAGCCAAGACGUAUCGUGAGUAUCGAUCCAACCCUCAACUUGAGGAUUCAUAGCCACUAAUCACAAUGCCGGUGUCAUGAUAGGUCUCUACCUAUUCAUUCUUGCCACUCUCUAGGCUAUACUUGCGAUGAUGCCAUAAUUAGUUAAACUAUAUUUAACAGUUUAUCUCUCAAUGCCAAUCUUGUUUCUAUGUCAAUGUCACAUUUGUUUUCUAUUGUCCAUGUCCAAACCUCACAUUCACACAUCUCGAGGGUUCUACCUCAUAUGUCCAGUUUUGGUUCUAUCAUUCUCUAUGUUCAACUACGUUAGAAGCAUAUAAAUGAAAGCAAACCAAGUUUCACAUGUAUCUACCCUACUAUGUAUGAAUGGCUAUAUAUAGAUAUAUGCUCAAUAAAAGAAAAAUAGACAUAUAAGGGAAUUCAACGAUUCCGGCGUGCACCCCCCACCUUGUGAGGUAUAAGAAAGCUAUUUCGACAAUUUUCACGCUCAACCGAUCGCCACUUCGCGACCUACAACCCCAAAAUAGAGCCAAAUUAGGCCCAUUGUAUAUAAACCAUACUCUAGCAUUUUCGUAACGUCAAACGGAGUUGUCCCACGCGUUUAGGACACCCCUAAUUAGGUUUCCACGAGGUCAAUUUGUCCUCAAAAAAUUCUAGGGCAAAAGCCCCAAUUUCCAAGCCCUAACAAUGCCAUUUAGGGUUUCCCCUUGGAUUGAUCUCAACCCUAAGCAAAUAAUAGCUUAGAAUCAUCUAAGAAGCAUCCUACUAAAGUUUCUAGACCUUUGGAACCAACCCUAGGGUAUCUACCAUGAGCCCUAGUGAUCCACCAUGAGAGCUCCUCAAGAAAACCAUGGAUUUCAUAGUUUCAAGGUCAAUAGAGGGUUUCCAGGAAUAAAAACAUCCCAAAACUCCAAACCUUAGGGAUCAAAACCAAACCCUAGACUCAUUUACACCAAAACCUCACCUUAGCCCAAGCUCCUCCAAGUCCUUCUUGUAGGAGAGCUUGUAGAACCCACCAAAGCUUCCAAAUCCUCCUUCUCCUUGCUUCUUCUUCUUCUUCUCCAAGCUCUAGUGCAAGAGUUCUAGAGAGAGAAAGAGAGAAAAUGAGAGACGGGGAGAGAAAUGGCUGUGGGAGAGAGGGGGAUAGCUAUAUAAAGUGUUGUGACAAUUGCACUUAAGCCUCUCUACUUGAUUCACAGUGCACUGCCCAGACUGGGCAUUUUUCGCUGUCGGGGACCGGUCUCCCCGACCAGGGACCGGUUCCCGAACGUGGGUUUCCCAGGACUUAGCCGAUUUUCGGGCUUUUUUAGUUGCUGCGCGACGAGGGACUGGUCUCUCCUUCAGGGACCGGUCUCCCGAGGACCGGUCUCACUGCCAGGGACCGGAUGCCUCAGGAUUCCUGGUAGCUACGCGUACGGGGACCAGUCUCUCCUUCAGAGACCGGUCCCCGAGAGCACAAAAUCUGGGACUUAGCCAGAUUUUGAGAUUUCUCUCUCUCGGGUCACUUUGCACCAUUUAUAGGCUCCAUUGCACUUAGGGCCUAUACCCACUCGAUCCAUUCCGGGUUUCGCUCGUUUGGAUGGAACUCGGCACAAUUUACGAGGGAUGUGGUAUGUUACACAAUGUACUGUGAAAAGUUCGAACGAAAUACCCUCUCCCUGUUUGGGACUUUUGGAUUGGGUUGACGUGUUCUCCAGAUUGUCUUGUCUGAAAGAUUGAGUGAUGGUCCUCUUAGACCACGUAGCGAGCCUUGGGUUUUUCCCCAGCAGGGUUUUGCGCAGUUGAUUUAUCGUCACUGCAGAUGGUUUUGACUCUGGUUCGAGUCUGGAUGCUCGUUAGCUCUAAAGUUGUGCCUUCCACAGCUAAAAAGUUUGUUUGGUUAGUAGUCUCGAUCUGUUGCCGGGAGGUUCUGAAUCACAGUUGUGGAGUGACUUGAGCCUUAUUAUUGGCUUUGAUCGUCACCGUAUGUGAUAGCAUAUAAGGUUUGCGACUCGGGUUGUUGCACAAACCUUGGAAUGGUAUGCUUGUCCGGUUAAAUUGGUGACAUGUGUGCUUGAGUUUCAAUGAGACAGGUGUUUGAUGUUGCUGGGAAUAUCGAUCGCUAGGGUCCCUAUUAGGACAGCAACAACAGGGUUUCGUAGAGACAGGUGUUGAGCAUCACCGAUGGUUAUUAUCACAUAUUGCGAUUGGCAACCCUGUGCACCAAGUGAUGGACUUGCAAGCAACGUAUGUUGGUUUGAGUGAUAUAUUGAGCUAGCAAAUCGUCGAGCUCAAUUGAUAACGUCAAACUUGGACCUGUUGGUCAGGAGGAAAGUGAGGUCUUGGACCUAGGACCGUCGAAAUGCCGUUUGUGGCUUUCCGCUGAUGGGGAUUUGACUUCGGUAGUUUGUGUGUUAUGUUGGAGGGAGACUGUGGUCUCCGAGGUGAUUGUCUUUGACUCGAAUUUUAGGACAACGAUACGUAUUCACUCGUGGUGAGCUGGUUGACGUUGUUGGCUAGUCGGAGUAUGUCAUUUCGGCUUACAAAAAUAUACUCCAGAUGUAACAUAUUGGAAAUCCGGAAGAAAUUAUCGAACUUUAGCCAAAUUGACUAAAGUAUGCGAAAAAGAUGGAUGGAUAAGUUGCAUUUAGCACUCCAAAAAUGUUGGAAGAGCUAAGAGUAAGUUUAGAAAGAGAUAGAAAGGUUUUAGCAUCGAACGGCGCGAAGUAGAGUCGAAUCGGAGCUAAAACUGCAUUCUGGGCAAAGUGUACCGGUACAACCACUGAGUUGUCACCGGUAACAGCCCAGCAGCCCGAGCUGAGUGAGCUCUCGGGUUUGAGAUUUUUGUAGAAAAUGUACCGAUACACCCCUGGUGUGUAUCGGUACACUUUGGUAAAAUCCGAGGGAAAUGCUCUCAGGUUGCCUCUGCGUAAUCGUGUAACCGGUAACAGCCCAAAGUGUACCGGUACACUUUGGUCUGGCAGCAAUUUUGAAGUCUAUUGCAAAUAAGACAUUUUGGGGGGCCUAGUUGCAAUUGUUGCACACUAUAUAGGAGCCCAUCUUCCCUCUCUUCAUAGCAGGGACCUCCACUCUCUCCCUCUCUCAUUUCCCUCUUUCUCUCUAGAAAGCUUAAUCUAGGGCAAGGUGGAGAAGGAGAAGGAGGAUCGAAGGGAUUUUGGGUGGCUUUGGUGGUUCUUGGAGCUCUCCUACAAGAAGGAUCUUGGGAUAGAUCUUGGCCAAGGUGAGUUUCUUGCAAGUAGAGCUCUAGGGUUUGGAUUUUUACCUUAGAACUUGGAGUUUUGAUCCUCUAGCAAGGCUAGGAUCAUUGUAGAGACCUUAAAUUCAUGAAAAUCCAUGGUUUUUCAAGGUGCUCUCAUGGUGGUUAACUAGGGAUCAUGCUAGAUGCCCUAGGAAUGGUCUAAAUAGCUUGGUAAUAGUAUUAGAGAGCUUCCUAGAUUAUUCUAAGCUAUUAUUUGCUUAGAGAUGAGAUAAAUCUAGGAAAAAUUUAAAUAUGGCAUUGUUAGGGUAUGGAUUUUGGGGCUUUUGCCUCCGGAUAUUUCCGAGGCAAAUUGACCUCUUGGAAACCUAAUUGGGGGUAUUCCCGACGUGUGGGACAACUCUGUUUAAUGUUAUGAAAAGGUUAAGUAUAAGAUCUUGUACAUAGGGCCUAAUUUAGUUUUAUUUUGGGUUUAGGUCGCGGGAGAGGCGUCCUAAAAUCACGAGAGUCAAACUACAUGUCACGCCCCGGAGCCGAUACCAAUUUGGCCGGCCCGAGCACGUCGAACAGACGCCGAACGGACAGAGUUUCCCCUAUCCGCCCAAGGCUCAUCACGUGUACAAUUUCAAGAGAAUUGAAAUGCACUAGCGGAAACAUGCACAAACAGCUUACACGAGGGUAAGCAAUAGCCAUUAGUGAAAGAAAAGAAAACUAAACAUACACAAGUAACAUGAUUCAUUUUAGAUCAUCUACAUUGCACUCUUCCAAAAUCUUUACAUUCUUUCAUCAUUUCUUUUACAUCACAUUUACCGCAAAAUGAACAUUACAUUCUUUUCUUUACUUUGCUUUACACAUCAACAUCUUAAAUCAUCAAAUACAAAGAUGAUAAAAGGGGUAAACUACUAACAAAAUGUAACCCAACUCCGGUGGCCUCUGACUACGGUGCGAUACCUUUACCGCGGUCGCUCGCCGGCUCGCUCGGUCCCGGCUCUGUGGAAUAGUGGGGUGAGAACUACAACAAAGUUCCCAGUGGGUUCGGCCUCAAUCAUCACCGACUUCCACUAGGACUAAACUCAGGCAUAAUAGAAAGAUAAGCUGAAAUAUAAGAACCAAUCUACAACAUGAUGCUAAUUAGCCUGAACAAUAAGCAAGGAAUAUGCUCAACAUUAACAUAUGCAGAUUAUGCAAGUUCUUUCGUCUUAUCUUUAACUUUGUUCUUUGUUCUGCUCUUUGUUCUUUAUUCUUUGCUCUUUGUCUUUAAUCAUUAAGGCUAACCGGGGUUUCGCCACAUUAACUUGCCUCACGUUAAUCCAUCAUCGCAGGUACUCACCAGCUAGGACCGUCCUUACGGGUCUACUCCAACCGGAUGCAUAACUCCGGAGCGCAUCGCCGAGGGAGCGACGCCCUCGAGCACGGAACUCACAGCAAGUAUGAUCAUAUCCUUAACUCAAGGAUUAUAGUUCAAUCUUGACUUUACACUAGCUCUAGUGUUCUUUACAUCACUUUAUGUUGCCACUCUAGCAAUCAUUGCUCUUUGCAUUUCUUUACUUUUGCUAACUCUAGCAUCACAUUCUUUAGCUUUACACGUUCUUUAUUGCUCUCUUGCUUUAGCUUUAGUGAUCGUCAUCAUUCUUUAUAUCACUUCGAUUUUUGCUUCACACUAACUCUAGUGUCACUUUACUUUACAUUAUUUAGAUGCCACUCGAUCUAUGUCACAGUGUCACUCUGUCUUUUGCUCACUUUGGGUGCUCACAUUUUCUCUCAUGCAUACAUCUAGGGUUUUGACAUUAUUAGGUUCUCAACCAUCUCAUUAUGCAAGUUGGCUCACAAUCAUGCAAUCAUCACAUUUUAUCAUUACUUUACCCUAAAUGCAUGCAACAAUAUAUAGAACAUAUGCUCAAAGAAUGACACAUUAGGCAUAGAGAGAAUUUCAAUGAGUUUGGAAAGCACCACCCACCUCGUAGGUCCUCUAAGUGUCUAUGAUAAAUUUCUCGGGAUUUUUAGCCGCCCGGUUUCGCUACCUGCGACACUCAGUACCGCUAAGGGCCCAAUCUUACAGUUGCGCUACAAGAGCGUCGCUUCGGCAGUUUUAAGUGCAGAAGCUCUUCGGCAUCUACCAUGAUGCUUCAGAUCCAACCCAUGAUUUUUGAAGUCGCCUCGCGCUUCCGGCGGAAACGAAGCCUAAACAUCCGUUUCUUUAACAACUUUGCAACGGCUCGACGAAUCGCCAAACCGACUUCGCCAACGCGUUCGUUUACCUAGCAAUUAGGUUCACGGAGGGUCAAAUGAGAUCAAGCCCUACUAUUUUACAAAAUCUCAUUUUUGAGCCUUAAGAUACACUAUUGCAAGAAUUCAUCAUAUGAUCCCUUAAUUCAUGCAAUAGUUAUCCAUUUAGCAUCUAAGAUUCCUCUAAAUCCAUUCUUAGAGCAUACAAUUAAAGCUCUUAAGAUCUAUCAUUAUAAACCUAGCCUCUACACAUGCUCCAAUUAACCCAAUUAAAUGGAUUUAACAUGCUAAUCAACACAUUAGAGGCUAUUGGAACACUAAGCAUUAAGGAUUAAACCAAAUCCUAGCUUAAAUUAUGAGAUCUCACCUAGACCACCAUUCACAUCAAGCUAAAUCCACUAUUGGAAAGCUUGCUUCCACCAUUAGAGAGAGCUUCAACUUCAAGCUACUCUAAUUUUCGCUCCAAGCUUGCUUCAAUUUUUCUUUCUUUUCUUCUCCAAUCAUCUCUUUGGUGUAGAGAGAGAUUUUUCUCUUUGCUUGUGAGUGUGAAUAAUGAGAGGAAAGAAAGCCCAAGUCCUAUAUAUACAUAGAGAGAAAACUUGCUCUCCAAGUUUUCUAUGAAGCUUCCAAAAACACUAUUCACUCCAGGCAACUUAAAAUCUGAUAUAUUUCGCCGGAGCUCUCAGAGUAUCCGUUUGAGCUCAAAUUUGACAGUCAUAUUCGGUUUAACGUACCGAACAAGAAUAUACUUUAAGUUUUCAGUUUUGACCCCGUUUGGUCACCGAAAACUGUACCGAACUGUAAUCUUUAUCAGAUAGAUUUCGGAUUUUAUUUCUCAACUUUCGGGUGUCAGAAAAAUAUGAAACUUUAAAUCUAGCCUCAUAAAAAUAUUUCUGACUUAUCCUCCAAUUUUCAUAAUUUUCUGAGACUCUGUAUUUUUUGCUAAUUUAUCUGUCUCGUUUUCAACAGAAAAUUAUAAAUCUUCUGUUUUCAUUCCGAUUUCAGCACAAGUCAUUAUAGACUUAUACAUUGUUUCUCAAAAACCAAAUAAAAAUAGUAUCUCACACUAUUUUUAUUUACUUCUAUUUUUAUACCAAAAUCUGGUAUAUUACACUACAGCUCUUCUACACUAUUUGAGGUGGGGGGUGCACGCCGGAAUCGUUGGAUUCCCUUCUAUGUCUAUUUCACCUUUCAUUUGAGCAUAUUGAUGUAUAGUCAUUCAUGCAUAGUAGGGUUAGAUUACAUGUGAACCUUGGUUAGACGUUAUUUAUAUGCUUCAAAUGUAGUUGAAUAUAGAGAAUGAUAGAACCAUAAUAGACAUGUAUGGUAGAACCCUAAAGUUGUAUGAAUAUGAGACUUGGACUUGGAUAAUAAUAAACAAAUGUGACAUUGACAUUAGAGACAUGAUUGGCAUUAAGAGAUGAACUGUUAAACAUAGUUUAACCAAUUGUGGCAUUGUGGCAAGAAUGACCUAGAGUAUGGCAUAAAUAAAUAGGUAGAAACCUAUUAUGAUAGUGGCAUUGUGACUAGUGGCUAUACAUUCUCUAAGUGGGAAUUGGAUCGAUACUCACGAUAAGUCUUGGCUUGAGGGUGGUAGCUCCCUCUCAAGCGGUGCGUUCCGGAAUUAUCACCACGGGGAGCGCGGUCGCCGAAGACGGUCCCUCGGGUCUUGUAGUGCUUAGAGCCUUCCCGAAUAAAAGGGAUUUUGGGUUUUGAGUUAUUAGGGUUAACAAGGUUAACCAGUAAGAUUGGGUAAAAGCCAAAGUAAAAUCAUGGAAAAGCAUGCAUGCAUAUUUAAUAUUGCUUGAUUAUAUAUCCAUUGACAGUUUUCUUGCAGGUAUAGUAUUAGCAUUUGUAUGGUUACUGCUUUCCUUUCCUUUGAGAUACUUAUGCCUGAAUAGACCUAGUAGGUAAGUCGUCGAGGUCGGUUGCCGAACCCACUGGGAAUUUCGUUGUAGUUCUCACACCACUGACCCUACAGGUCCGAGUGCGAGCGGGGUGGCGGAGGACCGAGGCAACGGUAUUGCGCCAUAGCUAGUGGCCGCUGGAGUUUAUGCAUUUAGUCAUUCCCUUUUGUCUACACAUAUCAACUUUCUUUUGUUGAUUUAUAGAUGUAAAAGUUGUAAACAAUUCAUGUAUUUUGGAGAAUGAUUAAGAUGUAAAAGAAAUUAUGAAUGAAAAGGAAAAGAAUGUAAUAGUUUUAGUUCACUUGUAUUUGGUUUAAAUUUAAUCAAAUAUCAUGUAUGGUUGUAUGUUUAGUUUAGAGCUUUCGCUUCCGUUGUUGCUUGCCCUCAUGCAAGCCUUGUAUAAUUUCAGAUUACUUUGGUUGAUUGCUUAAUUAUACUUGUAGUUGGAGCCUUGGGCGGACAGGGGAGAUGCUGUCCGUUCGGCGUCUGUUGACGUGACCCGAACCCGACCAAAUUGGCAGGGAUUGGGGCGUGACAGAUAUAAUGGUAUCAGAGAGAUGGAAGAAAGCAAAAGUCUAGGAUGGACCUAGGAACCUUAGGAUUGGGGACUAUAGGGACUUAGGAAACGUUUAAAGUGAACUUAGUACUUGCGAAAGCUAGUUGAUUGGGUUAAUGAUGGUACUUCUCUAAAAGGAAUUAGAGAUGGAUUCAAGCGUUUAUUUGUUUUCUACUUAAGAGGUUUGUGUGGGGCGGCCGACCACAUGAUGCCAAGGGUUGGAAAUAAAUACACUUGAUUGCUUUCACUUAAUUAGGUAGUUAUUUGGAACGUGAAAGAGUCACGGGUGUCGAGUACUAAUGCGUGUGUUACAUUUCAGGAACAAUGUCCCCGAGACGCUACACGUGUAGAGCCGCUUCGGCAUUGCCUGAUGAAGUGCCCGAGCAGACGGGAACGGAUGAGGUGCGCGAGCUGCGAGCCUAAGUCGCGGCAUUGGCCGGGGCUAUGCGACAACAAGGGGAGCAUAUUGGACAGCUCCACGAGAUGAUGGCGCGACAGGCGGCGGCGGCGGCAUCUGUGCCGAGGGAUCCGCCCACACCUGCUGCCCCUGUAGCACCACCUCUUGCGGUGGCGGUGGCACCGGUGACGGCUAUUCCUCCGACGGCAUCGGGUUCAUCGGCCCCUGUUCUCGAUAUACUCGAGGCCGAGCAGGAGCGAUCGUUGGCGGCGCUGACGGCAUUCAAGCGAUUCAACCCACCACCCUUCAACGGCGAUGUGAAGGAUCCUUGGUUGGUGGAGUCGUAGUUGGCCACGAUAGAGGCAUUGUUCGAGGACAUCUACACCCUCGAGAAGGAUAAGGUUCACCUCGCGGCCCAUUGCUUCGACGGGUCGGCUCGGUUGUGGUGGACUCAGGCGAAGAAGAAUCACUCGUUGGAUCACGCUUCUAUUACUUAGAGGUGUUUCGGGAGAUGCUACUCAUGGAGUAUUUUCCCGAGAGCGACAAAAGGAAAAUCAAGGAGGAUUUUCGAAAGUUAAGGCAAGGGAGCCGGACGGUGCGGGAGUAUGAAAGACAGUUCACGCACCUUAUCAAAUGCGUGCCGAGCUUGGUUCAUGGCGAUAGGGACCGGGCGGAGGCAUUCGAGCGGGGGUUGCGACCCGAGAUUUUCAAGGUUAUUCAUGCAUUCCGCUUGAAGACCUACGAGGAGGUACUUGACCGCGUGCUUUGGGUGGAGCGCGGUAAUGCUAUUGCGCGGGAGAAGCGCGAGGCUUUCGAGAAGGACAAGGAAAAGGGAUAAGUCCAAGAAGCGGGCAUCUAGUGGAUCCGCGGGGCAGUCGAGUUCUAAGUGACCCCCUCGACAUCAGCGGUCACAGUGGUGGGGAGGUAGGAGUCAGACACAGAGCCAGACUACCUACCCGUGCGUGAUUUGUGGUGAAGAUCACCGAGUUACUACUUGCCCUCAGCGGGAGGGGUGGUGUUUUCGAUGCGGCCAGGGGGGCCAUAUAGGCCGAGAGUGCUCGGGCGGCACAUCCCCAGCUCCGUCGUCAGCUUCAGUCCAGUAUACUCUACGACAGCUGGCGGGACUGCCACCCGCUGUGUCUGCUGGACGUUCAUCAGCGCCUCGUCAGCUGGAGGCUUCUCGAGCACCUAGUGGGUGGAUUUUUGCCACUUAGGUGGAGGAGCAGCCGAUUCCAAUCCCCGACGACGUCGUGGCAGGUAUUAUUCUUAUCAGAGGCACUAGAGCUAGAGCUACAUUCGACACGGGUUCGUCUCAUUCAUUCAUUACUGCAUCAUUCGCUAAGACUCAUGACAUAGAGAUCACACAUAAUGAAGAUUAUUGGUCGGUGAAUACUCCGGAGCAUUCGUAUCAUGUACAUGACGAGUGCUUGGCGUGUCCGGUACAGAUAGGCGAUUGGAUCAUGUCGAUCGACCUUUUGGUAUUGAAUCAAAUGUGGGGCUUUGAUGUGAUCUUAGGGACCAACUGGCACUCUAAGUAUUACGCGGUCGUCGAUUGUGAAAGUAAGGUGAUCACAUUUCGUGAACCUAAUCAAGAAGAAUUGGUAUAUCGGGCUUGUAAAAGUAGGCGCUUCGCAGCAACUGUAUCGGCGGCGAGAGCGAGGAAAUUGAUUAAGGGUGGUUGUAAGGCCUAUUUGGCGACCAUCGUAGACGCCCAAAAGGAGCACCCGGAUUUAAGAAAUAUUCGGGUGGUAUGCGAGUAUCCGGAUGUGUUUCCGGCGGAGUUACCGGGAUUGCCACCGGACCGGGAAGUCGAGUUCGUCAUUGACUUAAUUCUCAGGGCAGCGCCAAUUUCGAAGGCUUCGUAUAGAAUAGUACCGGUUGAGCUAAAGGAGCUAAAGGCACAGUUGCAAGAUUUGCUCGAUAAGGGCUUUGUGAGGCCGAGCGUGUCUCUGUGGGGAGCUCCGGUGCUAUUUGUGAAGAAGAAGGAUGGCACGCUUCGACUUUGCGUUAAUUAUCGCGAGUUGAACAAGGUGACGAUCAAGAACAAGUAUCCGUUGCCGAGAAUUGAUGAUCUAUUUGAUCAGUUGCAAGGGUCAAGGGUAUACUCAAAAAUUGACCUUCAAUCGGGGUAUCAUCAGUUGAAGAUAUGGCCCAAGGAUGUGCACAAAACGGCGUACCGUACGCGGUAUGGCCAUUAUGAGUUCACAGUCAUGCCAUUCGGGCUUACUAAUGCCCCGGCGACUUUUAUGGACUUAAUGAAUCGAGUCUUCCGUCCGCUAUUGGACUUGUGCGUCAUGGUAUUCAUUGACGACGUAUUGGUAUAUUCUCGGACUGAGGAAGAACACGAGGAGCAUUUGAGGAUCGUGUUGGAGACACUCCGAAAGGAAAAGCUUUAUGCCAAAUUGAAGAAAUGUGAGUUUUGGCUUUCGGAGGUUACUUUCUUGGGUCAUGUUAUAUCCGGUGAUGGCAUCUCGGUGGACCCAAAGAAAGUAGAGGCUAUUAAAGAUUGGCCUCACCCGACAAGUAUAGCGGAGAUCCGUAGCUUUCUUGGACUUGCGGGCUACUACCGGCGGUUCGUGGAGGGGUUUGCUAAGAUAACUACUCCGCUAACGCGCCUUACCCACAAAGGGGUGAAGUAUGUUUAGAGUCCCGAGUGUGAGCGGAGCUUCGAGGAGCUAAAGGAAAGGUUGACGUCGACCCCGGUACUUGCUUUGCCGACGCCGGGGGAGAGCUAUGUUGUGUAUAGUGAUGCCUCUUAUAUCGGUCUCGGGUGUUUUGAUGCAAAAUGGCCGAGUUAUAGCAUAUGCUUUGCGCCAAUUGAAGAGCUAUGAGAAGAACUACCCGACUCACGAUCUUGAGCUAGCGGCGGUCAUCUUCGCGCUAAAAUUGUGGAUGCAUUACUUGUACGGUGAGCAUUGUGAGAUCUACACGGACCAUAAGAGUCUCAACUACUUGUUCACCCAGAAGGAAUUAAAUUUGCAACAGCGGCGGUGGUUGGAGUUGCUAAAGGAUUAUGACGUCACGAUUCUCUACCACCCUGGGAAAGCAAAUGUCGUGGCUGAUGCUCUAAGUAGAAAGUCGGAAAAAAAUUUGGCGAUGGCAAUUACACCCCAACCGGCUUUGCAAAAGGAGAUGCAACGGUUAGGACUUGAGGUUGUGGUGCCGGGAGUGCCGGCAACACUUGACACGUUGAUUGUACAACCGACCUUGUUGGAGAGGAUUAAAGAUAUGCAAGUUUUUGAUUCAUUUCUCCAAAAGGUGCGGGGUAAAGUCGAGAGCGGUAGUGCCGACGAUUUUGGCAUUGGGACCGAUGGCGCACUACAAUAUCGGAAUCGUUGGUAUGUGCCUAGGGACGAUGAUCUUCGGAGGGCGAUUAUGCAAGAAGCGCAUCAAUCUUCCUAUAGCAUUCACCCGGGCUGCACUAAAAUGUAUCAAGACCUAAAGCUACAUUAUUGGUGGCCAGGCAUGAAAAAGGACACAGGGGAGUUCGUGGCGUAAUGUCUCACGUGCCAACAAGUAAAGGCGAAACGGCGAUUCCCGGUGGGAAAGUUACAAAGUCUACCUAUACUCGUGUGGAAGUGGAAAAAUAUUGCUAUGGACUUUGUGACCGGUUUGCCAAGAUCUCAAGCUGGACAUGAUGUGAUUUGGGAGUUGUGGACCGGUUGACAAAAUCGGCACACUUUUUGCCGAUCCACACUACUUGGUCGGGAGACAAGCUAGCUCAGGUAUAUCUCGACGAGAUUGUGAGACUUCACGGGGUUCCGGUGUCUAUUGUAUCGGAUUGGGACCUGAGGUUCACAUCAUAUUUUUGGAAGAGUUUACAAGAUGCAUUGGGUACACGGCUCGACUUUAGUACGGCAUUCCAUCCUCAAAGUGAUGGCCAAUCGGAGAGAACUAUUCAAAUACUUUAGGACAUGCUUCGAGCGUGUGUACUUGACUAUAAGUGUCACGCCCCCGCCUUGAAAUCCCUACCAAUUUGGCACGGUUCGGGCGCGGCGAACGGACGCCAAACGGACAACACCUCGCCUGUCCACGCAAGGCUCAACAACAGAUCGAGUACAAGAAUUUAUCCAGGAUUUUAAAUUCUAUAAGUACACAAUCAACGGGGCACAAACAGUGCCAACAACAGAGAGCAAGUAAUCCACAAGAUACACAAGUGAAAUAAAGAGAGAACUUACUAACUAUUACAUCACAUUUGCAUUUUGUAUACAAUUACAUUCUUUUCCUCAAAAUGAAUACAUACUCUCAAGUACAUAGCUCUCCAAAGUCCUCACCUACAUGAUACUCUCUCAAAUACAUAGGUGUGCUAAUGCAAAAAGGAAAGCUACUACUCUAUCAAUAAUCCUCACUGCUCGGGCGCGAUGCCCUUGCUGCGGUCCUCGCCGGGCAAACCUGUACCUAGCCCUGGAAAUAGAGUGGGGUGAGAACUAUCUUCCAUAGGUCCCAGUGGGCUCGGCCGCCGACUCCGCUGAUCUCCCCACUAGGUCCAAGUGGGCAAAAGUAACAACGAGAUAGAUAGAUAUAUACAUCAAAGCUGUAAAGACAUAAUAGGAAAACUAUACUACUAUGCCGAUAAUCAUGUGAAAUGAAUGCAUGCAUCAUUUAGUAAAAGUUUACUAUCAUGCUAACAAGUUCGAUCCAUGUUCGAUAAGCAAUGUUCAAUGAUUUUAUUAACUUUUCAUUUACCCAAUCUGCGGCGAAACCCUUGAGUUUGCCUACGCCUCACAUAUCCAUCCCAUUGGGUAAGGAGGCUUCAUGUGCCCCCGAACCUGGGACUAUCUGCGGACAUCAACUCUGCCCUAAUCGCCCGACACUCCGGAGUACUCGACGACCAAUCCUCUCCAUGUGAGGAUAUGGAUGGCUUUACUAUCCCGAAUAACAGACCGUGAGCUUGAUCUAUCCUCUCCACGUGAGGAUACCCUACGAACUAGGACCAACAUUCUCUCGGAACUCACCUAUUUCGACAUUCAUGCAUAGUUAUUUAGCUCUACUAAGUUCAUUGUUCACGAGUCAUUUUCUAGGAAAUCCACUUAUCCCUAAGUUCAUGAACCUUUAGUGUCAAGUACACUACAUUAAUGCCACUCUCUAUGUCACUGAAUAACCAUCGAGUUCAUCUCUUUCUUUUGGCACUAUAGGAUCCAUAUUCCGACCCAAUCCUUACCUAUCAAUUUCACCAAGUAUUCCAUGCACACUAGGUUAACAUUUAGAAGCAUAAGAAAAAGGUACUAUAAUGCAAUCCUACAAUGCAACAUACAAGAGAUGAAAAUUAUGUAUUUCUAAGACAUAGAAAAAAGUUCGGUUGCUUUGGGAUGACACCCUCCACCUUUUGAGGUAUGAAGGUUCUAGAAACNCUCUAUCUCUGGUCUCUGGGGUAGGGCGCUAUCUAUGGAGCUACGCCCUCACCUUGCGCCGCCGCGCCGCUCACGUGCGAACCUGCAACACCCCAAAACAACAUGGGGUGAGAACCAAUUCCAUGGUUCCCAGUGGGUACGGCCACCCAAGGGAAAAGCUCGACCAAUAGGUCUAAGGAGGCCCUGCAACAUGUUAGUCCAACAGAUAUCCAACAGAUAUAUAUAUUCAAGUAUUGAAAUACAUGUUGUGCCUCACGAUAUGCAAUAUGAAAUUCAUGCAGUUUAUGCAACCAUGCAACCAACUAGUAGUUCAAUCGAUACUACUUUUAUUCCUGUUAUUCACAGUUCAACCAAUUGACCUCUAAGUUUUCCUCUAUCUUAGAUUCUUGUCAAUUACAGUUCUGCUCAUAGAGUUUAACCUACUAUUAUAAGCUAUCCACUCGACUCGGUUUUGAGUCAAUCACACGCGGAAUACCGCACAAUGCCAGACUCAAGGUGAAGGAUGUCUCACAUGCACCUCAGCCCUAAAUCCACUCAACUGGGAUGCAACUAAAACUCAUAUAAUGCAUUAAAUAGUAAAGGUUUACUAUCAUGCUAACGAAUUUGAUCCAUAUUCGAAUAAUAAUGUUCAAUGGCAUUGUUCACUAUCUUUUACCCAAUCUGUAGCAAAGCCCUUGGGUUCGCCAAUAACUCACUUUUCAAUCCCAAAGUGGGGAGGGAGCUCCAAGUGCACCCAAGCUCGGGACCGUCUAUGGACCUCCAUGUGGUCCGGACCUCCAAGUGGUCCUAAUCGCCCGACACUCCGGAGUACUCGACGACCAAUCCUCUCCAUGUGAGGAUAUGGAUGGCUUUACUAUCCCGAAUAACAGACCGUGAGCUUGAUCUAUCCUCUCCACGUGAGGAUACCCUACGAACUAGGACCAACAUUCUCUCGGAACUCACCUAUUUCGACAUUCAUGCAUAGUUAUUUAGCUCUACUAAGUUCAUUGUUCACGAGUCAUUUUCUAGGAAAUCCACUUAUCCCUAAGUUCAUGAACCUUUAGUGUCAAGUACACUACAUUAAUGCCACUCUCUAUGUCACUGAAUAACCAUCGAGUUCAUCUCUUUCUUUUGGCACUAUAGGAUCCAUAUUCCGACCCAAUCCUUACCUAUCAAUUUCACCAAGUAUUCCAUGCACACUAGGUUAACAUUUAGAAGCAUAAGAAAAAGGUACUAUAAUGCAAUCCUACAAUGCAACAUACAAGAGAUGAAAAUUAUGUAUUUCUAAGACAUAGAAAAAAGUUCGGUUGCUUUGGGAUGACACCCUCCACCUUUUGAGGUAUGAAGGUUCUAGAAACGCUUCCCAACGAAUGUUACGAUGAGGUCUUGGCCUCCUUGGUCCAAAACGGUGCUCAAUCGACUAUAUUUCGCCGAUAGCUUUUUACCCGCUCGAUGAACCGAAAAUCCGACUUCGCCCCCGCGUUUAGACACCUAUCAAAUAGGUUUACAAGCCACUAAAUGAGAUCAAUCUCAUGUAUUUCCAAAAACCCCCAUUUGGGUGUCCUAAGGUUCACAUCUUGCAAUUAGCACUAUAGAACCCUAGCUUCUAGCUCUAUUCCACUAUUAAUAGUGCUAGAGGUCUAUUUGACCUCAUCUCAAAAGCCAAAAACCCAAAAACCUUAAGUUCUACCAUUAGGGCUCAAGAGCUUACCUCUAGGUUAGCUCCAAUGGAGAGGAGAGGAAGACGAGAAGAUGCUCCAAGCCUUCCCUAGCUCGCUCUCCUUCUUCUUCUUCUUUUCCUUCAUUUCUCAUUCUUCUUCUUCUCCUUCUUUUCUUCUCUUUCUUUUCUUCUAGAGAGAGAGGGAGAGAGAGAUGAGAGUUGAGAGGGAAAUGAGAGAGGGAGAGAGAGCCCUUUGCUCUCUAUACUCUCUAACUAAGGCAUAAUUGCAGCCAAGCCCCUCAACUUUUCAUUUCUCAAACUGCUUUGCCUGAGCAGUUUUCGCACGGAGGGACCGGUUCCUCGCGGGAUUAGGCGGAGCUUACCUCGCCAUUCACCCUCGGUUUUUUAUUUUACUUUUCAUUGGGCGGGGCUUAGGCAGGGCGGGUCUAUUUUUUACCUUGCCCUCCACGCCCUUGAGAGGGCGGGGGCCUAGGCGGGGCAAACGUAGGGAUCGAGAGCCCCUGGCCAGAGAGUAGCCCUCCUGGCCAGAGGGUCCCUGGCUAGAGAGCACGUCCCUGGCCAGAGAGCACGUCCCUGGCCAAGGGCAUACGCACUUCCGACCGUCUCUCGGAAGGAGGGCGUACCUAACGAGAGCCCCUGGCCAGAAGGGCUNGAGAGAGCCCUUUGCUCUCUAUACUCUCUAACUAAGGCAUAAUUGCAGCCAAGCCCCUCAACUUUUCAUUUCUCAAACUGCUUUGCCUGAGCAGUUUUCGCACGGAGGGACCGGUUCCUCGUCGGGAAGACCGGUCCCCGAGAGCAAUCCAUGCGGGAGGAAGGCUCUCUGCCAGCCUUCACGCAUACGGGAACCGGUCCCUGCACGAGAGACCGGUCCCUGCACGAGAGAUCGGUCCCUGGGAGACCGGUCCUCCCGAUGAGAGACCGGUCCCCGAGAGCUAGGGAUGCAAACGGGGCGGAUCCGGGGGCGGGAGAGUUCCCGCACCUCCCGUUCCAUUUUUUAUCUGGGCGGGACGGAUUCGGGGCGGGUUACUUUUCAUUUUAUUUUUUGGCUCCCACUUACCGCUCCAUUCGAGGCGGAUUAGGGCGGGAGCGGGGCGGGAGCGGAUUUUUAACGGAUCGGGGUAGAUUGAAGGAAGAAAAGAGUCUCCCGCCUCCCGCUCCAUUUACUUGGCGGAUCGGGACGGAUUAUAUUUUUCUAUAUUUUGUUUUCCCACUUACCACCCCAUUCGGGGCGGAUCGGGGUGGAGCUCCACCAACCCGGAUCCAUUUGCAUCCCUACCGAGAGCACCUCAGCCAAAUACGCUUAUGGGAACCGGCCCUUCUUGCCAGGGACCGGUUGCAUUAGCUGUCUGCCGCAACCUCAGUUAUGGGGACCGGUCCUUCCUUGCUAGGAACCGGUCCCCGAGAGCAACUCAGCGCAGACCCCUUCUCUGCCAGCAUUCUUGCUUACGGGAACCGGUCCCCACCGCCAGGGACCGGUCCCCGAGAGCAGAACCUGCCAAAUGCAUAUUUUUGCAUCUUUGCUCUCGCGGACUUGACUCCAAAGUACUUUUUGUGUUUUGAAAAUCUUUAACUUUUCCGAAGCCUACCCACUCGACAAUUAGUCGAUUCUGGAUGAAGUCCAACUCUCGGAUUUCGAGAAUUCACUUCCUUACAUCCUCCCCUCCUUAAAAGGAGUUUCAUCCUCGAAACUGAUUGAACUUAAUUAAAACUCAGUUUCUAUACCUUAUUCCUCAAAUAAGUGAGGAUGAUGCUUUCUCAUCAGAUUCUCGAGUUCCCAGGUGGCCUCGCGAUCAUCAUGAUUGCUCCACCGGAUCUUCAUGUAGGGAAUCUCGCGAUUUCGCAGUUUUCGCACUUCUUGGGCGAUAACCAUCACCGGAAAUUCCUCGUAGCUCAAGUCUUCUUGAAGUUCCGGCGGUUCAUAUAGCAUCGCAUGCUAGAGGUCAUAAAUGUACUUGCGAAGGUUGGAGACAUGGAACACAUUGUGUACAUCCGCGAGCUUCGGUGGCAAGGCAAGUCGAUAGGCUACCGUGCCAACUCGCUCCAAUAUCUCAUAUGGUUCAAUAUACAGGGGACUUAACUUUCCCGCACUCCAAACCGCUUCACACCCACAUUGGCGAAACUUUUAAGAAUACGCGGUCACCCACCGUAGAUUCUAUGUCUCGACGGCGCCUAUCAGCAUAGCUUUUCUGUCUCGACUGCGCCGUGAGCAGUCGCUUGCGAGCAAGGCGGACUUUCUCCUCUGCUUCUCGCAACACGUCUGGGCCGAACUCUACAUGCUCACCCACAUCACCCGAGUGUAUAGGAGACCGACACUUCCGCCCAUAGAGGGCCUCAAACGGUGCCAUCUCUAUACUUGCAUGAAAACUGUUGUUGUAGGCGAACUCGGCCAUCGGCAAAUGAUCACACCAACUCCCCUUAUAGUCGAUGACAUACGCCUGCAGCAUAUCCUCCAGAGUUUAAAUGGUCCUUUCUAUUUGCCCAUCUGUCUGAGGAUGGAAUGCUAUACUAAAAUCGAGCCGUAUGCUAAGGGUUUUCUGCAGGCUCUUCCAGAAGUGUGAGGUAAACCGGGGGUUGCGAUCCAACAUUAUCGACUUUGGCACCCAAUGCAGUCUCACUAUCUCGUCAAGAUACACCUGCGUCAACUUGUCACCUGCCCACGUGGUGUGGUGUCACGCCCCGGGACCCAGCGGAAGCCCGCCCGGCACGUGCCCAGACCCGCCAUGCGUCUAAAACGCAUAAGGCGUCUAACAACAACAAUAAUAAAAGCAAUAGUACAAGACAUCUAGGAGUAUCAGAGCAAUAUCAAUGUCUAAAAGCUAUAACAAGGGAUAAAGUUAAAACUGUAAAUCCACUAAAUAAAACAUAAGGUAAAUACAACAGGAAUCCCAUAACAAGUGCUAAAAGGAGUACAAGGUGGUCUCUCUAUACAAGGUACAAAAUCUCUCCCUCUCUCACAAAAUAUGAAAUAGAGGAGUAACCACCUAUCGCAAAAGAACUCUCCGCGAGCUAGCUACGCGACACCCUUGCCGCGAUCCCGUGCCUCCGCCGGUGCCGAAGGCUCUGAAAAGUAAACCAUAAAACGAGGGCAUGAGAACUAUUAAAAAUAGUUCCCAGUGGGCAAUUACUGACUUCAGUGCAUGCACCACAAGGCCCAAAGCUACAAAAGAUGUCAGUGACUAUAGAAGUAGAAAGGCGACAGGUAAGUAAAUAUGUAACCUACUACGACAUGAUAUCUCUACUUAGCAUGAAUAGCAUAAGUAUGAAAACAACUAUGCAUAAAGUAAAUGUCUCCAACUAUCAUGAUGUUCACAAUGUGAAAUAGUGAAGUUCCGUUGUUUACUAUUCUAAUCAAUGUCCAAGUAGUACACUAAGUCAUCAUCUGUCCACAUGUCAUAAUGGAUAUAUAUAGCCCAAUCUGAGAGACCCACCCGAAGGCUGUCUAUGGCCCUGAGACCCACCCGUAGGCUGUCUGGCCGGUGCCGAGCCUAAUGGCCCCGUGGUAGUCAUCAUCCCCACCCUAGGAAUGAGCCUGGCCCACGGCAAUCCACUUCGGCGCCCAAUCCCGCACGGCGAGUAUGAAUCGCGAUGGCCAUCUCCGGAGUGCCGGCUUGUAGGGAGCGACCCUCACAAGCAUGUGCGAAUGAGCACAAUGGCAAGUAGUCAAACGAUCUGUCGCAAGUACCAAGUCCUCAUGUCUAAUAACAUGGAAUGUAUCGAGUGUCCCAAAGGCCUAUCUCUAUGUCAUCAUGUCUCUAAGUUGCAUUUUAUAGUUUACUAAUUCCAAGUGCCUCUUUAUGACACUUUUGUUCAACGAGUCCCAAUUAUGGCAUUAACAUGUUCAUGAUGCAUAGUUCACUCAAUUCAAGCAUGGAGUCAUGUUCUCAACUUGCAAAACCAAGCACUAUCCACAAUGCAUGCAAUCUACGCAUAUAGCUCUACUAUAUGAAGUACAAUUUUUACGAUACAUGAAGCGUGCAAAUUAGGUGUUCUAAAAUUCAUAUAAAUCAUGUUUAGCAUGAAUUUGCAUUCGAAAAUACUUUACAAAAAUUUUAGAAGGCAUAGGGGCCAUUUUGCCCCAUUUUCAUGAAGUCAAACCCACCGAAAAAGAUCGACUUCUUCGUUUCGCCGAACGAAGAUAUCCACAAGCUCCCUAGUACCCUAGAACCAUCAAAAAUAGGGUCACCUAAACGAAACGAAGAGCGAAUAGCUCAAACAUUACCCAACUCAAGCUAGGGUUGGGAGAAACUCACCUCAAGUGGAAAACCCUCUCUAAAUCCUCAAAUGGAAGGUAGAGGUCUUCCAAUCUAACCUAUAUAAAGGUUCCAAACCCAUCAAUUAGGUCUCAUAACCCUCAAAUCCAAAAACCCCCAAAAUAAACCCUAAAUCCCAAAAUCUAGGGUUUCAUCUAGAAAAAACCUAGGAAAACAAGUAUCAAAUGGGGAUUAUAAGCUACCAACCUCAAGAGAAGCCCCAAUCCAAGCUCAAAACCAAGUAGGGUUGGAGUUUGAUCCUCCACAAGGCUCCAACCGCAUGCUCCAAGCCUCCAAAGGUGGAAAAUGAGGAAGAAGAUGAUGCCCCAAGGCCUCUAUGCAAGCUCCUUCUCCUCUUCUUCUCCUUCUUCUCCUUCCCUUUCUCUCUCUAGAAGUGUAGGAAGAGUGUGAGGGAGAGAAAAUGAGAGUGAGAGGGGAGGAGAGGCUGCCUAUAGCCUCUAAAGUAACAAAAUCCACAUAGGCCCCUCAAAAACUCAAAUUUACAUCAGCCCGGACUGGGCAGUUUUCGCCCAGAGGGACCGGUCUCUCCCCAGCAGGGACCGGUCUCUCGCUGCGAACCCGAAAAACCAGCGUUCGGGAACCGGUCUCUCCCUGCGCGGGACCGGUCUCUCCCCGCGCAGACGGGCUCGGGGACCGGUCUCAACUGCCAAGGACCGGUUGCCUCGCCUGCUGCGCGGUACUGUUCACUGGGGGACCGGUCUCUCCUAUCAGGGACCGGUCCCCGAGAGUAAAAACUCUCAGGACUCUGCCAAAACUCUCGAGAUCGAACUUUUAGGCCGGUAUACCAUCGACGGCCCUCCACCAAGUGUGGAAAAGUUCGGAAUACCAAUCGAACACUCGAACCUCGCAAUUUGCAAAGAUCCAGUGUGCUACAUGUGGAUAGAAAAAAAGUGAGCCGACUUCGUCAAUCGGUCCACAAUUAUCCAUAUCGCAUCGUGGCCGUCCGAUGAGCGAGGCAAGCCGACAACGAAGUCCAUUGAUAUGUCCUCCCAUUUUCAAACGGGGAUCGGUAGGCUUUGAAGCUUUCCUGCUGGGAACCGACUAUAAUAUACCGAAAAUUCGAAAAAUAAAUAUUGAACUUUAGUCAAAUUGACCAAAGUGCGAGGUUGGUACACUUCGGAAAGUCCGAAGGCGUUAAAAUGAAUAAAAGUGCAUUGUGGGAGGUUUUCGAGAGAAUAAGAAUCAAAAUCUGCAUUCUACAGGUUUUGAGCUCUCGGGGACCGAUACCUGGUGGGAGAGACCGGUCCCCGUACGCGUGAAAUCUGAGAAGUGGGAAAAUCGGCUAAGUCCUACGAGAGCAGCUCUCGGGAACCGGUCCCUGCGGGGAGAGACCGGUCCCCGGGAGACCAGUCCCUCAGGGUGAGACCGGACCCCUUUUGCGAGGCUGUGGGGAGUGCUCUCGGGGACCGGUCCCAUGUCGGGGAGACCGAUCCCCGAGCCCGAAAAUGGUCCAGUCUGGGCAGUUUAAUAAGGUGAAAGUUGAGGGGUUCAUUUGCAAUUAUGAAACCCAUGGGUUACGUUAUGAGGGGAUAUGAGAUAUUUCUCUCAUUCCCUCCCUCUCACACCCUCAUAUCUCUCUCUCUUUCUCUCUCUAGAAGACAAGGAGAGAAAGGAAAGGAGAAGAAAGGAAAGAAAGGAAAAGAAGAAGAAGAAAAGAGAAGGAAGGUGGAGAAGAAGACAAGGAGGAGAAGCAACUUCCUCUCCUUCCCCAUUAGCUUGAGGAAAGUGAAGCUUUGAGGUAAGCUUCAACCUCUCUCAUGGUGAAACCCUAGAAUGGGUUUUGAUUGACCUAGAAAUGGUUUUGAUGGAACCUUUAGAGAAUUUGGUAUAUGUGAAGCUAGGGCACCCAAAUUUGGGACUUUUGCUUGUGAGGGAUUCAAAGUGAAAUUGACCAUCUAGAAACCUAAUUGGGGGUAUUUCUGACGCGUUGAUGCGCUCGGAAUGACGUUACGAAAAGCCUAUGUAAAGUUAUGAGCAAAAAGGCCUAAUUUGGCUUCGUUUUGCCGCAGGUGACGAACUAGGAGUCUAAAAAUCCCAAGAAAAUCACCGUAGCGCCUAAGUAAGCCUACGAGGUGGGUGGUGCUCUCCAAACUCAUUGGAAUUCCCUUUAUGUCUAAUGUGUCACUUCUUGAGCAUACAUAUAUAAUUGUUGUAUGCCUGAUUAGGGUAAUGAGAUUAUAAAUAUGUGAAUGUUUGUAUUUUGUGAGUUCAAGUGCAUCAUGAGAUGGUUGAGAACCAAUGAGAAUGUAAUAACCCUAUAUGUGCAUGUAAAAAGAGAUAAGAGUUUAGUAAAGUUAAAGAACAAGUGACAUAUGACAUGAGGACAAUGAAAUGUGAGAAUGAAAGCUAGAGUUAGCGUAAAGAUUGACCCAAAGAACACUAGAGUUAGUGUGUGGCAUCAAAGAGAACCAAUGUGGCAUAAGAACGAUAAAGGCUAGAGUUAGCAUCAAAGUAGGGCAUCAAAGAGCACUAAAGUUAAUGUAUGACAUGAAUGAUAGUAAAGAAUGUAAAUAACACUAGAGUUAGUGUAUUGACAUGGUCGAAGAUAAAGAAUGCAAUGAACAUGAGAUUGACACAUUGACAUUCAACCUUAGAGCUAAGGGUCAUUUGUGCAUAAAUUUGUUAGAGUUAAGGAACAGAUUGAACUGAAUAUCCUUAGAGUUAAGGAUUGAUCAUACUCGCUAUAAGUCCUUGCUUGAGGGUGGUCACUCCCCCUCGGGCGAUGUGCUCUGGAGUUUGUCAUCAUUGGGAUGGUGCUGUUCCCCAGAGGACGGUCCUAGCGGGAGGAAGUUGAGGGCCCGCGAUCAUGGAUUCUGAGUUGGUGAGUUAAUAAGGCGAUACCCCCGGGUUAGCCUUGAGAUUGAAUAAAGAAUAAAGAAUAAAGAACAAAGACCAUGCAUUCUUCAUGAGUUAUAUUGAGCAUCAUUUUUGAAGUUAUUGUUCAGACACAUUAGUUUCAUUUGUAUAGUUGGUUACUUAUCUCCUUAUUCUUUCUGUUAUGCCUGAGUUAGACCUAGUGGGAAAAUCGGUGAGAUUGGAACUGAACCCACUGGGAACUUCAUUUUAGUUCUCACCUCACUAUUUCCACAGAGCUGGGACUGAGUUAGCCGGCGAGCGACCGCGGUAAAAGUAUCACACCCUAGACAGUGACUACCCGAGUCGGGUUUACACUUUGUUAGUAGCCUACUAUGUAUCUCCUUUUGUAUUUGAAGAUGUUUAUGUAUAAAGCAAAUGAGAGAACAGAAUGUAAUGUUUCAUUUUGAGCAAAUGUGAUGUAAAAAGAGAUGAUGUAAAGAAUGUAAAAGUUGAAUGAAAUGUAUAUGAUCAAAUUGAAUCAUAGUACUUAUGUAGUAGUUAGCUUCUUUUCUUUCACUCAUGGCUAUUGCUUACCCUCGUGUAAGCCGUUUGUGUAUGUUUUCGCUAGUGCUUUUCUCUACUUUAAAUUGUAUAGGUGAUGAGCCUUGGGCGGACAGGGGUAACUCUGUCCGUUCGGCGUGGCCCAAAUUGGUAUCGAUCUUGGGGCGUGACAGAUAUUGUGGUAUCAGAGCCAAAGUGAAAGAAUAGGAAUGGACCUAGAGACCCUUAGGGCUGGAAAGGACUUAAGGAUCUAGGAAACGUGAGUGACGUUGGAUCGAAGUUAGCGAAAGCAUGUGAUUGGGUCAAGUUGGGGUGUCUCUAAUAUAAUUAGAGGCUAGGUUUAAAUUGAUGUUUGUUCUCUACUCCUUGUUUUGUGUCGUGCGGCCGACGACAUAAUGCUUGGGGCAAGAACGAAUGCAUAAGUUGCUUUCGCUAAAUUGGGUAUGGUUAGAUAAUGUUGGUCAUGUAACUAAUGCGAGUUGCUUCUUUUCAGGAAGCAAUGGCACCUCGUGGACGACCGCAGACAAGGUCGAUGCCGGAGGAGCCGAAUGCGGCGCCCGAGCAAUCCGGAGCUAGUGGCGACGGUGAGCUUCGGGAGCAGAUGGCCGCACUUAUUGGCAUAGUGCGGCAACAAGCGGAGUCUGUUCAAUGCCAAGAGGAGCAGAUCCAAAGGCUCCAGGAGGCCUUGGAGCGUCAGCAAGCAGCGGCGGCCUAAGCGGGUGUCGAUAAUGUCGCGCCCCCUGCGGUGGUGCCGAGCAUAGUUGAGGGAGCGGCGGCAGCGGCGGCUGUGCCCGUCACGAUAGUACCGGCCGGAUCGGGAACCUCAAAUCCCGAUAGUGCGGCAAUAGAGGUGGAGCGAGAACACGCGCUGGCAGCUCUCAUUCAGUUCCAGAAGUUCAACCCACCUGUCUUCGAGGGCGGAGUGGUGGAGCCAGUGGUAGUGGAGUCGUGGAUCGACUCAAUGGAAACGCUCUUCGAGGAUCUCAAUACCUCGGAGAAGGAUAAAGUGUACCUCGCCACCCAUUGUCUCGAGAAGGCGGCGAAGGUGUGGUGAAAACGAGUUAAGCGGGAUCGACCUGCCGAUCUUCCGCUUAUGCUGUGGGAGGAGUUCAAGAGAGCGGUAUUCGUGAACUACUUCCCCGACACGGCGAAGCGGAGACUACAAGAGAAGUUUCGCAAGUUGAGGCAAGGUGAUCGAUCGGUGGGGGAAUAUGAGCAUGAAUUCUCUCAUAUUAUCGACUGCAUCCCGGAUGUUGUUCGAGAUGACCGGGACCGGGCUGAUUGGUUCUUGCGAGGACUCCAGCUAAGGAUUUAUGAGAAGGUGCAGAUUCUGAAGCUUACGACCUUUGCAGAGGUCUUUAAUAGAGCCUUAUAGGCGGAGCACGGUAGCGCCCACGUUCGAGAGGAACGGGAGGCUAUGGCCGAGACGAAGGACAGAGGUAAGAAGCGAACGGCGGGCGGUGCCGCGGCCCGGCCAAAUGCUAAGAAACCCCCUCGGUAUCCCCGACAGCAGUCGAGGAACUGGAGACCACCUCGGUGCGUCAUUUGUGGCGAAGAGCACCGAGUGUCGACUUGCCCGCAGCGAGACGGCAAAUGUUUCAAGUGUGGCCAACCGGGACAUCUUAUCCGGGAGUGCCCGAGCUGGACGUCGUCUGCGCCGACGACGGCAUCAGCACCCACUACCUCGAGACAGCUUGCGGGGUUAUCACCAGCGAUGUCGGCUGGGCCCGCAUCGUCACCGCGUCAGCCGGAGGGAUCGAGAGCACCUAGCGGCCGAGUCUUUGCCGCUCAGGUGGAGGAGCAGACUACAACACCUGACGACGUCGUGGCAGGUAUAAUUAUGAUUAAAGGCACUAGAGCUAGAGCUUUAUUCGAUACCGGUGCAUCUCAUUCAUUCAUUGGUGCAUCUUUUGCAAAAACUCAUGGUAUCGAAAUAGUGCAUAGUUAUGACUAUUGGUCGGUCAAUGCGCCAGAACAUUCUUUCAAAGUGCACGAGGAGUGUUUGGCUUGUCCAGUGCAAAUAGGCGAUUGGAUUAUGCCGAUAGAUCUGCUAGUGCUAGAUCAGAUGUGGGGAUUCGAUGUUAUCUUGGGGACCAACUGGCUCUCCAAGUACUAUGCGGUCAUAGAUUGUGAAAGCAAGGUGAUCACUUUUCGUGAGCCUAACCAAGAGGAGUUAGUGUAUCGGGUGUGCAAAGGCGCGCGUUUUGUGGCGACCAUAUCGACGGUGAGGGCUAGGAAAAUGAUAAAGGGUGGUUGUAAGGCUUAUUUGGCGACCAUCGUAGACCCUCAGAAAGAGUACCUGGAGUUAGGGAGUAUUCAGAUAGUGUGCGAGUACCCGGAUGUGUUCCGGCGGAGUUACCGGGAUUGCCACCGUCCUGGGGCAGAACCAGUUUCAAAGGCUCCAUAUAGAAUGGCAUCGGUGAAGCUAAAGGAGUUGAAAGCACAACUACAAGGCUUGCUCGAUAAAGGCUUCGUAAGGCCGAGCGUGUCACCGUGGGGAGCUCCGGUGCUGUUUGUGAAGAAAAAGGACGGCACACUUCGACUCUGCAUAGACUAUCGCGAGUUGAACAAAGUAACGAUUAAGAACAAAUACCCAUUGCCAAGGAUUGAUGAUCUGUUCGAUCAACUGCAAGGGUCAAAGGUGUAUUCAAAGAUUGAUCUCCAGUCGGGGUAUCAUCAACUAAAGAUUAGGCCGAGAGAUGUGCACAAAACGGCGUAUCGUACGCGGUAUGGCCAUUAUGAGUUCACGGUAAUGCUGUUUGGGCUUACUAACGCCCCGGCAGCGUUCAUGGACUUGAUGAAUCGAGUCUUCAGGUCGUUGUUGGAUCGAUGCGUCGUGGUGUUUAUAGACGACGUAUUGGUUUAUUCGAAGAGUGAGGAAGAGCAUGAGGAGCAUUUGAGAGCUGUGCUACAAAUACUCCGACAAGAGAAGCUCUAUGCUAAGUUGAAAAAGUGUGACUUUUGGCUAAAGGAGGUCACCUUCUUGGGUCACAUGGUAUCGAGCGAUGGAGUUUCGAUAGAUCCGAGGAAAGUCGAGGCAAUUAAAGAUUGGCCUCGCUCGACAAGUGUAGCGGAGGUCCGCAGUUUUCUCGGACUCGCGGGCUACUACCGGCGGUUCGUGGAGGGGUUCGCUAAAAUAACUACUCCACUAACGCGCCUUACCCAGAAAGGAGUAAAGUAUGUUUGGAGCGACGAUUGCGAUCGGAGCUUCGAAGAGUUAAAGAACAGGUUGACGUCAACCCCGGUGCUUACCUUGCCGACUUCGGGGGAGACCUUUGUAGUGUACAGUGAUGCCUCGUAUGUCGGUCUCGGGUGUGUACUAAUGCAAAAUGGGCGAGUCAUUGCAUAUGCAUCGCGCCAAUUGAAGAGUUAUGAGAAAAAUUGCCCAAUUCAUGACCUUGAGUUAGCCGUAGUGAUCUUCAUGCUAAAGCUUUGGAGGCAUUACUUAUAUGGUGAGCAUUGUGAGAUCUACACCGAUCACAAGAGUCUCAAAUACUUGUUCACCCAAAAGGAGUUGAAUAUGCGACAGCGGCGGUGGUUAGAGUUGUUAAAGGACUAUGAUGUCACUAUACUAUACCACACAGGGAAAGCCAAUGUCAUGGCCGAUGCUCUAAGUAGAAAAUUGGCAGAGAACUUAGCGAUGACAAUUACGCCUCAACCGCUAUUACACAAAGAAAUGCAAAGACUUGGGUUGGAAGUGGUAGCGCCGGGAGUGCCGGCUACACUUGCCGCAUUAGUUGUGCAACCGACCCUAUUGGAGAGGAUCAAGGAGCUACAAGCUUCGGAUCCUUAUCUUCAAAAGGUACGAGGUGAAGUUAAGAACAGUAGUGCCGAGGAUUUUGGCGUUGGAGCCGAUGGCGCACUUCGAUUGCAAAAUCGAUGGUGUGUGCCUGAAGAUAAUAACAUUCGAAGAGCGAUCAUGCAAGAUGCGCAUCAAUCUCCUUAUAGUAUACACCCCGGCGGCACUAAAAUGUACAAGGACUUAAAAGUGCAUUAUUGGUGGCCGGGGAUGAAAAAGGAUAUUGAGGAGUUCGUGGCGCAAUGUCUAACGUGCCAACAGGCGAAAGCAGAGCGCCGAUUUCCGGCGGGAAAGCUACAAAGUCUAUCAAUACCUGUUUGAAAAUGGGAGGAUAUAGCGAUGGACUUUAUUACCGGUUUGCCUCGAUUGCAAGGCGGACACGAUGCGAUAUGGGUGUGUCACGCCCCGGGGCUCAGCGGAAGCCCGCCCGGCACGUGCCGAGACCCGCCAUAUGUCUAAAACAUACAAGGCGUCUAAAACAAAAUGAUAAAUAAAGCAAAUAAAGAGGAUCUAGAGAUAUCAGAGCAUUAUACAACAUCUAGUAUCUAAAGCAGUGUGAAGAGUAGAGAGCUAAAAUCACUAAAUAAACCAUAAAGUAAAUACAAUACGAAUCCCAAAUACAAAAGCUAAACAAGUACAUAGGUGGUCUCUCUAUACAUGGUACUCAAAAUCUCUCUCUCUCUCUAAAACAACAAAAGAAAGAGCAACAACCUAAGCUCAAAAGUAGCUCCUCUCUAUCUAGCUAGGCGACAUCCUUGCUGCGAUCCCGUGCCUCCGCCGGUGCCGAAGGCUCUAAAAAGGAAACAUAGAAACAUGGGCGUGAGAACUAUUGAAUAAUAGUUCCUAGUGGGCAAUUACUGACUUCAGUGAAAUGCGCCACUAGGCCCAAGAGUUACAAAAAGGGUCAGUGUAUAAGUAUAAACAAAAGCAAUAAGUACAACUAGUAAAUAGACAAGAAUGCUUGCUAUCACAAGAUAUCACUACUUAGCAUGAUUUUGCUGAAGUAAUAAAAGGCUACACUAGCAUGAAUGUAUCAAAGUGUCACUAGUAUGAUGUCCACAAGCUAAAUAGUAAAGAUGUCAUUGUUUACUAUUCUAGUCAAUGUCCACAUAGCAUGAUGAAUGCUCAAAAUUAAAUCUGAAGAGACCCACCCGAAGGCUGUCUGGCCCUGAGACCUACCCGAAGGCUGUCUGGUCGGUGCCGAGCCUAAUGGCCCCGUGGUAGUCAGCAUCCCCAUCCUAGAAAUGAGCCUAGCCCACGGCAAUCCACUUCGGCGGCCAAUCCAGCACGGCGAAUAUGUAUCGCGAUGGCCAUCUCCGGAGUGCUUGCUUGUAGGGAGCGACCCUCAUAAGCAUGUGCGAAUGAGCACAAUGGCAAGUAACGCAAGAUCCGUCCAAGUAUCAAGUCCUCAUGUCUAGAAACAUGGAAUGUAUAUCGAAUGUCACAAUGGCCUAUCUCUAUGUCAUCAUGUCUAAAACAUGGAAAGUAGUAGAUGUCCAUGGCCUAUCACUAAGUCUCAAUACAAUAGUCUCAUAGUUUGCUAGUCCAAGUGCCCCUUUAUGACACUUUCAUUCACUAAGUCCAGACUUAAACCAAAUGUUCAUAAAUGCAUAGUUGAGCUACUUUAAACAUAUGAGGCAUGUUUCCAAACGGCUAGUGCGAACACUACUCACAUGCAUGUAACAACACCCAGUAUGCUCUACUAUAUAGAGUGAAAAUUAUCUUAUACAUAACACAUGCAUUUUAAGUGUUCUAAAAUUCUCAUAAAUUCCAUUUAGCAUAGAUUUGCAUUUAAAAUGACGUUACAACGAGUAUAGAAAGCAUGGGGGCCAUUUCGCCCUGUUUUCAUGAAGCCAAACCCACCGAAAAAUGGAACCUUUCGUUUCGCCGAACGGAGGUGUCCGCUACUCUUCUAGCACCCUAAAGAUGUAGGAACAAGAGUCAAACAAACUUUACGAUCAACCCUAAGCUCAAUCAAUAAGCAACAUAGGCUAAGGUAGAGAAAAACUCACCUAGGUGAAGAAAUCCUCAAACAAAGCUCAAAUGGACGCUAAAUCCUUUCCAAAGCAACCUAAUCCAAGGUUCUAAACCCAUCAAUAGAGCUCUAAAAGCCACAAAUCCAAAACCCCCAAAAUAAACCCUAAUUCCACAAUUUAGGGUUUCAUCUCGAAAAAUCUAGAAAACUUGUAUUAAAUGGAGAAUACAAGUUACCAACCUCAAGAGAAGCUCCAAUCCAAGCUCUAAACCAAGUAGGGUUGAAGUUUAAUCCUCCACGAAGCUUCAACCACGAGCUCCAAGCCACUAAUGCUGAGAUGAGAGGAAGGGGAUGAUGCUCCAAAGCCUCCAAGCAAGCUCCUCUCCUUCUCCUUCUUCUUCCUCUUCUUCUUCUUCUCUUUCUCUCUCUAGAGUGAGUGUGAAGGGAAGAAUGAGAGUGAGAGGAAGAGAAAAGACCAUAUAAGCCUCCUAUGGUAACAAAAUCCACAUAGGUCCCUCAACUGUGCAAUCUGUGCACUGCUCGGUCUGGGCAGUUUUCGUGUUGGGGGACCGGUCUCCCCGACACCAGGGACCGAUCUUUCAGCCUGCCCCGCAAAACCAACGUUCGGGAACCGGUCUCUCGGGCCAGGGGACCGGUUGCCUCGGCAAACAGCCGCAACCACGCAACGGGGGACUGGUCUCUCCCCGCCAGGGACCGGACCCCGAGAGUAAAAACUCUCAGGUCAAAGCCAAAAUCCAGGAUUUCGAACCUUUUAGGUCGGAACACCGUCUACGACCCUCCACCAAGUGUGGAAAAGCUCGGAACCCAACCAAACACUCGAACCUUGCAAUUUGCAAAGGUCCAGUGUGUUAUAGGGUGAUAGUGGAUCGACUGAUGAAGUCGGCUCAUUUCUUGUCGAUUCACACUACAUGGUCGAGAGACAAGCUAGCUCAAGUGUAUCUCGAUGAGGUUGUGAGACUUCAUGGGGUUCCGGUAUCAAUUGUAUCAGAUCGAGACCGCAAGUUCACAUCCCACUUUUGGAAGAGCUUGCAAGACGCGCUAGGCACACGACUCGACUUUAGCACAGCGUUUCAUCCUCAGAGUGAUGAUCAGUCGGAGCGGACAAUACAAAUCCUUGAGGACUUGCUUCGAGCGUGUGUGCUAGAUUACAAAGAAGGAUGGCAUGAUUUCUUACCGAUGGUGGAGUUCGCAUGUAAUAAUAGUUAUCAAGAAAGCAUAGCGAUGGCACCAUUUGAGGCACUAUAUGGUCGAAAGUGUCGUUCCCCUAUUCAUUGGAGCGUCGUGGGCGAGAGAACGGCUCUUGGCCCAGAUGUAGUGCGGGAGACGGAGGAGAAAGUACGCCUUGCCCGUCAAUGGUUAGAGACGGCGCAAUCAAGGCAGAAAAGCUAUGCCAACAAGUGAAGAAAGGACUUAGAGUUCGCGGUUGGAGAUCGCGUAUUUUUGAAAGUGUCACCAAUGCGAGGAGUCAAGCGUUUUGGGGUCCGCAGAAAGUUAAGUCUCCGUUAUGUUGGACCAUUUGAGAUACUAGAGCGUGUGGGUGCGGUAGCGUACAAGUUCGCACUACCACCGAGACUCGUGGGAGUUCAUAAUAUUUUCCAUGUGUCAAAUCUCGGAAAGUAUAUUCGAAACUUGACACAUGUAUUAGAGUAUGAGCCUGUGGAGUUGCGUGAGGAUAUGUCUUAUGAGGAGUACCUGGUAUGCAUCCUCGAUAGAGAAGAAAAGAAAUUGCGGAGUCGCAGAAUUCCAUAUGUGAAGGUUCAAUGGAGCAACUAUGCUGUGCGAGAAGCCACUUGGUAGCUCGAGGAGUCAAUGCGGAAAGAGUAUCCGCAUUUAUUUGAGUCGACAAGUUAAGGUAUGUGUAAUUUCGCGGACGAAAUUAUUUUAAGGGGUGGAGAAUGUAAUAUAUCGAAAAUUCAAAAAAUAAAUAUCGAACUUUAGUCAAAUUGACCAAAGUGCGAGGUUGGUAUACUUCGGAAAGUUUGAAGGCGUUAAAAUGAGUAAAAGUGCAUUGUGGGAGGUUUUCGAGAGCAUAAGAAUCAAAAUCUGCAUUCUGCAGGUUUUGAGCUCUCGGGGACCGGUCCCUGGUGGGAGAGAUCGGUCCCCGUACGCGUGAAAUCUGAGAAGUGGGAAAAUCGGCUNNNNNNNNNNNNNNNNNNNNNNNNNNNNNNNNNNNNNNNNNNNNNNNNNNNNNNNNNNNNNNNNNNNNNNNNNNNNNNNNNNNNNNNNNNNNNNNNNNNNCAGCCCCAAGUAGGAAGCAGCGCUGUAGACGACGUAGUCCUUGCCGUGCCCGUAAGGCGAGUACCGGAGUCGAAAGGUUACCUCUGCUUCAACUCUUUAAAGCUCGGCUCACAACUCGUCGCUCCAAACAACUUUGGGGCCUUUGCUUCAAACGGGAGUGGAAGUCACAAUCUUUAGAGAACCCCUUCACAAACCGUCUGAUAAUAACCAGCUAGGCCAACAAAGCUACGCGACCUCAGUAACUUCGUCCGGCGCAGGCACAUUCUCAAUAGCUCCACUUUCUCGGUCAACAGAAACUCCACCUCGGAAUAACCUGCCGAGAAACGCGACUUCCUUGAGCCAAAAGUCGCAUUGUCUUUAACUUUGCGACAACUUUUCUCCCGAAGGCAUUUGUGAAGUACCGAUGCGCAAUGUCUCCGACGUGCUCCUCGUUAUACGCGAAUAUACAAAAUGUGUCCUGGUUUAUAUGAAGACUCGACAAAUCGGUCCAGCACUCCUGGAAAACACUCGCGUUCAUCAAGCUCAUGAACGCCCUGCCGCGGCAUUUGUGCAGCCCAAACGGUAUCACGUGAAACUCGUAGUGUCCAUAGCGUGCGAAACGCGUCUUCUGAACCAUCUUCCGCUGAUUCUUUAAACUGGUGAUUAGCCAGACUGAAGCGGUCAAUCUGUAGAAUUACACUCGCGACCCCUGCAACUAUCAAACAGUCAUCGAUUACGGUGUUAGCGGAGUACUUCGUUCCUUGCACCGUGACCUUUGUUCAACUCGCCGGUAAUCACGCCAAGGUCGAAAAGAUCCAUCUUUCUUGCGCACAAAUUAAUAGACCGGGGCACCCACGGGAAACGCUGGGCCUAAUGAAUUCCUUGUCGAGAAGAAUACGUGCAUUGAUCUCUCAAUCCUUAGCAUCAAGUGCGGCGCCAUGCGAUACGGGGCCUUAGAAAUCGGCGCCGGUCCGAGUACAAGUCAUCAUGAAUCGAAUCUCCCGGAUCCGCGGAUACCCUAGGUACUCCGCGGGAAACACAUCGGGGGAAACACCGCACAAUCCGCAACUCUCUCGAGGGUCGGACCACUCGAUCAAUCUCGCACACACGGUCGCCCAAAUAAGCCAUGCAACAGCUGGUUCACUAGCUUCCUCGCUUCGUCGCCGAUACAAUCAGCCGGGAAGCACGAGCUCUGGCAAGCUUGUAGGUGAACUCUUCCUUGUCCCGCGUCCCGAAAUGGAUAACGUCGGUAGGGGCAUCGAUCGAUAAAUAGUUACCUCGAGAGCCAGAUCCAAUGCCCAAUAUGACAUCAAAUGUCUGCCAAUUUCUGGCGACCGAACAAGUGAUCUGGAUAGCCCAGUUAUUCACUUGCACGGACAUGCAAGCUCGCUUCCUACCAUAAAUGAUUGCCGGGCCCUCAAAUGACCAAACAGUGCUCCCCAACACGUUACUCAAAUAUCAUUGCGCAUCGAGCAAAUGAUUUCGACUAAUAAAUGAAUGUGAAGCAGCUGUAGCAAAUUAAAGGGCUCGCGAGCUCGAACAUCUUUAGCCCAAAAUGAUCUGCCACAACAUUGCGCUCGCCCGGCAUCAGAAAGGCUCCUCAAUGCGUGAACAGUGUGCAGCAUACAUCUCCCGGCUCGGGCGCCAGAUCGUGCAGGCUCUGGCUGGCGUUGGCGCCGCUGCUCGCCCAUGCAUAGAUGCUGCAGGAGGGGGCAGAGCAUAGCGAGCUGGCAACUGCGGGCAUGCGUCUCUCGACAUAGCGGCGAAGCUCCUCCCUGCGGACCAGUUGCGAAUCUGAUGCCCCCGCUUGCCCGGCCUUAAAGCACCUCCUCGAGCGCGUACUCACAAACACCCGGCCGGUGGUCUCCGCCGCAGAGAACAUCGGCUCAAGCACCAAACGGCCCUUGGCCUGAACAGCGGAGUCUUGGGCUCCUGGAGCAUAGACUGACCACCCGAUCCACUCGCCCUGCCUUUUCUUGCCUUUAUUUGGUCAGUACAACUCACGGUCCUCACGGCUUCGCAAGGGGGCCCGUGCUCGACCAUAGGCGCGAUCUAGUGCUUGCCGGCCAGUGUAGCGGACUUGAAGGGCAUGCACACAAAAUAAUAAGAAAACAACAAAAACCGGGCCGAAUUCGAACGAAGCAAUCCGCCGGUCCUGCUCUUGUCGUCGCCACGUCCGGGACGCAGCUCAGGAGAUGGGGUGAACUCCCGCUCGUACUCCUGAACUGUCACGGUGCCUUGCUUAACGUUAUGCGGAAAGUUCUCUGCCCGCGAUCUUUCUUUUCCCGCUGUCGGGGAAAUUCUCGCACAUCAGCUUGCGGAAACUCCGCCCAAUCAAUCGGGGGGAAGCUACGGGAAUCGCCGCUUGCUCUCGCCACCAAGUCUGGCCCUUUCGAAAAAUGCGGUGCGCCAAGUUACCUUGUCCCUCCUCCCCAAGGUGAAAGGUCCUCAAAUAGAAGUCUCCAUAGCGCCAGCCAACGACAUCCACCCGCUGGAUCCACCACCUCUCCGUCGAAAGUAGGCGGUCAAGCGAAACUUCGUGAACCUCUAGUGAGCGCCAAUAGCCCGCUCACGCAUCCGCCUCCUCAGCGCACCAUCGCGGGGGUAGGAGAACUAGAACUAGCCGGAGGAAUAUUCACCGGUGGGGGUUGCGCCGCCACCGAACGGCACGCCACCCACACCCUCCGGCCGCAUCAGAGGCCGCCGAACGAAGGCGCAGGCGGACCGCUGGCUAGACCCGCUGCGCAGCCGCGCCACAGCCUGCCUUGCUCCAGGCAGCUCCUGGAGGCUAUAAACCGCCAGUGAGCGCCGCGCAACUUAGGCGCUCGGCGGCUCCGUGACUCUCAGUCCAGGCCGGGAGCUGGACUGGGGCGCCUCUGGAGCACGGCUGUCCCCGGGCACCAUCUGGAGGUGGGUGCGAGCGGAUCCUACGCACGUUAGCGUCUCUGUUGGUGCCAUUAGCUCUGAAACCGCACAACCAGUUGCGUUAAUUACUUAACUCAACAACGUUCACUCGUAAUUUGCCGAAAAUAACGAUUAAAACAUAAAUCAGGCCGCGUAAGCUUGCAAGUUGUCUUAAUUCACGACUUCUCAGCAUCCGUGUUGCGGCCGCGCAACACGAAUAACCUUAAGCCAAAAAGUAAUACCACAUUGAAUCCUUCUAGUCAUAACUUAGAGUACAACACCAUGUCCAACCCAAUCAUUAGGGCGGUCCGCCGCCGUCAUUGGGUUUCACGUCGCAUCACGCACCUAUAGCCCUUUAGGGUUAACCAACCUAGAGUCUCCUAGCGUUCAUCCUAGACUCUCGUCUUUUGCGUUGCUCUAAAAAUCGCUCUGGAUACACUAAACUGUCACGCCGCCCGCCCCGAAACCGUACCAAUCUUGGCACGGUUCGGGCGCCGCCAGCCGCGACCGCCGAAAGACGGGUUUCCCUGUCCGCCCCAAGGCCUAAGCAACAGAUUAGUGUAACAACAAGUCCCAGGAAUACAAUUUGAUACAUACACAAUCAAACAACGAUGAACGAGAGCACAAACAGUGCUACAACCAACUAGAGCAAGCGAUACAAGUAAAACCAUACAAGUAUACAAAAGAGAGAAACUUAGCUAAUUGAGACCUCAUUGAAACAUUUAACCUCUUUCGAUAACAUUUUAAACUUUAAUCAUUUAAUACAACUUGCAUUCUUUUCUCAAAUGAAUAUACAUCAUGAACUCUCCAAAACCUCACCCUAUACAACAUCUACUCUCAAAACAUAACCAAAAGUACAGGGUAUAGAGCUAAUGCAAGUAGGUAAGGUAGGCUAUCUACCAAAAGCUAGGGCGCUAUGCCCUUACCACGAUCCAUUGCCGAAGGCCCGCUGUCCUGUGUACCUGUACCCCCAAAGCCACACGGGGGUGAGAACUACGAAUAGUUCCCAGUGGGUUCGGCCGCCGACUCCGCCGAUCUACCCACUAGGUCUCAAGCAGGCAUAGAGAGAUAUAUAUGCAAUAUAUGUAAAACUGAGCUAAACUGAAAGCAGUAUGUAACAACUAUAUCAAGCUAUGCCUCAAUCUGGAAUCAUGAAUGCAUGAACAAUAAGUAAAGCUGGUGGGUAAGCAACUAUCAACAUCUACAACAGCUAUCAUAGUAAGCUAUAAACAUGCUACUAGGUAAGCAAAUAAGCCGAUAUGAACAAUGAAUAGCUACUAUGAAUAUCAAUCAUGGGUAAGACUCAAUGGGUAACCCAAUCCUCAAGCGAACACAAGGUUCACAAGCAAGGCUCACAUAUCAAUCUCCUAGGGAUGUCAAGCUGGACUAUCCCCGAGUACGCCUGCGGAUAACAAGCGGCUAUCCGAGCAGCGAGCAGGGCUGCCUCUCUAGUGACCAAACUCCGGAGCGCACAACUUGAGGGGAGCGACCCCACCAAGCGCAGACAGGCAAUGUGAGCAAGAUCAUCUCACGAGCAACAACAACAACCCUUUGAGGGUAAUAUCAUCAUGGAAGCAAGGUAUACAUGUACCCAAUCUCAUAGUGUCUCAACUACACUAAUGUGAUCAUCUCAAGGAAACAUCAACAAUGUCAUUCAUCAUAGUUUUUCUAACUAGAUGCCACUUGUCAUAGUUUUCUAAACUAGAUGCCACUCGUCAAUUUGACUCAUUAUCAACACUAGUUUCAUCAUACUAGUUCUUUAGCAACAUAAGCAUUAAUCAUCUCAUAUAGGGUCUAGAUUCUCAACAUGUAGUUUUCAUCAACAAUCAUCAUGCAUACUAGAUCAUAACCAACCAAGCAAAAUAUAUUUAUUGAACUACUAGCAUGCAAGUAUAAGCAACAAUAAUCAUUUUCUAACCCUAUAUGAACAUAAGCAAGAUGCAAUAGAUCAACUUUAAACUUAGACAUAGAAGGUUGCCCGAUGACUUCGGGAUGGCACUCCCCCACCUUGGGUGAUGCCGAAAACACUCCGAGACGCGUUCUCGUGCUAGUCUUGUCGCCGCUUAAUUUUUGUUGGGUUAGCUUUAACCCCUUAGCACAACAAAUGGCGAUAUCUUCGCACCCACUUGUCGGAUCGACGAACCGUCUUCGCCUACGCGUUUAUAAGCAUAGCAAUUAGGUUUCUAACCCCUCAAAAGAGAUCAAACCCUUAUAUUUCCAAAAACCCCAAAUCUAACCCUAGGUUUAGCAACAAUAGAGAAAUCAUGGUUUCAAGCUCCAAAUUUGGGAUUGAACCUUCUCUUAAGCUUCAAUGGUUUCCAUUUAAACCAUUCUUAAGCAACAUAACCCUUUCUAAAACCUAGGUUUAGCAUCUAUGAGGAAAACCAUGGAUGCUAGCCUCAAUGUGAGCUAGAUCCAUCAUCUCUAAACUCAUUAGGUUCCAUUUGAACCAUUAAAAGCAACAAAACCUACAAACCCUAGAAAUCUCAUGUUUAGGGUUUAGGCUUACCUCUAGGGUUUGCUCCAAAGCAAGCCCUAGGCCAAGAACGAGAUGAAGAAGAGCUUCCAAACCUUCUUCUCCUUCUUCUCCUUCCUUUUCUUCCUCUCUUUUUCCUUCUUUUUCCUUCUCUUUUUCUUCUCCUUCCUUUUCUCUUCAACCGGUUAGAGAGAGAGAGGGAGCUAGAGAGAGAGUGAGCUGAGGAGAGAGUGAGAGGAGAUUGCUGUGAGAGAGGGGGGUUAAGUCCUCUAUUGUAACAAGAUGCUAAUAAGCCCUCCAUUUAUCAAAUUUUGCAACUUAACCCGCAGCCUGCGCGCCCUUGUACCGGUACACGGGACCUUGUACCGGUACAAGGUCUUAUACCGAGCGAAAACCGAGCCUCGGGUUAACCUGUUUCGCAGAGCUUGUACCGGUACAAGCCAGCCUUGUACCGGUACAGCGCCUGAAGCCUUCGAACCCGAGAUUACGCAGCCUGGCUGCGAUGGUUGUACCGGUACAGCCAUCACCCUUGUACCGGUACAACAGCUCCAGAAUGCUGUUUUUCACUCCGUUUUGAUUUCUUUUCGCGUCCAACAACGCUAAUACUAUUCCAACACUUUUGGAAUUCAUUUUUACUCUUCCAAACAUGUUGAAAUACCGAAUGGAACUUGUCCAAAUCGUUUAAUCGCCCACUUCGGCCCAUUUGGCCAAAGUUAGCCAAUAUCGUCGGAUUUCGAUAUCUUACAAUAUAUAUAUAUAUAUAUAUAUCUGUGUGUGUGUGUGUGUGUGUGUGUGUUAUGUUAUGAAAGAAAUUUGAGAUAAUAUUGACCGGAUCAAGUCGUUGACCAAGUCUGCCGCUCCCUUGGAAUAUGGAUCGGCUCUUGAAUUGACCUUUGAAUGCGCCACUAUCAAUUCAAACGACUUAGUUGAGGGAUCAGCUCAAACGGAUUUCUUCACUAACUAUUCGCAAAUGAACCAAAAGGCAAGCUCAACUGAAACAACUAAACUAAUUAUAUUGAUUGGAACGGUGCGAUUACAGAAAUUAUAGGGAAUAAGCUCUAAUCUUACGAAAGCUCUUAAAUUGUGCUGACUACUCCUAACAAAGCUCUUAAAUGACAGGAAAAGAAAGGUUGUAAAACUACUAGAAACCUAUAAAUGCUGGAAUUGAAAGAAAUUGCAAUUGCUCUAGUCUCUUGUUCGUGUGAAGACCAUUCUUGCAUAUGCAUUUUUCCUAUUUGUAGUAAUCUGUUUUCCGUCUGCGGUUAUUGAAUGGCGUCGUGGAGGGUAGUUCGGCCACGUCCCCUAUUUUUCAGGGAUGCACUGGGGCGAGUUGCUUGCUGGCUACGACAUCUCCUAUCCAUAUCCUUAACCAUUCCCGCCCAAACCUUGCUGAUUUUGGGCAGUUCUUUCUCGACUCCCGGUAUACCACGUGCCAUCUUCUGACUUGUCCAUGUCAGCUGGUCAUGUGGACCAAGCUGCCUACCACGUGGCGUCACUUUUGUGACACCAACAAUGCCCCCUCCCGGCAGUCUUCCGAAUGGAUGUUCAGAUGACUGACGGUGCUCAAUUGGCAGUUGAGAUCAACUGCAACUUGAUCAAUCGGUCGAGGUUUACCAUUCAUUAUGGUCACAUUGCAUGUUAUUGCUUAAUCUGGCGGCCUCGAUUGACCACAACUUUUGGUCAUUUCGUACUUAAUUUCUUCUUCGACGGCUAUGAUUAUUUGUGCCCUUUAGCCUUAUUUGGAAAAUUAAAUAGGGUAUUAAAUGUUGUAGUCAUCAUUUUUUUUUAGAGGAAGGUAGUAUGCUAUCCGCUUUAUUUAUUUCUUUUAGAAAUAUACUUAAAGCAACUAAGCUUCGAACUUGGGACCUCGGGUACCAACCACUAAGCCCUUUACCACUUGCCACCAUCGUCAUUAAAACCUUUUCAAAACCUUCUUUGGUAGCAUCACUCCGUCUUCUCAUAGCCGCUUCAUCUCUUUUACCUUCUUCUAGACUCCGAGUCUCCCUUUUCUUCCUUUGGGUAUCUUUUCUCGGCAUCCUGCUUUAAUGGCUCUCACUUGCGUUUCUCUUUUUCCUUCAUCUUUUAAUGUCAAUUUUAGCCUCUUGAAGCCACCUUUCUUGCUUUAUCCUCGGCCCUUCUUUCGUGAGGCACCCUGAUGAGUAUGUUUUUCCUUUUUCAGAGGAAGGCAUUCCUUUGAUGGCAGACAUCAUCCAUUACCAAUCCUAAUUUUCUUCUAAAUCGCCAGAAAGGAGUCUCCGCACUUGGCCUACCAUCUGCGAUACCUAUCUCGCUUGGCUAGAUCGAGUAGAGGGAGUUUUUGCUAACUUAUGGCAUGGCAUUGGGAUUUUCGAUGUAAUUCAUCUUUCGAGAACUCCUCUUCAAGUCGACAACCUCCUCCUAGCGUGGCCUUAUGUUUCUGAUUCUUGGUCUCUAACACCUUCUUCUUUUGGCCAGGGCCCUUUACCCCAACCCUAUUUGAUGCGGCUACGAUCAUCAGCCUUCCCCUCCACAGGAUCGUCUUAUCCUUGGCUUUUGAACCCAACGGCGUGGCGGAGUUUGACACCAUCUUGGAUCCAAAAGUAGAUCUCGCCUAUACCAAAUUCAUAAAGCGGUUCGCAGGGCAGGGUUCUACCUCAGUUACCAAGGAAGAAUAUACUGCUUUUCUUCUUUAUUGGCCCCACAAUCUCUUUUGUAUUUAGUCACAAGAUAUCAACCAAGACUUGUGCCAAUCACUGACGUGUUAGCCAACGGUGAGAAAGCAGCGCUCGGUCCAUACUUUUUCUUUUCUCUACCAAGAAAUUUUUGAGUCAAUAAGACCGCUGCCCUAGAAGAAGAGCGGUGUAAUCAUCAGUUCUAGCUGCAAGAUUUUGUGAUUUCUUCAGCUUUGCCUGCAGCUCUACUUUCCUAUUUUGUGCCGAACUCUGCUUAACCAAAAUUCAACUCCUCAGUUCAGUACUUAUGGACUAGCCCUCGGCUGUCCGAAACCUGUCACACUCCAAUAAUCCCACAUUGGAUAUGAAUGGAGAUGUGAUUAGGUAUAUAAGAAACUUAGACACUAGUAAUAAUAACUGGGCUUAAGCAUUUUGGGUCGGUGUUUAGGCCCAACGAGUUAUUAUUGCUAGUGGGCUGGGUCGUUACAUUUGGUAUUAGAGCCAGUUCACCAGCCAGAAAUGUGUGGCGAGCCUCGGUGUCACGCCUCGAGCCCACCUCUUUGGCCAGUUCGGGCACGCCAACAGACCGCCGAAUGGACAAGGUUUUCCCUGUUCCUCGGACAGAGUCUUCCCUGUACGUUCAAGGCGUCGCAAUCAUAUAAUGCGCGAGGUUUCAACCAGGAACAGCAUACAACAAAGAUUGCAUAAGGAAGGUAUCGAAAACAUAAUUACAUUUAUGCUAUUACAGGCAUUCAACUCACAUACAUUUUACAUCACAUUUUACAUUACAUUGAUUCUCAACUUCCAAUAUACAAUCAAGUUCUUUCAAUAUUAAUACAACUUGGUUCUUUUCAUUUUUAUACCCCUAACUAGCCGACUCAGGAUACUGCUAUCUGGUAUUCGUGGUAGGGCGCUAACUACGGAGCUACGCCCUUUCUUCGCGUCGCCACGCCGCUCGCAUGUGAACUUGUACCCCUAAAAUAACACGGGGGUGAGAACUAUUGUCCAUAUUUCCCAGUGGGUAUGGCCACCCAAGGGAAGAGCUCGACCCACCAGGUCCAAAGGAGGCACCGCAACAUGUUAGUCCAACAAAUAUCCACAGAUAUAUAAUUAUGCAACUAACAAUUACCAUGUUCAUGCCUCACAACAUGCAAUAUGCAAAUCAUGCAACUCAUAUAAGUAGAUUAAUCGAUUCUACUCUUUAUUCUUAGCCAUUCUUUACUCGUUAGCCAUUCUUUAUCGUUAAUCAUUCUUUACAUUAUUAGCUAUUCUUUAGAAUUUGCUAUUCUUUAACAUUAACCGUUCGUUAUUCUUUAUUCUAGCUAUUCUUUAACAUUAGCCGUUCGUUAUUCUUUACUCUUUACUAAGGGUACUCGCACCUUAGCCAUAUUAAGCUUAUUUGCCAUUCUUUCCUAAGAUUACUUUACCUUAGCCAACUAUGCCACUCGACUCGGUCUUGAGUAAAUCAACUGCGAAUAAUUUGCGCUUUGUCCGGCUCAAGGUAAAGGAACUCUCACAUACACCUCAGCCUUCAAUCCACAAACCACAUCGCCCAACGGGUCGCCCAGAGCUACGUACACCUUGGUCAGGGAUCUCCCGGUGGGAGAGGAACAUGCCGCAUACACCCGCAGUCGAGAUCCCUGAUAAGGAGAGGAACAUGCCACAUACACCCUAGCGCUCAUGGUCCUUGCUCAAUCACAAUCCUCGAAGUUCUUCCGGUGGGAGAAGAACAUGCCACAUGUACCCACAGCCAAGAACUAUCGAGCUCAUAUGCUGCACUAGCAGCCGCUGCACUCGCAGCCGGGAUGCCGGAAUCCACUUUACUUAGCUCAAGGGUUGGUCUCACCCUAUAAUGUUGACCUAUAUCUAGGUCCAAGUCAUUACUCAACCUAAGUUUAAUACAUUAGGUUCGUUGUCACUAUGCUCAUAGCCUAGGUUCAUUAACACUAGGUUCGUUGUUUUUUAUUAUCUAGGUUCAUUUGACUCUAGGUUCAAUGUCUCUAUAUUCAUAACCUAGGUUUCUUGACUCUAGGUUCAAUGCCACUCACCUAGGUUUAUUUAACUCUAGGUUUCAUUAUCAACCUAUGUUCAAUGUCACUAGGUUCCAUGCCACUCAUCAUUCAUCUAUGUUAAAUAACACUAGAUUUGAAUGCCACUCAUGUUCUUGUUUUCUUAGAUGUCCAUACCUAGGAAUCAUAUUUGACAUGCCACACUUGUCGAGUUCUUUAAUUACACUUAGAGUUCAUUGACUCAAUUCAACAUUCAUAUCAUACUAGCAUAUUCUCGUAAUAUGUCAUCAUGCAUACAUUCUUUAUUAGCAUCUCAAUCAUGCACUUAUAUAUUAUCUAGCUAAUGCAUCUAGCUCAUGUAUUUAUUUAACAUACAUCUCAUACAUACAAUUAGCAUUUAACUCAUCUCUCAUCUAACAUUUCUAUAACGUGUCAACAUGCAUUUACUUAGCAUUCUUAUAUUAUGUCAAUAUGCAUUCUUUUAGCAUUUCAUAUUAUGACAACAUGCAUUCCUUAGCAUACAUCUUGUACGUUCAUUACUUGGCACAUAUCAUAUGCAUUAUUUAGCAUCUAUCACAUGCAUUCAUUUAUUAACUUCUUUAUCAUGCAUUCUUACUUAGCAUUUUACUACCACCAUGCAUCAAUAGUGAACACACUACACUUUGGCAUGGAAAGCGACCUAAUCACUUCAGUGAGCACAACCCACCUCUUAACGCAUUCCAAUUGCUUGUAGUCACUUGCAAUUGGCCGCCCGCGGCACUCGGUAUCCGAUUUAGCCCGAUUCUGCAAUCGCUCAUCAACCGUGUAUCGCUUCGCAGCCACGGUUAAAAAGGGUCUUCGUUUACUUGCCACGUUGCCCGGGUUCCGUUUUCAUGAUUUUUGGACGUCGCCUCGGCCCUACAGGCGGAAACGAAGCUCCGAACGUUCGUUUCUUCAAUAUCUUCGCGUAGGCUCGACGAAUUGCCGAGCCGACUUCGCCAACGCGUUCGUAUACCUAGCAAUUAGGUUUACAUGGGUCCAAUUUAGAUCAAACCCCUACAAUUACAAAAAACUCCCUUUUUGGAGCCCUAGAUGCUACUAUGCAAAAAUCCAUCAUUUAACUUCAUGAAUCAUGCAUUUAUCAUCUAUUUGGCAUGCUAGGAUUCUACUAAAACCAUCUUUAGAGUAUAAGAACUUAACCCUAAAGAUCUACCAUUAAAGCUCCAACAAGCUUACCUCAAAGCUUGCUUCAAUGGCCAAGGUAGGAGAUGAAGAGGAUGAAGAUCCACUCCUUAGCCUUCUUCUCCACCAAUCUUUCCUCCUUUUGAUCCACUUCUAGAGAGAGAGAGAGAGAGCAUCUAGAGAGAGAGAGGUGUGUUGGGUUGCAAAUGGUGAGAGAGAUGAGAGGGAGUGAGCCCUAACCUCUCAUAUAUACUCAACUCAUGGCCAAAUUGCAUAAAACCCCUCAAACAAUGCUUCUUGUACACAGCCCGCGCAGGGCAUUUUCAGGCUACGGGGACCGGUCCUUGCAUGAGGGACCGGUCCCUCAGGGACCUGUCCCUCGCCGAGGGACCCAUCCCCGUAAGUCCAGAUUUCCAGACUUAGCCAAAUUUCAGCCUUUUCCGUUUCUUCUCCAUUUUCGCUUGUUUUUAUUCGUAUGACCUCCGAUUCAUCUCAAAUCGGACCGAGACUCUCAAAACAUAAUUUCGAGUGUAUUUAAACCAUCUUUUCAUCCACGCCUUUGCCGGAUUUAGUCCAUGGUCCAACAUAGCCUUUCGGGUUCCGUUUUUGCACCUAUGCGCACCGAAGCACCUGAAUGCUCCAGAACUUCACCGAGAUGAUUCCAAUGACCUCUAGCAUCCACCGAAACUUCAAAGCUAUAGAAGUUCGGUAUAUUACACUCGGCUGAGCCAGGGUCUGGAUGACAAGGCUAGUGAGACGAGUCUCACAUCACCUAGUGAUCUUGGGCUUUGUGUGUGAUUAGACUGACGAGGAUGUCAGGGCCUUAACAGGGGGAGUCUGUCACACCCAAUAAUCCCACACAAGAUAUGAAUGGGGAUGUAAUUAGGUAUAUAAGAGACUUAAACACUAGUAAUAAUAACUGGGCUUAAGCAUUUUGGGCUAGUGGUUGGGCCGAACGAGUUAUUGUUGCUAGUGGGCUGGGUUGUUACGAAACCACUUUCCUUAGAGCGGCCCUUGGAUUUUCUGUCUUAUUUUCAGACCUUUUACACUAAAGAUACCCAACCUCUUAUUAACUGGGCGCCCUUCAUGAAAUGAAGAACUUGUCCAUCCUGGUUUGUCACAAGAUUUGAAGAUGUCUAGAGCCAGAGGGCUUCGUCCAAUAUCAGCAAGCACACCAAAGUUUGAUAUACUCCUUUUUGGCUGCGCGUGAUUUUCACUUCCGGCUGAAGACCUGAUCCAAGUUUACAUGCUCAGCAGUUUAGUCUGUUCUAAGCACUUCUAGUCGUCCCCCUACUAAAACAACAGCUGAGGCUGAUCAUAUUACGACAAUAGGGAAUUGAUUGAAGCAUUUCUUUGUCCCCAUGGCUUUUCGGUCGAAAGGAUGGGGAAUGUCUGAAGAUCUCUACAAGCGUUCGUGGAGCAAUUUCUGACAAGCUCUAUUUGCGUUACUCACAGGGAGUCACCUACAACAUUUUGAUUUUACCUCGGAUCAUGCAAAAGGUAUUUUUAUCUUCAAUUUCCUUCUUCUUUGUUGUCACGCCUCGAGACCCGCCAUUUUGGUCGGAUUCGACAUGCCAACAGACCACUGAACGGACAGAGUUUUUCCUGUCCGCGUCAUAAUCAGUACAAUUCAAGUGGUUUCCAAUAGGAACAUAAUUCAUACACCGAUAGCAUAAGGAAGGCAUCAAACAUAAUUACUAAGCUAUUACAAGCAUUCGUCACAUUUCACAUUACAUUUACAUUUACAUUUACAUUCUUCCGAAUAUAAUCAACUUUAUUACAAUUUGUUCAUUCCUUUCUAUACCGUAUGCUAUGCUAAUCCAGGGUACAUCUAUCUCUGGUCUCAAAAGGUAGGGCGCUAUCUAUCGAGCUACGCCUUUUCCUCGCGCCGCCGCACCGCUCACGUGUGAACCUAAAAAAUAUAGGGGUGAGAACUAUAAAUAUAGUUCUCAGUGGGUACGGCCACCCAAGGGAAGAGCUCGACCUGCCAGGUCCAAAAGAGGCAACAUAAGCAAGUUAGUCCAACAUAUAACAUAUAGUUCACCUUUAUGAAAUUAAUAAACAUCAUGCUUAUGCCUAAACAAAAUGCAAUAAUGAAAUCAAUGCAAGUAGGUAUCCUCCUCUACUUUCUAUAUCACUAUCCAUCUCAUUUUCAAUCUGCUCCUAAGGUUCUUUUACCUUAGCCAAGCUAUACCACCCGACUCGGUCUAGAGUCAAUGACCAGCGGACUACCGCUCAUGUCCAGGCCUAAGGAGAGGAACAUAACGUGCACCUUAGCCAUCGAUUCACUCAGCUGGUGACUAAAGCGCCCGACGGGCGGCGAAAAAGCUGCGUACACCCGCGGUCAGGGAUCCCCCGGUAGGAGCGGAACAUGCCACAUACACCCACAGCCGGGAUCCCCCGGUAGGAGAGGAACAUGCCACAUACACCCACAGCCGGGAUCCCCGAUAGGGAGAGGAACAUGCCACAUACACCCCAGUGCACGAAGAUUCUUCCGGUGGGAGAGGAACAUGUCACAUACACCCGCAGCCAAGAAUCUUCCACAAUCAUAACCCUCGAAGUUCUUGCGGUGAGAGAAGAACAUGCCACAUGCACCCACAGCCAAGAACUGUCGAUGGUCACAAGUCCUGGGAUUUCAUAAUCCACUUUCAAAGUCUCAAGGGUUCGUCACACACCCUAUAUUGUCCACCUUUCUAGGUUCAUAGUCACAUGUCCAAGUGGUCAUCCUACCACUAUACUUUCCAACCUAUGUUCAAUGACACUAGGUUCAAUGACAUUCCAAUCCAAGUGGUCUUCCUACCACUAUGUUAUCCAACCUAUAUUCAAUGACACUAGAUUCAAUACCCAAUCAUGUUCUUUCUUAUCCUAGUUGUCCGCACCUAGGAUUCAUGAUUUCCUAACAUCUAGUCCUUGAUUUCUCACUUGUCGAGUUCUCUAAUUCGUCUUAAAGUUAAUCGACCCAUGUUAUGUUCGUAUUUACAACAACAUAUGAUUUGUCCAUACAUAUAUCAUCCUCCAGUGGUAGGUAACAUCAUCUAACAACAUAUGAUUUAUGUAUUCAUAUUUACAACAUAUAAGCUACCAUUAUAUACAUGCAUAAACAAUAAUCCCAGACUUUACUCUUUUGACAUGGAAACAACCUAGUCAUUCGGUGAAGCACAACCCACCUCACAAAGCUUCCGAUUGCUUGUAGACACUUGCAAUCGGACUCCCGCGGCCAACGUCGCCUGAUGCAGUUCAACCCAAGCCUAAUGGACGAAAUCCGGCGAUAUCUCCUAAUUGGACGUCACAAGCUCGCUGUAAUCCGAAUCAAGGUUGGCCCCCGUGUCGAUUUACCCUUCAAUUAGAGAUUUGUGAGAUCAAUUUGGUUCCAAACCUCUUAGGGACAAAAACCCCAAAUCCAAGCCCUAGAUUCUAAUUCCUCCAAAAAUAUCCCAAUCCAUUAAACAAGUAUAGAAUCAUCUAGGGGACUCUAGAAUCUUAUUUCAAGGGAUUUAACCAAAAACCCGAAUCUCUUAACCCAAAAACGAACCUCGAGUCGAAAGCGCACUGAGCUACCAAGCACUCGAGAGCUUGAUUCACCGCGCCUUCGAGCUUCCCGAGUUCGAUCUCUACCAAGAUCUCCAAGUUGGAGAAGAAAAUGAAGAGAGUGAGAGAGAUGAGCUCCUCUCUUUCUCUCAGUGUGCGUGUGUGCGUGUGUUCUGCAGAGAAAGAGGAGAGAGCCCCCCCUUAAAUAGGCCCCCACAUGAAAUUACUAAAACACCCCUCAAAAUCAACAUUAUGUAGAGCUGAGUACCAGUACUUGGGUUCGCGUACUCGUACUCGGGCAUCCAGUUUUGAUACCCAAUUUUUAGUACCUCAAAACUCGAGCGUUGGAUUCUCACUUUUCUACUGCGUACCGGUACUCAGUUUCCAGUACCGAUACCCAAUACAAACUUAGUACCGGUGCUCAGGUUUGAUUCCUCAAAACCCGAGAGCUCAUUUUUCUCAUUUUGUAUUACGUACCGGUAUCCAGAUUCCAGUACUGGUAUUCAAUAGAAAAUCUGCACUUUGACAGAUUUUACUUUUUCGAAUCCGUUUUCGCGUCCAGUUUGCGCCAAAAACACUCGAAUACUCUCUCAUACUUCGCUAGAACUAUUUUAUUAGCUUUUUAAGCUAGUUCCCAUCAAAACUUCAUAAUUGUAGAAGUUCGGUAUAUUACACUCUUCACCCCUUAAAAGAAUUUCGUCCACAAAACUAAAAUCACAGCUCAACUCGACUUCUCAAGCAAUUGAGGGUAUGAUCGCACUCUUCCACUCCUUAGCAGCUUCACGAUUCUCGUGGUUGCUCAAGCGGCUCAUAACGAAGGAUGUGGGUCCAAUCAUGAACUUGCUUGCGGAAUGUGGUACAUGAAACACAUUAUGUAUUUCCGCAAGUUCCGGUGGCAGCGUAAGUCGAUAUGCAACAACUCCACACGCUCCAACAUCUCUCACAAUCCGGCAUACGAAGGACUUAUCUUGUCUUGUACACCAAGUCAUUUUACUCCUCUCAGGUGGCAUUUUCCAGGAAUGGCAAUCAUUUACUGCCCCUUUCCACAUAACCGACAACUGCCCGCAUACUUUGCUUAUCAGGCCCGUGUCGUCACCAACCGUCAUCAAUAGACGACAAACCUUAUUAAUGACACUGGAUACUACUUUCCUUCAGAUCAGGACUACCCUUCAUUCCUGUGGUGUAGAGCGAAUAAGAAUGCACUAACUAGUCGAAUGGUCCACCACCACUACCUAUUACAUAUGGGUAGACCUCCUCGAUUCACACAAGAGUCCNCUACCCUUCAUUCCUGUGGUGUAGAGCGAAUAAGAAUGCACUAACUAGUCGAAUGGUCCACCACCACUACCUAUUACAUAUGGGUAGACCUCCUCGAUUCACACAAGAGUCCUAAAAGAAGGGUAAAAGAGCAUACCAUCUUGGUUCUAUUGAUGAAAUUAUAUAGUACAAGAGAUAAGCCUACUAUAGUAACAAUACAACACUAGCAGGUUCGAAGAGAAAGACAUGUUACCACCAAGAGAAAAAAAAAUCCACCAUUAGAGAGACAAAUCCGAAAAUAAAAGAUAAAGUAAUCACAAAUCUAGAGAAAAGAGGAAAAGUGAGUUAGAGUUGAGCCCGAGAUGAACCCGCAGUACUUGAGAUCAAGCAGGCAACACCAGCAAGCAGCACCAACGAGAUAAGAAAAAACUCAAAGAGGCUAGAACUACUGUAGCAGACCAUAGAGGCUGAAAUUACUGUAGCGAUGAUACUGUAGCACCAGCGCUGUAGCGAUAAUACUGUAGCACCAAUACUGUAGCAUCGGUACUGUAGCAGACUGUAGCGCUGGUACUGUAGCAGCCUCGGGGAGAUAAAAGUCCAAGGAUAAGAAAAGAUAUAAUACCAAAAGAGAAAAGCAUCUAUGGAAGAAGGUGAGACUUGUGGUGGAUGAUGGCUAUGGAUUGUUAUCCCAAAUUGGGGUUCCCACUCUAAUACCAUGAAGAAAGGGUAAAAGAGCAUACCCUCUUGAGUUCUAUUGAUGAAAUUAUAUAGUACAAGAGAUAAGCCUACUAUAGUAAUAAUGCCUACUAUAAUAACAAUACAACCAGCAUUACAUACCAUAUAAUCCUACUUUAUAUUUGUCGUAAUAUAUAAUAUCCUAAUAUAGCAAAAUAUGUCGUAACAAGUCCAUAGAGUGGCAUUCUAUCAUCCUGGCCAUUCAAGAGUCUACUUUACCGACAUUGCUUAGAAGCAAUUUUAUCGGUGCAUCGCUCGAUCAUGAGUGCCCUCACCAUUCAUUUCAGCUCUGCAACGAGAUGGCACACUUCGACACAUCCAUAAGUUCCAGUUCACCUGAGAGCAUAGUUCCCAAACUUCACGUGGCUUUCCACUAGCUCAUUGUCUCAUAAAAAGCACUUUACUUUACUUUCAGCUACCAUGGGUCACCAUCAUGUCGUUCUUGUGACGAAUCCACACCAACACUCCGUUCGUGAAUCCAUUUAGGUGAGCGGUAUGACCGAGCCUACGCUCCUAUGGUCACUACCCUCAGUUCUUCUGUACACGACCAACGCUCUCACGCAAUAUCUCUCGCUCGCAAGCGUAGACCCAAUCACUUAGCGGAGUCCCUACUUAAGACUUGGCACACAUGCUCCAACCAGGAGCAACCAAAACCCCAAACCACUACAAGUCCUCGGAUUUGGUCAUAUCUAUACCCUCGGUGUAGCGCAUUAAACUUCUACAAAUUACAGAGUUCUAGUAAGAGAAUAGUUCUUAACACUAUUCUGAAGAUUUUGACUAGGUUUAGAAGGCUUAGGAGUGUUUUCGAGGCAUUAUAAGUAAAACAACGGACUGCAGAGAUCAAAUUCUGCACAAAUUAUAGUAUUUGUGUUGAGUACCGGUACUAGACUUGAGGUACCAGAACCUAGUUGAGUGUUGGUAUGGGCAGCUCUCGAGUUUUGCGAAACUCGGCUCUAUGUGCUAGAUGUAUGCCGUAGAAGCCAACCAGGCCGAUACAUAUAUUCUUUCUAGGACAUAAAUUUGUAUUUGACUUUAAAUUAUUAUGAAUAAAUUUGGGUUCUUAUUUUUAUUCAUGUUGUGUAUGUGUCCAUGAAUCGUCUAAGGAAUUAAUAAGAUAAUGACAGAUAUUCUCAAGAAUUGAAAAUUUGAGACGUGUCAUUGGUGGUUAAUUCUAAAUGCUCUUGAUCAAUGGAUCAUCACGAGGACGGUGAUUGAUCCGGUGAAAUUGGUGCAUAGGUCGCUUCCCUUUUUGGGUAGACGAGUCUCGAGUCGAUAGUGUGGGGACACUGAAGCGAAUAUGCAGGUGGUUGUUAGAGAACAAGGGUACCGAGCGUGACCAACGCAAGAAGUCACUUGGAUGUCUACUCACUCGUCAGUGACUUACUCAAUGUUGCAGUAGUGUGACUGGUCCUUUGACCUGCGGUGCCUCGGCUAUUCACAAUGAGGUUACUGUAGUUUGACUGUACAUACACUUGGUCCCUAGCCAUUCUGGUCCUUGCGGUGCAUGUUGGCUGCAGUAGGUUCAUUGUAGGAAUAAGGUGCCCACUUAGAUAGAAUCUAUUUCUCCUGGUAGAUAGGGGCGUUAGUCCUAUGUGAUUUAUAAGACCAAGUUUAGAAGACCUUGGCCAGGGCAAAGUUAAUAGCGAAAAAGGGUUUCCGAUAUUAGAAACUCGAGUCGAAUAAAUUUAACAUAUAACAGACAAUGGGGUUUGAUGAGUUAUUCGAUGGCCUCCGUCUCGUCGGAACUCAUGAUAGAAGGACUGUAUCACACGGUAACUGCACCUAGAGCUUCAGUAUUCCAUUAUACUAAAAUGUCACUACAUGCUGCUAUGUCUCACUUGUGGAUUGUGAGACUUACGAAAAUUAUCUAGAUGAUCAAUAAUUCUCAUUGGGUUGAGUUGGAAUUGUUCCGAUCCACUGAAAGGAGUUUCAGCGAUAUUGUUGAUAAUGAUCAAAAUAUAUCUCACUACCAGAUAGAAUAGAACCUAUGGGGUCACACACAUAAAAGGUUGUGAUUGAUCGGAUAGCUAGAUCACGAUUAUUGAAUCGCUGGAGAACCUAAUUGUCAAUAUGUUGAUAAUUGGACUAAUUUGUAAUUGUUACAAAUUAGUGGUAGUAAAGUGUAAAUGUUACAAGAGAGGACUUACUUAUCCUUAAUGGUUAUUAUAUCAUUAAAAAGAGGAUUAUAUUUCUCUAUAUAAUAUACGGGAGUUUUUAGAAAACCCUAGUCGUCAUCUCUCUUCUCCUCUCUCUUCCAUCUUCUAGCAAUAAGGACGUCCUUUGUAAGGGAGCUAGCACCUCGGUGAGGACAUCGAUCAAAUCACCAACCUCGUGUGGAAACCUAUAGAGGCCGGACGCGUGUGCGGCUUCAAGAGAACCUAAUUCCACGAUAAUCAAAUUACGGUGAAGAUCUUUCCAUGCAAAGGUAAAGAUUCGAUCUUACUUUUCUUCUUUAAUCUUAAAGAACAUGAGAGAUCCUAAUUGCAUGAUUUUCGAGAUCGAAUCUCAAAAGUUUUCAAAAUCAAAUUUGUUUGAUUUUAUUUUCGCUGCGUUUUUCCCAUACGCAAUUUUCUAGCGAUGGUAUCAGAGACUUCUUCAUAUUUUUCAAGAUUAAAAUUAUGAAUUUGGGUAUUUUAAACCGUUCUUCGCCGAUCGAACAAUUUAUAGAUCGUUUUUUACUGAUUCGAAAAAUCAUCAAGUGAUCAAAUAAUUUAUUCUUAGCUUCUAGUAAAAAAAAAAAUACUGUAGCGUCCGUACGGAUGUGCAAAAUUCUUUUUUAUUUUUUAAUUUUUUUUAAUUUUAUUAGAUCAAUUUAAAAUAAAAAAAGGAUCUAGUUUGAUUAGAUCAAAUUUAUAUCUUGAUGAGAUCAGUUGUUAUGUUUGAAGAUUAAGUUUUUGAUCAAAAUUAUAAACGAUUAAUAAGAUUGAUUGAUUUUAGUGAUUUAAUCACUAUUAUUUUUCGAAUCAUUAAUUAACGGUUAAUUAGAAUACCCAAAAUUAAUUAUUAUGCAUAUGAUGUAUGAGAUACAUAUCAGUGAUGAUCGAUCAUGGAUAGCGAAUUAUUUAUUCUUAUUUCGACAUGUGAUGUAUAGUGCGUAUGCAGAAUCCUACAAUUUUAAAUUUAUUUAAAUUAAGGACUCUGCAUUAGAGAUGGUUAUUUUGGGUGCCUACGUGUACAAGCCAAUUUAUUUGGAGAACAGCAUGUCUCGAUAGGUUAGAGAUAAAAGUUAUCAAAUGUAAAUAAUUUUUAUUUCAUCUUUAUUGUUGGGUAAUAUAAUGUAAUAUACCGAAACUUCGGUAGAGUAUUCCGAACUUUAGAUAAAUUGACUAAAGUAUGCGAAAGUAAUAGUUGGACAAAGUCAAAUUAACAUUCCAACAAUGUUGGAAGGGUUAAAAGUGGGUCCUAGAAGAGUUAGAAAGGUUUUAGCAUCGAUCGGCGCGAAAUAGAAUUGAAACGAUGCAAAAUUGGAAUUCUGAAACUUUUGUUACCGGUUUAACAUUGAACUGGUACCGGUACCAAUAGGCUGACCGAGAGCAGCAGCUCUCGGGUUUGCCUCUACGAAACUUUGUAACCGGUGACAAAACGAUUUAGUACCAGAACCAAGUGUAUUACCCGAGCAGAUUGCUCUCGGGUUUGGUUCUGCGAAGUCGUGUAACCGGUGACAAAUUCGGCCGUACCGGUACCAAAUCUGCUUCGCAGCAGACUUUGGUUUGCUGCAAAUAUGAAAAGUGGAGGGGCCUAGUUGCUAUUGUAGCACCUUAUAAAUUACUCCAACAUUCCUCCCACCUGUUCACGACAGCUACCACCCCUUCCUCUCUCAUUUCUCUCUUUCUCUCUCUAGAGAUCACUCCAAAGAGCUAAGAGGAAGGAUUGGAGAAAGAUUUGGAGGAGGUUUUAAGGGUUUUGAAGGCUUGGGGUCUCUCCUACAAGGUGGACUUUGGAGAGCUUUGGGCAAACGUGAGGUCUUCUUGUAAGAUUAAGGUUAGGGCUUAGAUUUUAUGCCCUAAAUCUUUGGUUUUGGUCAUCUAACAAGUGUAGAAACAUUCUAGAGGCCAUAGAACACAUGAAAAUCAAGUUUUCUUCAUGUGUUCUCAUGGUGGAUUUCUAGGACUCGGUUUGUAUGCCCUAGAAAUGGUUUGAAAGGCUUAGAAAAGGUUCUAGAUGAGUUUCUAGAGGUUCAACAAACUUAAUUUUGCUUGUUCUAUAAAUCAAACCCAAGAAUUAGGCAAAUGACAUUGUUAGGGUACCAAAAUUGGGGCUUUUGCCCUAGAGUGGUUUUAAGGCAAAUUGGCCUUAUGGAAACCAAAUUAGGCGUAUUUCUAGCUAAUAUAUGAACUCGGUUCGGAGAUACGACGAGUCUAAGUAAUGAUUUUGGGUAAAAAGUCUAAUUUGGCUACGUUUUGCCGCAGGCAAGAGAAUAGGCAUCCAAAAAUUUCAAGAAUUGAACCGUAACACCCUUGCAACCAUACAAGGUGGGUGGUGCAUUCUAAAAUUGAUGAAUUUCCUUUAAUGCCUAAAGUGUCAUUUUUGAGCAUGUGUAUGUAUUGAGCAUUGUGCAUAGUAGAGUUGAUUUGAGAGCAUAUGUUGCAUGUUGUGAGGACAAAUGUACGAAAAAUGAUAGUAAAAGAGUAAGAACUUGUAUAACCCUAUGUAUGCAUGUAUGAUGACAACAACCUAGCAAAGGGCAAAGGACUUAGUGACAUAGAGAACAAAUGACAUCAUGACAUAAAUGUAAAGUAUGGCAUCAAAGAGUUCGAAUGGUAGAGUUGAACACUUAGAGUGUGUGGCAUUAGUGAAUGAGUACAAAGAACAAAGUAGUGUAUAUGACACUAGUGAAACUUAAAGAAUGCAAGUAAAGAGAGAGAGUGACAUUAUGACAUAACAACCUUGAAGUUAAGGGUCAUAUGAGCAUUGCAUCCUCAUAGUGAGGAAUGGAUUGGGUUCGGAAUCCUUAAAGUUAAGGAUUGAUCAUACUCACCUAUAAAUCUUGGCUUGAGGGCGGUCGCACCCCCUUGAGCGAUGAGCUCCGGAGUAGUCAUCACUGGGUAGUAGCGAGUAUCUCCCGAAAGGACGGUCCCGUCGGGUCGUAGCGAGUAUCUCCCCGAUAGUAGGGAUUUGAGUUGGCAGGUUUGUUGAGGGCGAAGCCUACGGGUUAGGCUGUUAAGUCUUGUGAGUUGGCAAGUUUCGUGAAGUGAGUCGGAGUCUUGAAGGAUCGAUGCGUAUCGUCAAAGAUCAAAGAAUCCAAGACUUCGAAGAGAUUGGAAAAUAACUCACGACGUGAAUCACGAUGCUCAGGUAAAGUUUUAAUUCAUGUUAUGGUGAUUCAUACUUAAUUAUAGGCAUUAGAAUCAUAUAAUCAAAGUUUAGUGGAUUAGAAAGUGUAUUGGAACUUUGCGAAACCCGAAACGUGAAAAAAAUCUGAAAACUACACUGUGUACGGGUACCCAUUGAAACUGUUACCGGUUACAAACUGUGUACGGAUACAACCAUCAAUGUGUUACCGGUUACAAAAUGUGUACCGGUACAGCCAUCGACAUGUAACCGGUUCCACUUUUUCGUCAGUUUUUUCGUUCCGUCAUCGUGUAACCGGUGACAGCUUAAAGUGUACCGAUACACAGUGUAAAAUCGUGAAAACUUUCUAAUCUGACUCCGAUUGAUUCUAAAGUCUAUAAAUAAGAUAUUGGGGUUCUCUAACACAUCAAGGAUCAUGAGAAUAUAUGUUUGAGAAACCCUAGAGGCUAGGAUUUUGUCCAAAACCUAUUUUCUACAUAUUAGCCUCUUUUAGGUCAAAUCGAGAUAUUGGAAUUUCAUAUCUAUAUAUCGAUUUGAUCUUCGCUUCGCUUGGAGAUCUCUUUCCUGGUUUUCAUCGAUACUCUAAGCGAAGGAUCGCCAUAAUCAUGAUGCUCUUCAUGAACGGCGUCGUGGAUUCGGCGUGAACGAAGGCGGUUCGUGGAUUAGGAUCGUGGGCUCGUGGAUUCGAGUGGGCGUCGUGGAUUCGACGUGAUCGAGGCUUCGUGGAUUCGAAGUGGUGACGUUUCGUGGAUUCGGGACGUGGCGUUCGUGGAUUCGGACGUGGGGCGUGGACAACCCGUUGGUGUGCGCGAGAUCCGGAGAAGAUAAAAGAGAGGUUUGAGUCUGUGGAUUCGGUAAAUCACCUUGUAAUCUUUUAUUCUUAGUGGAUUGUUAUAGCAUGUUGGUCCCGUGGGUGUUGGAGUUUUCCCACGUAAAUCUCGGUGUGAUUUUUAUUUUCCGCAUUAUUUUUUAUCGCAUUGAGAUUUGUGGUUUUUGGCCGUUACACCUAUUCACCCCCCUCUAGGUGUUGGAUACAAUCUAGAUAGAUCCUUGGGCUCCCUCAAAACUUACAAUUGGUAUCAGAGAGGAAUCUAGAUAAAUUGUUAUCUAAUGGCCGAAGGCUGAAACAUUAAUCGACCACCACUCUUCGAUGGCACAAACUAUACCUAUUGAAAAGUUCGCAUGAGAGUUUUUCUAAUCGCAAUCAAUGACCGCGUUUGGCAAUCAAUAGAAUUUGGAUGGAAACAUCCUAUUGAAUAGGUCGAGAAUGUUGAAACGCCAAAACCACGGAACAGUGGAUGAAAGAUGAAAACGAGUCAUCUUUGUUUAACGGUAAAGGAAUUAAUACUUUAUUCAACGCUUUAUCGCAAACGGAGUUUACUCGUGUUUCGGCAUGUGAAACGGCAAAGGAAAUUUGGGAUACUCUACAAGUUACGCAUGAAGGAACAAGCUUAGUAAAGGUUCAAAAAUUAUAAAUGCUAACCAGCAAAUUUGACUCGAUUUUUAUGGAAGAAAACGAGACCUUUACCGAGUACUACACGCGUCUACACGACGUAGUCAAUACAUGCGCUAACUUGGGAGAGAAAAUCCCGGAUGCUAAGGUUGUUAGAAAGAUUUUUCGAACUCUUCCGGAACGCUUUCGGGCAAAGGUUGUCGCGAUCGAAACCGUUAAGAAUCCGGACGAGAUGAAAGUCGAAGAAUUAGUAGACGCUCUACAAACGUAUGAGAUGACUUUGCCUACUAACCCAUCUUCUUCCAAGUCUUUUUCUAAAAGCACAGGAGUUGCACUCAAAUCAACAAAGAAAGAAAAAGACGACUCGGAUUCUGACGGAGAUAUUUCGCUCGCCAACUUUGAACAUCAAUUGGCGCUCCUCACGAAGAAGUUCCGACGGAAUUUCCGAAAGAAGAACAAUUCGGACAAUGCUUCAUCUUCGAAGCAUAAAUUUUUUUCUAGACAAUCUUCAAGUUCUAAAUCUAAGGAUAAAAAACAUGCAAAGUCUUCAAAAGAAAAAGAUGAAUUUGAAGGCGAGAUUCAAUGCUACAAAUGCAAAGGCUACGGCCAUAUUGCAACAUAUUGUCCUUCAAAGAAGUCUUAUAAGCAAAAGGCUUUGCAAGCUAAGACUUGGGAUGAUUCUUUUUGUAGUGAAUCAUCUUCAAGUGACGAAGAAAGGAGUGAUCACAUUGCUUUAUUUACUAACACUUCUCUACCUUCGUCUAACAUUGUUUGUUUAUCCUCAAUUGUUUCUAAUUCCACUGUUUCUCUCUCUUCGCAUGGGUCUUCGAGCACCAAUGGCGAAAGCGAGGAGUCGAACGACAAGGAUAUAGCGGAGGCAUACAAUCAACUUCUUAUUGAUUCGAAAAAGAUGACCAAGCUCAAUAAGAAGUUGAGGCGUCGUGUAUUGGACAUUGAAGAGGAGAACAAAAAUUUGAAGACAAUGAAUAAAGCUCUUGAGGAGGAAAAGGAAUCGAUUUCUAAGAAUAACUUAAUCCUCCAAGAGAAACUUGAUGAAGCGGAAUCAACGAUCAAAUCGUAUAAAGACAAGGUUGGAUUUUUGGAGCAACAAUUCGAGGAAUCGCACACAUCCAACAAGUCAUUGACCAAUCAAGUUCGUCAACUUCAAUCCGACAUACAAAAAUUCUCUUCCGGUUCAAAGAAAUUAGAUCAUAUGCUCGGAAUAGGUCAAACGAACGAGUUGGGUCUCGGGUCUGAAUGAACGUACGUUGAGAAGGAUUUAACGACAACUACUAAAGUCUCAACAAAUUCAGACAAAAAGGUAUGUCAUCGAUGUGGCAUCAAAGGACACAUAAAAAAGAAUUGCCUAAAUAAGGAAAAGAAGAAUCAAUCGGCAAUGUCUACACAUAGAUCGGCAACUACGAAUCGUCAAUCGGCAUCAUCUACAACUCGACAUCCCCCACGGAAUCAAAAGCAAAAUCAUUUAAGUCAAACACCUCUAGGGAACCGGUUUUCUAAUGUACAAUGUCAUGUUCGCCCGAACCCAAAAGCAAACCGGAUUUCUAAGCCUCAACGACAAGUUCAACCGAAGCCUCAAGCAACAAGACGACCAACGGUUAAUUCAAAAUCAAAACAAAUUGUGAUUAACGUCGACAAACCAAGAAAACCAACAAUCCGAGAAGUUUGGAUCCGGAAAGGUGAUAUCUUUCCUUGCUCUUUGUCUUAGUUUGUUUUAUUGUUUAUGUAAUGCUUUGUUUGGUGCUUAUUGCAUAUUUUUAUUCAUUGCAUUACAUGUUUAGACGAUUUUUGGUGCUUGAAAUUUAUUUGUUUCAAAAUUGUUUUAAGGAAAGGUGAUUAGGAAUUAAAAAAAAAAGAACUCUUUCUUUGAGAUAGGAGAUGAUUGAAAAUCUUUACUUUAGGGAGUAUUUUAAAUGUGACUUAACCGGAAUUCAAAUUGAAUGAAAUUUAUAUUAAUUAUCGGUUUUACUCCACUGUUUAUUAUUUUGACGAUAAUUUAUUAUAUGAAUUCUUAAUACAUAUAUUCAUCAAGGUUGUGUGUGUUGGAUAUGAUGGAUAGAUAUUCUCUAAUUGACUAAAAUUCGUCAAAAUUAUUUUCAAUUGUGAGAUUGUCAAAUUUAAGGGGAGUUUUGAAUUAUUUAAAAAAUAUAUAUAUAUAAAAAGGGAAACUCCUAUGUUUAAAAGAUGUGGAAAGAGUUACAUCCAAAAUGAGUGUGAAAACUACCACCACAUGUAGGAAAGAGCUACCAUCCCGGUCGUCCGGUACGUGUGUGAAGCUAUCAUUUGAAGAUUGAAUUGAAUAACCGAAAAGGUUGAAAAAAAAAUGAAUAUUUUAGAAUUUUCGGAGUUAUAAGGUGUUAGAAUGAAAAGAUGCUCAAAGAGCCACCCUCGAUGCUAUAUUAGUUAAAUCUCUAUUUUGAACGAUUUGCGACAAAUUGAGGUCAAUUUGGUUGAAUUUCUAAAAAUCAAUUUUCAUGAACCGUUACAUCUUGAUGGUUUUGAAUCAUUAAAUUAUUUUUGAUAACAUAAUUUUGAUGAUUCGAUGUAUUUUGAAAUCCUAUAAUACUUUAUCUUCAUCAUAAUAAUUUUUGGAGUAUAAUUUUUAAUUUUUAUGAAAUUAAUAUAUUUUGAGGAUCGUCGAAAGGCCGCGUUAUAUAGCCUCUUGGCAAGUUUUGGCACGUCAAUCUCGAGUGCUGCAACAAAUCAAAUGAUGUGUGCUUUGCUUGUCUUUCAUUCUCUUUUAGGCCUAUGACUAUGACAUGACUACUUUUAUGCUUUCUAGUAUGCUUUCUCUAUUUAUAAGCUUUGUCUUUGGCAAUUUUUGACAAAAAGGGGGAGAGCAUAGAUGAACAAGUGGUGAUCGAGAACAAAGGAGAAGAAGGAAUGAAAUCAAAGGAGAAGAGGAUGAAUUCAAGAACAAAGGGGAAGAUGUGAUCAUCGAGAACAAAGGUGGAGAAGGUAUAAAAAUUUAAUGUUGUUAAGUUUCUACAUUAUUUUUGGAUAAAUUGUUUUGCAGAAAAUCAGGACUUCAAGACUCCUAGUUGCAUCUAAGUCAUAGAGCCACUUCAAGACUCCUAGUUGCGUCUAAGUCAUAGAGUCUGUUUUAGGAGUUUUGAUGUACUUUUGCGUUUCAUAUUGUAUUUGGAUCACAUGCGAGGGGUUCAAUGUUUUGGUGAUGACAAUUGAACUUUGUUUUUUCUUUAAGAUGUAAUUUUUGAGUAGUUGUGAGUUUUGUCACGAAAUUGCCAAAGGGGGAGAUUGUUAGUCUUGUGAGUUGGCAAGUUUCGUGAAGUGAGUCAGAGUCUUGAAGGAUCGAUGCGUACUGUCGAAGAUCAAAGAAUCCAAGACUUCGAAGAGAUUGGAAAAUAACUCACGACGUGAAUCACGAUGCUCAGGUAAAGUUUUAAUUCAUGUUAUGGUGAUUCAUACUUAAUUAUAGACAUUAGAAUCAUAUAAUCAAAGUUUAGUGGAUUAGAGAGUGUAUUGGAACUUUGCGAAACCCGAAACGUGAAAAAAAUCUAAAAACUACACUGUGUACCGGUACUCAUUGAAAGUGUUACCGGUUACAAAUUGUGUACGGGUACAACCAUCAACGUGUUACCGGUUACAAAAUGUGUACCGGUAAGCCAUCGACAUGUAACCGGUUCCACUGUUUCGUCAGUUUUUUCAUUCCGUCAUCGUGUAACCGGUGACAGCUUAAAGUGUACCGGUACACAGUGUAAAAUCGUGAAAACUUUCUAAUCCGACUCCGAUUGAUUCUAAAAUCUAUAAAUAAGAUAUUGGGGUUCUCUAACACAUCAAGGAUCAUGAGAAUACAUGUUUGAGAAACCCUAGAGGCUAGGAUUUCGUCGAAAACCUAUUUUCUACAUAUUAGCCUCUUUUAGGUCAAAUCGAGAUAUUGGAAUUUUAUAUCUACAUGUCGAUUUGAUCUUUGCUUCGCUUGGAGAUCUCUUUCCUGGUUUUCAUCGAUACUCUAAGCGAAGGAUCACCAUAAUCAUGAUGCUCUUCAUGAACGGCGUCGUGGAUUCGGCGUGACUGAAGGCGGUUCGUGGAUUCGGAUCGUGGGCUCGUGGAUUCGACGUGAUCGAGGCUUCGUGGAUUUGAAGUGGUGACGUUUCGUGGAUUCGGGACAUGGCGUUCGUGGAUUCAGACAUGGGGCGUGGACAACCCGUUGGUGUGCGCGAGAUCCAGAGAAGAUAAAAGAGAGGUUUGAGUCCGUGGAUUCGGUAAAUCACCUUGUAAUCUUUUAUUCUUAGUGGAUUGUUAUCGCGUGUUGGUCCCGUGGAUUUUUUACUCCAAGUUGGAGUUUUCCCACGUAAAUCUCGGUGUGAUUUUUAUUUUUCGCAUUAUUUUUUAUCGCAUUGAGAUUUGUGGUUUUUGGCCGUUACACCUAUUCACCCCCCUCUAGGUGUUGGAUACAAUCUAGAUAGAUCCUUGGGCUCCCUCAAAACUUACAUAGGCAAGAGAUUGAGUAAUGGUAUUGUGAUCUUGCAUACAUCAUGAGCAUUCUAGUUGAGCAUACUAUUGAUUAUAUCUUGUUCAGGCAUAUUAGCUGCAUUUGUUUAGUUGGUUACUAUCUAUUCUUUUCUCUAUUAUGCCUGAUUUAGACCUAAUGGGAAAGUCGGCGAGGUCGGCGGCCGAACCCACUGGGAACUUUGUUGUAGUUCUCACCCCCCCCUUUUCCAUAGAGCCGGGACCGAGUGAGCCGGCCGACGAUCACGGUAAGUGUAUGGAAGUGAAUCCUCGGAAUUCGGGGAUUAGACUUCAAUUGGAAUCGACUAUUUGUCGAGCGUGUAAGCUUCGGAAAGUCCGAAGGUGAUUAUAAUGCAUAAAGUGCAUUAAGAAAGGGUCCGCGAGAGCACCAGUGCAAAACUUGCACUGGAGCAGGAUUGCUCUCGGGGACCAGUCCCUGGCAGGGAGGGACCGGUCCCAUCAAGCUGGGCUGCGGGGGUCUCUAGUGGUGAGGGACCGGUUCCCGAACGUUGGCCCAGCGAAAAUAGCCGAAAUUUGGCUAAGUCCCGAAAACUCAGCUUUCGGGAACCGGUCUCUCGGACAAGGACCGGUCUCCUGGGGACCGGUCUCUCAAGCAAGGACCGGUUCCCGAACGCGAAAUCCCCUUUGCCUGGCUGUGCAGCUUUCGGCGACCGGUCUCCCCGAGCUGGGACCAGUCCCUCACUGCGAAAAUGCCCAGAGAGGGCUGGUUCAGAGGAUGAAAAGUUGAGGGGGCUAUCUGCAAAAUGGCCUUUAAUAGAGGCUGGGGACCCCUCUCCCCCUCUUAUUUGCUCUCUCUCCCUCUCACACUUUUGCUCUCUCUCUCUCUAGAAAGAAAAGAAAGAGAAGAAGAAGGAGAAGAGAAGAAGAAGGAAAAGAAGAUAAAAGAGAAAGAGAAGAUCAAGAAGAAGAAGAAGAUCAUCUUCUUCCCUCUCUCCUUCAAGCUAGAGCAAGCUUGGAGCCUUGGUUUGAAGGUAAGCUCUAGACCCUCUAAUGGUAUUUCUAGGGUUUGGGAUUUUUAUUGUUUAGAAAUGGUUCGAAUGAAUCCUAGAGAAGAUAAGUAGAUGGUUCGGGCUCGCAAUUGAAGCUCGCACCACGGAUUUCUUCCCCGUUACCAUUCUAGGGCACGAAAUUGGGAUUUUGGAAAUCUAGGGUUUCAAUCUAAUCUAAUAGGUCACAAACCUAAUUGCUAGGUCCCGGAACGCGUCGGCGAAGUCGGUUUCUCGAUCCGACGAGCGGGUGCGGAGAAAUCGCCGAAUCGGGUACUUGAGGGCUCGCUUCGCCCCGAGGAGUUAGGGCGACGUGCAAGAACCGCAACGUCAAGUUUUCUAUCAUCGCGGCAUCACCAAGAGGUGGGUGGUGACCAUCCCGAAGCAACUGGGCCCCCUUCUAUGUCUUAGUACAUUUCGAUUCUUGCAUCUUGUAUUAUUGCAUUAUAGGAUGAUUGUGCAUUGCCUUUCCUUAUGCUUUCCUUGAUGAUAUCGUACAUUGUAUUAGAUACUUGAUAUAGUGGAUCGAUAAGGAUUGGGUCGAGACUUGUGAAUCCUAUAGUGCAGAGAAAGAGAUGGGCUCAAUGGUUGGUCUAAUGUUAAACAAAGAACGAGUGGCAUCUAGUCGAUAGUAAACAAUGGACGAGUGGCAAUCUAGUUGAUAGUGUAUAAGAAAACAAGUGAUACAUGUUGAACUUGGUGUAUACGACGCCUAUGGACUACAUGAUGGUAGUAACCCUAGAGGAUAGGGUACCCUAGAGUGGAGAGAAUUGGAUCAUGCUCACGGUCUGUUUUUAGCUUGUGAUGGAAGCCCCACACAAGAAGUGCGCUCCGGAGUUGGUCACGUGGGAUUGCCUAUUUUGGGUCCCGGCAGACGGUCUCGGUUCGUAGUGCGAGUUGACCCUCCCUACCUUCGAGAUGGCUAGUGAGCAGUAGGCAAGCUUUCAGAGAAGCCACGAGAUUAAGAAACAAGUAAAUGAGAUUGAGGAAUAAGUGCACAGCUUUACUUUUUGGACAUGUUGACGGGUUAGUUGCUUACCAUUUCAUUGUACAUGCAUCCAUAUGUUUAUGAUUCGGGCAUAGUAGUGUAGCUUCACUAACCUGUCUUUACCGCUUUGCUUAUUACCUAUUUAUCUAUCCGGUUAUCUACUUGUGCCCACUUGGACCUAGUGGGGAGACCGGCGGAGUCAGCGGUCGAACCCACUGGGAACUAAGGAAGUUAGUUCUCAUCCCUAUUUUACUGCAAGGCCGAGCGCGAGUCCACACGGCGAGGAUCGCGGUAAGGGCCUAGCACCCUAGUUGCAUUAGCUACCUACGUUUGCAUUAGCUUUACCCUGUAUUAUGUUUGAGAGUAGAUGUUGUAUAGGGUGAGGUUUGAAUGAUUGUAUUUAUAUUUUGGAAGAACGUAAAAGAUGUAAUUAAAUGUAUUAAGUUGAAUGAAUGUAAUAGAUAGCAUCUUCUCUCUUUAUGUACUUGUAUAUUUUCAUACUUGUAUCUUGCUCUUGGAUGCUAGCACUGGUGGUGCUCUUUGUGAUCGUGUAUUUAUGAAUUGAUUCCUGGGUAAAUUCUUAUACAUGAUCUGUUAGUUAGCCUUGGGCGUACAGCGGAGGUCCUGUCCAUUCGGCGUCUGUUCGACGCGCCCGGGGCCGGACCAAAUUGGUUGCGGUCUCGAGGGGUGACAUAUAAAGUGGUAUUAGAGCCCAAGAGCAAGUAAAUAGAGAGUCUAGGAUGACCUAGGAGACCCUAGGUUGGUAAACCCUAAGCCCUUGUUUGGUUAGGGGUUAAGGGGCGGAAUAACCCCUUAACCCCCAUUUUAUCCCCAAACACCCCAAAAAAUAGGUGGGGUUAGCUAACCCUACCUAACCCCACCUCAAAUAAAUUAUCCCGGGUUAGCUAACCCCAUCUAACCCCACCAAACUCCAACCAAACACUAUUUUCUAUUCAUAAUAACCCACUAUCUUUCUUAUCACACCUACUCCAACCAAUCAUUAUCCUUCUUUAUCAAUCAUUAUCUUCUUAUCCCACCUACCCAACCAAACACUAUUUUUCAUUAUUCUAGACUAACUCCAACCCCCAACCAAACACAAAAAAACUUUAACCCCACUUUAACCCUGAACUUAACUCUAUUCCUGGAAUAGCUACUUUUUCCUUAACCCCGAACCAAACGGAGACUAAGGUUAUAGGGGCGUGAGUGAACGUGGACCCGUGGCGGUGGCGAAAGUUGAUUGAUUGGGUCGAAGUUGAUGUUAUGUCUCUAGCUGUGAAUAGAGACGGAUCCAAGUGACACUAGUUUCUUGGCUCGUAGUGGUUGUGUCGGCGGUCGACAACGCAACACUAAGAGUCCAACACUAGAGCACUUGCGAGCUUCCGCCCGAUUUCAUUGUCAAGUCAUUUAGUUUCGCGAACGUUGAGAAGUUAUCGGGUUAAGGUAACUGACCGGGUUGUUGCUUUUCAGGAGCAAAUGUCCCCAAGGCAUUACGUACGCAGGUCUGCUCCGGUACCGCCUCCUGCGGAGCCCGAGCAGCCAAGAUCGGAGAAGAUGCAGGAGCUGCGGGAGCAGGUUGCUGCAAUGUUGGGCGCGAUGCAGCGCCAGGAGGCCCGAUUCGAGCAACUCUAGGAAGUUGUGGAGCGGCAAGCGGCAGCGGCGGCGGCCGCGACAGCGGCAGGAAAUCGCGAUCCGCCCGCACCUUCGGCACGCGCGCCGGUAGCGGCUGAGGGUGAGGGCAUAGCGGCGGUUCCGAUGGCGGCAGUUCCCCCGCCGGCAAGUGCACCUCCAACAGCUUCGGGUUCGUCGACACUUGAUACGGCGGCUGACGAAGUGAGCGGGAACGUGCGCUGACGGCUCUAAUGAAGUUCAUGAAGUUUAAACCACCAACUUUUGAAGGGGGAAAGGUGGAGCCGUCGGUGGUGGAGUCCUGGAUCAACUCUAUGGAGACCCUCUUUGAGGACUUGUACAUCCCGGAGAAGGAUAAGGUGCCCCUCGCCACCCAUUGCCUCGAUAAGGCGGCGAAGGUAUGGUGGAAGUGGUUGAAGCGGGAUCGACCCUCUUACCUUCCACCAAUGCUCUUGGAGGAGUUUAAGAAGGAGAUGUUCGGAAAUUACUUCCCCGACACCGAGAAGCGGAAGUUGAAGGAGAAGUUUCGCAAAUUGAGACAGGGGGACCGUUCCGUGGCGUACUACGAGUAGGAGUUCUCCCAUAUCAUAGAUUGCGUCCCGGACGUUGUUAAGGAUGACGCGGAUCGAGCUGAGUGGUUCUUGCAGGGACUCCGGCCGUGGAUAUAUCGGGCGGUGCAAUUGUUCCAGCUCACGACUUUCAUCGAGGUCUUCAAUAAGGCGCUGUGGGCAGAGCAUGGAGAUGCCCACGUGCGGGAGGAACGCGAGUUGUUGGUUGGAUCCCAAGACAAGGGGAAGAAGCGAUCGGGCGGCGGUUCGGGGGGACAAUCUAGUUCGAGGAGGCCCCCGAAGUAUCCGCGGUCGCAGUCGUGGGGCCGUGGGCCGCAGCGGUGCCCUAUCUGUGGAGAUUGAGGCCAUCGGGCACCACAAUGUAGACAACGUCAGGGAAGGUGCUUUAAUUGUGGACAGGAAGGACACAUCUGCCACGACUGUCCGGCAAGGGCCUCGUCUACUCCAUCAGUUGCAUCGACUCCAGCGCCCCCGCCUUAUCAGGGAGGGGCCCCCUAUGUCCCCGUGUCAGCAGGGCGUGCACUGGCGCCACGCCAACCGGAGGUGACUCGAUCAGCGCCGAGCGGACGGGUGUUCGCCGCUCAGGCCCAAGCCGAGGAGCCUAUCCAAGCUGAGGAGCCUGAUGUUGUGGCAGGUAUGGUUCUACUAAGUGGAGUUCGCUCCAGGGCUAUGUUCGAUACGGGUGCCACACACUCAUUUAUUAGUAGAGCAUUUGCACGCAUGCAUGACAUACCCAUAGAAGCAAGUGGCAAGUGGAAAGUCCCGAGUCGCCAUUUAAUACCUAUACGGAGUGCUCGUCGUGUCCGAUGCAAGUGGGUGAUUGGAUAAUGCCCAUCCGGAUGUUGGAACUCAUUAAACUAGAGGCGUACGACGUCAUUUUAGGUAUGGACUGGCUCUCGAAGUAUUACGCCACGAUCGAUUGUAAGAAUAAAUUGAUCACCUUUCGGGAGCCCGGACAAAGGGAGUUUGUUUACCAAGCCUGUCAGAGUUCUUGCUUCGUCGCGACAGUAACGGCGACGAGAGCUAGGAAGUUGGUCAGUGGCGGUUGCGCGGCAUUUUUGGCGACCGUCGUGGAGGUGGACAGGGUAGUGCCGAAAUUAGAAGAGUUAUCGGUGGUGCGGGAAUUUCCAGAUGUAUUUCCCACGGAGUUACCGGGGAUGCCGCCGGAUCGGGAGAUCGAGUUUGUUAUAGACUUUAUUCCCGGGACGAUGCUAAUCUCGAAGGCCCCAUACCGCAUGGCGCCGGCGGAACUGAGGGAUCAGUUGCAAGAUCUCCUCGACAAGGGGUUUAUCCAGCCGAGCGUAUCGCCAUUGGGAGCGCCGGUGUUGUUCGUGCGCAAGAAGGAUGGCUCGUUUCGACUCUGCGCAGACUAUCGAGAGUUGAAUAGAGUCACGAUAAAGAAUAAGUACCCGUUGCCCCGAAUCGACGACUUAUUCGAUCAUUUACAGGGGUCACGAGUGUACUCGAAGAUAGAUCUACAGUCCAGCUAUCAUCAGUUAAAGAUUAAGUCGGAGGAUGUUCAGAAGACCGCGUUUCGCACGCGUUAUGGACAAUAUGAGUACACGGUUAUGCCUUUCGGGCUCACUAAUGCCCCGGCGGCGUUCAUGGAUCUAAUGAACCGUGUGUUUACGGCGUGCUUAGACCGAUUUGUUGUGGACUUCAUAGACGACAUCUUGGUCUAUUCGCGGAGUGACGAGGAGCACGCGGAGCAUUUGCGGAUAGUGCUUCAAAUCCUUCGGGAGGAGAAGCUAUUCGCAAAGCUGAAGAAAUGUGAUUUCUGGCUUCGAGAGGUUGCCUUCUUGUGGCAUGUGAUUUUCGAGGGUGGUGUUUCGGUUGACCCGAGGAAAGUCGAAGCGGUCGAGAAUUGGCCACGCCCGACGAACGUCACGGCGGUCCGAAGCUUCAUAGGCUUAAUCGACGGUUUGUGGAGGGCUUUUCGAAGAUCGUGACUCCGCUUACCGGUCUGACACAAAAGGGCGUCAAGUUUAUUUGGAGCGACGAAUGUGAUCAAAGCUUCAACGAGUUGAAGAAAAGAUUGACGUCGGCUCCAAUACUUGCCUUACCGGUGCACGGCGAGGACUUUGCAGUCUAUAGCGAUGCAUCCUAUCUGGGCUUGGGGUGUGUCCUGAUGCAAGGCGAGAGGGUGAUAGCUUAUGCAUCCCGUCAGCUAAAAGACCAUGAGAAGAAUUACCCCAUACAUGACUUGGAGUUGGCGGCGGUGAUCUUUGCGCUGAAACUGUGGAGGCACUACCUGUAUGGUGCACACUGCGAGAUCUACACAGACCACAAAAGUCUGAAAUAUCUAUUUACCUAGAAGGAGCUGAAUAUGCGGCAGAGGCGGUGGCUAGAGCUAUUAAAAGAUUAUGAUGUUGACAUUCUCUACCACCCCGGCAAAGCAAAUGUGGUCGCGGACGCACUUAGUAGAAAGUCGGCGAAGAACCUCGCUUUUGAUGUCACCCAGCAGACACCCCUAUGGCUGGAUAUGGAGCGACUGGACCUUGAAGUGGUUGCUCCUGAGGUCCCGACUCAAUUGAUGGCACUCGUUGUUCAACCGACCUUAUUGGAGAGGAUCAAGAAAUUGCAACCUGCAGAUCCGAGUCUCCAAAAGGUGCGACGCAACAUCGAGGAAGGUCGAGGUGGCGAUUUUAGUAUGGACGCCGGUGGCGCGCUUCAGUUUCGAAACCGGUGGUGCGUGCCUGAAGAUGAAGAGCUUCGCGAGCUGAUUCUGCAAGAAGCCCACCGGUCUCCAUACGCGGACCACCCGGGUGGCACCAAGAUGUAUCAUGAGUUAAAAACACUCUAUUGGUGGCCGGGGAUGAAGGCUGAUAUUGGGCGCUUCGUGGCGAAGUGUUUGACUUGUCAGCAAGUAAAAGCAGAACGCCGGUUUCCAGCGGGGAAGCUUCAAAGCCUACCUAUUCCCGUUUGGAAAUGGGAGGACAUAUCUAUGGAUUUCAUCGUUGGCUUGCCUCGCUCAACGGGCGGCCACGAUGCAAUUUGGGUAAUUGUGGACCGAUUGACAAAGUCGGCGCACUUUUUGCGGAUCCACACUACCUGGGCAGGAGAUAAAUUAGCGCAGGUAUAUCUUGAUGAAGUAGUGAGGCUACACGGGGUGCCGAAGUCAAUCGUGUUAGAUAGAGACCCCAAGUUCACUUCACAUUUUUGGAGAAGCCUACAGGAGGCCCUUCGCACACGGCUCGAUUUUAGCACUGCAUUUCAUCCCCAAACAGACGGACAAACUAAAAGAACCAUUCAGACUCUGGAGGACAUGUUGUGAGCUUGUGUCAUCGACUACAAAGUGGGUUGGUGUAGGUACCUAGCAAUGGCCGAGUUCGCCUACAACAACAGUUAUCACACUAGUGUGGAGAUGGCACCGUUCGAGGCCCUUUAUGGGCGAAAGUGCCGAUCUCCCAUUUAUUGGAGCGAUGUGGGCGAGAGCACGGAAUUCGGCCCCGAUGUGUUGCGAGAGGCGGAAGAGAAGGUCCGCCUUGCUCGCAAACGGUUACUCACGGCGCAGUCUCGACAACAGAGCUAUGCGGAUAGGCGCCGACGAGAUUUGGAAUUCGCGGUGGGCGACCGUGUGUUCUUAAAAGUUUCUCCUAUGAGGGGUGUUAAGCGAUUUGCCAUUCGGGGCAAGUUGAGUCCUCGAUAUAUUGGCCCCUAUGAGAUUUUGGAGCUGAUUGGGACGGUGGCUUAUCUGCUCGCGUUGCCGCCGAAGCUUGCGGAUGUGCACAAUGUAUUCCACGUCUCCAAUCUUCGCAAAUACAUUCCUGACCCCGAACACGCGAUGUUAUACGAGCCGCCGGAACUUCAGGAGGACCUGAGCUACGAGGAAUUCCCGGUGGCAAUUACCGCUCGUGAAGUGCGCAAGUUAAGGAAUCGGGAAAUUCCUUAUGUCUGAGUCCGGUGGAGCAAUCAUGAUGAUCGCGAAGCCACCUGGGAGCUCGAGGAGGAGAUGAAGGUGAAUCAUCCUCGCCUAUUUGAAGGUUAAAUUGAGGUAUGAGUUUAGAAUUUGGAAUUCUAAUUAAGUUUGGUAGUAUUGAGUUUGUUUCGAGGACGAAACUCUGUUAAGGUGGGGAGGAUGUAAGGAAGUGAAUCCUCGGAAUUUGGGGAUUAGACUUCGAUUGGAAUCUACUAUUUGUCGAGCGUGUAAGCUUCGGAAAGUCCGAAGGUAAUUAUAAUGCAUAAAGUGCAUUAAGGAAGGGUCCGCGAGAGCACUAGUGCAAAACUUGCACUGGAGCAGGAUUACUCUUGGGGACCGGUCCCUGGCAGGGAGGGACCGGUCCCCUCAGGCUGGGCUGCGGGGGUCUCUGAUGAGACCGGUCCCUGGUGGUGAGGGACCGAUUCCCAAACGUUGGCCCAGCGAAAAUAGCCGAAAUUUGGCUAAGUCCCGAAAACUCAGCUUUCGGGAACCGGUCUCUCGGACAAGGACCGGUCUCCCGGGGACCGGUCUCUCAAGCAAGGACCGGUUCCCAAACACGAAAUCCCCUCUGCCUGGCUGUGCAGCUUUCGAGGACCGGUCUCCCCGAGCUGGGACCGGUCCCUCACUGCGAAAAUGCCCAGAGAGGGCUGGUUCAGAGGAUGAAAAGUUGAGGGGGCUAUCUGCAAAAUGGCCUUUAAUAGAGGCUGGGGACCCCUCUCCCCCUCUCAUUUGCUCUCUCUCCCUCUCACACUUUUGCUCUCUCUCUCUCUAGAAAGAAAAGAAAGAGAAGAAGAAGGAAAAGAAGAGAAAAGAGAAAAAGAAGAUCAAGAAGAAGAAGAAGAUCAUUUUCUUCCCUCUCUCCUUCAAGCUAGAGCAAGCUUGGAGCCUUGGUUUGAAGGUAAGCUCUAGACCCUCUAAUGGUAUUUCUAGGGUUUGGGGUUUUUGUUGUUUAGAAAUGGUUCGAAUGGAACCUAGAGAAGAUAAGUAGAUGGUUCGGGCUCGCAAUUGAAGCUCGCACCACGGAUUUCUUCCCCGUUGCCAUUCUAGGGCACGAAAUUGGGAUUUUGGAAAUCUAGGGUUUCGAUCUAAUCUAAUAGGUCGCAAACCUAAUUGCUAGGUCCCGGAACGUGUCGGCGAAGUCGGUUUCUCGAUCCGACGAGCGGGUGCGGAGAAAUCGCCGAAUUAGGUACUUGAGGGCUCGCUUCGCCCCGAGGAGUUAGGGCGACGUGCAAGAACCGCAACGUCAAGUUUUCUAUCAUCGCGGCAUCACCAAGAGGUGGGUGGUGACCAUCCCGAAGCAACUGGGCCCCCUUCUAUGUCUUAGUACAUUUCGAUUCUUGCAUCUUGUAUUAUUGCAUUAUAGGAUGAUUGUGCAUUGCCUUUCCUUAUGCUUUCCUUGAUGAUAUCGUACAUUGUAUUAGAUACUUGAUAUAGUGGAUCGAUAAGGAUUGGGUCAAGACUUGUGAAUCCUAUAGUGCAGAGAAAGAGAUGGGCUCAAUGGUUGGUCUAAUGUUAAACAAAGAACGAGUGGCAUCUAGUCGAUAGUAAACAAUGGACGAGUGGCAAUCUAGUUGAUAGUGUAUAAGAAAACAAGUGAUACAUGUUGAACUUGGUGUAUACGACGCCUAUGGACUACAUGAUGGUAGUAACCCUAGAGGAUAGGGUACCCUAGAGUGGAGAGAAUUGGAUCAUGCUCACGGUCUGUUUUUAGCUUGUGAUGGAAGCCCCACACAAAAAGUGCGCUCCGGAGUUGGUCACGUGGGAUUGCCUAUUUUGGGUCCCGGCAGACGGUCUCGGUUCGUAGUGCGAAUUGACCCUCCCUACCUUCGAGAUGGCUAGUGAGCAGUAGGCAAGCUUUCAGAGAAGCCACGAGAUUAAUAAACAAGUAAAUGAGAUUGAGGAAUAAGUGCAUAGCUUUACUUUUUGGACAUGUUGACGGGUUAGUUGCUUACCAUUUCAUUGUACAUGCAUCUAUAUGUUUAUGAUUCGGGUAUAGUAGUGUAGCUUCACUGUCCUAUCUUUACCGCUUUGCUUAUUACCUAUUUAUCUAUCCGGUUAUCUACUUGUGCCCACUUGGACCUAGUGGGGAGACCGGCGGAGUCGGCGGCCGAACCCACUGGGAACUAAGGAAGUUAGUUCUCACCCCCAUUUUACUGUAGGGCCGAGCGCGAGUCCACACGGCGAGGAUCGCGGUAAGGGCCUAGCGCCCUAGUUGCAUUAGCUACCUACCUUCGCAUUAGCUUUACCCUGUAUUAUGUUUGAGAGUAGAUGUUGUAUAGGGUGAGGUUUGAAUGAUUGUAUUUAUAUUUUGGAAGAACGUAAAAGAUGUAAUUAAAUGUAUUAAGUUGAAUGAAUGUAAUAGAUAGCAUCUUCUCUCUUUAUGUACUUGUAUAUUUUCAUACUUGUAUCUUGCUCUUGGAUGCUAGCACUGGUGGUGCUCUUUGUGAUCAUGUAUUUAUGAAUUGAUUCCUGGGUCAAUUCUUAUACAUGAUCUGUUGGUUAGCCUUAGGCGGACAGGGGAGGUCCUGUCCGUUCGGCGUCUGUUCGACGCGCCCGGGGCCGAACCAAAUUGGUAGCGGUCUCGGGUCGUGACAGUAAGGGUAUCGCGCCAUAGACAGGGACCACCCGAGUGGGUUUAUAUUUUGGUUUAGUUACAUGCCCUUUUAUAUCAUCUGUCUUUUGAUGAUUAUAGAUGUUUAAAUGAAAGAACAUGAAUGAUGUAAAAGAAUUUAUAUUUGAAUGCAAAAAGUUAUAUUUUGAGAUAUCAUGUGAUAUAAAAGAGAAGAAAUGAUGCUAUAGAAAAGAAUGUAAAUGGAUAAGUUGUAUGCAUGUAUGUGAUUAAAAGUUGAUCAUUGUACUUGUAUAUUGUUAGUUUAGUACUCUCACUUUGGCUAUCGCUUGCCCUCGUGCAAGCCAAGUAUAUUUAUGUUUCCGUGGUGCAAAUUUAUAUACUUGCUCUGUACUUGUUGUUGAGCCUUGGGCGGGCAGGGGAGGUGCUGUUCGUUCGGCGUCUGUUCGACAUAUCCAAACUGACCAAAUAGGCCGAGCUCGGGGCGUGACAGAUAUAAUUGUAUCAGAGCGCCCAAAAGUGAAAGUAUACGAUGGACCUAGAGACUCUUAGGAAUGGAAAACCUUAAGGAUCUAGGAAACGUGAGUGACAUGGAACUAAAUUAUAGCGAAAGCCUUUAUGAUUGGGCUAAUGUUAGUAAGUCUCUAAUGUGGUUAGGGACUAAAUUUAAGUUGAUAUUUGUUUUCUAUUCCUUGUGUUAUGAUCGGCGGCCGACGACAUAUUGCAUUGGAAUGAAAAUAAAUACAUGCACUUGUUUGCUUUCGCUGGAUUGGGUUUGCUCGAGUAUGUUGGUGGAGUAACUAAUGUGAAUUGCUUCAUUUCAGGGAGCAAUGCCUCGUGGUCGACCUCCGACACGGUCUAUGCCCGAGGACCCGAGUGCGGCUCCUGCGCAACCCGGAGCAAGUGGCGACGGGGAGCUUCGGGAGCAAAUGUUCACGCUUAUUGGCAUAGUGCGGCAACAAGCGGAGUCCGUUCAACGCUAAGGGGAGCAAAUUCAAAGGCUCGAAGAGGCUUUAGAUCGGCAACAGGCGGCGGCCCAUGUGGGGGUUGAGCACCCUGCGCCCCCUACGGUGGUGCCGAGUGCAGCUGAGGGUAUGGACGCGGCGGCUGUGCCAGUCAAGGCGGUGCCGGCCAGAUCGGGAACCUCAAAUCCUGAUAGUGCAGCGAUAGAGGCAGAGCGGGAGCGUGCGUUGGCGGCUCUCGUCAUGUUCAAGAAGUUCAACCCACCUAUCUUUGACGGGAAAAAGAUGGAGCCGUGGAUGGUGGAGUCAUGGAUCGACUCUAUUGAGACGCUCUUCGAGGAUAUCUAUGCCUUGGAGAAAGACAAAGUACACCUAGCCACUCAUUGCUUGGAAAAGGCAGUGAAGGUGUGGUGGAAGCGUGUGAAGCGGGAUCGAUCUGCCGAUCUUCCACCUAUACUUUGGGAGGAGUUCCGAAGGCUAAUGUUUACGAACUACUUCCCCGACGCCGAGAAGCGGAAGCUACAAGAAAAGUUCCGCAAGUUGAGGCAAGGUGAUCGGAUUGUGGGAGGGUAUGAGCGGGAAUUCUCCUACAAUGAUUGCGUUCCGGAUGUUGUUCGACAAGAUCAGGAUCGGGCCGAUUGGUUCUUACGAGGACUCCGGUCGAGGAUCUAUGAAAUCCUCAAGCUUACGACCUUUGCGGAGGUCUUUGAUCGAGCUUUGUGGGCGUAGCAUGGCAACGCCUACGCGCGAGAGGAGCUCGAGUCUAUGGUGGAGUCGAGAGAAAAAGGGAAGAAGCGGGCGACGGGUGGUGCCGAGGGCCGGCCGAAUGCAAAGAAACCCCCUCGGUAUCCCCGGCAGCAGUCGAGGAAUUGGAGACCUUCUUGUUGUCCUAUUUGCAGCGGUGAUCAUCGACCGCCGGCAUGCCCGCAAUGUGAGGGAAAGUGUUACAAGUGCGGCCAAGCGGGGCAUAUGGCCCGGGAGUGCCCGAGUUGGGGGUCGCCUGCACCGACGGCGGCAUCAGUUCCUUCUACCCCGAGACAGCUUGCGGGCUUACCACCAGCUAUGUCGGCUGGACGCUCAUCAGCACCGCGUCAGCCGGAGGAAUCACGAGCACCGAGUGGGCGGGUGUUUGCCACUCAGGUGGAGGAGCAGCCUGCAAUUCCUAACGAUGUCGUGGCAAGUAUAAUCUUGAUCAAUGGCACUAGAGCUAAAGCUUUAUUCAACAUAGGUGCAUCUUAUUCAUUUAUUGGUGCAUCAUUUGCAAAAACUCAUGGCAUAGAGAUAUCUCAUAACGAGGAUUAUUGGUGGGUGAAUGCUCCAGAGCAUUCGUUCAGUGUUCAUAACGAGUGCUUGGCUUGUUCAAUUCAGAUAGGUGAUUAGAUUAUGCCAAUAGACCUACUAGUGCUAGAUCGAAUGUGGGGCUUCGACGUAAUCUUGUGGAUCACUUGGCUCUCCAAGUAUUAUGCGGUUAUAGAUUGUGAAAGCAAGGUGAUCACAUUUCGUGAGCCGAAUCAAGAAGAGUUAGUAUAUCGAGCUUGUAAAAGCUCGUGCUUCGCAGCGACCGUAUCGGCGGCGAAGGCGAGAAAAAUGAUUAAAGGUGGAUAUGUAGCCUACUUGGCGACAAUGGUAGAAGCCCAAAAGGAGCACCCGGAACUUGGUGAUAUUCAGGUAGCAUGUGAGUUUCCAGACAUAUUUCCGACGAAGUUACCGGGAUUGCCACGAGACCGGGAGAUUGAGUUCGUUAUUGAUUUGAUUCCUGGGGCGGUGCCAAUUUCGAAGGCUUCAUAUAGAAUGGCACCGGCGGAGCUAAAGGAGCUAAAGGCAACGGUUGCAAGACUUGCUCGAUAAAGGCAUUGUGAGGCCGAGCAUGUCACCGUGGGGAGCUCCGGUGCUAUUUGUAAAGAAGAAGGAUGGCACACUUCUACUUUGCGUGGACUAUCGUGAGUUGAAUAAGGUCACAAUUAAGAACAAGUACCCGUUACCUGAAAGUUUUGAGGAGCCCAAGGAUCUAUCUAGAUUGUAUCUAUCACCUAGAAGGGGGUGAUUAGGUGAAAUAGCCAAAAAACCACAAAUCUCAAUGCGAUAAAAAAUAAAUGUGAAAAAUAAAAAAAUCACACCGAGAUUUACGUGGAAAAACUCCAAUUUGGAGAAAAACCCACGGGACCAACACGCGAAGAAACAAUCCACUAAGAGAAAAAAUUACAUGGUGAUUACCGACUCCACGGACUCAACCUCUCUUAACCUCCUAUGGACCUCGCGCAAUCCUCCGGGUUGUCCACGCCCUCACGUUUGAAUCCACGAACGCCUCCACUCCGAAUCCACGAAGCUUCAAUCAUGCCGAAUCCACGACGCCACUCGAAUCCACGAGCCCACGAUCCGAAUCCACGAACCGCCGUCAAACACGCCGAAUCCACGACGCCACCAUGAAGAAUAUCAUGAAUAUGGUGAUCCUUCGCUUAGGAGUAUCGUAGAAAACCAGGGAAUAGAACUCCAAGCAAAGCGGAGAUCAAAUCGACAUAUUAAUAUCAAAUUUCAAUAUCUCAAUUUGAUCUAAAAGAGGCUUUUUGUAGAAAAUAGGUUUUAGAUGAAAUCCGAGCCUCUAGGGUUUCUCAAAUAUGUAUUUUCGUGAUCCUUGAUGUGUUAGAGAACCCCAAUAGCUUAUUUAUAGACUUUAGAUUCAAUUGGAGUCAGAUUAGAAAGUUUUCACGAUUUUACACUGUGUACGGGUACGCGAAAUGCUGUCACCGGUUACACAAUGACGGAACGAAAAUUUGCAUUGCCAAUGUUGAUGGCUGUACCGGUACGGGGCAAUUGCUGUACCGGUACACAAUUGCAAAUUUUUGGAUUUUACACUAUUUCGGGUUCCGCAAAGUUCCGAGGCACUUUCUAAUCCAUUAAACUUUGAUUAAAUGAUUCUAAUGCCUAUAACUAAGUAUGAACCACCAUAACAUGAAUUAAAACUUUACCUGAGCAUCGUGAUUCAAGUUUUGCGUGUUUUGCGUCCUUUCCGAUUCUUCGAAGUCUUGAAUUCUUCGAUCUUCAAUACUCCGCUCCGGACUUCUUCAAGACUCCGACUAGACCCACGAAACUUGCCAACACAUAAGACCUAACAAUCUCCCCCUUUGGCAAUUUCGUGACAAAACUCAAACUCAACAAUUACAUUGUAAAAAGAAAACGAAGUUCAAUUGUCAUCACCAAAACAUUGAACUCCUCGCGUGUAGUCCAAAUACAAAUUGAGAAUCAAAAUUACAUUUAAAACUCCUAAAACAGACUCUAUGACUUAGACGCAACUAGAAGUCUUGAAGUCUUGAUUUCCUGUAAAACAAUUCAUUAAAAAAUGAUUAACCUUAAAUUAUUAUACCUUCUCCCCCUUUGUUUUUGAUGAUCACAUCUCCCCCUUUGUUCUUGAAUUCAUCCUCAUCUCCUUUGAUUUCGAUCAACACUUGUUCAUCUAUACUCUCCCCCUUUUUGUCAAAAAUUGCCAAAGAUAAAGCAUACAAAGAGAGAAAACAUAGUAGAAAUCAUAUAGGAAUUUUUAGAGAGUGAAAGAGAGCGAUUUGAUUACGGAUUUUGGAGAGAAAUAAAUAAUUGAACCGUUUAAUAAAUUCUGUCAUGCGGUACUAAAACCUGUAUGCCAGAAUUUAAAAAUUUUGCCUCAAAAUGCUUCAUAAUAAAAUUAAUUUUAUAAAAAUUAAAGAUUUUACUCCAAAAAUUAUUAUGAUGAAAUUAAUUAUUAUAAGAUUUCAAAAUACAUCGAAACAUCAAAAUUUGUUAUUAUAAAUGACCUCAAGUUUCAAAAUCAUCAAGAUGUAAUGGUUCAUGAAAAAUGAUAUUUAGAAAUUCGGCAAAAUUGACACCAAUUUGUCGCAAUCCGUUCAAAAUAGAGAUUUAACUAAUUUGAUACCGGGGGUGGCUCUUUGAGCAUCUUUUUCAAACUAACACCUUAUAACUCCGAAAAUUCUAAAAUAUUCAUUUUUUUUCCAACCUUUUCGGCUUUUCAAUUAAUCUUCAUGUGGUAGCUUCACACACUUGCCGGACAACCGAGGUUGUAGCUCUUUCCUACAUGUGGUGGUAGUUUUCACACUCCUUUUAGGACGUAACUCUUUCCACAUCUUUUAAACAUAGGAGUUUCUUUUUCUCCCUUUUUCUUAAUUUCAAACUCCCCCUAAAUUAGACAAUCUCACAAUUGAAAAUAAUUUUGAUGAAUUUUAGUCAAUUAGAGAAUAUCCAUUCAUCAUAUCCAACACUCACAACCAAGAUGAAUUAAUCACCAAAAAAUCAAAUUUGAUUUCAAAAUUUUGAUGAAUUUAUGAAUUAAGAAAUCAUAUAUUAUCUCGAAAAUUUUGAAUUCCUAAACACCUUUCCUCAAAAUGAUUUAUAAAUAAACAAAAAAAUUCAAUGCACCAAAAAUCAUUCAAACAUGUAAUGCAAUGAAUAAAAUUAUGCAACAAGCACCAACCAAAGCAUUACACUAAGGAUAAAAAAUGACUAAGACGAGGAGCAAGGAAAGAUAUCACCUUUCCGGAUCCAAACUUGUCGGAUCGUUGGUUUUCUCGACUUGUCGACGUUAGGUGCCGUUUGUUUAGACUUUUGAUCAACCGUUGGUGGUUUCUUCGGUUGAGGCUUCAGUUGAAUUUGUCGUUGAGGCUUAUGCACCUGUUUUGCAUGAACUUGGCGUUGUGCAUUAGAACUCCGGUUCUUUUGAGGUACUCGACUAACUUGAUUUUUCUUAUGAUUCCGCGGGGGAAGUCGAGUUGUAGAUGAUGUCGUUUGAGGUUUAGACAUUGCCGAUUGAUUCUUCUUUUCCUUAUUUUGGCAAUUCCUUUUAAUGUGUCCUUUCUUGCCACAUUUAUGACACACCUUCUCUUUCGAAGUUGUUGAGACUUUAGAAGUUAAUUUUGAAUCCUUUUCAACGUAUGUUCGUUCAUAUCCGAGUCCGAGCUUGUUUGUUUGACCCAAUCCGAGCAUAUGAUCUAGUUUCUUUGAUCCGAAAGAAAAUCGUUGAAUGUCGGAUUGAAGUUGACGAACUUGAUUGGUCAAAGACUUAUUGGAUGUGUGCGAUUCCUCGAAUUGUUGCUCCAAAAAUCCAACCUUAUCUUUAUAAGAUUUGAUCGUUGAUUCGGCUUCAUUAAGCUUCUCUUGGAGGUCCGAAUUAAUCUUCAAGUUUGAAUCCCUUUCCUCCUCAAGAACCUUAUUCAAAUUCUUUACGCUGUUGUUUUCCUCCUCAAGUUCCAACAAACGACGUUUCAACUUCUUGUUGAGUUUAGCCAUCUUCUUUGAUUCAAUGAGAAGUUGAUUAUACGCUUCCGCUAUGUCGUCGUCGUUUGAUUCCUCCUCACUUUCGCCAUUGUUGCUCGAAGAAUCAUGUGAAGAAAGAGAAAUAUUGGAAUUAGUAGCAAUUGAGGAUAGACACACAACGUUAGACGAAGGUAAGGUAGAUAUAGCAAAUAAAGCAAGAUUUCCAUUCUUUUUUCGUCACUCGAGCUUGAAUCACUUGAAGUUGUAUUAUCCCACGUCUUUGCUUGCAUAGCCUUUUUAGUAUAUGAUUUCUUUGAGGGACAAUCCGUUGCUAUUUGACCGUAGCCUUUGCACUUGAAACAUCGGAUUUCACCUUCAAAUUCAUCCUUUUCCUUUGAGGACUUUGCACGGUUUUUAUCCUUAGACUUUGAAGAUGAAGAUGAUUUAGACAAAGAUUGUCGCUUAGAUGAUGAAGCCUUGUCUAAUCUAUUCUUGUUCCGAAAAUUUCGACGAAACUUCUUCGUGAGAAGCGCCAAUUGUUGUUCAAAGUCCGCAAUUGAGGUCUCUCCGUCGGAAUUCGAGUCUCCGUCUUCCUCUUUCGUCGAUUUCAACGCAACCCCUGUGCUUUUAGAGAAAGACUUGGAAUAAGAUUGAUUAGUAAGAAAAGUCAUCUCAUACGUUUGGAAAGCGCCUACUAAUUCUUCGACUUUCAUCUCGUCCGGAUGCUUAACGGUUUCGAUCGCGGCAACUUUUGCCCGAAAGCGUUCCGAAAGAGUUCGAAGAAUCUUUCUAACAACCUUUGAAUCCGGGAUUUUCUCUCCCAAGUUAGCGCAUGUAUUCACAACGUCUUGUAAACGCGUAUAGUACUCGGUAAAGGUCUCAUUUUCGUCCAUAGAAAUUGAAUCAAACUUGCUAGUUAGCAUUUGCAAUUUCUGGACCUUUACUAAGCUUGUUCCUUCAUGCGUAACUUGUAGAGUAUCCCAAAUUUCUUUUGCCGUUUCGCAUGCCGAAACCCGAGUAAACUCCGUUUGCGAUAAAGCGUUGAAUAAAGCAUUAAUUCCUUUACCGUUAAACGAAGAUGACUCGUUUUCAUCUUUUGUCCACUUAUUCCGUGCUUUAGGGACGGUAGCGUUAUUGACAACUUCAGUAGGGUGCUCCCAACCAAAUUCAAUAGCAUUCCAAACACGCUCAACGAUUGCGAUUAGAAAAGCUCUCAUGCGAACUUUCCAAUAGGCAUAAUUUGUGCCAUCGAAGAGUGGAGGACGAUUAACGUUACCGCCUUCGGCCAUUCGAAAACAAUAUAUCUAGAUCCCGCUCUGAUACCAAUUGAAAGUUUUGAGGAGCCCAAGGAUCUAUCUAGAUUGUAUCUAUCACCUAGAAGGGGGUGAUUAGGUGAAAUAGCCAAAAAACCACAAAUCUCAAUGCGAUAAAAAUAAAUGCGGAAAAUAAAAAAAUCACACCGAGAUUUACGUGGGAAAACUCCAAUUUGGAGAAAAACCCACGGGACCAACACGUGAAAAAACAAUCCACUAAGAGAAAAGAUUACAAGGUGAUUACCGACUCCACGGACUCAACCUCUCUUAACCUCCUAUGGACCUCGCGCAAUCCUCCGGGUUGUCCACGCCCUCACAUUCGAAUCCACGAAGCUUCAAUCACGCCGAAUCCACGACGCCACUCGAAUCCACGAGCCCACGAUCCGAAUCCACGAACCGCCGUCAAACACGCCGAAUCCACGACGCCACCAUGAAGAAUAUCAUGAAUAUGGUGAUCCUUCGCUUAGGAGUAUCGUAGAAAACCAGGGAAUAGAACUCCAAGCGAAGCGGAGAUCAAAUCGACAUAUUAAUAUCAAAUUUCAAUAUCUCGAUUUGAUCUAAAAGAGGCUUUUUGUAGAAAAUAGGUUUUAGAUGAAAUCCGAGCCUCUAGGGUUUCUCAAAUAUGUAUUUUCGUGAUCCUUGAUGUGUUAGAGAACCCCAAUAGCUUAUUUAUAGACUUUAGAAUCAAUUGGAGUCGGAUUAGAAAGUUUUCACGAUUUUACACUGUGUACGGGUACGCGAAAUGCUGUCACCGGUUACACAAUGACGGAACGAAAAUUUGCGUUGCCAAUAUUGAUGGUUGUACCGGUACGGGGCAAUUGCUGUACCGGUACACAAAUGCAAAUUUUUGGAUUUUGCACUGUUUCGGGUUCCGCAAAGUUCCGAGGCACUUUCUAAUCCAUUAAACUUUGAUUAAAUGAUUCUAAUGCCUAUAACUAAGUAUGAACCACCAUAACAUGAAUUAAAACUUUACCUGAGCAUCGUGAUUCAAGUUUUGCGUGUUUUGCGUCCUUUCCGAUUCUUCGAAGUCUUGAAUUCUUCGAUCUUCAAUACUCCGCUCCGGACUUUUUCAAGACUCCGACUAGACCCACGAAACUUGCCAACACAUAGGACCUAACAUUACCGAGGAUUGAUGAUUUAUUCGAUCAAUUGCAAGGGUCACGAGUGUACUCAAAGAUAGAUCUUCAAUCGGGGUAUCAUCAGUUGAAGAUACGGCCCAAGGAUGUGCACAAAACGGCGUAUCGUACGCGGUAUGGCCAUCAUGAGUUCAUGGUAAUGCCGUUUGGGCUUACUAAUGCCCCGGCAGCAUUUAUGGACAUGAUGAAUUGAGUCUUUCGACUGUUGUUGGACCAGUGCGUCGUGGUGUUCAUUGACGACAUGUUGGUUUAUUCACGGAGUGAGGAAGAACAUGAGGAGUACUUGAGGACCGUGCUACAAAUACUCCGAAAGAAGAAGCUAUAUGCCAGGUUGAAGAAAUGUGACUUUUGGCUUUCGGAUGUCACUUUCUUAAGCCACGUGAUUUCGGGUGAUGGCAUCUCGGUGGAUCCAAAGAAAGUAGAGGCAAUUAAAGAUUGGCAUCGCCGGACGAGUGUAGCAAAGGUCCGCAGUUUUCCUGGACUAGCGGGCUACUACCGACGGUUCGUGGAGGGGUUCGCCGAAAUAACCACUCCGCUAACGCGCCUCACGCACAAGGGAGUAAAGUAUGUUUGGAGCGACGAUUGCGAUCGGAGCUUCGAGGAGUUAAAGAAAAGAUUGACAUCGACCCUGGUGCUUGCUCUGCCGACACUGGGGGAGAGUUUUGUUGUAUACAAUGAUGCUUCCUAUGUUAGUCUCGGGUGUGUCUUGAUGCAAAAUGGGCGAGUUAUAGCUUAUGCUUUGCGCCAAUUGAAGAAUUAUGAAAAGAACUACCCGAUUCGUGAUAUUGAGCUAGCGGCGGUUAUUUUCGCGCUAAAGUUAUGGGGGCAUUACUUGUAUGGCGAGCAUUGUGAGAUAUCUACACAGACCACAAGAGUCUCAAAUACUUGUUCACUCAAAAAGAGUUAAAUAUGCGACAACGGCGGUGGUUGGAGUUGCUAAAGGAUUAUGAUGUUACUAUCCUAUACCACCCUGGGAAAGCAAAUGUCAUGGCCGAUGCACUUAGUAGGAAAUCGGGGAAAAACUUGGUUUCGACAAUUACACCCCAACCGUUAUUGCAAAAAGAGAUGCAACGGUUUGGUCUAGAAGUAAUAGCUCCAGGAGUGCCGGCUACACUUGCCACGUUGGUGGUUCAACCGACCUUGUUGGAGAGGAUAAAAGAGUUACAAGUUUCCGAUGAAUAUCUCCAAAAGGUGCGCGGCGAAGUUGAAAGCGGUAAUGCUGAUUAUUUUAGCAUUUGGAUCGACGGCGCACUUCGAUUUCGAAAUCGUUGGUGUGUGCCUAAGGACAAUACAUUUGAAGAGAUUCAACGUAUGAGUAGGAUCCCUUAUGCCUCAGCUAUAGGGAGUCUUAUCUACGCCAUGCUAUGUACACGACCUGAUAUCGCGCUUGCUGUAAGUGUCACAAGCAGAUAUCUAUCUAAUUCAGGAGAGGAGCAUUGGACUACUGUGAAGAACAUACUCAAGUACUUCAUAAGCACUAAGGAUAUAUUCUUAGACUUUAGAGGAGGAGAGUUGAAAAUACAAGGAUAUACUGAUUCAAACUUUAUGUCUGAUGUUGACGAUAGAAAGUCUACGUCAGGAUGUGUGUUCUUGCGCAAUGGUGGCUCGGUGUAUUGGAAGAGUUUCAAACAACCAAUCAUUGCUGACUCGACCAUGAAAGCAGAGUAUAUCACCGCAUUUGAUGUAGGCCUUCUAAUUCAAGAAGUUUGUUGCGGAAUUAAGUGUAAUGCCAUCGAAUGCCAUAACAUUCUAAUGCGACAACAAUGUGCCAUAGCCCUAGCUAAGGAGCCCAGGUCUCAUCAGAAGUCCAAGCAUAUAGAGCGGCGGUUUUAUAUUAUACGCAACUAUCUCGACAAGAAAUACAUUGAGAUGCAGAGUGUAAACUCCAUGCAUAACGUGGUAGACCCAUUGACUAAACCACUUAGCUAGCGGAAGACUGAAGUCCACUUUAAGAAGAUAGAGCUUAGGUACAUGGCUGAUUGGCUUUAGUGCAAGUAGGAGAAUGUUAGAUGUAUAGCAUAGAAGCCAACCAGGCCGACACAUGUAUUCUUUCUAGGAUAUAAAUUUGUAUUUGACUUUAAAUUAUUAUGAAUAAAUUUGUGUUCUUAUUUUUAUUCAUGUUGUGAAUGUGUCCAUGAAUCGUCGAAGCAAUUAAUAAGAUGAUGACAUAUAUUCUCAAGAGUUGAGAAUUUGAGAUAUGUGUCAUUGGUGGUUAAUUCCUAAAUGCUCCCGAUCAAUGGAUCAUUACGGGGACGGUGAUUGAUCCGUUGAGAUUGGUGCAUAGGUCACUUCCCUUUUUGGAUAGACGAGUCUUGAGUCGAUAGUACGGGGACACUGAAGUGAAUAUGCAGGUGGUUAUUAAAGAACAAGGGUACCGAGCGUGACCAACGCGAGAAGUCACUUGGAUGUCUACUCAUUCGUAAGUGACUUACUCAAUAUUGCAGUAGUGUGACUGGUCCUUUGACCUGCGGUGUCUCGGCUAUUCACAAUGAGGUUACUGUAGUUUGACUAUACAUACACUUGGUCCCUAGCCAUUAUGUCACGCCCCGGGGCCGAUUUUAAAAGCCUUUUUGUAAUGGAUACAAUUUUUUGAAAUCAGAGUUGUGAAAAAACGUGCCUUUUUUUUUAUUCAACCUGGCCCACGUGAUGUACAGACCCGCCAGAAAUACAAAGUUCCUCUGUCCACUCAAGCAGAAUCUCCUUUGUAUUUGCACGGCGUACCAAUAAUACAUCAGGAUCUCAACCACAACCUACAUUUACAAAUCAACAACCAAUAUAUGCAAUGCAUUUACAUACAGCUAGCGAUCCUUAGAGAUGAUGCAUGUCUCUAAACACUCCUUAGGCGCUAGAUGAUGCGAUGCACAGUACAACAAUCAUCCUAUUUAAAAGUGCUUCCCAUCCGGACGCUUUGUUUUUGAACUCUACUCAAUUAUUGAUAAAAACAUUCAAAAAUCCUUUUAAAACUGUUUUUCACUCGAAAACUCUAUUUUGAAAACUGACUACCUCGAGGGGUAGAAAACCACGAUGCAUAAAUACACAAAUCUGAGAACCAAUUGUCCAUAAAACCAAAACCACAGAUCCAAAAUCCCCAAUCGCAUGCAUAAUGGAAAUCACUAACUCAAACAAGUUCACGAAUAUUCAAAUAUCAAUAAUAAUCAUCUAACUGAACCAUUUAUUUAUUUAAAUUAUUAGAAGUGGAAAUAAAUGUAACCCGGGUGACGGUCGCUACUGCCAACUAGCUAGAAUGUCCUCCCGUCGAGCCCCAAAGCCAACUCCUUACCCGAACCACCUGGGGAAAUGAGGGAGUGAGAAACCGCAAUCAAGGUUUUCCAAUGGGUACGAUAGAGCCAUGAAGGCAAGUCGUAAUCACUGGAAACCAAAGGAGGUAAAGUAAACAAGUAUAGAUGCAGUGAUACGAAAGAGAACUACAGUAGCUAUAACAGAUAUUGUAAGAAGCAAGUAAUAAACACUGCUACUGUAAGGAAUGCAAUACCGAGUAUGCCUCAAGGUAACCAAACCAAAACUGUACCCAAUCCGGUGCCUGCUAUGUUGGUCCGCAGACCUCAAACGCUGCCUGUCACAAACCUGCACCGACCUAAUUCACUCGCCCACUAGACGACCCAUCCGAAUAAGUACACCUCCGGUCGGUGGCCAAACCGACCUGGUGUCACGAAUACACCCAAGUGCUGUGACUAAGUUAUGCUGAUAUGCUCAAUGCGAAAGCCGGCUGAAGCCGGUGCCUUGGCCGAAGCCAGAUACAAGGGCAUACAACGCCGAACCAUGAUCAACCAGAUCGAAACACACGACAAAGGAGUCGAUGUGUUGUCUGAACCCAAGGUCCACAGAGAUACAAUAUAUAUAUGCAAGCCUGCUCUACAUGUCUAUCAAUAAUAAUCCUCAUGCAAUCAAUAAGGUAUAGAUAAACGAACGAUAACAAAGCAACUGACAUGUAGAGACUACAAUGCUGAAAUAGAAGAACAGAGGAAGGUGAAACGAUCUCACCGACUACUAGCUCGAAGCACCCACCUGUCACUAUCGCGUCAAAAACUGGGUGCGCAAAAGUCAACCGGACCUACGAAGAUCCACCGGGUCAGUAUCCAACCCACAAACCCAAAGUACACGACUCACGAACCCCCACACAAGUCCCCAAAAUCGGUUUCUCAAAACAGAUCGCCGUAACUCGCCGGAAGUCCCGAAAAUCUCACUGGGACACCGUCGGGACCCACUAAGUAUCCUGAAAUUCACCGACUCAUCCCACGAGUCACCCGCUGCCACAAAACACAUCGAUUUUGAUGUCUUGGCAACAAACACAAGAACACACAACCAAACAAUUAUUCCCGGAAGUGUCAAUUUUGACACUAGAACCCACCGUCGCUCACCCGUCAUCUCUGAACCCACAAUAUGAUGAUGGUGACCAGCCAACAAGUCUCAGCGACAAUUCACAGGGGAAACAAACAACGUCGGAAGAAAUCCGAAUUGAAACCGCAUUCCGCCGGUGAAUUUUGCCGAAAAACGCACUGAAAUCGCUAUUCGCUUUUCGCGAAAGCUAUCGAACCUUGGACAAUCAGUCCAAAGGUCACCACACACACAUACGUACUGCCUACAAUAGCCACAAGGUGCACAAUUGCAUAAAAGUCCCUAUAUUUACAUAAAAUCCUAUCAUUUCAUGUAAAUCGGGUGAUUAUGUGGCUCGUUAACGCAAACCGGGAACUUCCGAGGUCCGCCGAGACACGUACUGACAAGUCUCGACAUGCCGAAGGCCGUGCUCACGAUCCAGAGCACAACGGCUAACUAUGGAAGGCGCGGGAGCGACCCAAAAAUUUUACAAACAACGCGCACUAGGGGUAAACUGCACUGAACAAGCCGAAUCGAAAUUCGUUGAUCCAAAGUGAAGUGAGCACUGUGAUCGGCACUGACCAGCAAUCACCAUGCUCACCUCCGGAGGCAUCGGGACAGCCUCGGAUCGCCUGGAAAGCAUGCGCAAACAAGAAACAGUAACCAAAAGACCUUAACUAAGCUUAGCGGAGCAGUAGGGGUCAGGGUACGGCCGGCGGCGGCUCUACAGCGUGCGCGCCGGUGACCGACGGGUGCGGCCGACGUGGGGAGGCCGGGGCUCGCGCCGGCGACGACAGGAGGCGGCGGCGGAGAAACCUCAGCCCGCACAAGCCGAUCUCGGGCUCGGGGUGCACGCAGGCCUCGGCGGCGACUGAGGCGCCUCACGGCUGGGGCGAGGGUCGCCGCAGCUCCGGGGGAGGCAGCAGGAGUGGCCUCAGGCGGUGGCGGCACACGGGCCAGCAGCUGAAGCACAGCUCAGCUCGAUCCCGCCCAGGGAGCCCACAGGGCUAAAGCAGCACGGCGGCGGCACUAGGGGCGGCUCGGGGCGGCGACGACCGACUGCCUGAGCUCAGGGGGAUGUCGUGGAGGUGGACUAAGGCUGCGGCAGUGCAGGGGAGAGGUCGCAAGGUCUGCUCGGCCCGAGCAGACCUGGGGCGGCCGUACUCUUUCAAGGCGGCAGUGGCGAUGCAAGAAGGCGACGGGCGAUGACAGGGACGGUCGCCGGGCUCCGGGGGUGACGCCGGAAAGGGGUCGGAAGGGGAGGGACACCCUGCCAGGAUCUCGAGCAAUGAGGGGAGUAAACGAAGCCAAUGUAAGGGAGAGGGAGGGAGAUGGUGGCUGCGGCGGCGGCUGGCCGACCGGGGAUGAGUCGGCGGCGGCCGGGAGGCGCGCAGCGCACGAGGUGAGGUGGGGAAAAGAGGCGACUAGGGUUAGCUAGGGCUAGGGUUAGGGUUUCUAUGUGGUAAACCCUAGGAUACUAUAUAUAUAAGGUGGCUAAUUGCAAACUAGUCCUCCAAAGCUGGUUAAUUUCAAACAAGUCGUCCACAGCGUGAGUAAAACGCACGAAUACACUCCCACAUCCUAUUUCACGCUAAACGGUACAUAAAAUGUCGUGCUUUUCGCAAAAAUACCGUUUUGCCAUCUAAGACCCCUCCUCGAUCAAAGCGCAUAUGAGAAGAUCCGUCUAUCAUAUUUGUGAACAGAUCGUACCAGUGCGAUCAGCACGACAGAGACAACAAACUCACAAUUUUGCUUCGCCUCGUUUGGUCACGGAUUCGCGACAAAACCCAUUCUCUCUCCGAAUGGCGAAACUCCACACAAAUACAUAUAAUACAUGUAUUUUCAAUUUUCUUGAAAUCCAUGCGUCAAACCUAAAAUCCGUCAGCGCCAAUGGUUCCAAGAUAGCCGAACCAUCAAAAAUAAGCUAUUGCAUCGCUAUGAACGGAGUCCGAUACGCGCCAAGAGUAUAGUAACCGGACUCUCUCUCUCUCUCUCUCUCUCUCUCUCUCUCUCUCUCUCUCUCUCUCUAUAUAUAUAUAUAUAUAUAUAAGGACUGCUGUGCUCUCAGGAGCACGGAGGCCUCCGUGCUCCUGACCCGUUUUCGAUGAUGGAAUUUUCGAAUCGACGAUCGGCUCAGUUAGACUUGAUCUAGCGUAUUUGAAGUUUCUAGAAAAUAAUUUUUAGGAUUUUUUGAUAUUAUUUAUCUAAUGAUCGAAAGAAUUCAAAAUCAAUAAUUUUUAAUGGUUGAUAUCUGUCGUUUUCAAGUUUAACGGUAUAGAAGUAUUCAAAUCAGAUGACAUUUUGAUACAAAAUUCUUUAUACUAUCUACAACAAGAUUAAUAUUUCUGAUCGAAAAUUUUAGUACUAUAUCACCACUUUUUAUAGGAUUUUUAUUUUCAGCCGUUAAAAAUUGAUUGCUAGGUAAAUGAUAUCGAAAAAUCACAAAAAUUAUUUUCUAGAAACUUCAAAUACGCUAGAUCAAGUUUAACGGAGCCGAUCGUCGAUUCGGAAAUUCCAUCAUCGAAAAUGGCUCAGGAUCACGGAGGCCUCAGUGCUCCUGAGAGCACAGCAGUCCUACUAUAUAUAUAUAUAAUUGAGCUAGAAUACUUUUAGAAGCACCAACCCCUUGGUGCUUCUAGGUUUCUAACCCUUGGAUCAACUCCUUGAUUACUAAUACUACUUGAAUCAAACCCUAUUCCACAUACCACCACCUACCACCAUCAUCCCAACCCUACAUCUCACCGUCCAAGGGCUAAAAACUCAGAAACACCACCCUCUUGGUGCUUUUGAGAGUGUAUAUAUAUAUAUAUAUAUAUAUAUAUAUAGAGAGAGAGAGAGAGAGAGAGAGAGAGAGAGUGAUUGAGAGGAGAAGCCUCGGGUAGGUUGCCGGAGGGCAGCGUCAGCUAAAGGAUCUGCCGGCGUUGAGAAAGUGUUGCAACAAGUGGAGAAGGUAGUGAAGGAGGCUGAUUCUGGGGAGAGGGAGGGAGAAAUUUGCAAAAACACCCCUCAUCUAUAACUAUUUCUUGCUCAAAACUCCUCAGUGGUCCAUUGGAUGUAAUUUGCAUAGAAGUUUCUCCAACUAUAAAAUCUCGCAAAAUCAACAAAUAAAAAAUCGCACAUUUUGCAAGAAAAUUGGUGAAAAAUUUCAUCUUCAUAUCUAUACAAUUUUGCAUAGCAAUGUCCGAAUUAUAUGAAAAUUUAAUCCAUGUAUCCCUCUCUGACUAUUUUCAUAUGAGUCCUUCCAUUCACCAAAAUUCCAAGAAUUUUCAUGUAACAUGAUAACUUUUUCACACAUUACUCCUUUUUUCCAUUUUGUAAUAAUUGUACUUUUGUCCAUCUGGUUCACAAUUUUUUACACAAAACUUGUCGCAUGUCUGUUUUGUUGAUAGGUCCUCUCAUCUGUAAAAUCACAAAAAUUGUGGAAACCCUAUUUUAUCGGUUUCUCUCUCGUUUGAUUUUAUCUCUAAAACAUCCCUUUAUCAUGCUAAAUAGCAAGAAAGUCCAUUUCAUGACCUAUGUCACUAUCGAAUCUUGAGAGUGGAGAUUUUUGUUUCAUGAGAACUAUUCAAUUAUAUGAUAGACCCCUCCAUCUUUGUAUGAAAAUUAUUAUAAAGAAUCUUUGCAUUCUACACAUUUACAUGUUGAGACAUGAUUGCCCAAGUUAAGAGAACUUGCUUAUGACCUAGUGUUGAGUAACUUUAGAUAUAUGGUUGUUGACUGUGACACAUGAGAUUAAAGCUUGCAAGAGUUAAACUAAGCUCAAUUGGCAUAAGCUCGUGAGGGUCUCUCUCUCUGCUAGCUGAGGACCUCCAAAGGUGUAGCCAAGUGAGUAAGCGUACUCGUACUUUUUGAGAGCCAAUUAGGCCACGAGUGUGAGGUACAACCCCGUAUGUGAGGCUGAAUACUGUCCAUGUGAGGCACGGUUGUCACGCCCCGGGACCGGCGGAGGCCCUCCCGGUAGCGUGCCCAGACCCGCCAUAUGUCUACACAUAUAAGGCGUCUAGAAAUAAAGCGGAAGUAAAAGCAAAUAGUAGGACAAAUAGAAGAGGUGAAAUAACUAGCAACUAAUGAUAUCAGAGCGAGUAUAGAUCUAACAUCUACACCAAAGUACAGAAGUAAAGCUAAACAAUAAAAGGAGUCAUAAGUAGUACAAUAUCUGUCUCUAGUAUAAAAAUGGUGGUCUCUAGUACACUGGUAAACUCCUCAACCGCUCGCAAAACAGAAAUAUAAAUCGAGAGGUGGACCACCUAGCAACUCGUCCUCGAAGGAAGCUAGCUCGAAGCAACUCCCUUCCCGCGAUCCCUGGCCUCACCCUGCGCGGAAGGCUCUGAANGAUCUAGCCCAAUGUCUCUAAGUGAUGUCCCAACAAUCACUUGCUUAGUGCCUCUUUAUGACACUUAAGCAUCACAACAAAUCGAGCCCAAAUCUUAUUCUAUGUUUCAAUUAAAACAUUAAUACCAAUGAUUACCAUGACCCGAGCCCAAUGCCUCUUUAUGAUAUUGUCCCAAUUCUCAAAUAGUCCAAGUUCUCAAGCCCUCUCUAGGCUUCUAACAUUCCUAAUGUCACAAUUGGCAUAUAGGUCAAAUGCAUGAAAGCAAGAUUCAUUUCCAUAAUAGGAAUCAUGGUUCCCAAUCAUAACUAGAAUGCUAAGUCUCACAUGCAUGCACUCUACCACAUAGGGAUCUAAAAUUUCACUAUACAUAAUAUAUGCAUGUUAAGCAUUCUAAAAUUCAUAUUAAAUACAUUUAACAUGGAAAUGUAUGAAUUUCUACUUUGCGAAACAUAUUUUGCCAAAUAUGAGCAUUUCUCAUAUCAUAGGCUAGGUCAAACCCACCGAACCGUCGCGUGCUCCUUCGAUUCGCCGAACGGAGUUGUCCACGAGUCUCAAGGUACCCUAAAAGUGAUCAGCGAAGAGAUACGAGGGCAUUACGACCAACCAUAAGAUCAAACUUGAACAAACUUGGCAAAAGGGCUAAAACUCACCUAAUGUGAGGAAAAUCUCUCUCAAGCUCCAAAAGAGAGCUAAAACCCUUCCAAUCCAAGCCCAAGGAAGGUUCUAAACCAACUAAUUUAGCCCCAAAAGCCCUAGAUCAAAACGCCCCAAAAUCAACCCUAAAUCUCAUUUCUAGGUUCCAAGAGGCAAAAUCUACCAAAACAAGAAUCAAAGGGUAGAAUCAAAGUACUAACCUCUUUAGAUGCCUCAAAACAAGCUCCAAAUCUUCUAGGUUGAAGAUUGGUCCACCACCAAGCCCUACAAGCAAGCUCCAAGCCUUGCAAAGGUGGGAAAGAGAGAAAGGGGUAGAGCUCCAAGCUCCCUCAAGCUAGCUCCUCUUCUUCUUCUCCUCCUUCUUCUUCUUCUUCUCUCUCUAGAAAGUGUAGGGAGAGGGUGAGAAUGAGAAAAUGAGAGAGGGAAGAUGAGGAAAUGGCUAAUAAGCCCAUCUAGUGUAACAAAAUUCGGAGAGGCCCCUCAAAAUUUCAAAUUUACAUCAGCCCGAACUGGGCAGUUUUCGCCCAGAGGGACCGGUCUCUCCCCAGCAGGGACCGGUCUCUCGCUGCGAACCCGAAAAACCAACGUUCGGGAACCGGUCUCUCCCUGCGCGGGACCGGUCUCUCACUGCGUAGACGCGCUCGGGGACCGGUCUCGCACGCCAGGGACCGGUUGCCUCAAGGCUGCCGCAGCACUGCUCACUGGGGGACCGGUCUCUCCUUCCAGGGACCGGUCCCCGAGAGUAAAAACUCUCAGGCCUUGUCCAGAAUUCCAGUUUUCGAACUUUUUAGGUCGGAAAACAUUCUACAACCCUCCACCAAGUGUGGAAAAGCUCGAAAUACAGCCAAACACUCGAACCUCGCAAUUUGCAAAGGUCCAGUGCGUCACAACGGUGCAAGCUAAGACGUACCUCAGAUUGAGGUUAGGUAAAGCAUUGAAAUUAGAUAUCAUAAUAUAAAUUGAUGCAUAAUUGGAAAUGUUUUUUUUUUUUGAGAGAUAAGUAGCACGCUACCCGCUUCGCUUAUUUCAUUUAGAAAUAAACUUAGCUGGAAAUGUGAAUCAACCAGGAUUCGAACUUGGGACCUCGGGUACCAACCAUCAAGCCCUUUGCCAUUUACGCUAGGGACGAUCGGUCAUAAUUGGAAAUGUUGAGACUUAUUUUCUUCCACCUCGUGUAUUAUAGAGGCAUAGUAGUAUUGCUUUGUUAUCAUGCAUUCUUUCCGACCGUUAUUAUUUCCUACUUUUAUUACUCAUGCCUCAAUUAACCUAAUGAUGUAAUGCACCCCUCUCAGCGGUAGUAACCACUGAGAACUACAUUUUAUAGUUCUCAGACCUAUAUGUUUUGCUUUUUCCACAUAGCAUUCUUCAGCAGGAAAAUCAGGGAUCGUGGAAAGGAAGUCAUGUAAUAGCUAGAGCCCUUUAACCAUAUUUUAAUUGAGUAGAGGUCGACACUAUUUUGUAUUUUGGAAAACUAUGUUGGGACACUGAUGUAUUAAAUUAUAAAUCAAGUUCAUGUACUAAAUUUGUAAGAGGAAAAUGUAAUAGAUUUGUAUCUUAUUUGGGGAUGAUAUAUGAAUAGUUUAAUGCUUAAGCAUAGUUAGUUGUUGAUAACGCACUUGAUAGUACUCAUGAACUUAUAUUGUGUAGUAUGAUAAUGUCUUGUUGGUUGUUGACACUUCAUGCAUACGGGGGUGACCUUGUACACAUGGUGUAAUGUACCGAAUUUUUAAUAUAGAAGUAAGUAUAAAUAAAAAUAGUGUAAGAUAUUGUUUUUAUCGGACUUAAAGAAGUAAAAUAUAAGUCGGAAAUGACUUGUGCUGAAAUUGGAAUGAAAACAGAAGAUUUAGAAUUUUCUGUAAGAAACAGGGCUGAUAUUUUAACAGAAAAUUCAAUGUCAGAAAAUUAUGAAAAUUGGAGAAUAUGUCGAAAUUAUUUUUAUGAGGUGAGAUUUAAAGUUUCAUAUCAUUCCGACACCCGAAAAGUAAAAAAUAAAAUCUGACUGCUAUCUGCUAGAGAUUUUAGUCGGUAGAGCUUUCGGUGACCAAAAAUGGUCCAAACUGAAAAGUUAAGAUUUCGUUCUUCUUGUUAAUUUAAACCGAGCCUAACUGUCAAAUUUCAGCGCAAAUAGACAUUCAAAAGGGCUCCGGCGAAAAGUAUCAGAUUCGAACUGCUAAAUUGAAGAUUGUAGAGUGUUAGGGGGUCUAUAUGUAAACCCACACUCUUCUCUUGUUCUUGCCCAGCACGAAAGAGAUGAGAGGAGAGUCCUCUCUCUCUCUCUUUCUCUCUUUCUCUUUAGCUCUCACCACUCUCUCCCUCUCUUGUAAUCUCUCCACCAAAGAGAAUUAGUUGGAGGAGAAAUUGAGGUUUUGGAAGCUUCAAGGGGAGAAGAAGCUUGAAGGAGCUCUCUAAUGGUGGAUUUAGCUUGGAAGGCUAUGUAGUCAAAGUGAGAUUUCAUGAUUUAAGCUAGAGUUUGGAUUAAAUCUCUUGUAAAUGAGAUAUUUAGGACCUCUAGAUGAUUCUAAACUAGAUUGGUCAAAGUUUAAUCAUGAAAUUUGGAGUAUUCUUUUAGAACUUGAACCCUAGACUAAUCUAAACUACAAAUGGUAAAGAUUAGCAAGUGGAUUAGGGUUUUGCCAUGAAGUUUGGAAAACCUUAGGUUAAAAGAGGGGUUUCUUGGUGGAGGGUUUUGAAAAUAUUUUAACCUUUUGGAACCCUAAUUGAGGGUUAGGAAAUCAUGCGUGGUCACUUGAUUUCAAAAGCAAAGGUUGUUUAGUGGUUUGAAAACGGUAACGAAGGAUUUCUUGUGUAGGGCAAGGAAAGCUUGGGAGAAAACUUGGAAGUCCAAGUGGUUGGCCUAAUUGCAAGUGUUUACAAGCAAUUAGGAAGCUAGUAAGGUGGGUUGUGCUUCACCGAAGUGAUUAGGUCACUUCUAUGCCAAAGUGAAGUGAUUUGUCAUUGAUGCAUGUAGUGGUAGUUCAUUACAUAAAUGAAUGGAUAGGUAGAUGCCAUGUAAUUGCAUGAGAUGUUAUGUAUCGACUACCUUGGACGACAAAGUAUUUGCAUGUGACAUUAUAAAAAAUAUGCUAGAUAGUAUAUAAAUGUUGACAUUGUGAGAUCAUGCUAGAUUACAUAUGCAUGUGGACAUAUCGUGAAUAUGUGUUGGAUCCAUGUAAAUGUUGACAUUGUGGAUUAUGUUAGAUGAAUAUGCAUGUUAACAUAUUAUAGCAUUUGCUAAAUGGAUGUUGGCACUAUGAGAAUAUGUUAUAAAGUAUAUGCAUGUGAAAAUGUGAACAUUAUGGCAACGGAAAUGACAUUGACAUAACAAUGAGAACAUAGAGACAUUGUGACAUUGUGGCAUUAGUUAGAGACACUGUGACAUUGUGGCAUUAGCUAGAGACAAUGUGAUUACUCAAAAUAUGAGGAUUGGGAUUAGUGUUUAUCCCGGUUUGAUUACUACUAGUUGGCAGGGUAUCCUCGGAUUAGAAGAUUGGAUCAUGCUCACAUUACAUCUAUUUCGCUUGGCGGUAGUCGCUCCACCCAAGCAGUGGUCUCCGGAGUACUUCACGGUAGGGGCAGACGUAGUUGUCACGCAGACGGUCCCGGGUGAGUGUAGCGGACGUCUCCUCACGAUUUGUAGGGAUUUGGUUGUGAGCUGGGGCUCAACCUUCAGGUUAGCCAGAAUAAUUGGGUUACAAAAAGGUAAAUGAUUGGGCUCUGGAUGCAGCAAAGUGCGCGGUACUCCGCGUAGGAUUGACUCGAGACUGAGUCGGGUGGCUAGCUUGGUUGAAGUAAAAGAAACCUUAAGAGCAAAUGGUAAAUGACAUGGAUCUAAGGUAGAGGAAACCUUAGAGGUUAGUUGGACAUGAGCUGGAUAGCGAGAUAAAAAGUAGUAUUGGAUGAUCUACUUAGUUGAUUGCAUGAUUUGUAUUUGCAUAUUGCAUGUCUUGAGGCAUACGCAUUUAUUUAUUACUUGCAUAAAUAUUUGGGGAUAUCUGUUGGACUAACAUGAUUGCAGUGCCUUCUUUGGACCUGGUAGGUUGAGCUUUUCCCUUUGGGACUAUGGAUGUAGUUCUCACCCCACGUUGCUUUAAGGGAUUUCAGGUUCACACGCGAGCGGCGCAGUGGCACGAGAAAAUGGCGUAGCUCCGAGGACCAACCUGUAUGGCUAUCUUCGACGGUACGGGAUCCGGUGUUAUCUUCUGAUGAGGACCCGCACUCGUGUCUAGACGACAUACAGUGUGGGGCUGUGCGCGGAUAAACCAGCCUAAGCCCGUGCGGCUGUCUGGCGGCUUGCCUAUCUCAGAGGGGACAUACAAGAUCCGCAGCGUUUGUAUUUUAUGGUUGAUAUGAUAAUGUUCGUAAGUGUUUAAACAAGAAACGUAAAGGAUAUGGGGAUCCGAUACGGCUGAACCCCAUGACGAUAAAGACCAGAGAUCCCAUCCCGCGAUGUAUGNAAUUUAAAUUGUAUUUGGAAGAAAACAAAUUGUAAAUGUGAUGUAAAAUGCAUGUAUGUGAAUGCUUGUAAUAGUAUAGUUGGUAUUUUAUGUUUGCGACGCCUAGAACAUACAGGGGAGACUCUAUCCGUUCGGCGGUCUGUCGGCGUGCCCGAAUCCGACCAAAUAGGCGCGUGUCGGGGUGUGACAUACAGCAGAUCUGUGCUCACGCCCAGGAGUAGUCUUCUAUUGUGGCCUAGGGCAUGGCAGCUUCUAUCGGUAUGUCCAACCAGGAGUGCCAAAUUGUUUGUCAAAAAGAAUAGAAAAUUUAUUUUUAUUGAUCAAAAUUAGAAAAUUACAAUUGUUGAAAACUCAAGCUUUUCAGCUCAAAUUUUGUGCUUUGAUUUGACCUUUAUGAAGCACAUUAUGUUCGGCCGCUUGGCUCGGGUUGAACUUAGAUAGACGGGUUCUGGUGAUAGCUCAUGUUAGAAGGAAAGGAACCCUAGAAAGCCAGGAUCUCAGCCAAAACUUAUAUAUGGCUGAAAGAAGGAUGAUGUACCUCCUACCAUUUCGGCUACUUUUAAAACUACUGAUACUUAUACUAUUACAUUCAGUAGUAAAAUGUGAAAACUAAUAUUGCUCCCCUACUUUUUAUUGAAAUAUAAAAACUUACCUACUUUUGAAUCGUCUGAACAGUUGAUAAAUUGUUGUGCCUACGUGAUAUUUAUAACCGCCAUAGUCUGAAUCCCAAUUCGAGUUUCCUUUCAACUCAAAAUUUAAAUGGAAAACAAAAUCGUGUUAAUUUCAACAAAUUUUUAAAAAAUUUGUAGCAGAAUAUUGAUAGAUCAGGUGAAAUAUAGGGCUAACAAUUUUUUAUCCUUUUAACUUAAUUCGUAUUUGUGAAUUGUAUCCACUCACAUUUCUAAAACAUGGUUUUAAUUAAUAUUUAAUUAGUCUUUUUUGGUUUUGCUUGUUGGUAUUGCUUGCUGAACAAAAAUAGGAGCAAAAAUAUAAUUUUAUCACAAUGUGAUGAGUUUACACCUCCACGGAAAGGCGUUUCCUCGAAUAUCUACAACUAAUAACAAUAGCUGAUUUUGUUAUUAGCAAGGAGAUUUCUCCACCUUGAUCGUUAUGUACUUUUAUAAAUUUGAUUAAAUUAAAUAAAUUUAUUUAUCAAUAAAAAGUAUUUUAAUUGUUUCUUCAUAUAAUAGUAGUGUAGUGACCCGCACGAUGCUGCGGACUGAUACUUUGCUUAGUCGUAAAGAAUAUGAAAAAUUUCUUAUAGGAUUACUUAGUAUGUAUAUAUUUAAUUAUGGAAUAAUUGCCUAUAUAUCCCUUAUACGUUUGGAAAUAUCCGAUUUACCCCCUUUUUUUUUCUUUCUAAAAUAGCCCUAAUAUGUUCCACCGUUAUUGCAAAAUACCCUCGCAGUUAUCUCCUGUUAAGUUAACCUGGGUUAAACAUGAGUAAAAUAUCUACCACAGUUAAAAAAAAUUAAAAUGCCAAUUUUGCCCUUAACUUAAGGGCAAAUAAGAAAGGUUGGUGAUGGUAGAGGGGUAUAUUGGAAAAGACCAAAAGUCAAAAUACUUUUUGUGCCCCUGACUUUAAGGGCAAAUAAGAAAGACAGUGAUGGUAGAAGGGUAUAUUUGAAAGGACAAAAUAGUAAUUUUACAAAGAUAACAGAGUUACUUAACAGAUUUUAACUCUAAGGGUAUAUUAGAAAUAGGUUGGAUCGUAGGAGGGGUAUUUUCAAUAUUAACCUUCUAAGAGGGGUAAAUCGAAAAGUUGGAAACUUUUCAGAGGUAUAUAAGCAAUUGCCCCUUUACUUAUUUAUAAAGCGGUCAAUAGCAUAAUUAUCUAUAUUUGUGUAUACCAAUUUUACUAUUCUUGUCACACCCCGGGACCGAUACCAAUUUGGCCCGACCCGAGCACAUGAAACAGACGCCAAACGGACAGAGUUUCCCCUAUCCGCCCAAGGCUCAUCACAUGUACAAAUUCAAACAAGAAAUGCACUAGCGGAAACAUACAUAAACGGCUUACACGAGGGUAAGCAAUAGCCAUUAGUGAAAGAACGAAAAAUUAAACAUCUACACAAGUAAUAUGAUUCAUUUUAGAUCAUAUACAUUGCAUCCAUUCCUUAUAUUUAGUAUUCUUUGCAUUUCAUUACAUCAUUUCAUCAUCUCUUUCUUACAUCACAUUUACCUCAAAAUACACAUCACAUUCUUUUCUUUACAUUACUAAUCAUCAUGUACAAAAGAUGAACAUAAGGUACUUUACUACAGAAUGAAACCCGACUUUGGUGGCCUCUGACUAAGGCGCGAUACCUUUACCUCGGUCACUCGCCGGCUCGCUCGGUCCCGGCUCUGUGGAAAUAGUGGGGUGAGAACUACAACAAAGUUCCCAGUGGGUUCGGCCUCAACAUCACCGACUUUCCCACUAGGACUAACUCAGGCAUAAUAGAAAGAAUAAGCUGUAUAGUAACCAAUCUAUAACAUGAUGCUAAUAUGCCUGAACAAUAAGCAAGAAGUAUGCUCAACAUUAAAUAAAUGCAGAUUAUGCAAACUCAUUCGUUCUUUGACUUUACUUUGUACUUUGUUCUUUAUUCUUUGCUCUUUGUUCUUUGUUCUUUAAUCUCAAGGCUAACCCGGAGGUUUCGCCACAUUAACUUGCUUCACAUUAAGUCCAUCAUCGCAGGAACUCACCAGCUAGGACCGUCCUUCGGGUUUACUCCAACCCGUGAUGCAUAACUCCGGAGCGCAUCGCCCGAGGGGGAGCGACCGCCCUCGAGCACGGAACUCAUAGCAAGUAUGAUCAUAUCCUUAACUCAAAGGAUUUAUAAGUUCAAUCUUGACUUUACACUAGCUCUAGUGUUCUUUACAUCACUUUAUGUUGCAAACUCAUGCAAUUACAUUCUUUACAUUUCUUUACUCUUGCUAACUCUAGCAUUCUUGUUCGUUACAAUACUUGUUCUUAUUGCCCCACUUUACUUUACUUUACACAUUGUCAUUUUCAUCAUUCUUUUCAUCACUUUGGUUCUUUGCAUCACACUAACUCUAGUGUCUCUUUACUUUACAUUUUCAAAUGCCACUCGAUCUAUGUCAUAGUGUCACUCUGUUCUUUUGCUCACUUUGGGUGCUCACUUUUCUCUAAUGCAUACACUUAGGGUUUUGACAUUUAUUUGGUUCUCUACCAUCAUUAUAAGCAAGUUGUACUCACAAUCAUGCUAUCAUCACAUUCUUAUCAUUACUUUACCCUAAUAUGCAUGCAACAAUAUAUAUUACACAUGCUCAAAUGAAUGACACAUUAGGCAUAGAGAGAAGUUCAAUGAGUUUGAGAAGCACCACCCACCUCGUAGGCUUUCAAAGGUGCUCCGAUGAUUUUCUUGGGAUUUUUAGAUACUUCGUUCUUUACCUGCGGCAAAACAAACCCUUAUUAGGCCAUUUUGCCCAUAACAUUACAUUGGCUUUUUGUAACGUAAAUCCGAGCGCACCAACGCGUCGGAAAUACCCCUAAUUAGGUUUCUAGAGGGUCAAUUGCACUUAGAAACCCUCAUGAGCAAAAGCCCCAAUUUGGGUGCCCUAGCUCCAAUGUAUAUCAAAACCUAGGGUUUGAUCUCUUUGGGAAGCAAAAGUAGCUUCACUAUACUCUAAAUAGUCCAUUAGAACCAUUCUUAGGCUUUCCAAAACCCUAGAUUAUAUUUCACCAUUAGAGGUGGGUUGAAGCUCACCUUGAGCUCAACCAUGGUUUUGAUCUCUAAAGAAGCAAAAAGAAAGCUUCAAAGACUCUAAACAAUCCAUUAAAACCAUUUCUAGGUUAAUCCAAACCCUAGUUUGGAAUUUAGCAUGAGAAAGGGCAAAGCUUACCUCUAAACUUGCUCCUUUUCCAAGCUAGAGAAGGAGAGGAGAGGUUUUCUUCUUCUCCUUGUCUUCUUCUUCACUUUCUUCCUCUUCUUUUCCUUCUUUUCUUCCUUUCUUCUUCUUCUCCUUUGCCUUCUAGAGAGAGAGAGGGAGAGAAGAGAGUGUAAGAGGGUGAGGAAAUGAGAGAAAUAUCUCAUUUGCCCUCAUACAUAGCUAUUGGGUUGCAUAAUUGCUAAUAAACCCCUCAACUUUUAUCUCUGUGCACUGCCUGGACUGGGCAGUUUUCGCAGGCAGAGACCGGUCUCCCCGAGCAGGGACCGGUCCCCGAAGGUUCACCCUGCGCAGCCAGAGCAGCCGCGCGCAAUGCAUCCGGUCCCUCCCUGGUGGGACCGGUCUCUGGGGGACCGGUCUCUCAGACAGAGACCGGUUCCCGAGAGCUGUCCUUCCAGGACUUAGCCGAUUUUUCGGCUGUCUCACUCUGCACGCGUUCGGGGACCGGUCUCUCCCACCAGGGACCGGUCCCCGAGAGCUCAAAAUCUGCAGUUUUGCAGAAUUUGAUUGUUUAGCUCUCGAAAACCUCCCGUAACUCACUUUUAAUCACUUUAACACCUUCGGACUCUCCGAAGUGUACCAUCCUCGCACUUUGGUCAAUUUGACUAAAGUUCGAUAUUUACUCUCCAAAUUUUCGGUAUAUUACAAUUCUUUUAUUUCUUAUAUAUUCAUAUUGCAUAAAGUAGGAGAAACAAAUUAUUAUUUUUUAUAAGCAUCGCGCGAAGGCGGACUUACAAAUUCGGAGUCCAAUGGUUGCAGGACAACCGCUGAAGAUAAAAAAAUUUCUGAGUACAAAAAUCAAAAUUAUUUUUUUAAAAUAUAUAUAUGGUAGAUAAUUCGAAUUACAUAAAUAAGUGAAAUUAGAGGAACGAUUGCGACAAAAUAGAAUCAGAUGAAGAACCAACGAAAUCAGUGGAAUCAGAGGAACUAUUGCAGCCAAGUGGAAUCGAAGAUCUUCUUAGAAGAACAGAUGACCGUGGAAAUACAGCAGAAGACAAUGGAUAUCUUAAUAUAUAGGCAUUUAGAUGAAGGGGUCUUCUUAGAGAAAUAGAUGACCGUGAAAGUACAGCAAAAAACGAUGGAUGUCUUAAUAUAUAGGCAUUUAGAGGAAGGGGAAAAGGCAUAGAAUAAUUCUUCGUAAUCAAUAAAGACAAAAUCGAAGCGGCGAAGGAUUGCAAAAUCGAAGCGGUGAAGGGAUGCAAUAGAUAGGAACGAAGUAGCGGUAAUGAAAACUCAGAGUAGGAAAGGAGCGACAAUGUACCCGGUCAAUUUUCCAUUUAGAGGAAACACUGUUACGCCGCGAGAUCUGCCUAUUUGGUUGGAUUUGGGCACGCCAACAGACCGCCGAACUGACAGGGUUUCCCCUGUACCGCAGACAGAGUUUCCCCUGUACGUCCAAGGCGUCACAAUCCAUACAAUACACGAGGUUCCAACCAGGAACAGUAUUCAAGCAAAGAUUGCAUAAGGAAGUAUCAAAAACAUAAAUACAACUAUGCUAUUCCAAGCAUUCAUCCCAGGUGUUACAUAUUACAAUUUGAUUUACAUUUAACUUCCAAAUACAAUCAGGUUAUUACAAAACUAUUAUAAGUUGUUUCUUUCAUCUCUAUACCCCUAAGCUAAACCACCUCGGGUUACUGCUAUCACUGGUCAAAAUGGUAGGGCGCUAUCUACGGAACUACCCCCUUUCCUCGAGCCGCCGUGCCGCUCACGUGUGAACCUGUAAACCCCAAAACCACGUGGGGUGAGAACUAUAUAAAUAUAGUUCCCAGUAGGUACGGCUACCCAAGGGAAGAGCUUGACACAGCAGGUCCAAAGGAGGCACUGUAACAUAUUAGUUCAACAGAUAUCCACAGAUAUUUAUGCAAGUAAUAAAAAUACAUGUUAUGCCUCUCAACAUGCAACAUGAAAUUUAUGCAAUUCAACAUGCAUCAAUGUAAGUCAUGCAACUCAACGUGCAACAAUGUAAGUAGCUCUACAGGUUCUACUUUUUCAUCUCGCUACUCACAGCUUUUCCACAAUUGACCUCUAAGGUUUCCUCUAUCUUAGAUUCAUAUCAUUUACAACUUUGCUCAUAAGGUUUCAUCUACCUUUACCAAGCUAUCCACCCGACUCGGUCUUGAGUCAAUUAUCCGCGGAGUACCGCAUCAAGCCAAGCUCGAGGCGAAGGACGUCUUACAUGCACCUCAGCCUUAAAUCCACUCAACUGGGAUACCGAAUCCGCUCUACUAGGAUUCAACUACAGCUCAUAUGCCUUUCACCCAAUCAACUUGGCUAACCCGAAGGUUCUCCCUGACUCAGUGCAAAUCCCAUAAGUGAGGAGCUUCUGCUGCUCAACCCACCCGAGACCGUGCGCUGGACAAGUACGUUAGUCUAUGAGCAAGUACGUUAGCCCAUCGUGUGAUAACUCCGGAGCUCACUGCUUGGGUGGAGCCACCACCGCCAAGCUCAAAACAGACUAUGUGAGUAUGAUCCAAUCCUCGUCAACUGAGGACACCCUACCAACUAGAGCUAACAACGACUCGAAAAACCAUCUAUCCCAAUGUUCAUGUUCAAGUGUCACAACUACAUUAAGUUCACAUGCAACAUAUUCAUAUGUCACUCGUCUAUGUCAUUACUCGUAUAAGUUCAUCACUGGUUCUUUGCACUAUAGGAUUCCAUGUCAAGACCUAAUCCUCAUGCAUCCACUAGAUCAUGUGUCCAACUCACAUUUCUAUUUCUACAAUGGAAGCAUGCAAGGAAUUGAAGUACAUUCAACUAAACAUCCUACAAUGCACAACCUCAACAUAUGUAUACCCAAUGACACUAGGUUCAAUGCCACUCGAUCUACUUGACAUCCUAGUUGUCCACAUCGAGCAUUAUAGAUCAUAUGUCUUUGUUUUCCAAUGUCAAGUUCUCUAAUCACUUAGAGUUUAUCGACCCAAAGUAAACAUUCAUAUGAAUUUAGCACAUUCUACAAUAUGUCAAUGUCACGCCCCGGGACCGAUACCAAUUUGGCCCGGCCCAAGCACGUCAAACAGACACCGAACGGACAGAGUUUCCCCUAUCCGCCCAAGGCUCAUCACCUGUACAUUUUCAAGUAGAGAAAAGCACUAGCGGAAACAUACACAAACGGCUUACACGAGGGUAAGCAAUAGCCAUGAGUGAAAGAAAGGAAACUAAACAACUACACAAGUACUAUGAUUCAACUUUUGAUCACAUACAUUGCAUUUAACUUUCAUAAUCAUGAUUCUUUACAUUGCUUGCAUCAUUUCUUUUACAUCACAUUUGCCCAAAAUAAACAUUACAUUCUUUUUCUCAGUUUCUUUAUACAUAAUCAUCUUCAAAUACAAAAGAAGGUAUAUGGUGGCUAUUAACAAAAUGCAAAGCCCGACUCAGUAGUCACUGUCUAUGGCGCGAUACCUUUACCGCGGUCGCUCGCCGGCUCGCUCGGUCCUGGCUUUGUGGAAUAGUGGGGUGAGAACUACAACAAAGUUCCCAGUGGGUUCGGUCCCAAUCUCACCGACUUUCCCACUAGGUUUAACUCAGGCAUAAUAGAAGAAAUAAUCAGAUAAGUAGCCAACUAUACAAAUGCAACUAAUAUGCCUGAACAAUGCUAUCAAUAAGAUGCUUAAUAUAAAUUCAUGAAGAAUGCAUGGUCAUUGUUCUUUAUUCUUUUGUUCAAUCUCAAGGCUAACCCGGGGGUAUCGCCUCAUUAACUCACAACUCAAAAUCCAUGAUCGCGGGCCCUCAGCUUCCUCCCGCUAGGACCGUCCUCUGAGUAACUCAACCCAGUGGUGACAAACUCCGGAGCGCAUCGCCCGAGGGGGAGCGACCACCCUCGAGCAAGGACUUAUAGCGAGUAUGAUCAAUCCUUAACUCUAGGGAUAUUCAGUUCAAUCUGUUCCCUAACUCUAAGAAAUUUAUGCACAAAUGACCCUUAGCUCUAAGGUUGUAUGUCAUUGUGUCAAUCUCAUGUUCUUUGCAUUCUUUAUCUUUGAUCAUGUCAAUACACUAACUCUAGUGUUUUUAUACAUUCUUUACUAUCAUUCAUGUCAUACAUCAACUCUAAUGUUCUUUGAUGUCACACUUUGAUGCUAACUCUAGCCAUUGUUCUUUAUGUCACACUUUUUAUGCUAACUCUAGCAUUUAACGUUCUUUAUGACUCACUUAUUCACUUGAUGCCACACUUUUCUCUUUGAUGUCAUACACUAACUCUAGUGUUUUUAUACAACUUUAGGCUAUCUUUAACUUUCAUUCUCAACAUUUCAUUGUCCUCAUGUCAUAUGUCACUUGUUCUUUAACUUUACCAAGUUCUCAUCAUCAUACAUGCACAUAUAGGGUUAUUAUAUUCUUAUUGGUUCUCAACCAUCUAAUGAUGCACUUGAACUCACAAAAUGCAAACAUUCACAUAUUUAUAAUCUCAUUACCCUGCUAUGCAUGCAACAAUAUACUCAUGGAUGCUCAAGAAAUGACACAUUAGACAUAAAGGGAACUCUAACAAGUUUGGAUAGCACCACCCACCUCGUAGGCAUACUAGGAUGCUACGGUGAUUUUUUGAGACUUUUAGCCUCUUAGUUUGCUACCUGCGGCAAAACGAAGCCAUAUUAGGCUAUUUUGCACAUAACUUUACAUCGGUUUUUCCUAACGUUAAACCAAGCGCACCAACGCGUCGGAAAUACCCCCAAUUAGGUUUCUAGAGGGUCAAUUUCACUUUGAAAUCCUCCCGAGCAAAAGCCCCAAAUUUGGGUGCCCUAGCUCAUAGCAUAUAUCAAACCUAGGGUUUGAUCUCAACAAGAAGCAAAAGAAGCUUCAAUCUACUCUAGAGUCUCCAUUAAAACCAUUCUUAACUCUAUCAAAACCCUAGUUUGGGUUCUACCAUGAGAGAGGUUGAAGCUCACCUCACAAUUUCACUACAUAUACCCAAUCCAUGGUUUUGAUCUCUUAAGGAAGUAAAAGAAAGCUUCAAAUACUCAAAAGGCUCUACUAAAACCAUUCAUAGGUCACUUGGUUCUCAUUCUAGGGUUUUACCAUGAAUAGGGUUCAAGCUUACCUCUAAGCUUGCUCCUAUGUUGCUCCAAAGAGGAAGAAGAGGAAGUAGCUCUACUUCUUAGCUUCUUCUUCACCUUCCUUUUCUUCUUCUUCUUAUUCUUUUCCUUUCUUUCCCUUUCUUUCCUUGUCUUCUUCUCCUUCUUGUCUUCUAGUGAGAGAAAGAGAGAAGAGAGAGUGUGUCAGGGAGAGGAAAUGGGAAAAUAUCUAAUACACCCCUCAUACAUAGCCCACAUAAUGCACUUUUGCAUUUUCCCCUCAACUUCCACUUUAUUAAACUACCUGGACUGGGCAGAAUUCGUGCUCGGGGACAGGUCUCCCCGACUUGGGACCAGUCCCAGAGAGCUCUCCCGCAGCUCAACGGGGGCUUUCGCACGAGGCAACCGAUCUCUCCCAGGGGGACCAGUCUCUCGGGGACCGGUCUCUCCCCGUAGGGACCGAUUCCCGAGAGCUAGUUUCUGGGACUUAGCCGAUUUUCAGCCUUUCUCAUUUCUCACGCGUUCGGGGACCGGUCUCUCCCACCAGGGACCGGUCCCCGAGAGCUGAAAUUCUGCAGAAUGCAAAUUUUUGAUUCUUUAGCUCUCGAAAACCUCCUACAAUGCACUUUUGAUCAUUUUAACACCUUCGGACUUUCCGAAGUGUACUAUCCUCGCACUUUGGUCAAUUUGACUAAAGUUCGAUAUUUAUUUUUUGAAUUCUCGGUAUAUUACAUUCUCCACCCCUUAAAAUAAUUUCGUCCGCGAAAUUACACAUAUCUUAGCUUGUCGACUCAAAUAAAUACGGAUACUCUCUCCGCAUAGUCUCCUCAAGCUCCUAAGUGGCUUCUCGCACAGCAUGGUUGCUCCAUUGGACUUUCACAUAUGGAAUUCUGCAACUCCGCAGCUUUCUUUUUUCUCUAUCGAGGAUGCACACUGGGUACUCCUCAUAAGACAUAUCUUCACGUAGCUCCACGGGCUCGUACUCCAAUACAUGUGUCGAAUUGUGAACAUACUUUCGGAGAUUUGACACAUGAAACACGUUGUGAACUCCCGCGAGUCUCGGUGUUAGUGCGAGCUUGUACGCUACCGCACCCACACGCUUCAAUAUCUCGAAUGGUCGAACAUAACGGGGACUUAGCUUCCCAUGGACCCCAAAAUGUUUGACUCCUCGCAUCGGCGGUACUCUCAAAAUACGCGGUCUCCAACCGCGAACUCUAAGUCCUUUGUUCGCUUGUCGGCAUAGCUCUUUUGCCGAGAUUGCGCCGUCGCUAACCGUUGACGGGCAAGACGAACAUUUUCUUCCGCCUCCCGUACCACAUCCGGGCCAAGAGCCGUUCUCUCGCCCACGUCGCUCCAAUGAAUAGGAGAACGACACUUUCGACCAUAUAGUGCCUCAAAUGGCGUCAUCGCUAUACUCUCUUGAUAACUGUUAUUAUAUGCGAAUUCCGCCAUCGGUAAGAAAUCAUGCCAUCCUCUCUUGUAAUCUAGCACACACGCUCGAAGCAAGUCCUCGAGGAUCUGUAUUGUCCGCUCCGACUGUCCAGCACUCUGAGGAUGAAACGCUGUGUUAAAGUCGAGCCGUGUGCCUAGCGCGUCCUACAGGCUCUUCCAAAAGUGGGAUGUGAACCUGGGGUCUCGAUCCGAUACAAUUGAUACCGGAACCCCAUGAAGUCUCACAACCUCGUCGAGAUAAACUUGAGCUAACUUGUCUCCCGACCACGUAGUGUGUAUCGGCAGAAAGUGUGCCGAUUUUGUCAAUCGAUCCACUAUCACCCAUAUCCCAUCAUGUCUGCCUUGUGAUCGAGGCAAACCGGUAAUAAAGUCCAUCGCUAUAUCUUCCCAUUUCCAAACGGGUAUUGAUAGACUUUGUAGCUUUCCCGCCGGAAAUCGGUGCUCUGCUUUCACCUGUUGGCACGUUAGACAUUGCGCCACAAACUCCACAAUAUCUCUUUUCAUGCCCGACCACCAAUAGUGCUUUUUCAAGUCUCGAUACGUCUUAGUGCCGCCGGGGUGUAUACUAUAGGGAGAUUGAUGCGCUUCUUGCAUGAUCACCCUUCGAAUAUCACUAUCUUUGGGCACGCACCAACGAUUUCGAAAUCGGAGUGUGCCAUCGGCUCGAAUGCCAAAAUCCUUGGCACUACCGUUCUCAACUUCACCUCGUAUCUUUUGAAGAUAAGGAUCUGAAGCUUGUAGUUCCUUGAUCCUUUCCAAUAGGGUCGGUUGCACAACUAAUGCGGCAAGUGUAGCCGGCACUCCCGGCGCUACCACUUCCAACCCAAGCCUUUGCAUCUCCUUUUGCAGUAGCGGUUGAAGCGUAAUUGCCAUCGCUAAGUUCUCCGCCGAUUUUCUACUUAGAGCAUCAGUCACGCCCCAAUCCCCGCCAAUUUGGUCGAGUUCGGGUUACAUCAACAGACGCCGAACGGACAGAGUCUCCCCUGUCCGCCCAAGGCUCAACACAUGUAUAAUAAAGCAAUCAAACAAUGAGAUUAACAUUUAUACAAGGCUUGCGCAAGGGCAAGCAACAAUGGAAGCGAAAGCUCUAUACUACCAUAUCCAACAUACAUAAUACUUGAUUUCAUUUGAACCAAAUAAAAGUAAACUACAACUAUUACUUUCUUUUUCCAUUAAACAUAAUUCUUUACAAUUUAGUCAUCCACCAAAAAUACAUGAUUGUUUACAACUUUACAACUCUAAAUUAACAAAAGAAGUUGAUACAUGUAAAUAAAGGAAUGACUACAAAAUGCAUAUGUCCCGGUGGCCACUAGCUAUGGCGCUAAACCCUUGCCUCGGUCCUCCGCCGCCCCGUUCGUGCUAGGACCUGUAGGGUUAGUGGUGUCAGAACUACAACGAAGUUCCCAGUGGGUUCGGCAACCGACCUCGCCGACUUACCCACUAGGUCUAUCCAGGCAUAAGUAUUUCAAUGGAACGAAAGUAACCAAUACUAAUGCAACUAAUACUAUGCCUGCAAGAAAGAAGUCAGCGGAUACAUAUAUUCAAUGCGAUAAUGGAAAUGCAUGCAUGCUCAAAUCAUAAAUAAGCUUUGGCUCUUACCCAAUCUUACCGGUUAACCUUGUUAACCCCAAUAACUCAUAACCCAAAUCCCUUUUUACCGGGGAGGCUCUAAGCACUACCGACCCGAGGGACCGUCUACGGGGACCUCGCUCCCCUAGGUAACUAUUUACGGAAACUCACCGCUUGAGGGGGAGCUACCACCCUCAAGCCAAGACUUAUCAUGAGUGUCGAUCGAAUCCCCAACUUGAGGAUACUUAGCCACUAGUCACAAUGCCACUUUUAUGAUAGGUUUCUACCUAUUUGUUCAUGUCACUUUCUAGUCAUUUUUGUCAAUGCCAAUCUUGUCUCUAUAGUCAAUGUCACCUUGGUUUUCUAUUGUCCCGUCCAAGUCUCACAAUCAUGCAAUCUCUAGGGUUCAACACUAUAUGUCCAUCAUGGUUCCAUAGCUCUCUAUGUUCAAAUACGUUAAGACAAAUACAUAGUGGAAACAACCCAAGUUCACAUGUAAGUUAACCCUACUAGGCAUGAAUGGUGCUAUAUAAUAUUAUGCUCAACAAAGGUGAAAUAGACAUAUUAGGGAAUCCAACGAUUCCGGCGUGCACCCCCCACCUUCUGAGGUAGUAGAUGAAGAAUAUAGAGACUCCCGAACAUUACGAAUGCCGAAUCCGCGUCCUAUAGUCAAGAUAGUGCCAAAUUAGGCCCCUUUAUACAUGAACUAUACUUAAAUAUUUUCAUAACGUUAAACGGAGUUGUCCCACGCGUCGAGGACACCUCCAAUUAGGUUUCUACGAGGUCAAUUUGUCCCCGAAAAUCCUAGGACAAAAGCCCCAAAUUUUAAACCCUAACUGAAAGAUUUGAGGAGCCCAAGGAUCUAUUCAGAUUGUAUCUAUCACCUAGAGGGGGGUGAAUAGGUGAACGGUCAAAAACCACAAAUCUCGAUGCAAUAAAAAUAAAUGCGGAAAAUAAAAAGCACACCGAGAUUUACGUGGAAAAACUCCAACUUGGAGAAAAACCCACAGGACCAACACGCGAAAAAAUAAUUCACUAAGAGAAAAGAUUACAAGGUGAUUACCGACUCCACGGACUCAACCUCUCUUAACCUCCUAUGAAUCUUCGCGCUAUCCUCCGGGUUGUCCACGCCCUCACGUUCGAAUCCACGAACGUCUCCACUUCGAAUCCACGAAGCUUCAAUCACGCCGAAUCCACGACGCCACUCGAAUCCACGAGCCAACGAUCCGAAUCCACGAACCGCCUUCGUUCACAGCAAGCGAAUCCACGGACGCGUUCAUGAAGAGCAUCAUGAUUAUGGUGAUCCUUCGCUUAGGAGUAUCGUAGAAAACCAGGGAUAGAAACUCCAAGCGAGCGGAGAUCAAAUCGACAUAUAGAUAUUAAAAAUUCAAUAUCUCGAUUUGACUAAAAGAGGUUUUAUGUAGAAAAUAGGUUUUAGAUGAAAUCCGAACCUCUAGGGUUUCUCAAACAUUAUUUUCGUGAUGCUUAAUGUGUUAGAGAACCCCAAUAGCUUAUUUAUAGACUUUAGAAUCAAUCGGAGUCUGGAUUAGAAGUUUUCACGAUUUUACACAUGUGUAUCGGUACACGAAAGGCAGUCACAGUACUUAAUGACGGACAAAAUACAUGCCAAUGUUGAUGGCGUACCGCGUAUCGGACUUGCUGUACGCGUAACAUUGCCAUUUUUCCAAUUUUGGCAAUUGAUUCGGUUUUUAAACGUUUCCAGGCACUUUCCAGAUCAAUUGAAUUUGAGUUUAUGAUUCUAAUGCCUAAACUAAGUAUGAAUCACCAUAACAUGAUUUUAAAACUUUACCUGAGGCGUCGUGAUUCACAUUGUGAGGUAUUUUCUGAUUCUUCGAAGUCUUGGAUUCUUCGAUCUUUGUCAAUCCGCUUCGAUCCUUCAAGACUCCGACUUACUUCACGAAACUUGCGAAUACAAAAUCCUUAACAAUCUCCCCCUUUGGCAAUUUCGUGACGAAACUCACAUAACUCAAAAAUACAAUAAAAUAUUCGAAGUUCAAUGUCAUCACCAAAACAGUGAACUCCUCGCGCGUGUAAUCCAAUACAAUUUGAAACUCAAGAUUACAUCAAAAACGUCUAAAACAGACUCUAUGAUUUAGACGCAACCUAGGAGUUUUGAAGUCUUGAUUUCCUGCAAAACAAUUUAUCCAAGAAUUACAUCAAAACAUUAGAUUCUUAUACCUUCUGCCCUUUGUUCAUAUCUCGAUCACAUCUUCCCCUUUGUUUUUGAACUCAUACAUCCUCUCAAUGAACUCAAUGCCUGUUCAACCAUGCUCUCAUCUCUCAAUGAACUCAAUGCCUGUUCAACCAUGCGUCUCCCCUGUUCAUCUUCGCUCUCCCUUUUUUGUCAAAAAUUGCCAAAGAAAGCAAAUAAAGAGAGAAAACAUACUAGAAGCAUAAGAGUAGUCAUCAUAGGUACAGGCCUAAAACAAAAUAAAAACAUGCUGAAGAAAGAUAAGAAACAAAGCGAAAUAUCGUCCUAAAAAGUAACAUAGUGAAGCAGCAAGUCUAAAUGCAAGACAAAGAUCACACCAUGUCCUCGUCAUCAUCAUCAUCUCCAGCGCAAGCUCCAGAACUCCCUCAUCAUGAAGCUCUUAGUAGAUGGCGGAAUAAGGGGGUGUCGUGAAGUAGACCUAGUAUAAAAUGCUGAGGAGGAAAAAUAUCGUCAUGCUGCAUCCCAACUUGUCCAUCAUCCUCUUCAUGCCUAACUCCACUUUCCUGGCUAGAUCAGCCACUUUCUUUUUCAACGACCGCACUUCUUGGCGAAGUAUUCUCCCCUAAACUGGAAGAUCCCUCACGCUCUGCUCGAGGUGGAGGUGCCUGGCUAGAAGCUGGUCGCGACGCGUCCCUUUGAUUGCCUGAAUAAGUUUUUAGUGUGCUAAUGACUUGGCCCAAGUUACAGCAUCGAUAGAGCCAAGACAAAAUCGUACUUGUCGCAAGAAAUAUCUAUUCAUGCUCCUGCAAAAUCCUCGUGAUCAAAAGAGGAAAUGGAAGUAGACCCGGUCUGGCAGAAGCCUGAAUCACAUGGACCAUUCCCUGCCACAAUCAAAAAGGGAAUGUUGAUGUUCAAGCCAUGAGCUUGCUCCGGGUGACCAAGUAAAAACAGUAGAAGCAAUCGAUCCCAACGAAUUCUUUUUGUACCAAUCGUAGGUUGAACAUUGCAGCUCAAGACCAAGAAUUGUAGAUGGUACUCGGGUCGCAGAUCCUUAGACUCUACAUAAGCUCGAUUCGUUUGCACUCCAGCUCUGCAGAUAGCUGCUACAAUGGUAUCCCAAUGAGACAAAGAUUGAAAUCCUCCUGAUGUAUAAAGCAGGUCCGUGGUAUCCACAUUCAUCCCCAAAAGCUCUCCAAUAGUAUAUGGGGUGACAACGACCUUCUGCUGCAGCACAAAUGUCUCAAAGAGAUAUGUCCCGGUCUCCUCAUCUUCUGCGAAAACUUUCCCGUUCAUAUAGAACUCCCGAAUGAGUUCCACACAGAAGGGAGCCUUGGCAGGAACCCGUCUAACUAGCUCAAUAGGUGCGCGCUGUAGCAGUCGUCCAAAAUCAGGAACAUCGUGUAUAAGAUCAGUGAAGUUGACAUUACGCUCAGCAAUACACGACUUGCUCAUAAACAUCCUCCGCCGCUCUGGGGGAAUAUCCGCGGCAUGCUUCGAUCGAGUUUCUCUAGCACGAGAACCACCGCCACGUGAGGAUUCACCAACUAUUCCUUUGCCCUUGUCAAGAUGAGCAAUAGGUUCCUCAGCCUCUUCAGAGGAGCUAGCCUGAUAAUCUGGAUCAGAUCCGGACACCUCUUCCGUUGUACGUGUCUGCUUAGAGGCCCCUCGACGACCUCUACCACCACCUCGGCUCCGUCUCGCAGCCAUUAGCACCAAAAUCAGCAACACAAGCGAAAACGCCAUUUUUCCUAUACAAACAUUAACCUUGCAUGAACAAAAAUUUUAAAAAAAAUUCGUAAAAAUAGCGAAAAAAUUUCUAAUAACAUUAGAAUGCAUACAAAAGCUAUUUCUAACCGGAUCAUGCAAAAAAUUUCUAUCAAAAAUGACAUUUUACAAAAAAUCCCGAAAUUACAUGAAAAAUGAAGCUUAGAAUAUGGAUCAGCGAAAAAAAAUGUGUUUUGAUGUGAUUCAAGUGUUCUAGAAGCAAGAUAAUGUCCUUAAGCACUGAUCUACAGCAAAAAAUUGCAUAAAAAACGAUCAAAAAUAGAGAUCUAAGCAUGAACUCGAAACUUUUUGAAAAAUAUGUAAAAACGAGGUUUGAUCCACAAAUCCGAGCAAACAACUUACAAAUCCAUGUGGAAAACCAGUAAAACUGAAGGAGAUCGCCGCCUAGGAGCUUCAAGAGAAGAAAGAAGUAGUUUGAAUGAGGAUUUGUGAGAAAAUCGAAACGUAUCUCCGGUUAUAUAACCCGCGGCUACAGUACCCGUACCGGUACUGGAUUGUGUACCGGUACACGAUCUCAGAUUUCGAAAAAUUUCUUUAGAAAUCCAUCAAAUUUAAAUUAAUUUCAUAUAAAUUAAGCCUUUUACUUCAAAAAUCAUUAUAAUGAAAAUAAUAUAUUAUAAAAUUUUAAAAUACAUCGAAACAUCAAAAUUUCAUAAUCAAAACUGAUUUCAAGUUUCAAAAUUAUCAAGAUGUGAGUUGAUGAAAAAUGAUUUUUAGAAAUUCAACAAAAUUGACACCAAUUUAUCGUAAUAUGUUCAAAAUAGAGAUUUAACUAAUAUGGCACCGGGGGUGGCUCUUUGAGCAUCUUUUCAACUUACCACCUUAUAACUCCGAAAAUUCUAAAAUAUUCAAUUUUUUUUUAACCUUUUUCGGUUACUCAAUUUAAUCUUCAUGUGGUAGUUUCACACACUUGCUGGACGACCAGGGUGGUAACUCUUUCCUACAUGUGGUGGUAGUUUUCACACUCCUUUUGAAUGUAACUCUUUCCACAUCUUUUAAACAUAGGAGUAUCUUUUGCCCCCCUUUUUUUUUUUCAAACUCCCCCUAAAUUAGACAAUCUCACAAUUGAAAAUAAUUUUGACGAAUUUUAGUCAAUUAGAGAAUAUCCAUCCAUCAUAUCCAACACACACAACCAAGAUGAAUUAAGCAUCAAGAGAUCAAAUUUGAUUUCUAAAUUUUGAUGAAUAUAUGUAUUAAGAAAUCAUAUAUUAAACUAUCGUCAAAAUAAUAAAAAGUGGAGUGAAAACGAUAAGUAAUAUGAAUUUAACUUAAUAUGAUUGUAAAGUUAGAUACCGUUUAAGCGACUUUGGAAACUUUCUCUUCUCAAAAUAAUUAUUCUCAAUCUUCUCCUCUCUUAAAAAAAAUUUUUAAAUUCCCAAAUAUCUUCCCUCAAACCGAUUUAAAAACCAAUAAAAUUCAAGCACCAUGUAAUGCAAUGAGCAAAAUUAUGCAAUAAACACCUAUCAAUGCACUACACAAGAAAUCGAAAACAACUAAUACGAGAAGCAAGAAAAAUAUCACCUUUCCGGAUCCAAACUUGUUGGAUCUUUGGUUUUCUUGACUUUCGAUGUUAGUUGCCGUUUGUUUAGAUUUUUGAUCAACCGUUGGUCGUUUCUUGAUUUUGCUUUUGAUUUCGAGGGGGAAGUCGAGUUGUAGAUGAUGCCGCUUCAGGUUUAGAGAGUGUCAAUUGAUAUGAAGACCUUGCCGGUUGAUUCAUCUUUUCUUUGUUUGGGCAAUUCCUUUUGAUGUGUCCUUUGACGCCACAUCGAUGACAUGCCUUUUCUUUCAAAGUUGUUGAGACUUUCGAAGUUGAUUUAGAAUCCUUCUCGAUAAAAACUCUUUCGUAUCCGAGGCCUAAUUUAUCCGUUUGACCCAACCCGAGCAUAUGGUCCAAUUUCUUUGAUCCGGAAGAAAAUCGUUGAAUGUCGGUUUGAAGUUGACGAACUUGAUUGGUCAAUGACUUGUUGGAUGUGUACGAUUCCUCGAAUUGUUGCUCCAAAAAUCCAACCUUGUCUUUAUAUGAUUUGAUCGUUGAUUCCGCUUCAUUAAACUUAUCUUGGAGGUCCGAAUUAUUUUUCAAAACUGAUUCCCUUUCCUCCUCGAGUGCUUUGUUCGUGAUCUUCAAGUUGUUGUUUUCCUCCUCAAGAUCCAACAAACGACGCCUCAACUUCUUAUUAAGUUUAGCCAUCUUCUUUGAUUCAAUAAGAAGUUGAUUGUACGCUUCCGCUAUGUCGUCGUCGUUUGAUUCCUCCUCGCUUUCGCCAUUGUCGCUCGAAGAAUCAUGUGAAGAAAGAGAAAUAUUGGAAUUAGUAGCAAUAGAGGAUAAACAUACAAUGUUAGACGAAGGCAAGGUAGAUGUAGCAAAUAAAGCAAGAUUUCCAUUCUUUUCUUCGUCACUUGAGCUUGAAUCACUUGAAGUUGUAUCAUCACAUGUCUUUGCUUGCAAUGCCUUCUUAGUAUACGAUUUCUUUGAAGGACAAUCCGUUGCGAUGUGACCGUAGCCUUUGCACUUGUAGCAUCAGAUUUCGCCUUCAAAUUCAUCCUUUUCUUUCGAAGCCUUUGCACGCUUCUUCUCUUUAGAUGUAGAAGAUUUCGAAAACGUUUGUUGCUUAGACAAUGUAGCCUUUGUCCGAAUUGUUCUUCUUUCAGAAAUUCCGACAAAACUUCUUCGUUAGAAGCGCCAAUUGAUGUUCAAAGUCGGCAAUUGAGAUCUCUCCGUCGGAAUUCGAGUCUCCGUCUUCCUCUUUCGUCGAUUUCAACGCAACCCCUGUGCUUUUAGAGAAAGACUUCGAAGAAGAUUGAUUAGAGAAAGCCAUAUUAGGCCAUUUUACACAUAACUUUACAUUGGCUUUUCGUAACGUUAAACCGAGAGCACCAACGCGUCGAAAAUACCCCCAAUUAGGUUUAAUUAGGAUUUUAGAGGGUCAAUUUUACUUUGAAAUCCUCCCAAGCAAAAACCCCAAAUUUGGGUGCCCUAGCUCAUAGCACAUAUCAAACCUAGGGUUUGAUGUCAACAAAAAGCAAAAGAAGCUUUAAUCUACUCUAGAGACUCCAUUAAAACCAUUCUAAACUCUAUCAAAAUCCUAGUUUGGGUUCUACCGUGAGAGAGGUUAAAGCUCACCUCACAAUUUCACUGCAUAUACCCAAUCCAUGGUUUUGAUCUCUUAAGGAAGCAAAAGAAAGCUUCAAAUACGCAAAAGGUUCUACUAAAACCAUUCAUAGGUUACUUGGUUCUCAUUAUAGGAUUUUACCAUGAAUAGGGUUCAAGCUUUGUAACACACUGAACCGUUGAAAAUAGCGAGGUUCGAGUGUUUGAUCUGUGUUCCGAGCUUUACAAGUUAUUCUGGAGGGUCGUAGACAGUAUUCCGGCCUAUGGCAAGCAUCCCGAGAAUUGAGGUUUAAAGAUUGUACCAAAAUCCAAAAAGAUGGAUUGUUGGUCCUGCUCUCGGGUCAGCCUUAGCCAGGCUGUGUACCGGUACAACCUUGAUGGUUGUACCGGUACAGGAUUUGUACCGGUACACCUUGAUGGUUGUACCGGUACACUAUGGGAUUCUGCCAACCCGAGGCUCGGGUUGGGCUGUUUCGUAGGAAAUGUACCGUUACACUUUUUCGUGUACCUGUACACAAUACAGACUGGGCUGUUUUCGGGGAGGGGUGUAUUUGCAAUUGUUGCAACCUCUUUAAAUACCACCCCAGCCCCAUUAGCUGCUCUUUUGAGCCCUUAACCUGAGGAGACAAGGUAAGAACUCCCCCUCUUGAGUUCUUUUCCAUUUUUUGAUGGAUUUUAGUGGGUAUCUCCUCCCCUUUGCUCUUCUUUGCUUCUUGUUGGAUUCCUCCAUGGGAGAAGCUUGGAUUUCGGGAUUGGAGCUUGUUUGAAGAUCAACCUUCAACCCUAUAGGACUCUAGGCUUGGUUUGGAGCUUUCAAGAGGUAAGCAACAAGUUUCUUUCUUCUAGAUUUGUGUUUUGUUGCUUUAUGUUAGUUGAAACCCUAGAUUUUGAGAUUUAAGGUUAGAAAUGGAGAUUUUUGAUUUAAGGCUUCUAGAACAAAAUUGAUUGGUUUAGAAUCAUGGUUUAGGUUGACUUAGAAGGACUCUAACUCCCAUUUGAAAAUCGAGAGAGUUUCCUUCGCGUUCGGUGAGUUUUUCACCAUUUUCUUGAGCUGCUUAAUGUCCGAUCACUUGGAUGUCCGUAAGAUUCGUUUAACUCUCUUUUCUAUACUUUUAGGGUACUAGGAAAGUGGUGGACACCUUCGUCGGAGCAAACAAAGGGUUUCGAUUAGCUUCGGUGGGUUUGGCUUCAUUGGAAUAGGAGGAAAUGUCUCCUAAGUGGUUAAAUGCUUUCGUAUCAUCGUGGUUUAUGCAUUUUCAUCCUAGAUAGGAUUUAUGUGAAUUUUUGAAUGCUUAGAAUGCAUGCAUUAUGUAUCAUGAAUAUUUCGCUCUAUGUGUAGAGCCUUAUGUGUAGUAUCUAUGCAUGUGUUAAGUAUUCUUAUUGCGCGUUUGGAAAUAUGCCUCUUAUGAGGAAAAUGUUUAAAAUUUGGUACUCUUGAACAUAAUCACCAUGCUAGACUUAGUGGACAAAGUGCCAUAAAGGGACACUUGACUUAGAAAACUAUGAAACUGCAACUUAGAGACAUAGUUGUAAUAUACUGAAUUUUAGGCCUAUUGGCAAGUUCGAGGGUUGGAUUGGCUUUUGGAACUGGUCCACGAUUUUUGACAGACCUUUGAAAGGUUUUGACAAGUUAAUGAAGUGAGAAGGUAACUGGAAAUGGAAAAGUGCAUCGCAAAUUAAUUGCAAUGCUCUAAAUUUGAUAAAUUGCGAAGUUUGAAUAUGGGAAUUGGUAAAUAGGACUACCCUACAUAUUCUAAAGGGCUGGGACAAGUGUUUGGACAAGUUAGAGAAGUGGUGGAAUGGCUAAAAGCAAGAAAGCGCAUUGCUGUGGCUUUCUCUCGAAUUUUUGCAUUGUGUACCGGUACAACAUCAAUGCUAUACCGGUACAGCAAGCAGCAGAGUCUGCAGCUGCGUGGCAACAGGGCUAUUUUGGUCUUUUCACAUCUUUUACUCAGCCUUAUCCUCCCAGCUCGACCUCUGGACCCCUUCAGAUGGUGCUGGAGCUCAGAGAAAGGCAUCUUCACCUCCUCCACUAUCUCUCUCUAGGAUUUUUCUCUCUCUACAAAGACGUCGUCGUUUUGCGCCAGUUUCGCGUCCCGCUCGACGCUCGCUGUUUAGGUGGACUUGGGGCCAGCUUUUAAAAGGUAAAAUGGAGUGUUUUGACAGUAUGCUUCAUGUUUAAUGCUGAGAAUUACUGACAAAGAGUUUUAGAGGGAUAUUUAACUUGAUUUCUCUCUAGUUCAUCGUGUAGCGUCGGAUUUUGACGCGUUUUGGUGUCGUUGCUUCCAUCUGCGUGUAACAGGGGUUCCAGCAGCUAGAGGAGAGAUUUUUAGUUGUGAAUUGACCCCCUUAAAUUAGGGAUAAUCUACUCUGAAGCUUGCUUGAGGUAAUUAGCUACUUACAAAGCUAAUUCGGACCUAAAUGCGAUUUGUUGGACCAACUUGAUGCAGUUUCACAUGUUUGCUUCGCAGCAGGUUUUUGAACCUUAUUGAAUCAAAUUGGUGAUCUUGGGAACUGGUUUGGAAGGUGUUCUAACCAGGGGUAAGUGGAAAUUUCAGUUAGAAAGCUGAAUUAUUCAGGUUUCAGCCAUUUUAAUGCAUAUACAAGUUUACUAAUGUCGUGUUGAUGUUGUUCGCAGCGGGAAUUCAACCGACCUUUAGGUCAUCUUUGGUUGGCUUUGGGAAGCCUUUAGAGACUUAAUUUGAGGUACUAAAGAGAACCAAAACAGCGAUUUAUGUUAUUAUUUAAUACGAAAUGUGAGAGCCGAAAUCGGACAUUUCGGCCGUAGUUUUAAUCCGAUCUUGAUGUCUGCUUUUCAGCGGAGUUGAGGCCUAUUGGAGUUAAUUGUGGGACAUAGUAAUAGGUGGGUCUGACCUUCCCGGAAUGGGUGAAUUCUCUCUAUAUCUCCUUUGACAUCUGAGUUGAAGUUAUUAUAUUCAUGUGAAUAUAUAUAUGUAUAGUUCAAGGCAUUGAGAAAUGCGUCAAUGUGUAGAUCAUAUUGGAUAUGAUAGCAUCCUUCAGUAGAAAUGGAAGACUUAUGUCUGUUCAUUUUACAUAGCCAUUUGUUGGAUUACUAUGCAUGCAUGAUGAUAAUAACUUGCAUAAACAAUUUCACUUGAAGUCACCCAAGUGGAUAUAAUGGUAAUAUCAUGAGUGUACCAAUUAACGCGGUUGAACGACAAAGAACUUGUUGUACUCAGGGUUGAGUUAUGCAAUGUUAUAUAGUAAGGAUAAGGGCUAAACUCUGAAUAAAUCAGGUAAAGCCAUCCAUUUGCAUAUACAGGCCAAGUUGUAAAAUGAAUGGUAUAGAGAUCAUGUGAAGAGCACUUUAUCGUUUAUCUUGCUUGCGUACAUUAUUAUGUUAGUUUCUACUUUCACAUGAUAGAUUCACAUUAUAGUAUAUGUUCUAGUAAGUGACUAGAAUUUCUUAUGAUGGCAUAACUUGAAUGAUUAUUCAGUUGAAUAUAAUCUAGUAAAUAACUAGAUUUGGAUAUGAUAACAUACUUGGGUGAUCAAGUAGAGGUUUAUAUUGGACUACAGGAUAUGUGCCAUGAGUCUUUGAAUAUGACAUUAGUAAACCACUUUCCUUAUGUGUAAGGAGUAGUGAGAGAUUUGAGUGACCGACCAGGUAUAGCCUGAUAGAAUCACUAGUAUAAUGUAAAGUUUAAACUUGUCAAGUUAAACUAGCUAUCAAUAGAAUCAUGUCAACAAGUGUUGAUAGUGGCUUAUGAUUGGGCACUACAGUAUCGACCUUGGGUCGAGCUGAGAUUCCAUGUUUGAGACAUGAUGUAGUUGGAAUAUUUGUGCCAUGGAUGAUAGCUAGCAUGCCAUUACGCUCUUUCGUAUACGCUUGCGGGGGUCGCGCCCCCUAGCCCCGCACUCCGGAGUGGCUUGAGAUUCCAUGUCAGAGACAUGAUGUUGUUGUGGUAUUUGUACCUUGGACUACGGUUUACGCUUGCGGGGUCGCUUCCUCCCAAGCCAGCACUCCCGAGUAGCCUAGCGAUAGUUGUUCGCUCAUGUACGAAGUGAGCACCGAGGUGGAUUGCCGUGGGGAGUGUACACUACCACGGGGCCAUUAGGCACGGCGCGGCUUGGAUCUUACCUUGCGUAAGUCUACUGAAAAUUGGGUUAUGACAAGUGCUUCAACUUUAGCUGGACAUAGUAGUAAAGUUACUUGAUGUCUUUGGUCAAGUGAACUUAUUAAUGAACAAACUAGACAAUUGACAUCUAAAGUAAGUUUAGUGAUGAAUAACUUAGAAGUUGACAUCAUGAUUGGUUAGCAACAUAUUGACAAUAUGUUUCGUUCUUGCUAAUGUAGAAGGCAAUUACAUGAUAUUAUCUGCAAUUUCAGUAAACAUAAUUAUUAUGUAUGCAAUUUGGUGUAUGUUCGUUAAAUUAUUAAUCAAUGUGAAUGAUAAUAUCUUUCGUGUUAACUGAUACUUGCAAACUAUUGAUACGCAUUUAUUUACUAUUAAGUAAAUAGCAUGAGUAGCUACUUUUAUACUUAUUGCAUUUAUUUGCUUAUUGCAUCACUUGCUUAUUUAUUGCUAUCUACUCGUGCCACAGUUGACCUAGUGGUGUACUUCGCCACUCUUGGUGGCUUACCCACUGGGAACUAUUUUAUAAUAGUUCUCACGCCCUCUUUGUUGUUGUGUUUUUGACAGAGCCUUCCACAGCGGGAAAGGCUAGGGUUCCUUGCGAGGGGUCAGCGGCUAGCUAGAGCCUUUUUGGACGUGUACUAGACGACCUCCUUUAGUUUAUGUAGUUUAGUACAGAGAUGUAUAUUAAGUUAUUGUAAAUUGUACUUUGUUCUUCUUUAUUGUAUUAAGGCUUUGGGAUUGUAUAAAUUUAAACUUUUAAGUCUGGCUCUGAUUACCUGCUUAGAAUCAUAUGCUUUUAUUAUAUUGAUUGUAGACGCCUGGUGUAUGCUUGAGUUGUAGUGUACACGGCGGGUCUGUGCAUGCUACCGGAUACGUUUCCGUUGGUACCCGGGCGUGACAAUAGUGAUAGGCCAUUGACAUCUUUUAUUUUCCAUGUUGUAGACAUGAUGAUAUAAAGAUAGGCCACUGAGAUAUGUGACAUAUAUUCCAUAUUUUUAGACAUGAGGACUUGGUACUUGAGACGGAUCUUUCGCUUGCUUGCCAUUGUGCUCAUUCGCACAUGCUUGUGAGGGUCGCUCCCUACAAGCCGGCACUCCGGAGAUAGCCAUCGCGACAUAUGCUCGCUCGUGCGGGAUUGGGCGCCGAAAUAGGAUACCGUGGGGGAGGCUCAUUCCUAGAGUGGGGAUGUUGACUACCACGGGGCCAUUAGGCACAGCGCAGGCCAGACAGCCUACUGGUGGGUCUUACGUGAUUGGAACUUAGUGACAGAACAUGCCAUUUGGACUUUGACUAGAAUAGUAAACAAUGACAUUUUACUAUCUACCUUGUGGACAUUCUGUUGAUUACAUAUACAUGCUUAUACAUGUUAGUCACACUCAUGUAUAUACUUGUUGUAGUUGUUUUAUUCCUUAUGGAAUUCAUGCGAAGUAGAGAUAUCAUGAUAGAGUAGUACUCAUGGUUAUAUACUUGCUCUUUAUUUAGCUUUUGUGUAUACUCGUACUUACUCACUUUUGUUCAGUUUUGGGCCUAGUGUCGCAUUUCACUGAAGUCAGUAAUUGCCCACUGGGAACUAUUUUUAAUAGUUCUCACGCCCCUGUUUCUAUGGUUUUAUUUCAGAGCCCUCUACACCGGUGGAGGCACGGGAUCGCGGCAAGGGGAUCGCUUAGCUAGCUAGCGAGGAGCAUUUCUUUUGCAUUUUGGUAGUUCACUCUCCUUAUGAUGUUGUAGUUGAGAGAAAGAGAGUUAUGUUGGUACCUUGUAUAGAGAGACCACCUAUGUAUCCGGUUUAGCUUUUAUACUUUGGAUGUUUAUUGUAGUACUUCCGGUUUUUA